rnacentral:lncRNA from 1 species
UAAUUUCAAAUCAUUUAUGUUCAGUUGGUGAACCAAACAACACAUAAAAUGUCUUGCUUAUAUUCUUCUUCGUGUUUAUUGUGCAGCUAUCGGGAAACUGUUAACCUUGACACUCUAUCAAGGUGCAAACACAGCUGCUGACCAAUAAUUUGGGUCAUGUCUACGCCCGCUUGCAAAGACGGGGCUAAUCUUGACGACAACCAUCCCAACGGGCGACGUGCCAAGUCCAAACAUGCUCACCCGUUUGACCCCGAGAACCGCGGACCAUUGGUCUUUUUUGUCUUAGUCAUAAUUUUCUUCUGCUGCGUGAUUGUGAUCGCAGCUUUCAAUGAGGACGCAGCUUUCAAUGAGGACCAACCACCUGGCGUUGGCGAUAUCUUCCUCCGACUUAUAGGAAAAAGUGGGCUUGAUCCCGGUGCCUCUCCGCCGACUUCGCCGGCUUUCCGCCUUGUGUUGGACUUCGAACGAACACCACAAACCUACCGGCGCUGCAGCGGAGGAGGCAACUCGUUGCUGCACGUCUCCUACCAUGACAUGAUCCUGGCGUGGGCUCAAGUGCCAGAUUUCUGCAUCUACGGCGACCGGGGCAUUGGCAGUGUUGGUACCUUGGAGGUGGAGGCCAAGGCAGACGCCUCCGUGCUGCGAGAGGAGGUGCGCAACUUGCUUUGGAGCGAGAUUCAGGUCGUGGGGAAGGUCAAGUUCGACGUGCAAGGAGAGGUCGUGGGCCUAGGGUAUCUUCGCUGCGAGUUCUUCAUCAUGAAAGAUAAGGCUGCGCAUGUGCCCAAGAGCCUGUGCAUCCUCCGUCAAUAGGCUGGACCUAUGCCUUCUGAUAAGGGUGUUAUAUAUUCUCCCUUCUGUCACUGGAUUGCAUUUACUUUUGUAAUAGCUGCUAUAUUCUGCUUUGAAAUAAAACAAAACAAUUUCAGCUGCAUAUUGUUUUUAAAGAUUUGUACCGAUGCCUUGAGCCAAGCAAAUGAGUGCAACAGUGCCUCCCUCUCCCAGUCUACAUAUUAGCUGUUUUUCCCCUUGGUUCUGUAUAAGUCAGAUGCAACUGAAAACCGCAUAGCUACCCUGUUCAAGUCUACAUAUUAAUUAACUGUUUUUCCCUUGGCUCUGUAAGUCUGAUGCACCUGUAACCCAAUGGAUACGCUUUAAGUGCUCAGGUACUGGUACCGAACUAGGACAUUUCACCAUCUUAUGCCUAAUUUUUGUCUUAACCAAGAAAGGAAUUUGAAUGCGAAAUGGGCUUCUUUUUCAUUGUUUGAAUUGUAUCACUGCUAGUUAUGAUUGGUUCUGUUCUCUUACUCCCCAAGCUUCAGAAUAUCAAGCAUGAAUGGUGCAUUGUACUUCCUCCGUAAACUAAUAUAAAAGCAUUUAGAACACUAUCUUAGUUAUCUAAAUGCUCUUAUAUUAGUUUAUAGAGGGAGUAGCAGUUAAUUAAAUCACACAUAUAUAGUGAUAAUAGCACACAAUUUGUUGAACAAGUAGCUUUAUGUAGCAUGAAGAAUCAGUAUUUCCGACACAAUGAAGGACUAUGUUGCUCUAUGCCAAUGCGUGUGAACUGAACUAUUAGCGAGCAUGUUUGUUUUUGGCAGGUGUGAGGGCCCUAUUGCGAAUUUGCGAUGCUCAGGCUCUAAAUUAACCAGGCAGAGUUUGGACAUGAUUAGAUUGGUGAAGGUAGAUGCUAGGUAAAACCUCCCACCCGGCCUACACCCUCUUUGAUGUCAUUCGGAACAUGUAUUAGUUCUUCACCACAAAGGACAUUGAUGUAAAUGAUCAGGUGGUUAUGCUUGACAAUAUUCUGCGGGAACUAAACUGGACACAUCAUCUUUUGAACUAAAUUGGUUCCAGAGAGUGACGUUGGUUGCGUAAGUUGACGCUUGCCAUUUAUAUAAUUGUUUUCCUUAUAUAAUGCUUGAAUGUGCUGACACGUAAUAUAUCCAGGUGUACGUGUUAGUAAAAAGUUGGUCCCUCGAUGAUUUGUAUGUUGGCCAAAUUUACUGUUUUGACCCUUUGCUGAAAGUUAAACCUGAUCUGACCCCGCUUGAAAAAAAUAAUCGAACCUGAGCCUUUUGCUAUCGUCGACACCCUUGGCGGCGGGGUAUAAAGAUCGUAAAAAGAUCUCUAAGUUGUGGACACAGUACGCGCGUGUGUCUAUCGUCACAUGCGUGAACCUCUUCUUGGAUUGCUUCAUUUUAAACUUCUUCAAAACUUUAUCAAGGUAUGUGCUUUGUGAAAGUCCUAUUAGGCGCCUCGAUCUAUCUCUAUAGAUCUUAAUACCUAAUAUGUAAGCAACUUCUCCUAGGUCUUUUAUUGAAAAACAUUUGUUCAACUAAUCCUUUACGCUCUCUAAAAACUCCACAUUGUUUUCAAUCAGCAAUAUGUCAUCCACAUAUAAUAUUAGAAACGCUAGAGAGCUCCCACUCACUUUCUUGUAUAUACAAGAUUAUCCAGCAGUUUGUAUAAACCCAAACGCCUUGAUCACCUCAUCAAAGCGCUUAUUCCAACUCCGAGAUGCUUGCACGAUUCCAUAAAUGGACCGCUAGAGCUUGCAUACUUUGUUAGCAUUCAUAUACAAUUCUUCCUUAAGAAAACCAUUAGGGUGUGUUUGGUUGGAGAACCAACUGUCAUGGAAUGGAACGGUUCCAUUUCAGAGGAACGGGUCGGUUCCAUUCCUGUGUUUGGUACGAGCAAAAAAGUGGAACGGGAUGGUUCCGUUCCAGUGUUUGGUUGGGAGGCAUGGAAUGAAAAAUGGAAUAACAAAAAUUCAAAAUUUCAGCAGCAUUUCGUUUGUAUUUUGAAGAAAAACAACACAACAAUAUAUGUAUUGACAUGUAACACAAUUUGCAGCAACAAUAUCAUUAAAUACCAAUCAGGUUCACAUACUUGUCAAGUGCACUACAGCCAUACUUGACAAUCAGCCACAUCCAAAAGCAAACACCCAAAUAUCCAAAGCAAAGUGCACUACAGCCAUACAUGUUGUUCGCAUACGAAAUACACAAAAGCAACCAAAUGGCACUACAGCCAUACAUGUCAAGUUCGCAUACUUGACAACCAUACAACCAUAUCGAAUUUAGAAGUUCUUCUUCACAUACCUACUCACCCAAACAGAUUUGUUGGUUUGGGAAAGUGUCAUGAAGGCUUUUGUGAUCUUCGGAUUGUCAACAAGAUGAGCAUAGUAGUGGGCUAGGUGCUCUUCAUCAAAUUCUCCCAACUUGCAGACCUCAUCCCAAAGUUCAGCGGGUAUAUCAUCAUCAUCCCCAGACUUCACAAGAGCAUCAGCCACAAGUUUGAACCAGUAAUUGAGAGUCGUACCUAGUGGAUCUUCAAGAACUUUCACUACCUUAGCCUUCUUUUUUGGUGGUCCUUUGGGGUGAGAGGACUCAGCAACAUUUGGUGAUGUGUUCACCUCACCAUUCUCCUCAUCUUCCACAUUAAUAUAAAGUAGAUCAUUCCCAGACCUAGCAUUGAUCCCCGAAGCAGCGGUUGUCCCAAAGAUGGUCGCCAUAGCAUGAUAGUGUUCAAUUGGGGUGUUCAAGUAAGGGGCAUUAGCUUUGUGUGCCUACAAAAAAUGUGCAAGUGAUUAGCAUAAUGUAGGCCGAAAAUAGCAUGAUAAUGUAGGCCUACAAAAAAUCUCAUAGCAUUAGAAGCUUACCAUGCAAUGACCUGCAUAGUGUUUCCACUUGCAGCGGUGACUUCGGUAUUGUCCAUUUCUGUCAAGACAUCAAAAGGUUGCAAAAAAUGGAUUAUAGUUUAACAAAAUCAUGGUUUCAGCCAUCAAAUAUCAUAGAUGAUGCAAUCUGUCCAGCCAUCAAAUAAAUCCAAAGGAGUGGUUUCAACACUACAAAUACAUGGUUUUAACACAAUAAAUGAUACAUGAUACAUGGAGUGUCACACACUCAUAAAUUUGCAUACAUGAUUUUCCUAUCUUCCCACAUUUGGGCGGCAAUUUGCAGCCUACGGUCUACCGUGGCCCUAUGGUCACUUGCUUGUUGCCUUGUUGUUCGAAUUGGUUGGGUGGUCCAUGUCACUUCCGGUAUAAUAAAUUCAUCAAUCCCUUCCCAACCAGCCAACACAUAUGUGAAGCGUAGGUCAAAAUCUACCGCUGCCAUCACAUUUUGAGUGGUGAAGGCCUUCCUACCUCGAAAAGAAUGCUCCACAUCUUUGGUAACACCUGCUCGCACAUGUGUACCAUCGAUAGCUCCAAUACAAUCCUAUAUAGUGACAAGUAUUAAAUGGCAUAUCAUAUAGCCUUCAUAGCUAGCGAAUAGUUUCUGAGUUUACCUUAAAAUAUGGGUCAAAUCGAUGAUUUCCAGCAAUUUUGGCAGGGGUCUCCAAUGAUGGUGGCCUUAUGUAAUCAUUACAAAGCUCGCCUAUGGCAUGAAGAGCCUUUCUAAAGUAGAUGCUGGUUGUGCCAUAUGAUCUAAAAAAAUGGCUGAAAUAACCCUAUUCCGAACAUUGUGCCCAAUUGUAUGUAAAAGCAUCGCUAAUUGUUGCUCCACGCUAAGAUGUGGACUGUCUUCUAGCAACUUUCGAUCCCUCAGUAUGCCACACAAGCGAAAAAACGCAGCUCUUUCAAACCUUAACAUGUUUUUACACAACACAUCGCUUUUCCAAAUUUUUUGGUCUAGAUAAUCAAAUCUGACCCGAUCUCUUUCAUGCAUUAGGCCAUAUGUAAUACGUGGUCUUCUCUUCCUUAUUAUAGCUCUAACAAUGACUGCUAUUGCAGCAAGUGUGACAAAAACUGCAGCUCCCCUAAUCAUCCUUUUUCUUUUGUUCAUCUUCUUGACCAUCUACAAUUGCUAUCAAAUAUUACAAAGAUGUACUGGACAGAUAUAUUGCAAAGAUGUACUGGACAGAUAUAUUGCAAAGAACAAAAAAAAAAAUUGCUAGACAACACCAAUUUGAGCAAAAAAAUGUGCUGGACAUCAGCAUAUCCAAGGAGAUAGACAGAGGGAUUCGUACCUUGAGGAGAGGAGCGUCUCGUUCGCUGUGUCGCCGCGCCGGAGUAGCACCUUCUUCACCUUCUACCUGCAGAUCAAGACAUGGCAGGAAUCAGCAGAGAAAGAGGGAGGGAGCCGGCGGCGCAGCAGUAGAGAGACGGAGGGGCCGGCGGCGCGGCGCGACAGCAGAAAGAGGGAGGGGCCGGCGGCGCGAUAGGGAGAGGGGUCAUCGGCGCGGCAGCAGAGAGAGGGAGGGGCCGGCGGCGCAGCAGCAGAGAGAGGGAGGAGCCGGCGGCGCGGUAGCAGAGAGAGGGAGGAGCCGGCGGUGCAGCAGCAGAGAGAGGGAGGGACCGGUGGCGCGGCGCAGCAGCAGAGAGAGGGAAGGGCCGACGGCGCGGCAGGGAGAGGGCCGGCGGCGCGGCAGAGAGGGAGAGAGAGGGCCGGCGGCGCACCUGGGGAAGGAGGAGACGAGGAUAGGGUUGCGCGAGAGGAGAGGCUCGUUCCGUGUGAUUCCGUGGAUUUCCUCGUGCUAGCACGUUCCGGAUCUGAGUGGAAUAUUCCCUAAAGUGGAAUGAGUGGGUUCUGUUCCGGUUGGUAAACCAAACGCAGGAACGAGGACUAGGAACGAGGACUAGGAACGGGUCCGACCCGUGACAUUCCAGCCCAUGACAGCAACCAAACACACCCUUAAGGAACGCCGUUUUGACAUCCAUCUGUCAGAUUUCAUAAUCAAAAAAUGCAGCUAUUGCUAACAUGAUUGGGACGGAAUUAAGCAUCGCUACCGGUGAGAAUGUCUCAUCGUAGUCAACUUCUUGAACUUGUGAAAAACCCUUUGCCACAAGUCGAGCUUUAUAAAUGGUCACAUUAGCGUCCGCGUCCGUCUUCUUCUUAAAGAUCCAUUUGUUUUGAAUAGCCUUGCGACCUUCAGGUAAUACUUCUAAAGUCCACACUUUGUUUUCAUACAUAGAUCCUAUCUCGGAUUUCAUGACCUCUCGCCAUUUGUUGGAAUCCGGGCCCACCAUUACUUCUUCAUAAUUCGCAGGCUCAUUGUUGUCUAACAACAUGAUAGAUAAGACAGGAUUCCCGUACCACUCAGGAGCAGUACGUGAUCUUGUCGACCUGCGAGGUCCGAUAGUAACUUCAUCCAAAGCUUCAUGAUCAUCAUCAUUAGCUUCCUCCUCAACUGGUGUUGCCUCGACAAAGAUUUCUCUCUGCCCUGCGCCACCAUCCUGUUGGAGCAGAGGUUCCACAACCUCAUCAAGUUCUAUCUUCCUCCCACUCAAUUCUUUCGAGAGAAACUCCUUCUCAAGAAAAGCUCCGUUCGUAGCAACAAACACUUUGCCCUCGGAUCUGAGAUAGAAGGUGUACCCAACUGUCUUUUUUGGGUAACCUAUGAAGAUGCACGUUUCCGCUUUGGGUUCCAGCUUUUCAGGCUGAAGCUUUUUAAACAUAAGCAUCGCAUCACCAAACUUUAAGAAACAACAACUUUGGUUUCUUGCCAUGCCAUAGCUCAUAUGGUGUCAUCUCAACGGAUUUUGACGGUGCCCUACUUAAAGUGAAUGCAUCUAUCUCUAAUGCAUAACCCCAAAAUGAUAAUGGCAAAUCGGUAAGAGACAUCAUUGAUCGCACCAUAUCUAACAAAGUACGAUUACGACGUUCGGACACACCAUUACGUUGUGGUGUUCGAGGCAGUGUCAACUGUAAAACGAUUCCACAUUGUCUUAAGUGAGCACCAAACUUGAAACUCAGAUAUUCGCCCCCUCGAUCAAAUCAUAGGAACUUAAUUUCUUGUUACGAUGAUUUUCAACUUCACUCUGAAAUUGUUUGAACUUUUCAAAUGUUUCAGACUUGUGCUUCAUCAAGUAGAUAUAUCCAUACCUACUCAAAUCAUCAGUGAAGGUGAGAAAAUAACGAUAUCCGCCGCGUGCCCCCACACUCAUUGACCCGGACACAUCGGUAUGUAUGAUUUCCAACAAGUCACUUGCACGCUCCAUUGUUCCAGAGAACGGAGUCUUAGUCAUCUUGCCCGUGAGACAUGGUUCACACGUGUCAAGUGAUUCAAAAUCAAGUGACUCCAAAAUCCCAUCAACAUGGAGUUUCUUCAUGCGCUUUACACCAAUAUUACCUAAGCGGUAGUGCCACAAAAAGAUGGCGCUAUCAUUGUUAACUCUACAUCUUUUGGUCUCAAUGUUAUGGAUAUGUGUGUCAUCACAAUCAAGAUUCAAUAUGAACAAACCCCUCACAUUGGAUGCAUGACCAUAAAAGAUAUUACUCUAAAAAUAGAACAACCAUUAUUCUCUGACUUAAAUGAGUAACCGUCUCCCAAUAAACAAGAUCCAGAUCUAAUGUUCAUGCUUAACACACGCACUAAAUAACAAUUAUUUAAGUUCAUAACUAAUCCCGAUGGUAACUGAACUGAGACUGUGCCAACUACGAUUGCAUCAAACUUGGAACCAUUUCCCACGCGCAUCAUCACUUCAUCCUUUGCCAGCCUUCGUUUAUUCCGCAAUUCCUACGAGGAGUUGCAAAUGUGAGCAACAAAACCGGUAUCAAAUACCCAGGCACUACUACGAAAGUUGGUUAGGUACACAUCAAUAACAUGUAUAUCACAUAUACCUGGUUUUGCGUUGGCCGCCUUCUUAUCAGCCAAAUACUUGGGGCAGUUGUGCUUCCAGUGACCCAUCCCCUUGCAAUAAUAGCACUCUGUUUUCGGGUUAGGUCCAGCCUUGGGUUUUUUUCGUCGGAGGGGCAACAGUUUUGCCGCUCUUAUUGGAGUUACCCUUCUUUCCUUUGCCGUUUCUCUUGAAACUAGUGGUCUUAUUGACCAUCAACACUUGAUGUUCUUUCCGGAGUUUUGACUCUGCGACUUUCACAUCGCAAAUAACUCGUCGGGUGACUUGUUCAUCCCUUGCAUGUUAUAGUUCAACACAAAGCUCUUGUAGCUAGGUGGUAGUGAUUGAAGAAUUAUGUUAGUGAUAGCCUCUUGCGGGAGUUCAACUCCCAGCUCAGCUGGACGGUUUGAGUACCCAGACAUUUUGCGCACAUGUUCACUGACACACGAAUUCUCCUCCAUUUUGCAAGCAUAGAAUUUAUCGGAGGUCUCAUACCUAUCGAUCCGGGCAUUCUUGUGAAAGAUAAACUUCAACUCCUGGAACAUCUCAUAUGCUCCAUAACGUUCAAAGCGUCGCUGAAGUCCCGGUUCUAAGCCAUACAAGACUGCACAUUGAACUACUGAGUAGUCCUCCUUACGUGCUUGCCAAGCAUUCAAAACAUCUUGUUCAGACGUAGCGGGUGGUUCAUCUCCUAGCGCUGCAUCAAGGACAUAAUUCUUUUUCCCAGCUUGUAGGAUAAGCCUCAGAUUAUGAGCCUAGUCUACAAAGUUUCUACCAUCAUCUUUCAGCUUAGCUUUCUCUAGAGACGUAUUGAAAUUCAGGGUUGCUACUACGUGAGCCAUUGAGCUACAACAUAAAAAUAUUGCAAAGUGUACUUAGACUAUGUUUCAGACAAUUAGAGUUUAGCUAAUCAUAUUACUAACAAACUCCCACUCAAAUAGGCAUCCCUCUAGUUAUUUGAGUCUGGCAUGAUCCAAAUUUCAAUAACUCAAGUCCGAUCAUCACGUGAGUUGAGUGUAGUUCCAGUGGUAAACAUCUCUAUGUUAAUCAUAUCGACCAUACGAUUCAUGCUCGACCUUUCGGUCUCUUGUGUUCCGAGGCCAUGUCUGUACAUGCUAGGCUCGUCAAGUUUAACCCGAGUGUUCCGCGUGUGCAACUGUUUUGCACCGUUGUAUGUGAACGUUGACUCUAUCACACCCGAUCAUCACGUGGUGUCUCGAAACGACGAACUGUCGCAACGGUGCACAGUCGGGGAGAACACAAUUUUAUCUUGAAAUUUAGUGAGGGAUCACCUUAUAAUGCAACCGUCGUUCUAAGCAAGAUAAGGUGCAUAAAAGGAUUAACAUCACAUGCAAUUCAUAAGUGACAUGAUAUGGCCAUGAUCUUGUGCUUCUUGAUCUCCAUCACCAAAGCACUGGCAUGAUCUUCAUUGUCACCGACGCCACACCGUGAUCUCCAUCAUCAUGAUCUCCAUCAUUGUGCCGCCAUCGAGGUUGUUGUGCUAUCUAUGCUAUUACUACUAAAACUACAACCUAGCAAUAUAGUAAACGCAUCUGCAAACACAAACCUUAGUUUAAAGACAAUCCUAUGGCUCCUGUCGGUUGCCGUAGCAUCGACAUGCAAGUCGAUAUUUAACUAUUACAACAUGAUCAUCUCAUACAUCCAAUAUAUCACAUCAUGUCUUUGUUCGUAUCACAUCACAUGCAUACCCUGCAAAAACAAGUUAGACGUCCUCUAAUUUGUUGUUGCAUGUUUUACGUGGCUACUAUGGGUAUAUAGUAUGAUCGCAUCUUACUUACGCAAAACCACAACCGUGAUGUGCAAAUUGCUAUUUAACCUCUCUCCAAGGACCGCCUCGGUCAAAACCAAUUCAACUAAAUUUGAAAAAACAGACACCCGUCAAUCAUCUUUAUGCAACAAGUUGCAUGUUAGUCGAUGAAACCGGUCUCUCGUAAGCGUAUGAGUAAGGUUGGUCCGGGCCGCUUCAAUCCAACAAUACCGCCGAAUCGAGAAAAGACUAAGGAGGGCAGCAAAUUGAAUAUCAACGCCCACAAAAACUUUUGUGUUCUACUCGAUAUUACAUCUACGCAUGAACCUAGCUCUGAUACCACUGUUGGGGAACGUUGCAUGGGAAACAAAUUUUUUCCUACACGCACGAAUACCUAUCAUGGUGAUGUUCAUCUACGAGAGGGAGAUCAGAUCCACAUACCCUUGUAGAUCGCUAAGCGGGAAGCGUUAAGAAACGCGGUUGAUGUAGUGGAACAGCUUCGUGAUUCAAAUCACCGUCGUCCCAUGAUCCAUCCCGAUCUAGCGCCGAACGAACGGCACCUCCGCGUUCAGCACACGUAAAGCUCGAUGACGAUCUCCGCCUUCUUGAUCCAGCAAGAGAGACGGGGAAGUAGAUGAGUUCUCCGGCAGCGUGAUGGCGCGCCGGUGAUGGUGAUGAUCUAUUCCUGCAGGGCUCCGCCCGAGCUCCGCAGAAAACCAAUCUAGAGGAAGAACUACGAAGUAGAGGUUUAGGGUUGCACGUGGCAAAGUUUGACUCAAAAACCCUAAAACCUCUAGUAUAUAUAGUAGGAGGGGAGGGGCUAGCCUUGGGGCUCAAGAGAGCCCCUAGGGCGUCGGCCGAGUGGAGGAGGAAGGACUCCAACUCCAAUUCGGUUUGGGAAGGAGGAGUCCCUUCCUUCCUUCCCACCUCCCUCAUUUUUUUCUCCAUGAUUUUCUUUCCUUGUCUGAAAUAGUCCACUUGGGCUGGCCUCACCAUCCCACCAAGGGCUGGUGUGCCACCCAUGGGCUAUUAGGUUCACUCCCGGGUGGGUGGCCCCCUUCCGAUAAAAACCCGGGACCCAUUCGUCACUCCCGGUACAGUGUCGGUAAUACCUGAAAUCUUUCCAGAGGCCAAAUGAAACAAUCCUAUAUAUCAAUCUUCGUUUUCGGACCAUUCCGGAAACCCUCGUGACCUCCGUGAUCUCAUCUUGGACUCCGAACAAACCUUCGGUCACCAACACCUAUAACUCAACUAUACCGAAACGUCACCGAACCUUAAGUGUGCAGACCCUGCGGGUUCGACAACUAUGCAGACAUGACCUGAGACACUCCCCGGUCAAUAUUCAACAGUGGGACCUGGAUGUCCAUAUUGGAUCCUACAUAUUCUACGAAGAUCUUAUCGGUUGAACCUUUGUGCCAAGGAUUCAUAUAAUCCCGCAUACCAUUCCCUUUGUCCUUCGGUAUGUUACUUGCCCGAGAUUCGAUCGUCGGUAUCCCUAUACCUAUUUCAAUCUCGUUACUGGUAAGUCUCUUUACUCGUUCCGUAAUACAAGAUCUCGUGACUAACACUUUAGUCACAUUGCUUGCAAGGAUUGUAUGUGAUGUUGUAUUACCGAGUGGGCCCCGAGAUACCUCUCCGUCACACAGAGUGAGAAAUCCCAGUCCUGAUCCAUGCUAACUCAAAGGACACUUGAGGAGAUACCUGUAGAGCACCUUUAUAGUCACCCAGUGACGUUGCGAUGUUUGAUACACACAAGGUAUUCCUCCGGUGUCAGUGAGUUACAUGAUCUCAUGGUCAUAGGAAUGAAUACUUGACACGCAGAAAACAAUAACAACAAAAUGACACGAUCACAUGCUACAUUUAUAGUUUGGGUCUUGUCCAUCACAUCAUUCUCCCAAUGAUGUGAUCCAGUCAUCAGGUGACAACAUUUGCAUAUGGUUAGAAAACCUUAACCAUCCUUGAUCAACUGGCUAGUCAACUAGGGGCUUACUAGGGACAUAGUUUUGUCUAUAUAUCCACACAUGCAUUUAUGUUUUCAUUCAAUACAAUUAUAGCAUGGAUAAUAAACGAUUAUGUUGAAAUAGGAAAUAUAAUAAUAACUAUUUUAUCAUUGCCUCUAGGGCAUAUUUCCAACAGUGAGAUCUGAGGUACUCCGGGCCAAACACUUGCACAAUUCUGAAUGCGAAGCGCUUGACACACAUCAUGGCUUGGCUCUCAUCCAUGGCCAAGUGAUCAUCAACUAGAUCAGCGGGAAUACCAUAUGCCAACAUACGCAAAGCAGCUGUCACCUUCUGAAAGGUGUUAUGCCCGAGCUCUCCGGCAGCAUUCCUCCUCAGCUGAAAAAACCGGUCAUGGCUCGCUAGUUUCUCUGCAUUGUACCUGAACAACUCGGUGCUCAUCCUAAACCGACGACGAAAGUACGAGUCGAGGUAUGUGGGAUUCUCCACAAAAUAGUGCCUCAUCAAUAUGUUGUGGGCAUCAACCCUAUCCCUCCAAAUUUUCUGCCGACCCAUAACCGAACCACCGUGCUUCGAUUUUUUAUUGAUGUGCAUAGCUAGGAUCAUUACAAGAUCCUCCUCCUCUUCCAUAUCAAAUUCUUCUGCGGAAGAAUCAUAUGCCGAACUCAUCUAAAAUGUUCAAAACUAGGCUAUAAACAACAUGCACCAAAAUUCAUGUAAAAAUGUGAAGUUAGAAGCAAUACAUACCUUGCGAGCCUUUUGUCGAACACCUUGCGGGCACCAAGCGGCAGUGGGAGGCCGGGUGCUGUUCGUCGGAGGACUGCCGCGCGCGACGGACGGCGCUGAUGAGAGAGAGGGAGGAAGUCGCGGCCGCACGGGGAGAGACGCGGAAGCGCCGGAACAGUCGCCGGAGAAAUGGGGUGGCGCGGACGGCGACGACGGUGCGGCUAGAUGGGUAGGUGGAGUUUCGCGCGAGCGCUCGAGAGUUCAGCGCACGGGAGCGGAUGGAGCAAAUAAGCGGCGCGCGAUGGCGUUUCCUCCCGCGCGCUGAAUUACAUAUGCCGCGCGCGUGGUUUUUGCGUGUCCGCUGGAGCACACGGAACGAUAGCGCGCGCGCUAAAAUGACUACUUUUUUAGCGUGGCGCCUAUAUAGCGCGACUGUUGGAGAUGCUCUGAGGGCCCUAUUGCGAAUUUGCGAUGCUCUAACCACGCAGAGUUUGGACAUGAUUAGAUUGAUGAAGGUAGAUGCUAGGUAAAACCUCCCACGAGGCCUACACCAUCUUUGAUGUCAUCCGGAACAUGUAUUAGUUCUUCACCAUAAAGGACCUUGAUGCAAAUGAUCAGGUGGUUAUGCUUGACAAUAUUCUGCGGGAACUAAACUGGACACGUCAUCUUUUAGUAAAUGAAUCAAUGCAAACUAUAUUUAAUGGUUAUGUCUUGCUAGUAACACAAGAAAAAUACAUUUGGGUAGUACUAGGCUCCGGCGCGCCGACCCGAACACUCGUGUCGGUCGCAGCGUAGCCGUUAGAUUGAGGAUCCUUUGAUCGUCAGAUCUCCUCUUUCGUCGUCAACCUCGAGCCAUGAACGCGAGUCCCUUGCCGGUCAUCCUCGUUCAACACGCAACGACGCUCCCCACCCCUUCCCUCCCCCUGCCCUCCGGCGGUCGAGGGUCCUUCUUCCAUCGCCCCCUCUCGCCAAACGUCCUCGCCGUCGGUCGCCAUCCUUAUAGAGCCAACAAACGCGAGUACCUUGUCGUAUGUUCAUGCCAAUGACCGUUUGCAGCUUUUUAUAUGUCUCGUUGCAGCUUUUUUCAUCAACGGUUGUAGCAUUGUGGCAAUGACCGCUUGCAGCUUUUUAUAUGCCUGAUUGAAGCUUUUUCAUCUAGGUUUGAAGCUUUUUAAAAUAGUCAUUGCAGCAGUUUUGGGUGACGUUUGGUGAGACUGGUGAGGGAGAUGCUAGGUAAAAUCUCCCACCAGGCCUACACCCUCUUUGAUGUCAUUUGGAACAUGUAUUAGUUCUUCACCGCAAAGGACCUUGAUGCAAAUGAUCAGCUGGUUAUGCUUGACAAUAUUCUGCCGGAACUAAACUGGACACACCAUCUUUAUUAAAUGAAUGGAUGCAAAAUAAAUUUAACGGUUAUGUUUUGCUAUUAACACUUGGAGGCCCCCAAUGAAUCAUCUAUAUUAUGAGAGGCGCUAGAAAAAAAAGGUAAACCCAAUGAAUUCCAAUUCUCUUAAGAGAAUAGAAACAUCUGGUCAUCAACUUGUCAUAGCAGUCAUUUGAUAAUACACUUGAUGUCUCGUAAACAACAAUAAACUAACGGUAAGUACUAUUGGCCGCUGAUGGAGUUACUCUUGUCCAAGUUGAAUCACGACGUUGGAUCACUGAAUUGUUAUCUAAAGAAAAUGACACCUGAACUGAAGAUGCAGGCCAAUACUACAGGUACAUGACAAUGUCCCCUCCAAAGGUUCGACAUGUCCUCAUGGUGAUGAUGACGAAGGUGAAGCACGCCACUGUUGCUUGUCUCGCGGAAAAAAUGUUGGGAAUGUGCACUUCAUGAAGUAUGUGUCUUCCCAAGUCGCUUCUUCAGGUGAAAGGUUGGUCCACUGCACACAAGCAUUGAACGGCCGACAAGUUUCGCCACGGUAUUCGUCAGACCUGUAAGACCAUGGCUGGUGAAGUUUUGAGAGUACCAUCAGCGUUUGCAAUAGGCAUAUCAGGGCUAGGAUUGGCAUGCUUGCCCAAAUGCUUCUUCAACCGACUCACAUGAAAAACUGGAUGGAUCUUUUUGUGGCCAGGGAAUUGCGGUAAUUUGUAGGCUACAUUGCCCACUUUUUCUUAAUUAUGGCAAAAGGACCCUAGUAUUUGUGUUGUAAUUUGAUUGUUCGGCGACAUCCAAAAUCGACCAUACGAUGAGGUUCCAUCUUUAAGUAGACCCUCUUCAUUCUGUUUUGUCCAUGCUGUAAGAUGUUUUUUCAGCUACUCAUUCAUUCAUUUGUUCGAUCAAGGAAGAGUUAUCUGAAGAAAAUGACACCUGAACUGAAAGAUGCAGGCCAGAAAGGUGCAUGACACUAGACAAGACUGGGAAACAAAAACUGCUUUGAGAUUGGGAAAGGCACGUGGCGUCCUCUCUUCCAGUUCCAGAGAGGAUGAAGAGAUAGAGUCGGUCGGUCCGUUGGGGACUGGAUCGAUACGCAACAUACUCACGACGUAAAAGCGCUCCGCCGCCCAAGUCCUCCGUGUACUGCAGCCUCUGCCUCGCUGUGGCUUGGAUCCGCUGCCGUCGUUGCUGUUGACGCCGAUUUCAGCCGAAGUAAAACAUAGUGCUUAGAUAUUAUGCAAAUAAAAUAAUUUACAUAAAAUAAUCAAAUAAGAUAGUGAAUCACCGAAUACACGAAAAAAGGAUACAAUGAUGAAUUUUUGCCGCGCGUCUCAACAUAAAAUAACAAUAACAAAAAAAGAGACAUAUUAUCGUACAAACUACAUGACAUAUGACUUUCAUAUACAUAAGCCAUCAUCAACGGCUAAAUUCCAACGUUGACCUAGAUGCAAACAUCACCAAAAUGUUAUUUAUGAACAUUAUUCUGUCACCGCUAAAAGAAAUAUUGCACAAUAAUGUUUGUAUAAAAUAAUAUAGCGUACGAUGAUGUACGAGGGAAAAUAUCAAACCAUCAUAUAAUUAUCAGUAGAAGAAAUGCUUUUCCAUAUUACAACAACUAAUUUGGUCUAGCUAGCCCAAUCAUACAAAUGGCUACGUACAUAUAUGGUGCAAUUACAAGCUACGUGCAUGCAUGUAUUAUGCAUGGAUUAAUUAUGCGACAAGAUUAGGAACUAAUGAAGUAAUUAUCUAGCCCAUGCCCAAACGCAUACGCCCAUAUAGCAACAUCAUACGUAAUGGACGUCCUCCUCCCAUGCUUAGGCGUGCAUGCAUGGAUCAGGCUCCAAUUAUAUCAAAGGCCCACAGGUGAGCACCACAGGAGGGUGCGCACAAGAAAAAAAGACCACAACUUAAUUAAGCCCAUGUCAGAUGAUGGGACGUUGUCGGUCAAUUAUGAAUUAAAGAAAUAAAAGAAAGAAGGAAAGAGCAGCCAGCUCCACGGUCUCACACGAUCGCAUGAUCGAGGAUUGUGGGCACGCGCCACAAUGUCCCGCUGCUCGCCCGCUUGUUACAAAUAGCUGCUCGUUCAGCGUAGAGAGGGGCUCGCUGAUCCAUCUCACGUUCAUUCAGUCCAUCGCUGCUUUCAUCCAUCCAGCCACUGCUUCCAUACACAUCAGCCCAUCGUCAAGCACAUCAUCCAUCAUCGCUUCAUCGUAGUCGGCCGUCCGCUCGCCAUCGUCGCCACCGGCCGUUCGCUUGCCGCCGUCGUCAUCAUACGCUCGUCGUCGUCGCCGGCUGUUCGUCUCGUCGUCGUCGUCACUACGGUCAGCCGCUCGUCCGACUCUACCGCAAAGGUGAGAAACAAGGCAAGCUGAACUCCUUCCCCUACCACUCCGUACGUGGGAGAAAGAAAAGGUUGCGAGAUGGAAAUAUAAUUCAUUGUUUGCUCUAUGGUUGGCUACACUAACAUAAUCAUGGAGUCUUUCUCAUAAUUCUCAGUUUGGUCAUAUUGGCACAAACUAAGAAAUUAUAUCAUCAUAUUUGCUGCAUAAUUUCUUACUUCCUGGUUGAUCACAUUGAUACAAUCAUGGAGUUAUCUUUCAAUGAUUCUUAGUUUGGUUAUACUGACAUAAACUAGAGAAUCAUUUAUCCCAAAUUGCUACAUGUUUCCUUAUAUUCGUACAUGCCAAGUUGCUUCCUUAUCAUCAUGGAAAUUUGGUCCUUGGUUUGGUUACAUUGACACAAACCAAGUGGCAUUAAAACAUAUGUAUGUUUCUAAAAUUUGGCAUUUUGUUUGUUCAUGAUGACAUGCGUAAAUCUCCUCAAAUCAUAUAUCAUUAAAUUUUGGCGCUUGGUUUGGUCACAUUGACAUGAACCAGGUUGUCUUAAAACUAACGUUUGUUCCCAUAUUGAUACAAACCAAGACGCACUCUAAAUUCAUCUAUAAUUAAAUUAUGUACUUGGUUUGGUCACAUUGACACAAACCAAGUUGCUAAAAAUUGACAUCUUGAUAAAAUAUUGGCCCUUGGUUUGGUUAUAUUGACACAAACCAAGUGGCACUAAGAAACAUAUAUUCUUGAAAUUUGACAUUUAUUGGUUCAUGAUGGUAUUAUCUAAAUAUCUCUAAAUUCACAUAUCAUUAAGUUGGGCUUUUUGGUUUGGUCACAUUGACAUGAACCAAGUUGCACUAAAACUGUUUAGCUUGAUAAAAUCAUGCCAUUGGUUUGGUCAUAUUGACACAAACCAAGGUGUACUCUAAAUGUAUCUAGAGAUAAAUAUUGUGCUUGGUUUGGUCAUAUUGACAUAAGCCAAAUCACUUCAAAUGUAUAUCACUAAAUCAUGUUGCACCCUCCAUAUGUGUCAUUUAUCCUAUGAUGCAAAGUAAGAUGAAAUCAAAUAGUAUGCCUAGCUAAACCAAAACUAUGUUAUCACACCAAAUAUUUUGGUAGUAAAAUAAAUGAAGCUCGCCAGGUAAAUAUGUUAGCUCAAACAAAAUAUUGUAUGACAAGCAUACCAUGCAUUGCUUAAAUUCUCGUGCAUGUAGGAAAUACCACGCACAUGAUCCUAUACCCCUUUAGUGCAUGCGACAAUUAAUCAUUAAGGAAAACCAUAUAGUAUAAUCAAAAGUACAAUCUAAAACAAAAUGCAUCGGCCCCAAAUUAUGCUAGCCUGCAUCAUCGGCAAAUAACUAGAUAUUGGAGAAUCUAGUAUGCGCAUGCAAGGUAAAAUGAAUAUGUUGUACGUAGCUAAUUCUAAGCUAAUUGGCGUGCGUCUACCUGACUAAAAUGAGGUGUAUGGUCCCUGUAUAUGGACGUACACACACAUAAAAACAAACUAAAAGAUGACCAGAGUCAUAAUUUGAGUCUGACUGCACUUAAAAUAUUGUAGUGCAUGCGUUACCAAAGUAAAUCAAAUAUUUUAUCCCCCUCAUAUAUGUUAUGCUUAAAAAGCACAUCUAGCUUAUCUUCACAUAAGAUGAAAGUUAGACCACGCAUCCCUCAUACGGCUUGCAUAUAUUUAGAAAACAUAGAUAUAAUCAUUUACUUACAAAAGAAAGGGUACUAUGUCUGUCAGUACUAAAGUGUUUUACAUGCAUAGCAUACGUGCAUGAUUUCAUGCCCCAUAUUAUGAUGUUUGAAAGCUCAUCCAGCAGAUUGAUUAACCAUUAAUUAAGAUAAUCUCCACAUAUAAACUAAAGGGAAAUAGAUCAAAGUAUAUAUGUUGGUUAAUCAGUUCGGGAAAAUUGACAAAGCCAUUCAAGCAUGCAUACAUGUACUGCCAAUAUCAGUAUAAGUCAAAGAAAAAUAUAAAAUGAAAGGUAUUACAUGUGAUAACAUCAACAAAGUUCAAAGCUCCCCCGAGCAUGCCGACAUUGACGACAGCGAGGAGGAUCUUCCAUUUUAUUUUUUUUAGUUUGUAAUAGUCAUAUGUGAUGUAAUCCUUUGUAUUAGAAAUGUUGAAAUUCUUAAUCAGGGAUUUUCUCUUCGGAUAUGUAAUUAACAGUUCUUUUAUGUAAAUGUAAGAGUGCUGGAAAUAAAGUACCCGCAAUACUUGAUAUUUGUCUCGUUUACAUUCGCGCACUUUAAAUACUAUAUUCUAUCUGUCUCUAUGACGUGGACGAGAAGUUAGUAUUUUUCUAUCACCCCAUUUUCCCGUCAUCAGUCGCCGCCUCUACUCGGAAGCGAAUCUCUCUUUUGUCGGUAAGCAAUCUAUAAGCUUCAAGUUUGCAUAGGUUUCUCUUGGCCCCUUGUAGUGUGUAUAUUGGAUAUAAGAUCCGUGCAUGAGCCUAGUUAUUAUUUAGAUUUUUCUUUUCCCGUCCUCUCUUUUCUCCACGGGCGCAUUGGUGUCCGCAGAUCCGGCCUACUCGCCGGGAGUAUGUGAUAUGUUCAUCUCCUCGUUGUAUACUACUAUAGGAGAUGCAUCCCAGACUCUUGAGAAAUUGCCUUCUCAAAACCAAGGCCGCUUACUUUUCAAAAUUGAUUAAAUCAUGUCUCUAAUUAGAGACGAGCAUAAUCCACACUGCUACCACAUCUCUCCUCUCCUUUAUAUGUGUGUGUAUAUGGUUGCGCUAUUCGUCAUCCUGGGUGAGUUAUAGUUAUUCUUCACUCCCCUCUAUUUUAACGUCAAUGCAUCGUAAUUUUACAUUCUAUAAAUUUUGUCUUAUUUUAUAUGUAAAAAGAGACCUAAAAAUUAUAAUGAACAUAAAAAUAUUUUAUGUCACAUAAAAUUACGAACAUACAAAAAUAGUGUAAAAAAUACAAUAAAUUCAAUUUUUUUAGUCUUGUGACCUGUAUUUUUGUUUUUCUUUUGUUAAAUUGUAUGUAGUGAUUCAAUAUAAAUGUAACUAUUUGUAAUUCAAAUGUAUCUCUGGUGAAAAAUAAGCUAUUCCGCACCCGAGGUGAUGAAUAGAGUUUCUAAUACACAUAUAUAUAUAUAUAUAGGAAAAAUACAUCCUACCACCCAGGGGUAGUUACCCUACAUGUUCCAUAUACUAUCAUGUGGUAGUAUAUAUAUUAAUUUAUCAUUUUUAUUAUGUUCUAUAUUAUAUAUAAGAUUNNNNNNNNNNNNNNNNNNNNNNNNNNNNNNNNNNNNNNNNNNNNNNNNNNNNNNNNNNNNNNNNNNNNNNNNNNNNNNNNNNNNNNNNNNNNNNNNNNNNNNNNNNNNNNNNNNNNNNNNNNNNNNNNNNNNNNNNNNNNNNNNNNNNNNNNNNNNNNNNNNNNNNNNNNNNNNNNNNNNNNNNNNNNNNNNNNNNNNNNNNNNNNNNNNNNNNNNNNNNNNNNNNNNNNNNNNNNNNNNNNNNNNNNNNNNNNNNNNNNNNNNNNNNNNNNNNNNNNNNNNNNNNNNNNNNNNNNNNNNNNNNNNNNNNNNNNNNNNNNNNNNNNNNNNNNNNNNNNNNNNNNNNNNNNNNNNNNNNNNNNNNNNNNNNNNNNNNNNNNNNNNNNNNNNNNNNNNNNNNNNNNNNNNNNNNNNNNNNNNNNNNNNNNNNNNNNNNNNNNNNNNNNNNNNNNNNNNNNNNNNNNNNNNNNNNNNNNNNNNNNNNNNNNNNNNNNNNNNNNNNNNNNNNNNNNNNNNNNNNNNNNNNNNNNNNNNNNNNNNNNNNNNNNNNNNNNNNNNNNNNNNNNNNNNNNNNNNNNNNNNNNNNNNNNNNNNNNNNNNNNNNNNNNNNNNNNNNNNNNNNNNNNNNNNNNNNNNNNNNNNNNNNNNNNNNNNNNNNNNNNNNNNNNNNNNNNNNNNNNNNNNNNNNNNNNNNNNNNNNNNNNNNNNNNNNNNNNNNNNNNNNNNNNNNNNNNNNNNNNNNNNNNNNNNNNNNNNNNNNNNNNNNNNNNNNNNNNNNNNNNNNNNNNNNNNNNNNNNNNNNNNNNNNNNNNNNNNNNNNNNNNNNNNNNNNNNNNNNNNNNNNNNNNNNNNNNNNNNNNNNNNNNNNNNNNNNNNNNNNNNNNNNNNNNNNNNNNNNNNNNNNNNNNNNNNNNNNNNNNNNNNNNNNNNNNNNNNNNNNNNNNNNNNNNNNNNNNNNNNNNNNNNNNNNNNNNNNNNNNNNNNNNNNNNNNNNNNNNNNNNNNNNNNNNNNNNNNNNNNNNNNNNNNNNNNNNNNNNNNNNNNNNNNNNNNNNNNNNNNNNNNNNNNNNNNNNNNNNNNNNNNNNNNNNNNNNNNNNNNNNNNNNNNNNNNNNNNNNNNNNNNNNNNNNNNNNNNNNNNNNNNNNNNNNNNNNNNNNNNNNNNNNNNNNNNNNNNNNNNNNNNNNNNNNNNNNNNNNNNNNNNNNNNNNNNNNNNNNNNNNNNNNNNNNNNNNNNNNNNNNNNNNNNNNNNNNNNNNNNNNNNNNNNNNNNNNNNNNNNNNNNNNNNNNNNNNNNNNNNNNNNNNNNNNNNNNNNNNNNNNNNNNNNNNNNNNNNNNNNNNNNNNNNNNNNNNNNNNNNNNNNNNNNNNNNNNNNNNNNNNNNNNNNNNNNNNNNNNNNNNNNNNNNNNNNNNNNNNNNNNNNNNNNNNNNNNNNNNNNNNNNNNNNNNNNNNNNNNNNNNNNNNNNNNNNNNNNNNNNNNNNNNNNNNNNNNNNNNNNNNNNNNNNNNNNNNNNNNNNNNNNNNNNNNNNNNNNNNNNNNNNNNNNNNNNNNNNNNNNNNNNNNNNNNNNNNNNNNNNNNNNNNNNNNNNNNNNNNNNNNNNNNNNNNNNNNNNNNNNNNNNNNNNNNNNNNNNNNNNNNNNNNNNNNNNNNNNNNNNNNNNNNNNNNNNNNNNNNNNNNNNNNNNNNNNNNNNNNNNNNNNNNNNNNNNNNNNNNNNNNNNNNNNNNNNNNNNNNNNNNNNNNNNNNNNNNNNNNNNNNNNNNNNNNNNNNNNNNNNNNNNNNNNNNNNNNNNNNNNNNNNNNNNNNNNNNNNNNNNNNNNNNNNNNNNNNNNNNNNNNNNNNNNNNNNNNNNNNNNNNNNNNNNNNNNNNNNNNNNNNNNNNNNNNNNNNNNNNNNNNNNNNNNNNNNNNNNNNNNNNNNNNNNNNNNNNNNNNNNNNNNNNNNNNNNNNNNNNNNNNNNNNNNNNNNNNNNNNNNNNNNNNNNNNNNNNNNNNNNNNNNNNNNNNNNNNNNNNNNNNNNNNNNNNNNNNNNNNNNNNNNNNNNNNNNNNNNNNNNNNNNNNNNNNNNNNNNNNNNNNNNNNNNNNNNNNNNNNNNNNNNNNNNNNNNNNNNNNNNNNNNNNNNNNNNNNNNNNNNNNNNNNNNNNNNNNNNNNNNNNNNNNNNNNNNNNNNNNNNNNNNNNNNNNNNNNNNNNNNNNNNNNNNNNNNNNNNNNNNNNNNNNNNNNNNNNNNNNNNNNNNNNNNNNNNNNNNNNNNNNNNNNNNNNNNNNNNNNNNNNNNNNNNNNNNNNNNNNNNNNNNNNNNNNNNNNNNNNNNNNNNNNNNNNNNNNNNNNNNNNNNNNNNNNNNNNNNNNNNNNNNNNNNNNNNNNNNNNNNNNNNNNNNNNNNNNNNNNNNNNNNNNNNNNNNNNNNNNNNNNNNNNNNNNNNNNNNNNNNNNNNNNNNNNNNNNNNNNNNNNNNNNNNNNNNNNNNNNNNNNNNNNNNNNNNNNNNNNNNNNNNNNNNNNNNNNNNNNNNNNNNNNNNNNNNNNNNNNNNNNNNNNNNNNNNNNNNNNNNNNNNNNNNNNNNNNNNNNNNNNNNNNNNNNNNNNNNNNNNNNNNNNNNNNNNNNNNNNNNNNNNNNNNNNNNNNNNNNNNNNNNNNNNNNNNNNNNNNNNNNNNNNNNNNNNNNNNNNNNNNNNNNNNNNNNNNNNNNNNNNNNNNNNNNNNNNNNNNNNNNNNNNNNNNNNNNNNNNNNNNNNNNNNNNNNNNNNNNNNNNNNNNNNNNNNNNNNNNNNNNNNNNNNNNNNNNNNNNNNNNNNNNNNNNNNNNNNNNNNNNNNNNNNNNNNNNNNNNNNNNNNNNNNNNNNNNNNNNNNNNNNNNNNNNNNNNNNNNNNNNNNNNNNNNNNNNNNNNNNNNNNNNNNNNNNNNNNNNNNNNNNNNNNNNNNNNNNNNNNNNNNNNNNNNNNNNNNNNNNNNNNNNNNNNNNNNNNNNNNNNNNNNNNNNNNNNNNNNNNNNNNNNNNNNNNNNNNNNNNNNNNNNNNNNNNNNNNNNNNNNNNNNNNNNNNNNNNNNNNNNNNNNNNNNNNNNNNNNNNNNNNNNNNNNNNNNNNNNNNNNNNNNNNNNNNNNNNNNNNNNNNNNNNNNNNNNNNNNNNNNNNNNNNNNNNNNNNNNNNNNNNNNNNNNNNNNNNNNNNNNNNNNNNNNNNNNNNNNNNNNNNNNNAUUAAGGAGAUAAAAAGACAAAACAAAAAAUGAAUCCUGCGAUGAACAAUAACCCUUAUUUUUCCUUUUCCUUAAGUAUUGCAAAAAAAUAAUUUGUGGUCGGGGCUCUCCCAUGCGUGACAUCUUCUUUGAAAUUAAGAUUAAGGAGAUAAAAAGACAAAACAAAAAUGAACCCUGCGAUGAACAAAAACCCUUAUUUUGUUCAUUUUCCUUUUGAAAUUCCCCUCUUUUUCUGAAUUAAAAAAUUAAAGUUAAAAAUUUAAAAAAACGUUUCCCCAAGUUCUAAAACAAAUAUUACACCACAUUUUAAAAUUAAGGUGAUAAAAAUACCAAAAAAUAAAAACAAAUAAAUACAUCGCUUUUCUACAAAAUAAUAGUAGUAGUCCAACAGUAACUACGAGUGCGAUGAACAAUACCUCCCCCGCCCCCAUGAAUAACCUACCUCUUUUUUCUCCUUCUUUAAAAUUCAAAUUAAGGAGAUAAAAUUCCAAAUAAAAAUGAAAACAUAUAUUAUUUAUUUAUUCCCCUUCUUAUUUAAAAUUCAAAUUAAGGAGAUAAAAUUCCGAAGAAAAAUAAAAACAUAUAUUAUUUCUCCUUUUCCCCCUUCUCCAUUGAAAUUUAAAUAUUAAAAUUACAAAAUUACCAUUUUCCCCCUUCUUCUUAAAAACUUAAAAUUACCAACAAAAAUUGAAAACAAACAUUACAUCACCUUUUUGUAAAUAGUAAUUGCAGUCAAAAAAUAAGCUAUGGUUACAACGAAUCCACAUUUUUCCUCCUUCUUUAAAAUUAAACUUAAAAAGAUAAAUUUACCAAAAAAAUAUAUUAUAUCACUUUUCUACAAAUAAUAAUAGUGGGUAAACGGUAACUAUAAGUAACCAAUAAUUAUAACGCAAAAUUUUUCACACUUCUUUCCAAGUGAAAGAUAAAAUUACCAAAAACAAAUAUGAAAAUAAAUAUUACAUAAAAAAUAAAUUUGCUAAAUGACGGGCUUUAACUCGGGUGCGACGUGCCGCCGCACCUUCUGCCCUACUAGUUUCAAAUCAUUUGUGUACGGUAUUUCCUUUAUUUUAUGGAAAAUUGUUUAUGUGUAGUCGGUGAACCAAACAACACCAAAAGGCAUCCAUCCAUAUGUUGUGUUUAUGUUCUUCUUCGUGUUCUUGUGCAGCUAUCGGAGAUUGGUUAACAUCAAUUGAUGCUCUUAUAUACUGAGCAGUAUCUUGGGUCAUAUGUCUCAUGCCCGCCCUCACUUGCAAAGACGGAGCUAAUCUUGACGACCACCAUCCGAAUGGGCGAUGUUCCAAGUCCAAACGUAGUUGCGCAGAUGGUUACAUUGACCACUUUGACCGCAAGGAACACCUAGUAAUUUGUGCAAGUGCCCUUGGCUAUAUGUUUACAAUGAGCAUUUUCUGCUUCACUGUGUUGUACACUAUAGUCACGAAUGGCACAGCUAACGUGGCCCAAGGACCCAGGGACAUCUUCGUCCGACUUGUAGGAAAAAGAGGGCUCGAUCCCCGUGCCUCUCCGCCGACUUCACCGGCUUUCAACGUUGCCUUGGACUUUGAUCGGAGACCACCAACCUACCGGCACUGCAGCGGAGGCGGUAACUCAUUGCUGCUCGUCUCCUACCAUGAUAUGAUCCUAGCGUGGGCUCAGGUGCCGCUUUUUGCGUCUAUGGCGACGGGAGCCUUGCCAGUGUUGGUACCUUGGAGGUUGAGGCCAAGGAAAACGCCCGCGUGCUGCAAGAGGAGGUGCGCAACUUUCUUCGGAGCGAGAUUCAGGUCGUGGGCAAGGUUGAGUUCGCCGUGGAUGGAGAGGUGUGAUACGUCUCCAUCGUAUGUACUUUUCCAAACUCUUUUGCCCUUGUUUUGGACUCUAAUUUGCAUGAUUUGAAUGGAACUAACCCAGACUGACGUUGUUUUCAGCAGAAUUGCAAUGGUGUUGUUUUUGUGCAAAAAUGGAAGUUCUCGGAACGUCCUGAAAAUUUAGAGAAAAUAUUUCUGGAAAAUAUGAAAAAUACCUGCGCAAAGAUCCACCGGAGGGGACGGGCCACUGGGCCACAAUCCCUGUAGCCGCGGCCUCCCCCCUGGCGGCGGCUACCAAGCUUGUGGGGCCCACGUGGCUCUGCUGCCCCCAAUUCCAGGGCUAUUUAUUCCCUUUCGUCCUGGAAAAAAUCAAGAUAGAAGAUUUCAUCGCGUUUCACGAUCCAGAGGCGCCGCCACAUCCCGUUCUUCAUCUGGAGGGCAGAUCUAGAGUCUGUUUUGGGCUCCGGAUCAAGGAGAUCGUCGCCAUCGUCAUCAUCAACCUUCUUCCCUCUCCAAUUUCAUGAAGCUCUCCGUCGUUCGUGAGUAAUCUAUUCGUAGGCUCGCUGGACGGUGAUGAGUAGGAUGAGAUCUAUCAUGUAAUCGAGUUAGUUUUGACGGGGAUUGAUCCCUAGUAUCCACUAUGUCUUGAGAUUGAUGUUGCUACUACUUUGCCAUGCUUAAUGCUUGUCACUAGGGCCCGAGUGCCAUGAUUUCAGAUCUGAACUUAUUAUGUUGUCACCAAUAUAUGUGUGUUUUAGAUCCGAUCUUGCAAGUUGUAGUUACCUACUAUGUGUUAUGAUCCGGCAACCCCGGAGUGACAAUAACCGGAACCACUCCCGGUGAUGACCAUAGUUUGAGGAGUUCAUGUGUUCACCAAGUGCUAAUGCGUUGGUCCGGUUAUUUAUUAAAAGGAGAACCUUAAUAUCCCGUUGUAUCCUUUUGGACCCCGCUGUCACGGGAGGGAUGGACAAUAGAUGGCAUGCAAGUUCUUUUCCCUAAGCACGUAUGACGACACACGGAAUGCAUGCCUACAUCACAUUGACGAACAGGAGCUAGCCACAUAUCUCUCCGUGUUAUAACUGUUGCAUGAUGAAUGUCAUCAAACAAAUCACCACCCAUUGCCUACGAGUUUGUCCCACUGCUGUUGUUACUUGUUUUGCUCUGCUGCUGUUACUACUGUUGCUGCUACUGUUACUUGCUUUGUCUUGCUGCUGCUGCCACUACUGUUACUUUUUGUUGAUGUUACUUGCUACUGUUGCUACUUGCUACUGCUGUUCCUUGCCACUGUUCUUACUCGUUACACUUCUGCUACCUGCUAUAAUACUUUUCUGGCGCCAUUGAUACAACAGUUAGGAAUAGUCUGCCGUCAACAGAUCGUUUCUGGCACCGUUGUUAUCAUACUACUUUGCUGUUGACACUUUGCUUGCAGAUACUAAUCUUUCAGGUGUGGUUGAAUCUAACACAUUCAGCUGCUAAUACUUGAGAAUAUUCUUUCACUUCCCGUCGCGCGAACCAACAAAUUUGGGUUGAAUACUCUACCCUCAAAAAAUGCCUUGAUCCCACGCGUUGGUGGGCUAUUGCAAGACAAUUUCUAAUUGUUGAGCAAUUGGGAGCAGCUCUUUUCUGACUCCGUUGCCGUGGAGGCAUCAAGUAAGGAAUAGUUGCACAUCAACAGCAUUUUUCUCGCGCGGUUGCCGGGGAAGGAUUGCUAUAUUCUCUGAGUCACUUGGAAUUUAUAUCUGCUGAUCACUAUGAAGAAUCUGAAAGAUCCAAAAACCAAAGUCUUGCCCUCAACCACGAGGGGAGGUAAGGAACUGCCAUCUAGCUCUGCACUUGAUUCACCUUCAAUUAUGAGUAAGUUUGCGACACCACCUCCUGCUAGAAAUCUUGAUAUGUCGCCUAUGCUUGAUGAUGUUUAUGAUGCUACUAUGCCUGAUACUGCUAGAGAUGCUAUGCCUGAUACUGCUAGAGAUGCUAUGCUUGAUACUGCCUUGCCUGAUGAUGUUAUGCUUGAUACUGCUUUGCCUGAUGAUGCUAGAGAUGCUAUUUUUCCUGAUGAUGCUAUGCUUGAUACUGCUAGAGAUACUACUUUGCCUGAUAUGCCACUAGGGGUAUUCCUUGAUGCUCAUAUUGCUAGAGUUACUGCCAAUGCUCGUGAUGCUUCUGAAACUGCCGAUACUAUUGAGAUAGAACCUGCUUUUGCUCCUGCUAGAUCUAGAUCUCCUAGAUAUGAAUUGCUUGAUAUACCUGAGGGUUAUGUUAUGGAGGGAGAGAUAGCUGAGGAUUUUCUUGCGUGUAAGGAUGACUAUGAUGCUGAGAAAUUACUUCUCAAGUGGAAGGAAAAAUCUCUGAAAGCUAGGAUGAAAUACGACCCGAAGUUUGCCACUUCACCUAUCGUUAUCACCGAUAAGGAUUAUGAAAUCUCUGUCGACCCUGAGAUAAUCUCUCUAGUCGAAUCUGAUCCUUUCCAUGGUUAUGAGUCUGAGACGGUCGUAGCCCAUCUUACCAAACUACACGAUAUAGCCACCCUUUUCACUAGUGAGGAGAAGAUUCGCUACUACUAUAUCCUUAAGCUGUUUGCUUUCUCUCUAAAGGAUGACGCUAAAGCCUGGUUCACUUCUCUUGCUCCUGGAUGUGUGAGUAGUCCCCAGGAUAUGGUCUAUUACUUCUGUGAGAAAUAUUUCCCUGCCCAUAAGAAGCAAGCUGCCUUGCAGGAAAUAUACAACUUUGCUCAACUCAAAGAAGAGAGUCUCCCACAAGCUUGGGGGAGGCUCAUCCAGCUACAGAAUGCUUUGCCUGAUCACCCUCUUAAGAAGAACAAGAUACUUGAUAUCUUCUAUAACGGACUUACCGAUGCUUCUAGAGACCACCUAGAUAGUUGUGCCAGUUGUGUUUUUAGGGAACGAACUAUAGAACAAGCUGAGAUUCUACUGAAUAACAUCUUGAUCAUAGAUAAUGCUUGGACUAUUCCCGAACCACCUCCUAAGCCAACUCCUAAGAAAAGAGGUAUUCUAUUCCUGAGUCCCGAAGAUAUGCAAGAAGCCAAGAAAUCUAUGCAAGAGAAAGGCAUUAGAUCUGAAGAUGUCAAAAAUCUACCACCUAUCAAAGAGAUCCAUGGUCUCGAUAACCCGAUACAAGUAGUAGAAGUGAAUUCUCUGCGUAGGUUUGAUGAGAGUGAUAUUCCUUUUGAUAAACCUGCUAGCAUAUGCUUUAAUGAAUUUGACAACUUUGUUGCCAAACAACAGAGUUUCAAUGGUUAUGUUAGCAGACAUUUGGAACAAAGUACUCGUAUCCUUAGUCAUUUAAGUGCUUGUGUAGACAGAAAUGUCAAUGAUCUGAAGCUUCUGAGUAAACAUGCCUCUAUGAUUACUACUCAGGUAGAACAAGUACUUAAAUCUCAGAAUGACUUGCUCAAUGAAUUAAAUGACUACUCUGUCAGAGUCAUUACUAGAGGAGGCAAAAUGACUCAGGAACCUUUGUAUCCUGAAGGCCAUCCUAAGAGAAUUGAUCAAGAUUCUCAAGGAAUUAAUGCUGAUACACCCAGUCAUCCUAAGAAGAAGAUGGAUGAUAGAAACCUACAUGUCAGUACACCAAAUACUGUCACACCUGAAGAACCAAAUGAUAUUUCUCCGUCUGAAGUAGAAACACAAUCUGGUGAUGAAUAUGAACCUGGUGACAAUAUGGACACCGAUGUUCAUAAUAAUGCUCAACCUACAAAUGAUAAGGAUGUGGAGAUUGAACCUACGGUUAAUCCUGAUAACCCACAACCAUCCAAGAAAAAGGAUGAUGAGGAUUUUGAGCACUUUAUUGAAAUGAUAAGACCCAACUUUCUGCAGAUGCGGUUAAUUGAUAUGCUCAAAAUGUCUCUGUAUGCCAAGUACAUGAAAGAUAUCGUGACUAAUAAACAGAAGAUACCAGAUCUUGAUAUCUCCACCAUGCUUGCCAAUUACACUUUCAAAGGUGGAACUCCUAAAAAACUUGGUGAUCCCGGAGUGCCCACUAUACCUUGCUCCAUUAAAGGAAACUACGUAAGAACUGCCUUAUGUGACCUUGGAGCCGGUGUUAGUGUUAUGCCUCUCUCUCUUUAUCAUAGACUUGAACUGGAUAAGUUGACACCCACUGUAAUCUCUCUGCAAAUGGCCGAAAAAUCAACUGCUUUCCCUAUCGGCAUUUGCAAGGAUGUGCGUGUUGUGGUUGCUAACACCACCAUCUUAACAGACUUUGUUAUCUUGGAUAUUCCCGAGGACGAUGCCAUGGCUGUCAUCCUCGGAAGACCCUUUUUAAACACUGCAGGGGCUGUUAUAGAUUGCAACAAAGGCAAUGUCACUUUCCAUGUCAAUGGUAAUGAGCAUACAGUGCACUUUCCGAAGAAACGAUAUCAAGUACAUUGCAUCAAUGCUAUCGAAAAAACUUCAUCGAUUCUUAUUGGGAGCUUUGAAUGCCCUAUUCCUCGUGUCAAGAUGAAGUAUGAUUUGCUUGUUGGGAAUAUACAUAUCCCCAUUGAGGUGACUUAGUGGCUAUUCGACAAUUCUCUGUUUCCUCUUGCGAUUCGAAAAGGUUUUUUCAUGAGGAUUUGAUCAACCCCAUUGACGGAUUUCUUUCGAUGACCAUGAAAUGGAUGAAUCAAGGAGUCACAUACCUCUGUUUUAAGCUUUCACUUUCUGUUGCUUAGAAGAAAAAUGAUAGAUUUACUUUAGUUUUCCUGCUUUCUGUUUUAGCACCCCGGAGAAAAGUACCCCGAAAAUAAAAGUUCUCCGAUGGUCCUAAAAAUCUAGUAUGAUUUUUUCUGGAAUAUUUGAAAAAUACUGGGACUGAGAGCUGGCCUGGGGGCCACACCAGUGGGCCACAAGCCAUGUAGCUGCGGCCCUCCUGGCGGCGGCUACCAAGCUUGUGGGGCCCACAGGGACCCCCCACUCAUUCCAGCUCCCAUCCUCUUCUUCUACCUCUAGAAAAAAUUGUUUCGCAGCUCAAACCCGUGUUCUUGCUCAUUUGGCUGAGAUUUUCGAUCUCCUUGCUCAAAGCACCAUUCUCCGAACCGUUUUGGGGAAAUUACUCCUUGGUAAGUGACUCCUCCAUUGGUCCAAUUAGUCUCUACUCUAGUGAUUUAUCCUUCACGUAUUCUUGCUACCUUGGUGACCCUGUUCUUGAGCUUGAAAUGUUGAUUUUAGCUGGUCCCAAGUAGUUUUAGCGCGUGAUACGAUCUCUAGGCACUAGUAGGAGUAGUUGCUACAAGUUGGGUUAAUCCUUACUCACUUUUCUUUCGAAGUCUCUAAAAAUUUCAGAAUUUUUCAGAGCUAGAAAAAGGAAAAGAUGAGGAGGUUCUUGAGAGGCUCUUCAAGUCGUAACCCCAAGGAGGAUGAGAAGAACCACCCCAAGUACGUGGUUCCUCGAGUCACAGAAGUUCGAGCGUGCGAGUGGCCAAGUGAUGAAUUUUUGCGCGCCGCUAGGCUUUAUGAAGACUUUUAUUACUUGGUGGAGAACGCAGGUCUUACCGCGUCCGUUGAAGAUAAGUGCUCACAAUACCUCCUCCUCACCAAUAUUUUCGUUCAAAGCUUCAACUUUUAUCCGAGGAAGAAUCCUCCCAUGGUUGAGUUCAUGUUAUACGACAUCCCCCAGUGCAUGACACUACAGGAUUUUUGCAAUGUAUGCAAAUUACCUUAUGUUGGGGAUAUUCAUGACCCUCGUCCACGGGACUUGGAGGAUUUCAUAGGUACUAUUGUUGUUGGAGAGGAGAGAGGAGUGUCUCGCGCUAGAAUUUCUAGCAUACAUUUUCCUGUGCUUCGGUACUUCUCAUUAUUUGUGGGAAAAUGUUUGAUUGGCCGUGGGGAGGCUGGAUCACUUAGCUCUCCAGACCUUGCGGUUUUGCGUGAAGGCCUUUAUAACAAUAAGACUUAUAGCCUAGGUGCUAUUGUAGCUCAGCGGUUGAACACAAACCGUUCCAAAGGUGUCGUAUAUGGAGGUAUCUAUGCUACUCGUCUUGCUAGACACUUUGAGAUGCCUAUUAGACUUCGCGAGGAAGAAGAGAUGCUUCUUCCUGAGAAAUAUCUGGAUUAUGACAGCAUGGUUCGCCAUGAUUUUCUGGAUAGAGAUGCUAGUAGACGGAUGAUUUAUAACCCGGUAUUUAGUCAGGGUACUCGAGAGACUAUUACUUUGCAUGCUCCUUCUUUGUUCGAUCUUCAUGCAGGCAGGUACACUAUUAUGCCUCGGACAUCUACGCAUAUUGGGGCUUGGCCCAACCACAGGUGCCCGUGCUCGAGCCGCCAGUCAAGUACCAGACGCCAAUUUAUCAGUGGGAGCCAGAGGAGCUCACACAGCAGUGGCAUCCACAGUCUGCUCCGGAGUAUCCCGGAGCUGGAUAUUUCCCGCCUUGGGAGUAGACCAAGCUAGGCCAAAAGCCUAAGCUUGGGGGAGUAUGUGUUCUCACCGACCUUACAUUCAUGCUUAUGCUUUCACUUUGUUAGCCGGUGUUUACACUUUGCCACUGUAUUAUCCAUGCUAGUUUAUUUUCGUUUUCUUGUUUUCUUGUUUUGUGUCCUUUUGAGAAAACCCAAAAAUAUUUUCCUUUCUUAUUUUGCUUGUUGGGAGCUUUCCCGUGUAAAUAGUUUUCUUUUUCUUUGGGUCAAGGUAGAAGACCAUGGUUACAAUGUUUAGUGGCUCUUGCAUGCAUACCCGUUCAUUUGUUAAAGAGUCGUAUUACUUUGUCUUCUCCUUUGUGUUUGCCUGCAGAUUCCAGCUUUAGUCCAAUGCACGAGCACUCUUAUUAUUGUUCACAUCGUUCGAUCGUGCAAAUGAAAGGCAAUAAUGAUGAUAUAUGAUGAAGUGACUGAGACUGGAAAAGCUGGUAUGAACUCUAUCUAUUUUGUUUUUAUAAAUAUGACUAGCUUGUCGUCCCAGAUUCAGCUUUGUUGUGAGAGAACCAUGUUUGCAAUGACAACUUAGAGAUCAUAGUUUCUGAUGCCAUGCUUAAUUAGCUGAGAGCUUAUAAUGGUUUGUCUUGAAUGCCAACAUAGAUUUUGAGAUGACUAUGAUGUAGUAUGAUAGGAUGGUAUUCUCCUUUGAACGAUUCAAGUGGCUUGACUUGGCGCAUAUUCAUGCAUGUAGUUGAAACAAAAUCAACAUAGCCUCUAUGAUGUUCGUAUUCGUGGUGAUUUAUAUCCUGCUCAUGCUUGCACUCAAUGUUAGUCAAACUCAUUGCAUCUUGAUGACUGUUGUCGCUCUCUAGUUGGUCGCUUCCCAGUCUUUUGCUAGCCUUCACUUGUACUAAGCGGAAUACUUCUUGUGCAUCAACUUCCAUAAACCCAAAAGUUUUUCCACGAGAGUCCACCAUACCUACCUAUUUACGGUAUCUACCUGCCGUUCCAAGUAAAUUUGCAUGUGCCAUUCUCUAAACCUUCAAGAAAUAAUCUGUUUUGCAUGCACGAACCGCUCAUGUGGUGACAGGGGGCUAUUGAUAUCUUCCAUGUUAGGCGUGUUAUCCUCGACAUGUGUUUAUUCACUAUCAUUCACGAGAGAGGGGCCGGUAAUUGGAAUGCCCAGUUCCAUGUUUAAAUCGAAAACAUAACUGUAAAACAAGACUCCCCCCGGAUUGAUGUUAGUAUGGACGGUACCCGAGAAUUUGGCUAGCCGUGGAGUGUGAUUGAUUGGUGGUGGGGGAGUUAAAACUUUACUUUUCUGUUUGGGAACCGCCUAUAGCAUGAGUAGCAUGGAAGAUAUUGAGAACUCUUAGUCAUUGCAUUGACAAUGAAAGAAUGCCACCCAAAAUUAUUAUCUCUGUUUUCAAAGCUUGAGGUCUGGCACCUCUGCAAAUUAAUGCUUCCCUCUGCGAAGGGCCUGUAUAUUUAUUUUCCUGUUGAGUCAUCCUCUUCUUAUAUAAGCACCAAUUAGAGAGCACCUUUGUCAUUUUUAUGCUUUGCUUUUGAUUGAUAUUGAGUAUGACUAUGACUGGAUCUUCGUUGCUAUGAAUUACAAUGUUUAGUCAGCCCUUGAUAUUUGAAAGUGCUCUGCAUUUAUGUUUUGCGGUCUCAGAAAGAGCUAGCGAGAUACCACCUAUUCAUAUUGCUUCAUGCUUGUUUUGAUUGAAUUGUUGGUAUCUGAAACUCAUUAUUAUUUGCUUGCUAGCUGAUUCUGCCAUUGAUAUUAGUUUACCGUGAGACCUAUGUGUCACUUGCUUAUGUGGUUAACUUGUGAUCUUGCUGAAAUUAUGGUUAUGAGUUAGACAUAGUUGCAACAACAAGAUCAAACAGAGUUUGUCAAAGUUUUUCUUUUUCUUUCAGUUUUUCAACUGAGUUGCUUGAGGACAAGCAAGGUUUUAAGCUUGGGGGAGUUGAUACGUCUCCAUCGUAUCUACUUUUCCAAACUCUUUUGCCCUUGUUUUGGACUCUAAUUUGCAUGAUUUGAAUGGAACUAACCGGACUGACGCUGUUUUCAGCAGAAUUGCCAUGGUGUUGUUUUUGUGCAGAAAUGAAAGUUCUCGGAACGUCCUGAAAAUUUACGGAGAAUAUUUCUGGAAAAUAUGAAAAAUACGUGCGCAAAGAUCCACCGGAGGGGACGGGCCAGUGGGCCACAAGCCUUGUAGCCGCGGCCUCCCCCCUGGCGACGGCUACCAAGCUUGUGGGGCCCAUGUGGCUCUGCCGCCCCCAAUUCCAGCGCUAUUUAUCCCCUUUCAUCCCGGAAAAGAUCAAGAGAGAAGAUUUCAUCGCGUUUCACGAUCUAGAGGCGCCGCCACAUCCCGUUCUUCAUCUGGAGGGCAGAUCUGGAGUCCGUUUUGGGCUCCGGAUCAAGGAGAUCAUCGCCAUCGUCAUCAUCAACCUUCUUCCCUCUCCAAUUCCAUGAAGCUCUUCGUCGUUCGUAAGUAAUCUAUUCAUAGGCCCGCUGGGUGGUGAUGAGUAGGAUGAUAUCUAUCAUGUAAUUGAGUUAGUUUUGACGGGGAUUGAUCCCUAGUAUCCACUAUGUUUUGAGAUUGACGUUGCUACUACUUUGCCAUGCUAAAUGCUUGUCACUAGGGACAGAGUGCCAUGAUUUCAGAUCUGAAAUUAUUAUGUUGUCACCAAUAUAUGUGUGUUUUAGAUCCGAUCUUGCAAGUUGUAGUUACCUACUAUGUGUUAUGAUCCGGCAACCCCGGAGUGACAAUAACCGGAACCACUCCCGGUGAUGACCAUAGUUUGAGGAGUUCAUGUGUUCACCAAGUGCUAAUGCGUUGUUCCGGUUCUUUAUUAAAAGGAGAACCUUAAUAUCCCGUAGUAUCCUUUUGGACCCCGCUGCCAUGGGAGGGAUGGACAAUAGAUGGCAUGCAAGUUCUUUUCCCUAAGCACAUAUGAUGACACACGGAAUGCAUGCCUACAUCACAUUUACGAACGGGAGCUAGCCACAUAUCUCUCUGUGUUAUAACUGUUGCAUGAUGAAUGUCAUCCAACAAAUCUCCGACCCAUUGCCUACGAGUUUGUCCCACUGUUGCUAUUAUUUGUUUUGCUCUGCUGUUGUUACUACUGUUGCUGCUACUGUUACUUGUUUCUACUGUUACUUGCUUUGUCCUGCUGCUGCCACUACUGUUACUUGCUGUUGCUGUUACUUGCUACUGUUGCUACUUGCUACUGCUGUCACUAUCGCUGUUCCUUGCCACUGUUGUUACUCGUUACACUGCUGCUACCUGCUACAAUACUUUUCUGGCGCCAUCGAUACAACAUUUAGGAAUAGUCUACCAUCAACAGACCGUUUCUGGCACCGUUGUUAUCAUACUGCUUUGCUGUUGACACUUUGCUUGGAGAUACUAAUCUUUCAGGUGUGGUUGAAUCUGACACAUUCAGCUGCUAAUACUUGAGAAUAUUCUUUCUCUUCCCGUCGCGCGAACCAACAAAUUUGGGUUGAAUACUCUACCCUCGAAAACUGCCUCAAUCCCACACGCUGGUGGGCUAUUGCAAGACUAUUUCUAAUUGUUGAGCAAUUGGGAGCAGCUCUUUUCUGACUCCGUUACCGUGGAGGCAUCAAGUCAGGAAUAGUUGCACGUCAAUAAGGUGGCGGGCCUAGGGUAUCUUCACUACAAGUUUUUCAUCAUGAAGGAUCAGGCUAUGGAUGUGCCCAAGAGCAUGUGCAUCUUCGGUCAAUAGGGUGGACCUAUGUGUUCUAAUAAGGGUGUUAGAUAUUCUCCUUUCUGUCACCGGAUUGCAUUUAUUUUUGUAAUAGCUACUAUAUUCUGCUUUGAAAUAAAACAAACAAUUUCAGCUGUAUAUAUUUUUUCGAGUGGUUAUUUUCUUCAGAAAAUGCUACCUCAAUCCUCCGUGCAAAAACCCGACGGAAAGUUUCGCCAUACUAUGUAGGCUUUAGACUUGCAUAACACCUAGUAGGUCACUUUGGAACUGGAAGCUUGGUCAGCUCGAAGGAAGGUUACUCUACUCAACUAUUGGACUUUCAGGGGGACUUGCUUUGAGUAUAUACAUUGGGAUUUUGUGCUAAUUUUGCUAAUCUAAUUUAUGAUAAGGGUGUACACCUGAAGCUUCACUUAGUUUUAUUCAGUUACAAGCUAGUCUAGGAUCUUUCCUGCGCGCGCACCUUCUCCUCCAUGCUUGUUCCUUCUUGAACUGAAGUCUUCCUCGACGGAAACCCAUCUUCCUCACCCAAAUAAGGCUUCAAAUCUGCAAUGUUUAAAGUGGGACUAAUCCCAAACUCUGCAGGAAGCUCAAGUUUAUAUGCAUUAUCAUUUAUUUUCUCUAACACCUAAAAAACGACCAUCAUCACGUGGCAUUAGCUUUGACUUUUGUAAAUCAGGAAAUCUAUCCUUUCGCAAAUGUAACCAAACAAGAUCUCGAGGUGCAAAGACAACAUGUUUUCUACCCUUAUCUCCAACAAGUUUGUAUUUAGCAUUCAUACGCUCAAUGUUUUCCUUAUGUAACAUCCCAAACUCUAGAAGGUUAUAUUAUUAAAAUUUAAUGAUUGAUUGUUUGAAUGAUUGUUUGAAAUUGAGUGAAAAUUGAAAUUUUUUGGAACUUUUAAAUGAGAGGGAAUAACAUGACUUUCCCCCUUUGUUCUUGCAUUCAAAUUCAUCCAUUUCAAAUCAUUGAGACAAGAUGACAUGACUUCUUCAAAAUAAAAGAUUUGAAAUUUUGGAUUUGAAAACUACUCAUAUUUUCCAUUUGGAAUUUAUUUCAUAAUGAGUUCUAUUUCUAUUUUAAAUUUGAAUGAAUUCAAACUUCCUUGCCAAAAUUCAAAAAAUUCUUGAGAGGAGAAAUUUGACACUCCAAACGAGGGGAAAGAUUGAAUUAUAUUUGAAUUUAAAAUGCUCAGAAAUUGUUUGGAAAAUAUUUCAUAUUGGGUUUCCAAGCCAUUCUUUAAGUGGUUUUCAAAAUUAUUUUCCUCCAAAAAUAAAAUACUUGGAAAAUAGGUUAAAAUGAUUCCCUUCAAUAUAAAAAUGGAGAAAAAUGAAUUUGCAAUCAUUUUGGUAUUUUUGAAAAUAUUGUAUUACAUUUUAAACUCAAUAGUAGCACUAUUUGAAUUAUUUGAAUCGGUCAGAAUUUUGUUUGAACUUGACAAUAUGUUCAUGUUGUAGGAAAUCUUUUUCCUGUCAUUUGGUAUACUAUAUGCCUAUAUGUGGUUUCCAUUUAUUUUCAUUUUAUUUAUUUUAUGUCUUUGUUUGAAAAUAUAAAGAAAAGGGUUUUCUGUUAAAACAAAAGGGUGAAGCCCAACAGAGCGCCCGAGGCCGAGGUCGUCGACAACCCACCUUUCGCCCACGCCUGAAAUGGCAAGCGUCCGGCCGACGAUCCCCUCGGGAAUCCUCUUCCUCUCACUAAUAUGAGGGCCCAGCCGACCGUUCCCGAGAUCCUCAUGGUCACCUUCCUCCCACGCUCCCCUUUCCUUCCAGUUGUCGGCGUCGCCGCGAUCCGUCGAUCCUCUACCAUUUAGACUCGCCCUCCUUCAUGCAAGGCCCCCAAUAAAUACCCCACCUCCCGCACUCAUUCCUCGCCCGAAGCCCUCUCUCUUACUCCCCAGCGCCCACACAAUCCCUCGCCAGAGUUAGCCACGGUUGCCUCGCCAUUACCAUGCCACCACUCCCCCUAGCCCUCCCCAACGAAUGUAGACACCUCCAUUCGCUUCGCCACUCUUGUUUGUACCUCCCCAUGCACUCGCGCGAGCUACAGAAUGAGGGAAGCUAAUCCCCCCCGACAACCACCGAAUGUCGUCGUCACUACCACGCUCGCCGCCGUCACUCCCGUACACCCCGAACUCCACAUGGACCACCAGAAGAACCGCCUUGCUUGUCCGCGUCGUUGGAGUCGUCCUCGACGUCGUAGGACCAUCGGAGCACCGCCCCGCAUUGCCUCACCGCCUCGGACAUUGUCGAAGCCUCGCCGGAGACCUCCACCAUCGCGGUAAGUCACCAGCACCAUCCUCGCCCGUCCGAUCUAGCAUCUACGGUGUAAAUUAGAUCAAGCGUACCCCUUCGGUUUAUUUAAAGAACCGGUCGGUUUUUCUUUGUUUAUUUAGACCAAAGGGUUUUCCUCCAACGUGCGGUUGUCCGCUAUUUUACACCGCGCGUGCACACCAGUAAGCCUACCAGAGCGCGCCACGUAGCCCCUGUCCGUUUAUUAGGACUUUUUCUUUUUGUGUUUGAGUUUCUUUACACAAUUAGUUCAAUUUUUAGAUUUCUUAUAUCGUUUAUGUUUUUAAGUUAUUCCUUUUCCAUUAGUUCACGAAUUUGUUUUAGUUUCUGUUAGUGCAAUUAGAUUUCAAAUUGUAUAGUUUUAAAUUUGAAUUCAAACAAAUUUUCUUCAAGCCUUCUUUUGUGGAUAACUUGAGUUUAAAAAUAGGUAUUUAGCUCAUUCUUUUUGCUACUCGUCACUUCUGACUUUAGUUAUCAUUGUGUAUAAUUUGAGGAAUUUUAGUAUAUUUUAAAUUAAGGUUGUAAGAAAACAGAAUUGUUUUAGUUCAUUUUGGGUUUAUUGUUAUUUCUUUUUAUUAUUGUUAUGCGAUCUUUAGAAGACCUAACCCGUGAUGAAUAGUCAUGUUAGAUGCGAAGAUUUGUGAGUUGUCCCUUGUGUGUCCGCUUUUCCGACAGCAAACAAAUAAAAUAUUUUUCAAAACUAUAUUGUUUGUAUGGUUAUAUUUCUCCCUCUCUCUCCAACCUUGCCUCAUUGCUGCUAAACCCAUCAGAUGCCGCCGAGAUGGAACAACACCAGGAAUAGCUCAAGGAACAAUGGACUUAGCAUAGAACAGUUACUCCAGACCCAGAACCAAAUGUUGCAACUCUUGAUGCAGAACGAGAAUGAGAACAACAACAAUAACCCGCCACCCCAAGUUGAUAACCUUACCCGCUUUCUAAAGUUGAACCCACCAGUGUUCUCUAGCAGCAUAGAGCCAAUUGUGAUAGAGGACUGGCUCCGCAAGAUAGGAAGAGAGCUGGCCACUGUAGGAUGCACAGACAGAGAGAAGGAGAUGAUUGUUGCUCACCAGUUGGAUGGACCAGCAGCUUCCUGGUGGGAGAAUUACACUGCUACAUACCCCAUGACGAAUGUAACUUGGGAUCGGCUCCAACAAGCUUUUCGCAUCGCACAUGUUACAGGUGGAGCCAUGAUUCUGAAGAAGGAGUUCCACAACCCACGCCAAGGAAGCCAUGCAGUAGCACGGUAUGUGGAUGAGUUAUGCCAGCUACCCCGCUAUGCUCCACGAGACAUAGCGACAGAUGUCGCUAAAUAUGAGAAGUUUCUGGAGGGACUGAAUUAUGAGCUGGGAAUGCAGUUGACCAUGGCUACUUUUAAUAACUAUCAAGAAUUGGUAGACAAGGCUAUCAUUCUUGAAGGCCAGCAAAUGCAGACGGAGAACCGCAAGAGAAAGUACGAACAAGGUAUAACUCUAGAGUUCAGGAGGAGCCCCGCUACACCCCGUACCUAGGAAAUUCUGGAUCAGGACCCGUGAAGUUUGGAGGACCCAAUCAUGAGAACCAUUGAGGUCAUUCUCAUCACAGAAGCAUUGGAUACCACCCUAAUGGCCGCAAGCAUGAAAAUGAAACUGGAGGAAUUGGAAAACAACGUCAUCCCAACCCAGCUGCACCAACAAAGAAAGAUAAGAGUCAUAUUACCUGUUUUGAGUGCACGAAAACGGGACAUUGUGCCAAUGAUUGUCCAGAAGAUAAGCAGAAGCCCGGAGAAUUGUUGGAACUUAACUGCUUUCUUUGUGAUGCUGUGGGGAAUUAUGCCAUUGACUGUCGAGACCCAAAGAAUGUUGGAUCUGAGUAGUUGAGAUCAUAAUGUUGGCAAUAAGUGUAAUAGGUGACACUCUCGUUUUCAUGAGAUUAUGGAGUUGAAUGUUGUAACAAAAGUUUAAGACAUUGUAAUAACUUAAUGAAUCAAUAGAAUUUAUUUUUUCAUGACUUCUUGUGUCGAAUUAUAUCAGUUGUUACUCUAUAAACAAAGAUCUCUGGCCAUUUUCGAGGAUAUGAGAAAAUACGAUCUUCACAUGCAUGUGUACAUUUCAUUUUAAGUGUGGUAGUAAUCGGUAAAACCAUAGGAAUCCAAGGAAAAAAUAAUGUACCAUAUAUGCCAAGGAGUCUGGACCAAUCAAUACAUCUGAAGCUCAUACUGGACCAUAUCAAACUGUGUGGAUGACAACAUUUGUAAUAAAGUGCUUUUGGGGAACGUGGUACAGGAAACAAAAAAAUUCCACGCAGACGCAAUACCUAUCAUGGUGAUGUCCAUCUACGAGAGGGGAUUUCCGAUCUACGUACCCUUGUAGAUCACACAACAGGAGGCGUUAAGAAAGGCGGUUGAUGUAGUGGAACGUCCUCACAUCCCUUGAUCCGCCCCACGAACCGUCCCACGAACCGUCCCGCGAUCCGUCCCACGAUCCGCUCCGAUCUGUGCCGAACGGACGGCACCUCCGCAUUCAGCACACGUACAGCGCGACAAUGAUCUCGGCCUUCUUGAUCCAGCAAGAGAUACAGAGAGGUAGAUGAGUUCUCCGGCAGCGUGACGGUGCUCCGGAGGUUGGUGGUGAUCUAUCCCAGCAGGGCUUCGCCCGAGCUCCGUGGAAAUACGAUCUAGAGGAACAACCAUGGAGGUAUGUGGUCGGACUCUCGUGGCAAAGUUGUCUCAAAUCAGCCCUAAUACCUCAGUAUAUAUAGGAGGGAGGGGGAGGGCCUUUCCUUGAGGCUCAAGGGAGCCCCAAGGGGUCGGCCGCACCAAGUGGAGAAGUCCUCCUCCUCCAAUCCUAGUCCAACUAGGAUUGGAAGGUGGAGUCCUUCCCUUCCUUCCCACUUCCCCUUUUUUCCAUUUGACUUCUUUAUCUCCUGCACAUAGGGCCUCUUGGGCUGUCCCACCAGCCCACUAAGGGCUGGUACGACACCCAUAAGGCCUAUGGGCUUUCCCCGGGUGGGCUGCCCCCCCCCCCCCCGGUGAACAUCCGGAACCCAUUCGUCACUCCCGGUACAUUCCAGGUAAUGCCCGAAAACUUUCCGGUAAUCAAAUGAGGUCAUCCUAUCUAUCAAUCUUCAUCUCCGGACCAUUCCGGAAACUCUCGUGACGUCCGUGAUCUCAUACGGGACUCCGAACAACAUUCGGUAACCAACCAUAUAACUCAAAUACACAUAAAACAUCGUCGAACCUUAAGUGUGCAGACCCUGCGGGUUCGAGAACUAUGUAGACAUGACCCGAGGGACUCCUCGCUCAAUAUCCAAUAGCGGGACCUGGAUUCCCAUAUUGGAUCCUACAUAUUCUACGAAGAUCUUAUCGAUGGAACCUCAGUGCCAAGGAUUCAUAUAAUGCCGUAUGUCAUUCCCUUUGUCCUUCGGUAUGUUACUUGCCCGAGAUUCGAUCGUCAGUAUCCGCAUACCUAUUUCAAUCUCGUUUACCGGCAAGUCUCUUCACUCGUUCCGUAAUACAAGAUCCCGUGACUUACACUAAGUCACAUUGCUUGCAAGACUUGUGUGUGAUGUUGUAUUACCGAGGGGGCCCCGAGAUACCUCUCCGUCACACGGAGUGACAAAUCCCAGUCUUGAUCCAUACUAACUCAACGGACACCUUCGAAGAUACCUGUAGAGCAUCUUUAUAGUCACCCAGUUACGUUGUGACGUUUGAUACACACAAGGCAUUCCUCCGGUGUCAGUGAGUUAUAUGAUCUCAUGGUCAUAGGAAUAAAUACUUGACACGCAAAAAACAGUAGCAACAAAAUGACACGAUCAACAUGCUACGUUCACUAGUUUGGGUCUAGUCCAUCACAUGAUUCACUCAACGAUGUGAUCCAGUUAUCAAGCAACAACAACACCUUGUACAUAGUCAGACGACCUUGACUAUCCUUGAUCAACUGGCUAGCCAACUAGAGGCUUGCUAGGGACAGUGUUUUGUCUAUGUAUCCACACAUCUAUCUAAGUCUUCAUUCAAUAUAAUUAUAGCAUGGAUAAUAAACUAUUAUUUUGAUACAGGAAUUAUAAUAAUAACUUUAUUUAUCAUUGCCUCUAGGGCAUAAUUCCAACAGUCUCCCACUUGCACUAGAGUCAAUAAUCUAGUCCUCACAUCGUCUUGCGAAUUACAUUGUAAUAAGUCUAACACCCAUACAGUUCUGGUGUUGAUCAUGCUUUGCCCGUGGAAGAGGUUUGGUCAGCGGGUCUGCCACAUUCAGAUCCGUGUGUACUUUGCAGAUAUUCACGUCCUCCUCCUCGACGUAGUCACGGAUGAGGUUGAAGCGUCGUUUGAUGUGUCUGGUCUUCUUGUGAAACCGUGGUUCCUAUGCUAAGGCAAUGGCACCCGUGUUGUCACAAAACAGGGUUAUUGGAUUCAGUGUGCUCGGCACCACUCCAAGAUCCAUCAUGAACUGCUUCAUCCAGACACCCUCCUUAGCUGCAUCCGAGGCAACCAUGUACUCUGCUUCACAUGUAGAAUCAGCUACGACGCUUUGCUUGGAACUGCACCAGCUUACCGCACCCCCAUUAAGAAUAAAUACAUAUUCGGUCUGCGACUUAGAGUCGUCCGGAUCUGUGUCAAAGCUUGCAUCGACGUAACCUUUUACGGCGAGCUCUUUGUCACCUCCAUAUACGAGAAAGAUCUCCUUAGUCCUUUUCAGGUACUUCAGGAUAUUCUUGACCGCCGUCUAGUGAUCCACUCCUGGAUUACUCCGGAACCUGCCUGCAAUAUUUAUGGCCAUGCUAAUGUCUGGUCUAGUGCACAUCAUUGCAUACAUGAUAGAACCUAUGGCUGAAGCAUAGGGGACGGUACUCAUAUGCUCUCUAUAUUUAUCAGUUGCUGGGCACUGAGUCUUACUCAAUCUCGUACCUUGUAAAACUGGCAAGAACCCCUUCUUGGACUGUUCCAUUUUGAAACUCUUUAAAACUUUAUCAAGGUACGUGCUUUGCGAAAGUCCUAUCAGGCGUUUUGAUCUAUCCCUAUUGAUCUUUAUGCCUAGAAUGUAAGCAUCUUCUCCUAGGUCCUUCGUAGAGAAACUUUUAUUUAAGUAAUCCUUUAUGCUCUCCAAAAGCUCCAUGUCGUUUCCAAUCAAUAAUAUGUCAUCCACAUAUAGUAUUAGGAACGCCACAGAGUCCCACUCACUUUCUUGUAAAUACAGGAUUCUCCAACCACCUGUAUAAACCCAAAUGCUUUGAUCACCUCAUCAAAGCGUUUAUUCCAACUCCAAGAUGCUUGCACCAGUCCAUAAAUGGAUUGCUGGAGCUUGCACACUUUGUUAGCAUUUUUAGGAUCGACAAAACCUUCGGGUUGCAUCAUAUACAACUCUUCCUUAAGGAAACCGUUAAGGAACGCCGUUUUGACAUCCAUCUGCCAGAUUUCAUAAUCGAAAAAUGCAGCUAUCGCUAACAUGAUUCGGACAGACUUAAGCAUCGCUACGGGUGAGUAUGUCUCAUCGUAGUCAAUUCCUUGAACUUGUGAAAAACCCUUUGCCACAAGUCGAGCUUUAUAAACGGUCACAUUACCGUCAGCGUCCAUCUUCUUCUUAAAGAUCCAUUUGUUCUGAAUAGCCUUGCGGCCUUCAGGUAGUACUUCCAAAGUCCACACUUUGUUUUCAUACAUAGAUCCUAUCUCGGACUUCAUGGCCUCCAGCCAUUUGUUGGAAUCCGGGCCCACCAUUGCUUCUUCAUAAUUCGCAGGCUCAUUGUUGUCCAACAACAUAAUUGAUAAGAGGGGAUUACCGUACCACUCUGGAGCAGUACGCGGUCUCGUCGACCUGCGAGGUCCUACAGUAACUUGAUCCGGAGUUUCAUGAUCAUCGUCAUUAACUUCCUCCUCAACCGGCGUCGCAACGACAGGGGUUUCCCCUUGCCCUGCGCCACCAUCUAGAGGGAUGAUAGGUUCGACAACCUCAUCAAGUUCUAUCUUCCUCCCACUCAAUUCUCUCGAGAGAAACUCCUUCUCGAGAAAAGCUUCGUUCUUAGCAACAAACACUAUGCCCUCGGAUUUGAGAUAGAAGGUAUACCCAAUUGUCUCUUUUGGGUAACCUAUGAAGACGCACUUUUCCGCUUUGGGUUACAGUUUUUCAGGCUGAUGCUUUUUGACAUAAGCAUCACAUCCCCAAACUUUAAGAAACGACAACUUUGGUCUUUUGCCAUACCACAGCUGAUAUGGUGUCGUCUCAACGGAUUUCGAUGGUGCCCUAUUUAAAGUGAAUGCAGUUGUUUCUAAUGCAUAACCCCAAAACGAUAACGGCAAAUCGGUAAGGGACAUCAUAGAUCACACCAUCUCUAAUAAAGUACGAUUACAACGUUCGGACACACCAUUACGAUGUGUGUUCCACGCGGUGUCAACUGUGAAACAAUUCCACAUUGUCUUAAGUGAGCACCAAACUCGAAACUCAGAUAUUCACCCCCACGAUCAGACCGUAGGAACUUGAUCUUCUUGUUACGAUGAUUUUCGACUUCACUCUGAAAUUGUUUGAACUUUUCAAAUGUUUCAGACUUGUGUUUCAUCAAGUAGACAUAACCAUAUCUACUCAAAUCGUCAGUGAAGGUGAGAAAAUAACGAUAUCCGCCGCGUGCCUCCACACUCAUCGGACCACACACAUCGGUAUGUAUGAUUUCCAACAAGUCACUUGCACGCUCCAUUGUUCCGAAGAACGGAGUUUUAGUCAUCUUGCCCAUGAGGCAUGGUUCGCACGUGUCAAGUGAAUCAAAAUCGGUAUGGAGUUUCUUCAUGCGCUUUACACCAAUAUGACCUAAGCGGCAGUGCCAUAAAAACAUGGCGCUAUCAUUGUUAACUCUAACUCUUUUGGUCUCAAUGUUAUGUAUAUGUGUAUUAUCACUAUCAAGAUUCAAUAUGAACAAUCCUCUUACAUUGGGUGCAUGACCAUAAAAGAUAUUACUCAUAGAAAUAGAACAACCAUUAUUCUCUGACUUAAACGAGUAACCGUCUCGCAAUAAACAAGAUCCAGAUAUAAUGUUCAUGCUUAACGCAGGCACUAAAUAACAUUUAUUUAAGUUCAUAACUAAUCCUGAUGGUAACUGAACUGAAACUGUGCCGACGGCGAUUGCAUCAACCUUGGAACCAUUUCCCAUGCGCAUCGUCACUUCAUCCUUCGCCAGCCUUCGCUUAUUCCGCAUUUCCUGUUUCGAGUUGCAAAUAUGAUCAACAUAACCGGUAUCGAAUACCCACGCACUACUACGAGAGCUGGUUAAGUACACAUCAAUAACAUGUAUAUCGAAUAUACCUGAAUUUUCUUUGGCCGCCUUCUUAUCAGCCAGAUACUUGGGGCAGUUGCGCUUCCAGUGACCCAUACCCUUGCAAUAAUAGCACUCCGUUUUAGGCUUAGGUCCAGCUUUGGGUUUCUUCGUCGAAUUCGCAACAGGCUUGCCGCUCUUCUUUGAGUUAUCCUUCUUUCCUUUGCCUUUUCUCUUGAAACUAGUGGUCUUAUUCACCAUCAACACUUGAUGCUCUUUACGGAGUUCUGACUCUGCGACUUUCAGCAUCGUGAAUAACUCAUCGGGUGACUUGUUCAUCCCUUGCAUGUUAUAGUUCAACACAAAGCCCUUAUAGCUUGGUAGCAGUGAUUGAAGAAUUUUGUCAGUGAUAGCCUCUUGCGGGAGUUCAAUCCCUAGCUUAGCUAGACAGUUUGAGUACCCACACAUUUUGAGCACAUGUUCACUGACACACGAAUUCUCCUCCAUCUUGCAAGCAUAGAAUUUAUCGAAGGUCUCAUACCUCUCGAUCGGGGCAUUCUUCUGAAACAUAAACUUCAACUCCUAGAACAUCUCAUAUGCUCCAUGAUGCUCAAAGCAACGUUGAAGUCCCGGCUCUAAGCCAUACAAGACUGCACAUUGAACUACUGAGUAGUCCUCCUUGCAUGUUAACCAAGCGUUCUUAACAUCUUGGUCAGCCGCGGCAGGUGGUUCAUCUCCUAGUGCAGCAUUAAGGACAUAAUCCUUCUUCCCAGCUUGCAGGAGCAACUUAAGAUUACGAGCCCAGUCUACAAAGUUGCUUCCAUCAUCUUUCAACUUAGCUUUCUCUAGGAACGUAUUAAAAUUUAGGGUGACUGACGCGUGAGACAUUGAUCUAGAACACAAAUAUUAGAGUUUAACUAAUCAAAUUACUUGCUAAACUCCCACUCAAAAAGUGCAUAUCGACGAAACUCCACGUUUAAUUAUUUAAUUCACUCCCGUUAAUUAUCACGUCAAUAUUACAUUGUUGUUAUCAUGGCAAGGGUGAAGCGAUGGUCCUACAAGUCAUCCUCGACGGUUAACUCGCGGAGCAAAGAACGGACGCUACGGCACAAGAGACAUGCAACACAAGAAAUAUUAUGCCAUGAAUGCGACAUGCAUGCAAGUUACAACACGGGCAAGAAGGGAAAGAAACAGGUGUCGCCACGGCGAGCGAGAGGGAACCAUGGCGGCAAAUCGGAAACGAUGCCACGGCAAUGUUCCUAUCCCGAUAACUCGUCGAGAUAUCGUGCCAACAUACUGGAAGCGUGUGCGGGAACGUUAAAUAAAGAUGGGGUGAUCCCGUAUCUCAGGUUCCCAUGUGUCGGGCACAACAUAGAGGGACAACGUGCAACGUCAAACAUACGGUGCAAUCAUACAUUACAUCUCAUACAUCACAUGCACAUGGUCACGAAACGUCUCAUCGGUAUACCUUUGACACAUGCAUAUCGGAGCGGUUCGGUUCGGUUCGGAGACCAACGGUCGUCGUGGAAGUAGUCGUACACGGUCUCGUCGACGGUAGUCGUUCGCUCGGCGUCGGAAAACGGUCUUCGGCGUCGGUAGUCGUUCGCGAAUCCGUAGAUGUCCGGGGGUCGUCGAGGACGUCGUGGUACUCGGCGAACUCAAUGUCGGUGACUCACGGCAGGCAGGGAUGGUGCACGCGGCGACAACANNNNNNNNNNNNNNNNNNNNNNNNNNNNNNNNNNNNNNNNNNNNNNNNNNNNNNNNNNNNNNNNNNNNNNNNNNNNNNNNNNNNNNNNNNNNNNNNNNNNUAUAGGAGACGCCACGCUCUCCGUCGUCUGGCUCGGGCCCGCCCAACCCCCCGAUAGUUUUAGCGGUUUCUUUGUGGUUGUUUGAUUAGAUAGGUUUGUUCAAUAUGUUGGUAUGUUAUUUUGGUCUAAUAUGAUGUGUUGUAGAUUUUAUUUAAUAAUUUAGUGUAUCAUAUGAUGUGGGCCAUGGCGUCUGGUCCCACCCAAACGCCAGGCACCCUCGCGCGUUCCUCGAAUCACUUACCUACCCAUCUUUCUCCCCCACCUCCUAUUUCUGCAUCACCCCCACCCCUCUCACCCCCCCCCCCCCCCCCCCCCCCCCCCCCCCUUGAUCUACUCCCUCCUCCAUCAAAAUCCUUAUAUCAGAGCCCCCCAAGCUUACUUGAGGUAAUCUCCCCCGAUCCCUCCAAUUUUUUUUUGUUUCAACAUCUUAUUUUGAGAGUAUUUUUGAAUAUUAGGUUAUGUUAGAUAAAUAGGUUACUUGAUAGUUUUAGCGGUUUCUUUGUGGUUGUUUGAUUAGAUAGGUUUGUUCAAUAUGUUGGUAUGUUAUUUUGGUCUAAUAUGAUGUGUUGUAGAUUUUAUUUAAUAAUUUCGUCUAUGANNNNNNNNNNNNNNNNNNNNNNNNNNNNNNNNNNNNNNNNNNNNNNNNNNNNNNNNNNNNNNNNNNNNNNNNNNNNNNNNNNNNNNNNNNNNNNNNNNNNUCUAGCAGGCAAAAGCUAGCAAAAAUCUACCUAGCAGCAGCAAAGCAAGCAAUCAACUAGCAGCAACACGCAAGCAAGCAUAGCGCAGGCAAGCAAGCUAGCAAAGCAAGCUUGCUAAGCGGCAUGCAAUAGCAGCUAACAGCAAAAGCUACCAACAACUACUAGCUAGCAAAGCAGCAGCAUCUACAGCAGCCUAACAGCAAAAGCUACGGCAACACAGCUAUGGCAACGACAAACUAGCAACCGGCUCGACAGGCUACGCAGCAGCACGCGGCAACAGCAACAAGAUCCUAUCGGCACAGCAAGCAGCAGCACGGGACAGCAACAGCAAACGCACGCACAACAACUACCUAGCGGCGGCAGGCACACCUAGCAGCAGCUAAGCUAGCUAGCUGCGGCAGCACAAGCAGCAGGACAACGGCACGCAUCGGCUAGCCAGCGCGCCGACAACAACAACGACAGCGGCAAGCAGGCACAUCUAGCAGCACAGCACACAGUAGCAACAACACACUGCAGCGGCGGCUCGGCAUAGGACGGCUCGGGCUUGUCUUCUGCAGAGAAGGCGGCCACAGUUCCUGCAGCAGCAACAGCAACAGGAGGCGAGCGAGCCACGAGGAACGAGGAGGCCACAGCGCGGCAAGACGAUGGGGCGAGCAACCGGCGGGGUACCAUGGAGAGGCGAGCACGGCGGGGCGCCAUGGGGAGUGGCGGAGACCUAGGUGGUAGUGGCGCCGGCCUUGGCCUCUCUGGUGGCUCGGUCGCAGCAGGCAGCACGGCCUCGGGACAAGAGGGAGGAAGGAACGGGGCUGGCGAGCUCGCGAGGCGGCGCACUGGCGAAGGACCUCGGCACAGGGGCGAGCCGGUGGCGGGGGGGAAGGCCAAGGGCGGCUUGGCGCUGGGCAUCUCGCAGGCGGGGCGGUGGCAGGAGGAGAGGAAGGAGGGAUCGGGACGGGCUACACAGGGGAGAAACGGGGAGAGAAGGGGAUCGAGAGGAGGGGGAUGAUGCGCCGGGGAGGACGAGAUCGGGCAAGGGUGAUCUCUAUGGCACGGGGAGGAGGCCUGGGCCUUGGCCGGCUUGGCCUCUCCCUCUCCCUAUUGUUUUUUUAAACUCUUGAAACAGAAAUUUUUAAAGAAAGAAAGGCUUAUAACAAAAAUAAAAUAUGAUAAAUGUCUUUGACCCCUUUUUGAAAAAAAUAUUCCCAACUAUAAGAAAUAGUGGGCAUUUUUAAAAGAAAAAAUACAAACCCUUUUUGAAGAAUUAAAAAUUGAAACCAUUUUUAAAAAAGAAUAAAAUAAACCUCUUUUAUUUAAAGAAUAAAAUAAAAAGCUUUAAAAGAGAAAAGAAAAUGAUACGGAUUUAAAAUAAAACAAAAGGAGGAAAAAAGAAACCCAAGGGGUUGCCCCCACACUUAAUAAAAGGGGUUUUAAAAGAAGACGCUUUUUUUAAAAGGGUUAAAACGGAAACUUUACACAACCCCAAAACAAAAUCAAAGAGAAGAGAGGAGGGGAGUGGUUCGCGGUGAAAUGGGGCUUAGCGGUGGCUCUCACGCACACACUCUCAUCAUGCCAACAAACGACGUCACACUCACAAAGCACUAACACCCAACAACACAGUAACAAGCAACACCGACAACUAACACGGAUGACAUGAUGCCAUGCAUGAUGCGAUGAUGCAAACUAAAUGAAGAUGCAACAAAUAAAACUAACCACACGACGGAAACAGAAAUAAAGGGGAAUCUUCUGGGAUGUCGUUCUCGGGCUGUCACAACUCUCCUACACUACAAGAGGAUCUCGCCUCGAGAUCCAAGAAUGAAAGGGGGAGAGGAUGAGAAAGAACAAGAGGUAAAAACUUAGUCGCUUCUUUGACAAAUGAGUGAAACCAACGAUCCUUGAAGGUUACAAAGAGAUAAUGAUAUGAGAAACAAGCAAGAAUUCACGGAAAAUUUCGACAGCACUUCGGUAGGAAAAUGGGACAAAAAAUUCGAUAAGAUGGAAGAAAUAGACAAUAUUCACAACAAACAAGUAAAUAGAACAAGGCAACACCAUGAUCUUGAUAGAACAACAUAAUAGACCCAAAAGAGCAACAUUACAAUGCCUCCGGAACAAUAGAAUAGGAACUAGCUCAUACGGAAGAAGAGAAUGAAGAGAGAAUGACAACUACUACUCCAAUGAACUUGGCAAGCAACCUUGCAAGAAGAAUUGGACGUAGUUGUUGGAAAAAAAAAACAACGAAAAGAACAAGAUAGUAGUGGGCUUAUGGAAACCUUCCAAACUAAUGAAGUGACAACCAGCCACUAACAGAAUUAAGGAUUGCUUGGGAGCAACAAGAAAUGGACACUUCUUACACCAAGAGGGUACAUUGAGAACUAGGAUUAAUGACAAGCACCAUGAUAGCAUAAUCCAUAGGAAAAGCUUUAGGUGAAAACCAAAGCAAGAUAGCUCAAUGAAGAAAUCAUGGGUAGAAAUAUCUCAUGAUCAUAGAAUUGGUGGUUUAAUUAUCUCAUUCUUGAGAGGAAAUCUCUUCGAGGCUCCUACACUAACAAGAAUGCUAUAAUACCACCUCAAAGGAUAAAGGAAGAACAAUUGCACAUAUAAAUGCAAGAGAAAGGAUACUUGAGGUUCUCCAACAAGAAUCUUGAAGAACACUUGAGAAUGGAUUGAAACCUUGAUGAACCACCAUGAAGGACCUCCGUAUAAAAAUGAAUGAAGCAAAGAUAUGAAGGUAGAAAAUAAUAAUAUUAUGACCUUGCCAAGAUUUAGNNNNNNNNNNNNNNNNNNNNNNNNNNNNNNNNNNNNNNNNNNNNNNNNNNNNNNNNNNNNNNNNNNNNNNNNNNNNNNNNNNNNNNNNNNNNNNNNNNNNCGGCAGCCCGACCACAUAUCUCCACGGUUUUACCUCUAGAUCGCGUUUCUGCAAAGCUCGGGCGGAGCCCUGCCGAGACAAGAUCAUCACCAACCUCCGGAGUGUCGUCACGCUGCCGGAGAACUCUUCUACAUCUCUGUCUCUCUUGCUGGAUCAAGAAGGCCGAGAUCAUCGUCGAGCUGUACGUGUGCUGAACGCGGAGGUGCCGUCCGUUCGGCACUAGAUCAUGGGACUGAUCGCGGGACGAUUCGCGGGGCGGAUCGAGGGACGUGAGGACGUUCCACUACAUCAACCGUGUUCACUAACGCUUCUGUUGUACGGUCUACAAGGGUACGUAGAUCACACAUCCCCUCUCAUAGAUGGACAUCACCAUGAUAGGUCUUCGUGCGCGUAGGAAAAUUUUUGUUUCCCAUGCGACGUUCCCCAACAGUUCGGUGACCGCCCUCAAGGGUCCCUUAGUGGAAUCACGACAUCUUGCAUUGUGCGAGGGCGUGAGGAGAUUAUGGUGGCCUUAGUUGCAUCUUGGGGAGCAUUGUGCCUCUACACCGCUCCAACGGAGAUUAGCAUCCGCAAGGGUGUGAACUUCGGGAUACAUCAUCGUCUCCGUGUGCCUCGGUUAUCUCUUACCCGAACCCUUUACUUAUGCACUUUACUUUGUGAUAGCCAUGUUUCUUGUCAUAUAUCUUGCUAUCACUUAGUUGUUUAUCUUGCUUAGCAUAAGUUAUUGGUGCACAUAGUUGAGCCUAGUUGUUUUAGGUUUUGUGCUUGACAAAUUAAACGUUAAUUUUAUUCCGCAUUUGUUCAAGCCUAAACCGUAAUUAUUUUAAAGCGCCUAUUCACCCCCCCCCUCUAGGCAACAUCCACGUCCUUUCACACUGCACCAGUUGCGUUGACAGGCCAACGCACCCUUGAUCAGUUAAACGCUCUCGAGCCUGAUCCUUUGCGUCCAGGGUAUAUCAAAGGGUAUAAUACGAAACACGCCUGAACUCACAAGUCAUGCUUAUGGGAUCUGCCUUACUUCAAAGACCUCCUUUGCCCACACAACAUAGACGUGAUGCACACUGAAAAGAAUAUUGCGGAGGCCAUUUUUGGUAUAUUGUUCGGCAUAGAGGGGAAGUCAAAGGAUAAUCCUAAGGCUAGAAUCGACCAGGAGGCUCUAUGUGAUAGACCGUUACAAAACUUGCGACAACGGGAAGGAAAGCAAAGCAUAGCGAAGCCAAAGGCAUGGUUCAAUCUUGAAAGGCCAGCUAUGAGGGAAAUGCUAUUGUGGGUGAAAAUGCAGUUGAUGUUCCCCGAUGGGUAUGUUGCGAAUCUAAAGAGGGGAGCGAGUCUUGAGAAACUGAAAAUAUUUGGUCUCAAGAGUCAUGAUUGACACAUAUGGAUUGAGCGGGUAAUGCCGGUGAUGUUGCGUGGAUUUAUCCGUGAGGAUAAAUGGCUAGUACUCGCAGAGCUGAGCUAUUUCUUCCAUUCUCUUUGUGCGAAAGAACUAUCGCCUGGUGUGCUAGAUGAAAUGGAAGAGUUGGUGGCGGAGUUGAUCUGCAAAUUAGAAAAGAUCUUUCCACCGGGCUUCUUGAAUCCAAUGCAGCAUUUGAUUUUGCAUGUCCCGACCGAGGCAAGAUUGGGGGGCCCGUUCAAAAUAGAUGGUGCUUCUCACGUGAGAGGAUGCAGAAGACGCUUCGAGCUAAAUGUAAAAAUAAAUGUAGAAUUGAAGCAUCGAUGGCCGAGGCAUUCAUUACUUAGGAGGCGGCAAACUUCGUGACAACACAGUAUGAAGCCAAAAAUCAUCAUUUGCAUAACCCGAAGCCUCGGUACAAUGAUGGCGAUCCUAAAAAAGGUCGAUCCAACCUCAGCCUAUUCAAAGGGAAGCUCGCACCAUCCGGUGCUUCGAAAGGGAAAUUGUUGGAUGUCGAAGAAUGGCGGACCAUUUCAUUGUAUAUCUUCACCAACCUAACAGAAGUGCGGCUGUACAUCGAGUAAGUUCUCGGUAAAUUAUUGUUCCGCGACUUCUAAUUCCUUUGAACUGCUCUUAUUCCCGGAUAUUUGAUAUAGUCGAUACGUCGCUGAAUUCUCGGAUGGAGCGGUCAUCGAAAAGGAUUCCGUCGAAUAGUAUGAGCUUCUCGCAAAGCAUGGAGGCGACUAUCUCGGUUUCAUCUCUUGGUUCAAACAAAGGGUAAUUAAUUACCAUUAAUGGGCCAUUUGAUUUCUUGGUCUAAUUUGAGGCUAAUGCAUCCAUUCUUUCAUAUUAAACUUGUAGGAUGAUGUAGAGUCUAUGGACGCCAAGUUGAGACAAGUCGCUAACAGUUUUGACUAUAAGGUUCGUUCAUUUGACAAAUACAACAUCAACGAGUAUCACUUUCGUACCUUUGGCUAAGAACUAUCUAUGCCUGACCUAAAGACUACAAAUUGUUUUGUCUUUGCUAUCGGCGAAGGAGGUACCGAUUAUUAUGGAAGAGUUGAAGCAAUUUAUGAACUUCUAUUCUAUGGUGAAAACCCACCAACCGUCGUAGUCUUCAAAUGUUAUUGGUUUGAGCUAAGGGAGACUAGAAGGACUCAUGAACAUAUAGGACUAUUGGAAAUCAACCAAAACACCCACUUAGAUGUUAUCGAUGUCUAUAUUACGGCUCAACAGGUGACACAAGUUUUAUAUCUACCGUGGGCCUGCCAAACUGAUCCAAAUAUGAAAGGUUGGGAUGUCGUUUAUGAAGUGUCGCCAUGUUUUAGACCACCUACCCUCAAUGAAGAGGAUUACGAACCUCACAUUAACCCAGACACAUAUGAAGGAUAAUUCUUCCAAGAAACACGUAUGUCCAAGAAAUGUUUCAAGAACUGCUCUACUUCACCCCAGAACAUUGAAGUAGACAGCGAUAGUGAAUCCGUCUUAACCCCUGAGCCCGAACAGGAAGAGUCGGAAGAAGAAGAGGUUACUACUGCGGAUGACCUGUCACUUCUUGACCGAUUACAUAAUGGUGGCCUUCCACAUGUUCUUCCUGAUAGUGAUGAUGAUGUAGCAUUUAUUGAUGAUAGUGAUGAUCAAGAUGCAUUUAUUGACCCCGAAGCAUAUAUAGACGAGCACGAUUGUUAUUAGUUCAUGUCAGGUAUUCAACUAUUACUAUAUAUACAUAUAUAAAUUUUUAGUUCAUGUUAGGUAUUCAUUUUUUAUUAGUCAUGUUGGUAUUUAUGAUGAUGAUACACUUAAAUUAUAUACAUUUUAUUACUCAUGUUGGCAUUUAUGUUGUACUAAUUAAUUUCAUUUACUCUUUGUCAUGGCAGGUGUUGAAAGAUGGUGGAAAAGGGUCGAAAGCAUUCAACGGAUCCUUCUUCGUCGGCGGGUGGUGGGAUGGAUACUUCCAUUCCUGCCUCGCCUCUCCGGAGAGUGUUGCUCUCUACUCUGCAUGGAGUGGUCGCUUCUUCGACUCCUGCAGCCCCCGUGAGAGGAGGUCGACCCCCCAUGAAGUCGAGAGGUACUAAAGGUACACAUGGCCGCAGGAGAGGUAGGGUGGCUGCCACGCCUUCCUCGCCGCCACCCCUAGCUGAUUCACCUGAGCACAGGACUACUAGGGUGGACCCGUCUGAGGUGGAGGCUACACGGUCUCCGGUUCACAAUCCUCAGGUCGAGGAGCCUUCGACCCACGAGACUCGUGUCCCAGAGGCUUCGUUCCAGGAGACUUCGGAGCAAAGCAGGGAUGAGAGUACGUCCCAAGAGUGGGAUACAUGGACUGAUCUAGGGCAGUCGGAGCCAACUGGCCAUGCUGAUAGCGACGAGGAGCUGGGUGAGGGGGCCACCCUGUACCAGCGUGGUAGUUCGGGGCUCCCGCUCGUGCCAGCAACCCGCGAGCAGAGGUGGUCGAUUAAGCCAAAUGGGGACAAGUUAAUUUACUCUUAUUUAACCUUUUGCCUUGACGUUUUCUCAAAUAUCUAAUGUUCUGGCUUUAAUUUUUCAUACUGCAGGUGUUGGAUUGUUGCCAAGGGUCUCCGCAAGCCCAACAACGUCCUUGUUGUGAUUUGCUAGCAAAACUUCCCGAGGUUUGUUACGUUGCCCGGUCGGGAGCGAGAGGUAGAAAUGACCUGGGAGCACUACUUGGGUGCCCCGACCCCCGGUAGGUGUGCCACACCAUUAAGGGAGCGUCAACUUAAUCCAAUUUGGCGAGAACUGGGUGUGUGGUUUGCUUCAUGACUCAUGCAAUUCAUUCUUAAUGCUAGCUUGGUCCCUUUACUAAUACAUUUUUCCUCUCUCUCUCUUUUAGGCGCGUCACAAUAAGACGGAGGUACCACAGAUGUACGACCUCGAUGCGUUGUCCCAUACUGCCUCGUACAAGAAGGUCAAGGCAUUCUCUGAGUCUGACCUCGAGCAUCCUGAAAACUUCACCAACAUCUCCUCCCACCACAAGCUCGUGAAGUACAGAGAUCACGGGAAGGCGAGGAAAGGGGAGGACUUUAACCCGAGCCAGGGGCCUAUUGAUCCAGAGCUGGUGAUGAUAGCUCGCAACGGGAGGCCCCAUGGCUCGAUCGCCGUCAGAGACGGCCUUAUACGUUGUCCUAGCACUCUCCGGCAAAUAAAGGCACGCCAAACAAGCUCCUGUCCUGAGAUAACACCUUGUCCACGGCCAGUCGAGCUCGCCAUCGAGGUUAGUUUAAUGGACUCAACUAUCUUUCCGCAUUACGUUGUGUGUGCGAACCAAUAUGAUUACAAUGCUAACAAUGAGUUGUGUUGCAGGCUGCUAUUCUGAAAGAGAGAGAGGCAAUGCAGGCGCUUUUGGCGGAGAAGGAUAAGGAGAUGAAGGAGCGGGAGGAGAGGAUGGCUACGUUGGAGGAGGCGGAAAGGGCAUGGAAUGAUGCGUCUAACAGGGCGAUGUAAGAGCUUAUCGUGGUAAGUUUCUUAUUCAUAUUUGUCAAAUCUUGCAUUUUAAUGUGCGUUUCAUUAAUAAUUAAAAAGUUUGACUUGUCGAAACCAAAUGUACAGUCUAUGUGCGAGAAGACCGGCCACGUCCCUCCCGGAAUGCCAGUCAUUAAAAUGGCGGGGACGGUUAGUUUCAUUUCAAUGCAGUGAUCUUUUGAGUGUCAUCAUGAUAACGACACAUUGCAAACGAUGUUUGGUGCAGAAUAUCUCCCAAAACGCAUCGCACGACCCUUCUACAGUGGAGCCUUCUCCAGGGCAGCCUUCUCGAGGUGAAACAAGCCAGAGCCACCAUGCUUCACCGCCGUGAUGACGAGAAUGGUAUGUUUUUUCUAGUGUUUUGCUUAACAACCGCAUAAUGAUCUUUACUUACCUUACCUUAGCUCCAAAAUGACAUAUUUUACCCAAGUUAGCUCUAGAAUGACCUAUACUUGGCUUGGCUUCCACCUAAAUGACAUAAUUAGCUUAGUUAGCUCCAAAAUGGCCUAUUUGAUAAAAAAAAUGACCUAUACUUAGCUAAGUUCUCUCCUAAAUGACAUAAUUAGCUUAGUUAGCUCCAAAAUGGCCUAUUUGAUAAAAAAAAUGACCUAUACUUAGCUAAGUUCUCUCCUAAAUGACAUAAUAAGCUUAUGUAGCUCCAAGAUGACCUAUUCCCCCUAACUUAGCUAUUAAAUGGCCUAUAAUUAGCUUAGUUAGCUACAAAAUGGCUUAAUAAGCAUAGUUAGCUUUAAAAUGACAUAUUUUACCCAAGUUAGCUCUAGAAUGACCUAUACUUAGCUUGGCUUCGACCUAAAUGACAUAAUUAACUUACUUAGCUCCAAAAUGGCCUAUUUAAUAAAAAAAUGACCUAUACUUAGCUAAGUUCUCUCCUAAAUGACAUAAUAAGCUUAUGUAGCUCCAAGAUGACCUAUUCCCCCUAACUUAGCUAUUAAAUGGCCUAGAAUUAGCAUAGUUAGCUUCAAAAUGACAUAUUUUACCCGAUCCUGAUUAUCCCAAAACCCAAUGUGAGUUUUUUCUAUUUUUACAUACUCCCCCGCCACGAGCUAACGAGUUAGCUCUAGAAUGACCUAUACUUAGCUUGGCUUCCACCUAAAUGACAUAAUUAGCUUAGUUAGCUCCAAAUUGGUCUAUUUAAUAAAAAAUGACCUAUACUUAGCUAAGUUCUCUCCUAAAUGACAUAAUAAGCUUAUGUAGCUCCAAGAUGACCUAUUCCCCCUAACUUAGCUAUUAAAUGGCCUAUAAUUAGCUUAGUUAGCUACAAAAAGGCUUAAUAAGCAUAGUUAGCUCCAAAAUGACAUAUUUUACCCAAGUUAGCUCUAGAAUGACCUAUACUUAGCCUGGCUUCCACCUAAAUGACAUAAUUAGCUCAGUUAGAUCCAAAAUGGCCUAUUUAAUAAAAAAAUUGACAUAUACUUAGCUAAGUUCUCUCCUAAAUGACAUAAUAAGCUUAUGUAGCUCCAAGAUGACCUAUUCCCCCCUAACUUAGCUAUUAAAUGGACUAUAAUUAGCUUAGUUAGCUAAAAAAUGGCUUAAUAAGCAUAGUUAGCUCCAAAAUGACAUAUUUUACCCAAGUUAGCUCUAGAAUGACCUAUACUUAGCUUGGCUUCCACGUAAAUGACGUAAUUAACUUAGUUAGCUCCAAAAUGACAUAUUUUACCCAAGUUAGCUCUAGAAUGACCUAUACUUAGCUUGGCUUCCACGUAAAUGACGUAAUUAACUUAGUUAGCUCCAAAAUGGACUAUUUAAUAAAAAAUAACAUAUACUUAGCUAAGUUUUCUCCUAAAUGACAUAAAAUGCUUAUGUAGCUCCAAGAUGACCCAUUCCCCCUAAGUUAGCUAUUCAAUGACCUAUAAUUAGCUUAGUUAGCUCCAAAAUGGCUUAAUAAGCAUUGUUAGCUCCUAAAUACCUAUUUUUACCUAAGUAGCUCCAAAAUGACAUAUACUUAGCUUAGUUUCGUCCUAAAUGAUGUAGUAAACUAAAUUAGCUCCGAAAUGACCUAUACUUCUCUUCUUCAUCUAGUCUUCUUCUUCUAACUUACUUAUUUCCCAUUUUGCAGAUUACAUUCACUUCACGGAAGUUUGGAUUGAUGGAGUGCUUCAAUAUGGUUUCUUCUAAAAUGGCGUCACGAAAGCUUGGAUUGAAACUAUUGUAAUAUAUGGAUAUGAAACUUUGUAUGUAUGGAUGAAACUAGUGUAAUAUAUGGUUUUGGUACGGAUGAAACUUGCAUAAUAUGUAUGUAUUAUGGAUGAAACUUAUUUUAAUAUGGUUAUCAGUAUGGCAACACAACAUUAUUUAUGUCAUAUAUAUAUAUGAUUUAUGUGAAAAUUGCUGGAUAUAAUAAAAAAUAAAAUAAACAGGGGCAGUUUGGAGCCUUUGCCGUCCGCCCACCGACGGCAAAGGGGUUGCAGCAAACGACAAAGGGUCCAAAGCCCUGGGCUGAAGAAGACUGGGUGCCCCCUUUGUCGUCAGCCCACUAGCAUGGCAGACGGCAAAGGGGGCAAGGGCAGACGACAAAGGGUCUGAAGCCCUGGGCUGUAGCAGAAUGGGUGCCCCCUUUGCCGUCAGCCCACAAGCAUAGCAGGCGGCAAAGGGGGGCAUGGCAGAUGGCAAAGGGUCUGUGGGCCCAACAGGCUGCCGUUAACACUUGACGGAGGUGCCCCACGGAUCUGCCGUCCCAUGUUCUCUGCCGUAUGCCCCCCACGGCAAAGGUUCUUUGCCAUCCGCAGGACCAAUGCAGACGGCAAAGAACCCCUUCACCAGAUUUUUCUUUGCCGUCCAUUUUGUCGUCUGCAGACGGACGGCAAAGGCCUUCGCCGUCCGGGGUGCUUCCCUUUGCCGUCAGCCAUGGCAGACGGCAAAGUCUUUGAUUCCUGUAGUGAUGGAUCAUUCAAGACUAGAAGCUUCCAUGUGCAGCCGCAAGCUAUUAUGGGCUCCAGCAUAGUUGUGUACUCCAGAAAUACUGUGUCUCGGUCAUCCUAUUCUCAAACACCAUGUAGUGUGAGGACUUCAAGGGAGGUGAUCGAGUCUUGCGGGAAAAGUGUGGAAACCUCUGUAGAGUGUUAAACUAACCGAUUAGUCGUGUCCCCGGUUACGGACAAUUUGAGCGACUAGAAUUGGAUUAUCUAGAUAUUCUCAACACUUGAUACAUUAAAUGAACAUGGGAUUAUUGACAACCUUGGGUUAUGAGAAUUUGGUUGGUGGAACCAUCUCUUUAGUUACACCAUCUUUGUAGAAAGAAAUCUGAUUUAACUUUGAUUUAGGACAAAACUGGCUUUUAUGCAAAAAAAACUCAGACAUAGAGCCUCCACUGCCAUAUUGCAUAUAGUGAUAGACUUAUUUUCAUCUCCCUUUAUAUGUGAUCUUGCCAGUACUUUCAAUGUAUUAACCUACAUGGCUCCAACGUAUUAUGUUGUAGAUAUUCAUACGAUGAGUAAGAGUACGACUUAGGGUUACGGUUUACACUCAACCUGUCGUUGGUGUUUAUUGGGACUCCGCUCCCGUUGACUGUUUCUGCUGAGAAAGAGGUGUAUAUCAUUAUUGCGUUAUUUACACGUGAUUGCACUUUGAGAUAUACAUUGAUGUAUUGUGUGUGCCAACAUACUGAUCCAGGGAUGGCAGAGAGACAUAGAGGCUUGACUCGUUUUGAUUUGGGUCACUACACCUUAGUUACUUCAUGCAUUUUUAAGAUCAAUUCAGCAUGUUGUUAGCUUCAAAAUUAACCUUCUUCGAAGAUGGGAGAGACAACAAAUCAAUAGGUGCACGAGGUAGGAAACCAUACAAAAUUUCAAAAGGGCUCAUCUUAGUAGUAGAAUGCAACGAACGAUUAUAAGCAAAUUCAAUAUGAGGCAAGCAAUCUUCCCACAUUUUCAAGUUAUUCUUCAAAACAACCCUAAGCAUAGUAGACAAUGAUCUAUUGACUACUUUAGUUUGUCCAUCAAUUUGGGGUGACAUGUAGUACUUAAAAGCAGUUUAGUCCCCAACUUAGCCUAUAAACAUCUCCAAAAAUGGAUAAGGAAUUUAGCAUCACAGUCUGAAACAAUUGUAUUUAGCACAUGAUGCAAGCGAGUAAUAUCACAAAAGAAAAAUCAGCAACAUUAGCGGCAUCAUCACUUUUAUGACAUGGUAUAAAGUCUGUCAUUUUAGAAAAUCUAUCCUCGAAAACAAAUAUGCUAUUCGUCCCCUUCAUUGUUCGAGGUAAACCUAAAAUAAAGUCCAUAGAUGUAUCCUCCCAAGGAACACUAGGUACAGGCAAAGGCAUAUAUAAACCAUGAGGAUUGAGUCAUGACUUAGCUUUUUGACAUGUAGUGCAGCGAGCAACAAAACGCUCCACAUCCCGUCUCAUAUUUGGCCAAAAUAAAUGUGUAGCAAGUACGCCCUCUGUCUUUUUCAUGUCAAAGUGCCCCAUUAAUCCUCCUCUGUGCGCCUCCCGCAACAACAAAAGACAAACAGAGCUACCUGGAAUGCACAACUUGUUAGCACGGAACACAAAUCCAUCAUGAAUGACGAACUUGUUCCAUGUUCUCCCUUCUUUACAAUUAUGCAACACAUCUUUAAAUUUUACAUCAUGCACAUAUUGAUCUUUGAUGGUAUCCAAACCAAAUAUUUUAAAGUCAAGUUGUUAAAGUAAAGUAUAGCGAUGAGACAAUGCAUCGGCAAUAAAAUUUUAUUUUCCCUUCUUGUGUUUUAUGACAUAAGGGAAAGUUUCAAUGAAUUCAACCCAUUUAGCAUGUCUACGGUUCAUUUUUGCUUGACUUCUAAUAUGUUUCAAAGAUUCAUGAUCAAAAUGUAUAACAAAUUCUUUGGGCCAUAAAUAAUGUUGCCAUGUUUCCAAAGUCCGAACAACACGUAAAUGUUUCAAGUGUUCCUCCAAGGAUCUACUACAAAUCAAUAUAUCAUCAAAAUAGACUACCACAAUUCGUCCAAUGAAAGCACGUAAAACCUCCUUCAUUAAUCUAAUGAAAGUACUAGGUGCAUUAGUUAACCCAAAAGGCAUGACUAACCACUCAUAUAAUCUAAAGUUAGUUUUAGAUGCUCUUUUCCAUUCAUCCCCCAAUUUCAUAUGAAUUUGAUGGUAUACACUACGCAUAUCAACUUUGGAGGAAAUUGUAGAGCCACUUAAUUCAUCAAGCAUAUCAUCUAACCUGGGAAUAGGAUGAUGAUAAUGAAUAGUAAUAUUAUUAAUGCCUCUACGAUCAACACGGAUACGCGAUGUACCAUCCUUUUUCGGCACUAGGAUAAUAGGAACAAGACAAGGACUAAGGGAUUCUCAUAUAUAACCUUUGUCAAGCAACUCCUGUACUUGACACAUAAUUUCCUUCGUCUCCUCUGGAUUUGUACGGUAUGGAGCACGGGUGGGUAGUGAUGCACCGGGAAUUAAGUCAACUUGAUGCUCAAUCCCUCUAACAGGUGGUAAUCACGGGGGUACGUCUUGUGUAAAGACGUGUGCGAACUCCUCAAAAUGUUAAUUACAACAAAAGUCAAAGAGGGAGGCAUGUCCUCGAAUGAAAAUAAUACCUCUUUGCAUAUGAAAGCAUAGCAAACAACUAUAGUAACAUCCAAAUCAGUAAUAUCAGAUUUAUUCGCAAGUAAACAACCACUCUUCAGUUUUAUUUCAGAUGCAACACUAGAUGAUGGUUUAUUAGGCUUAUUGUGUUGCUCAAAUUCCUUUGCCGCAAUCUGAUUUUCACUCUCAUUUUGCUCUUGUUUUGCUUUACUAGCUCUAGCAAUGUCAUCUUUCAUAAUAUGUUUAGGAGACAUAGGAAGCAAAGUUAUAUUUUUAUCCUUAUGAACAAGAGUAUAUUGAUUUGUCCUACCAUGGUGUACAUAUUUUUUAUUUAUCAAAUUGCCAUGGUCUACCAAGUAAAUCGGAGCAUGCUUGCAUGGGUACCACAUCACAAUCAGCACCAUCAAAAUAUGUAGCAAUGCUAAAGUGCACACGAACAAUACGUGUUACCUUAACCUUGCCACUGUUGUUGAACCAUUGGAUGUAAUAUGGAUGAGGAUGUGCUCUGGUGGUUAGAGACAACUUCUUCACCAUCUCCAUGCUAGUCAAGUUGUUGCAACUCCCUCCAUCGAUGAUUAUCCGAACAUAACGUUCCUUCACUACUCCCUUUGUAUGGAACAAGUUGUGGCUCUGAUUUUUCUUAGCAUGUGUUACUUGCACACUUAAAACACAUUGAGCGACUAAACUUUCAUACCCGUCGGCGUAGUCAGCAACCAUGUAGUGUGUCUCUUGUUGAGUCUCAUCAACACCCUGUUCUUCACUUGCAGUAAGAGGCAGAGUCUCCUCAUUAUAAUCACUAGCAGAGUAAUAUGCACCAUCCUAAGUAACAAUCAUGACACGCUUGGACGGGGCUGUCUCUCGCAUAGUGACCUCCACCCAGGCAACGGCGACAUAUAACCUCAUGUGUUCUCCCUAUUGAUGCAAUGGAUGAAGAAGAGCUCUAUGCAGACCCGGAAGGUGUGCUCUUGGCGGAGGGUGGGCAUGUGCCUGUUUCCUGGUAUGUCAGUUGGAGUUGAUUGCUGAAGUAGGUGGUGCUGCAACAGGAUGUGUGGAAGUAGAUGAGGUACGUGGCGUCCAUGAUGAAGUGCAACCUAUAGAAAAAUUAGUUAUGGCCAAUGCUUGUCGAUCCUGCACUUCAUGUUCAGCUUUGCAAGCAAUAUGGAAUAAACGAGUGAUAGUGUUGUACUCUUUAUAUUAUAAAAUAAUAUGAAUAUCUCUAUUUAAUUCACCCCUAAAACGUGCAAGCAUAGCUUCAUUGUCCUCAACAAUACCACAUCUAACCAUGCCAGUUUGUAAUUCCUCACAAUAUUCUUCUAUAAAAUUCUUUCCUUGUCUUAAAUGCUGCAAUUUUGAAGUGAUUCACGUUGAUAAUAUGGAGGAACCCAACGAGUACGCAUAGCUGUUUUCAAAGCAGGACAAGUAGUUGGUAUAUUAGCAUGAUGUAUUCUACAAUGUUCAGACCACCAAACACAAGUAAAACUAGUGAAUGAACAAACAACGAAAUCAACACGUCUAUCAUCAGGAAAUUGUAAGCAUGUAAAACGUUGCUCUGUUUCUAACUCCCAAGUAAGAUAUAUAUCAGGAACAUAUAUACCAUCAAAUGUAGGAAUAUUCAAUUUAAGUUUAGGGAUAUGGUCAUGAUCCCGUACCUGAGGAGGUGGUGCAACCCUACCAUUGCGAUUGUAUCCAUGUGGACGACACGGUUCUUGUGGUGGUGGAUGUUGUCCCCGGUGCUGAUUUGGAGCAACCUCUCCGUCAUCAUCGUAAUCACCAUCAUAAUCCUCAUUCUGCUCAACUACAGUAGCAGCAGCAUCCACGGAAACCACAGUAGUAGCAGCAGGAGCAACAACACCAGGGUUCUGGACUUGGCCGGCAGGCACACGUCGCGCUCGUCCCACACAAUUCUGGCCUUGUUCCUGUCGUUGUUGUUUUUGUUGGACUGAGACGGAAGCUGCAGCUGGUGGUGGUAGACGGGCAAGCACCUCAUUGAACUUGGCGUCCAUCCUGGUGUCGAAUGUCUUAUCCAAACUGUCUAUCUUCUCCAUGGCCUCUCCAAGGCUAGUCAUGAAGUCUUUUACCUGGUCAGCCAUAAUUUGCUGAAAUUUAUCAUGGAGAUCCUGGUUGGUCAGGCUCUCCCAGUUGAUCUCGUCGGCUUGUGAUCCUGGCAUUGUUAGUAGCAAUAGGAACAUAGAAUAAUAUGAACCUACAGACUACUAACAAGUGUUGUUGGUGGUGGUGUGUCAUAAAUCCGUCAAGCAAAUCUGAAAUUCUUACCAGUUCUUACCCGCCAGCAGGUGGUGAUCGGUAACCAUUGUAGUCAAAACUCUCAAAGCUUGGAUAAAGCGAUUGUCAGGUGGUGUCAAACACACGAUGUAGAUGUAUGUGGAGCUAGGAAGUUUUAUAAUAUGGUAGCAAAAAGAAUCAACAAUAAUCAGUUCAAAGAUGCAAAGUUGAAAGGACGCUCAAUGAAGGUACCGUGCUGGUCCUAGGCUAGACUGUACUAGAGACGCGAGCCUAGAACACCAAUAAAAUCAUGACGCUACACGUAAUCAAGGGAAGAGCCACUCUGUUUUUUUUUCGUCUUUUUGUGCUCUUUUUUCUCUCUAGAAAAUCACUAUAAUGGCGAGUAUCUCAAAACUCUUCCAAUUUUUUUGACUAUUCGUUUCCGGGAGCGAUUCGGGGCUGCAACGACCAAAAAUUGCAACAAAAAAUCGCUAUGAUGGCGAGUGUCUCAAAACACUCUGGAAAGCCUAAGACAGUAUAGGGAAAAAAUAUUUUCAUCCGUUGAAAUUUUAGCCUAAAAACUUGUAGUGCCCCAAGUGUAAAGUUUUCCCUUUUCGCAACCUUCCAUGUGGGACCACCUUGACAUUGAUAUGAGAGAGUCCCUUUGCCUGUAUGAUUUCAUGUGUCUCUUAUUUUUUGUCUCCCUUGCAUGCAUGCAUACCAUAAUGUUUCAUGCCAUGUGUUCUUGUUGUGAUUGCUUGUGAUCUUGCUAGGUGUGAUUUUGUGAAUUCAUGUGUUGAGGCACUUGUGAUGAUGUGGUGUGAAGUAGUGAAGUGUGGUGCUUGGCAUUAUUUUCAAACCCCCUUGUUUAGUUUCAAACCUUUUUUCUCUUUUUCUCCCAAGUUCAAAUCCUAUUUGCUCCUAUGUUGUGUUAAAAAUGUUACACCUUUAGAGCAUUUUAGUUGGAGUGUGGGCAUGUAGGAGAGGGGUUUUUAAAACCUAUUUUGUUUGGGGUUUUCCUUUAUUUCAGAUUAUUUAAAUCUGAUUGGCAAUUAUUUUUAGUUGCCCAAAUAGCCAUUUUGGUAUGUUAUUUAUUUGGGGUAUAAUUCCCUUAUGCCCAGGGAUAUUUUAUCUCUAUUUUUUUAUGCCUUAGUUUUUCCUAGAAAUAUUAGUUUCUGUCAUGUUGUUUGUAUAUUAGAGAGGGCCAGGUUUCCCUCUUUCUCUCAAACCUUCGCAGCAGCAGCCCAACUCCUCCCAGGCCCAAUAACCCUUCGCAGCACAGCAGCCCAGCGCCGUUCCUCUCCUACCUCCCGUCGACGUCACCUUGUACGACCAUGGCUCGACCUCCCGAUCGCCUCCCCCCAAUCCAGCGGCUCAUGCGCGUCCCCCGAGGUGUUUUAAGCUGCAGGAACCCUCCUCCGUACCUAGGGUUCCCUCUCCUUCCUCCAGUGCGCCGCCAUCUUCCUCCUUCUCUCUAACCCCCCCUCCUGGUAAGGUCUGUAGCUAGGACAGAGAAGGAGCUUGUCGCCGAUCGCCGCCCCCAUCGUCGUCCAGCACCGGCGGCCAUGUCUGGGGGCUCGGGGAAGGCGCCCGCGCUCCAUUCCCGCCAUCGUUGAGGUCGAGGGGCGACCACAACGACGGGCAGAAGCUCGUCACCGGCGUGUUCCCGGCGAACUCCCUCCCUGCUUCGGUUCUGCACACACGUCGACAUCUUCGUCAGAUCUUCCCCGGUUCUUCUUCAGGCUGCCUCUUCGAUCGAUCCUCUCCCUCCUUCCCCUUGGUGAGCCUAGAUCCCCCUUAGUUUUCCCCGCGGUAGUGUGCAGAAGAGCUCGUGGCCGAGCCUCUCAGAUCGGCAGGACCGUGGCUGUGUAGAGUUGUGUUGUGCUCGGCUCGACGUGCAGAGGGAGUCAGCUUCCCAAGCGGCUGUAGAUGUGGUGCACGUGUCCCGUAGAGCAGCAGUAGCCGAUUAGAGGUGCUCCGGCGAAGUCACUGUCCUCGGAUCACCGUGUAGAGCAGGGCAGGACAUCGCGGUAGAUGUGUGUGCGUGCAUGCAGCUUGAGUGUUGCUCGUGUAGAGCAGAGUUGGCGCGGGCGAGCAACGCGCAGCAGUGCUGUAGUUGGCAUAGAGGUACCCCUCGUGGUGCAGCAGCAGUGCAGAGAAGCCACGGCGGCCUUCCUGUCGCCGGUGCAUCUCGGUGCAGAGCAUAGUACGCGGAAGAGGCAGAAUACUUUGCAAACUACCUUUAUCUGUCAAGCUUCCAUAACGUAGCGCAGUGGUGUGUGCCUGUGUUUGAAACCGGGAGAUGCAGGGAUCGAAUCCCCCUGGCGCAACCCCCCUUUUUUUAGUUUCCUUUCGGCAGCAGUAGCAUUUGCAUCAGCGGGGCAGUUUUACCUGCUUAGUUAUCUUACCCUGUCGAGCUAGCGCAUGGUAGCAGGGUGGUUUGCUCCACAGGGCAGUACCAGGGGCACCUGGGAUCGAAUCCCAGGCCUGCCCAUUUUUUCCCCUUUCCUUGCUCCUUUUAUUUUCUUUCCCUUGCUGUUGAUUUUUAUGCAACCCCAUGCUCUUUGUAGACCUGUAGUUUUUCUACACAUGUAGGUUGGGAAUUACCCCCUCUCAUAAUCUGCUUGGAAGUUUGUGUGCUGCUAGUUAUGAUCCAUGUUGAUGCAUUGUGAGUGAAGGAGAUGUAUUUAGUAGAUGAGGUUGUGCUGGUCAUUGUGUUGUGAUCUAGCCUUAGUUCAGUGCUAGGAAUUUGGACCUGAUAUGUUUGUGAAGCUCCCUGUCAAAUUUCAUCUCAUUUGGAGUCCUGUAGGUUCUGUUUGGGUUGCUGUCAAAAAGCUUCAGAACUAAGACAAAAAGUCAGGUGCAGUAAUUUUCACUAAGUCCCUGAGAUCUGAUGGUUUUGGGAAAGUUUGUGGCCUUGUAUCUUCUUGUGUUUAAUUCCUUUUGGUGUGACUCUUGCUGGUUCUUGUAGUGUUCUUGGUUGGAUACAGCCACAUAUAUAAUUUUUCAUAUUUGGAGGGUUGUAGCUAUGUUGCAUGUAGCUCACAAAGAGCUAAGAUGCAGAUUAUGGCAGAUUGUGUAGUAUAGUCAUUUUGAUGAUUGUGGGUGAUUACUUGAUGUUGUGGUGUUCUUCCUUGCUCCAAUCCAUUCAUGAUGGGUUGUUAUAUGUCUUGGCAACCUGGGAAUACCAGAUUGUGCCAUUGGAGUGUGUGGUGUUGUUUUUGACACGUAGGGCUUCAUAUCUUGUUUCGUUGAUUCCCGUUGAUCCGUAGCUCCGAAUGUUAUGUUCUUUAUAUGGUUUUGCAUCGUUUUCAUGAGACGCAUCUGUUCAUGCCAUUAUCAUGCAUGUCAAAAUAGCCUAGUAUACAUCUCUGUCCAGAAACUUGUAGUGGUUUCUUUUGCUUGUGCUAGUGAUAGAAAUAGUGAUGCAUGCUCAUUUUUCAUCUCAUGCAUCUUGUGCUUGUUGCAUCUUGUGGUGCUGCUGUUCAUUGGUUGUUAUUCUUAUGUUGGGUAGCACCGGGAUCGGAGAACGAAUACGUGGAGUCAGGAGAGUACGUGCAGGACGAACCAGAACCAUUCCAAGCUGAGGAUAUCACAGGCAAGAUGAUAUGACCUUGAUUCCAUCUCUAGACUUGUUAUGCUAGUUUGCGUUUCCAUGUCAUAUUGCUCGCUGCCUACCACUGAAUUAGAUUGCCUCUUGAUAUGCCAUGAACCCAAACACUGAUCCCUUCCUAGCAAAACUUGUAUGGCUAAGUAGGCUUUGCUCAGCUACUAAUGUUAGCGUUGCUAGAUGCAUGUGCUUUGACUCAUGUGACAAGAGCUUGAUAUCAUUAUCUUAAAUUCUGUUAUUUAAUUAAUGCACUCAUAUACUUGGUAAAUGACGGAAGGCCUAGCCUUUUGCCAGGUGCUUUGUUCUGUUAUUGUCGCCUUAGUUACCGGUUACCGGUGUUUGAUUCCAUAUUGAUCGCUCCUAACACGUUCGGGGUUGUUAUGGGAACCCCCUUGAUAAAUCGCAUAGUGUUAAGGCUUGUCCGGCAGGACCCAACAUUGGUGUUAAUUUGCUAAUCACUUAAUAAACUGCAUAGGGAAUGAUCAACCCGAGGAUCUUCAAUCAACAACCCGGGCCAGUGCUCCUCAUGAGUGUUGGUCCAAACUGGUCUGCCUCCGGGGCCACCUCAAGGAAACUUGAGGUUUGGUACCUCUAGCUAGUUCCAUCCAGCGUGUCCUGAGACUGAGAUACGCGGCUCUUAUCGGGGUCGUCAACACGUCGGGAGGUCCUGCUAGUCUUGCCUUACCUUAGCGAUAUAUCUUGCGUAUAGGAAUCCCAAUGAAGCUUUGGUUUCCCCCAGAGUUGAGGUUUUUCCUCUAAGGAAUCCGACGAGAUCACGAGAUUCAUGAUAGAGGAUUACUUUGCGGCCUGUGUACGUUUAUGAUGGACUAGUUGGAGCACCCCUGCAGGGUUUAAUCUUUCGGAAAGCCGUGCCCGCGGUUAUGUGGCAACUUGGAAUAUUUUGUUAACAUCCGGUAUUAGAGAACUUAAACAUAAGCUAAUAAAAUUGCCAACUGUGUGCGUAACCGUGACUGUCCCCCUCGAAGAUCUCUCUUCGAUCGGGAACACGGUGGGGUUAUGAAUGUCAUAGGUCGGUGUUCAGGAUCACUUAGUGAUCAAGUAAUCAUGACCGCUAGUGUAGAGCACCUUCAUAAUUGCCUUACGUAAGUUAGCCACUAAAUCAAGCUUAGGAUGUUGCAGCCUUAUACACCUCACCUUACCCUACCUAAUAACAUGACUAGUUCUUGCACCAAGGUCUUAGAUUGCUGAGUCCCCGUGACUCACGAAUUCCUCCAAAACUCCCAACAGGCACAGGUACCCCAGAGAGAGAUGAUCCCGACGGCACUCAGCUGGCGUGGCAGUACGACGAGGAGACAGACCGCCUCUACGUGAACUAUCCAGGGGAUUGAGGCAUGGUCGUGAUCGUGGGCCUGCAUGCAGGGUAGCAUACCAUUUCCAUGUUUUGUAGUCCAUAGCGGAACUACCUUGAUUGUAUAUGUGAUGUACUCUGAGUUAUUAAUGAGAAGACAGUUGAAUCCCGCAUUGUCUACUUUUCUUAUUAUUUGUGCUAUGUUACUUGCUUGCGAAACGCUUAGAUGCGCUUCUUUCCUAUUUGGGGCCUCGACCCCGAGAUCGGAAAGGACCGCAUCUUGGUCGUUACAAGUUGGUAUCAGAGCCUUACGACCAUAGGAGCCUUUGUGUGAUCGUACUUGGCCGAGUCGAGUCUAGAAAAUGUUUUGAGUCUUAGUUAUAUCGGAGAGUAGGAUUCUUUUUUCUCUUCUUCUAUGCUCUGGUGAGGUUCCCGUCUUAGGAAAUCUUUAACUCUACUCCUUUUCUCGCUCAAAUUGUUUUUAGGAUCACGCGGGUAUUUGUGAAAUCUAUAUGAUUUCGAUGUGAUGGAAUUCUGUCCUGGUGCCUCCUAUCUGCUCUAAGUAUCAGGGGGGUUGAGUUCCGGGGGAUUCUUGCGCACAUCGCCAUCAUUCAGAUUUCUGAGUAUCUAAGAACGGAGGGUGAUCGUUAUUGCUUCAAUACUGGUAGUGGUGAGAUAACCCCGAUGUCCCCAGUACUGGUGUAGAUUGUUCGGGGGUACUACCACACUUGGUAUCGCUGUGAUCACGAGGAUCUGUUGUAGAUGAAGGUCCGAGAUGCUGGUUGUGUGUUGAAGGAUGUGAUACAGGUGACGGGUUAGUUUAGGAGUUGUGUGAAAUACUCCUUGUAUCCGUGUACCUGAUUGCAUGACCAGUUAUUUCGGGAAUUCAUAGGUGGGAUAUCUAGUAGUAUCUUAUAGGACUAUCUUCCUACAGACGCUUGAUUGAGGUUUGGGAAAUCUCGGUCAUAUGUUUGUUCCGAGCAGUUCUAGCUCACACUUGUUUGCAGUGGUCCUUAUCGGAAUUUUGUCGUCUGUUACUUUGAGGAUGCACUCUUGCUAUGUUGUUCGAGUGCAAUGCUAAAUUCUGUUCAGAUAUUCCUGUCUUUUGAUUCAGCAAUAUCUUCAAUUAUUCUGUGGACUAAUAUGAUGUCCGUCUUCAGGAUGGCUCCACCGACUCGUCAGACCCCAGCGCGUGAGGAUAUGCCACCUCCUCCUCCUCCUCCGCCGCCGCCUCCUCCUCCUGCAGAGGCCUGGCAGGCGAUGAUGGCAGCUACUAAUGCAAACACUCAGAUGUUGUUGCAGUUGAUCCAGGAGAGAGCCAAUCAUCAGCAGGGCAAUUUCCAGCAGGGUGGCAAUCACUUCGCCAAUCUGAGUCAGUUCCUGUCAAACCAGCCUAAGACGUUCACUUCUUGCGACCAGCCAUUUGAUGCAGAAGAUUGGAUCCGUGAUAUGAACAAACACUUCGAGUGUAGCAAUGUGCGUCCGGAGGACUAUGUCAAGUUUGCAACGUUUCAGUUGAAGGGACAUGCUUCUAUAUGAUGUCUUGGGACGAGUUUUGUCAUGACUUCAGAUCCCACUACAUCCCUUCCAGUUUUGUGGAGGAAAUGCGUGAGAAGUUCAGGCGUUUGAAGCAGGGCAGCAAUUCUGUGUACAAGUACAAUUUCGAGUUCCAUGAGCUUGCCCGUUAUGCGCUGCAGGAUGUCCCGGAUCAGAAGAGCAAGAUCUACCAGUUCAGGGGUGGCUUGAAGGAAGACUUGUAGUUAGCUCUUGCAUUGCACGAUCCUGAGGAGUUUGACAAGUUCUACAACCUAGCUCUCAGAGCAGAGGCAGCCUUGCUCAGGGUGGAAAACUCCAAGAAGCGCUUCAGAGAUUCCAGCUCUUCCUCGACUCAGGUGGUUCAGAAGCAACAGAGGUUUUGGGUUUCUCCUCCUCCUCCUCGGCACUCACAGCAUCUUAAGAACUCAGGUGGUCUUGGUUCUUCCCACCCACCCAACCCUGGCUUUCAACAGAGAUACCAACAUCAGAAGCAAGGGCCUCCUCAGACUCAGUUUCGGCAGCCAGCAGAUGUCACUUGUCACAACUGUGGGCAAAAGGGUCACUAUGCCAACAAAUGUACUUCUCAGCUCCGACUACCGCCUCCUCCUCCAGGCAAACCUCCAAGCAACGCUCUUGUCAAAUUCAACCCCACUCAGCUCUAGUCAACAUGGUGAAGCAGACAACUCCUCUGAUGUGAUCAUGGGUAACCUCCUCGUCAAUGAUAUCCCUGCUAAAGUGUUAUUUGAUUCUGGUGCUUUGCAUUCCUUCAUGUCAUACCCCUUUGCAUUUGGUAAUAAUAUUGCGACCGAGUUCCUUCCCAAGUAAUUGCAAGUUGUGUCUCCGGGUAUGCGGAUGAGCUCUCAGUUGUUCGUCCUAGAUGUUUCUGUCAAGAUGGGCGCUUAUGCUUUUCUGGAAUCUCCUAUUGUCUUGGGCAAUUCCGACAUUGAUUUGAUCCUUGGUAUGGACUGGUUGGCCAUGAACAAGGCGUCAAUUGAUUUUGAAGCCAAAGAAGUGAAGCUUACCCACUCUUCGGAGGAUGUGAUUAUAUUCGCGGCGCGCGAUGAUACAAUCCGUCUGUUCUCCUUGAAUGAAAAGGGUGAGAUCAAUCCUAUUGAGCAAGUUCCAGUGGUCUGCGAAUAUCAAGAUGUGUCUCCUGAAGAGCUGCCAGGCAUGCCUCCGCACCGUGAAGUUGAGUUUGUCAUUGAGCUUGAGCCAGACACAGAGCCAGUGUGCAAACGGCCGUACGUAAGUUAGCCACUAAAUCAAGCUUAGUGAUCAAGUAAUCACGACCGUUAGUGUAGACCACCUUCAUAAUUGCCUUACGUAAGUUAGCCACUAAAUCAAGCUUAGUGAUCAAGUAAUCACGACCGUUAGUGUAGACCACCUUCAUAAUUGCCUUACGUAAGUUAGCCACUAAAUCAAGCUUAGGAUGAUGCAGCCUUAUACACCUCACCUUACCCCACCUAAUAACAUGACUAGUUCUGGCACCAAGGUCUUAGAUUGCUGAGUCCCCGUGACUCACGGAUUCCUCCGAAACUCCCAACAGGCACAGGUACCCCAGAGAGAGAUGAUCCCGACGGCACUCAGCUGGCGUGGCAGUACGACGAGGAGACACACCGCUUCUACGUGAACUAUCCAGGGGAUUGAGGCGUGGUCGUGAUCGUGGGCCUGCAUGCAGGGUAGCAUAGCAUUUCCAUGUUUUGUAGUCCGUAGAGGAACUACCUUGAUUGUAUCUGUGAUGUACUCUGAGUUAUUAAUGAGAAGACAGUUGAAUCCCGAAUUGUCUACUUUUAUUAUUAUUUGUGCUAUGUUACUUGCUUGCGAAACGCUUAAAUGCGCUUCUUUCCUAUUUGGGGCCUCGACCCCGAGAUCGGAAAGGACCGCAUCUUGGUCGUUACAAAACUACUAUGAAAACUAUGCCAGACUAAGGCAAGGAAACGCAAAACCGAAAACAAAGGAAUCUCAAAAAUAAAGCUAAUACGUGAAGGACUCGCAUUGGUGGCGGAUAUGUGGACUCGGAUUGGUGNNNNNNNNNNNNNNNNNNNNNNNNNNNNNNNNNNNNNNNNNNNNNNNNNNNNNNNNNNNNNNNNNNNNNNNNNNNNNNNNNNNNNNNNNNNNNNNNNNNNAUUCUUCACCCCUCUAUUUUCCCAUCAAAGCACCGUAUUUUUAUGGAUGUUAUUUUUUUCUUACUUCAUACCUAAAAGGAGAACGUAAGAAAAUAUUAAAAUCAUCAUAAAAAAUAUUUUAUGCUACGUAAAGUUAUAAACGUAAAAACAUAGUUUAAAAUAUACACAAAAUGUAUAUAUAUGUGUUUGUGUGUGUGUGUAUUAUGGAGAUUUUCUACAGUAGCACAUACAAUGCCCGGGGGCUCGGCUCGAGGAGCCAAACAUGACGGCCUUGACAUAGAACUUGAGACAUUCUAGCAAUAUUAUGAGCAUCUAUGUUGUACACCCUCGUUUUAUGUUUAAAGGAAACAUUUCGUAGUACCUCCAGCUUGCGCGUGACUUCUGUUAGCCCCCUCCUCUCCUGUGCUUCCUUCAUAGAUACUCCCUCCAUCGAGGUGCGUUGGGCACGUAAGAGAAUUUUGGAAUUCAAAAAUUAUAAGUCGCGUAAGUUAUUAUAGAUGCAUUAAUCUUCGGAAUUAGCUCUUCCUGGAAAAACGUUGGACCAAUGCAUGCAAUCCUCCUCCUCUUAAACUUAAUCCCAAUUAAUUGGAUAACAAUAUAUCAAGCAUGAGGAUUGGUUGCAUAUUAUAAAUUUACAUGCAUGGGUUAGCCAAACCGUGCCAGCUAUUAUUGUUCUAUUUAUUGCAGCAUUUUGGAAAAGGAGAUUUGGAUGGUGAUUGGCUUCCUUUAUGAUUCAAAUUAUUUGGCUAGCCCAAUCUCCUUGUGCCUAGAUUGCAGUGCUCCUCCUUAGUGCCCAAUACACCUGGACAGAGGAAGUAGUUCUGAUAACCCCCAUAGAAUCAGAGGAUAUAAGGCUGCCCGUAAUGGGAGUAUCAUAGGUAGUAUCAUGCAUGCCAACUAGGCAAUUUCGAUUAUGUGGCAUAGAAUUAAAUGAAGAAAGAGAUGGUUGAGUAUCAUAUCAUGAUACCGUAUCGUAUUAAAUGAUGUGCUACUAUGUGUCUUGCAUGGCAAUAAAUGAACUACCCUAUGAUACUAACCUAUGAUACUAACAUACGAUACUAUGCAUUACGAAUGUGGUAUCAUAGACUAGUAUCAUAUGCAUGAUACUAGUAUAUGAUACUACCCAUUACAACCAGCCUAACUGUAAGUGCAUCUAGUGUCCCUUAGUGAUUUUGGUGGUUUGAAGACUUAUAGGUUAAGUAUCUAAUGUGUUUAUGAGUGUACACACGAUCUAUAAGUCUCUAAGGAGUUCGACAUAUUUGAUGAAUAUCGACCCCUAAAAAUGUAUAUCUUCGGUUGAAGUAAUUGGUCUGAAGCUGAAGAAUUGAAUCGUGAAGAAUCUGCAAUGAAAUAGAUAUUCCUCAAGAAGAUAUUGAAAUUGAGGAAUUCGGUGUGUCCUGAAGAAAAUCAUUUUGAAGACUUUGAAGCAUGAAGAUUUACUCUUUCUGUUUUAUUUUUUUCACAUUUGAAUAAUAGGAACACCGUACUGUUAAAGGGGGUCGAAGUUACACUUUGGAAUGAAUUUCCUCAUGAUGCUCAACCCAAGCCUAAUCCUACCAAAAGCCUCAAGUGAGGAAUACGAGUGACAUGAGGACUCUCAUAGUUGAGGGUUCUGACCGUUUCGAUAACCACGCCAAGUCAUUGGUCUUAUCCACACCAACGGUCAUAUUAUUUAAGGGCAUUAGUGUCAAAUCAUGUCAGGAUGCUCCCAGGCUAUAAAUACCCCCCCCCCCCACCACAACACACAACNNNNNNNNNNNNGGCCCCAAAAACCCCCCCCCCCCCCACAACCAUUAGCUGGUUGGCUGCUCCGUUAGGAACUGACACUUGUCAUAAGAGAAACCCAAUUCCUGAGAGUCUUCGAGAGUAAUUCAUCAGUGGGGAAAUACCCCAUACACCGAAACCACAAACCUAGAACCUAGUGAUUGAGCAUCACUAAAGAAGUUGUUCCUGUGUGGGACUGAAGCCUUUUACCUUUGAGGACUAUGCAUCCUCCAGACGGUUAGGCGUCAUGGUCUAGAGCUUUCCAGCAGUCAAUUAUGGAUCGUCGGGUGACCAAGUUUGUGAGGGUUUGGAAGUCUGCCCUGAAGACUUACCACGAGUGUUGGGCGAGGACUGUGUGUCCUUAGCCCAAGGAGAACACGGUAGGGACUGUGUGUCCCGGGACUGUGUGUCCUUUGGUUUCAAUACCAAGCCGCUCCAAACCAGAUGUACGACUGUCACAACAGUUGGAACUGGGUCAUCAACUACUGUCUUCGCUGAGNNNNNNNNNNNNNNNNNNNNNNNNNNNNNNNNNNNNNNNNNNNNNNNNNNNNNNNNNNNNNNNNNNNNNNNNNNNNNNNNNNNNNNNNNNNNNNNNNNNNACCGGGAAUGUACCGGGAAUGACGAAUGGGUUCCGGGUGUUCACCGGGGGGGGCAACCCACCCCGGGGAAGCCCAUAGUCCUUGGGGGUGGCGCACCAGCCCUUAGUGGGCUGGUGGGACAGCCCAAGAAGUCCCUAUGCGCCAUAGGAAGAAAAUCAAAGAGAAAAAAAAGAGGAGGUGGGAAAAGGGGGAAGGACUCCUCCUUCCAAACCUAGUUGGACUCGGUUUGGAAGGGGAGGGGUGCCCCCGGAAGGACUCCUCCUUCCAAACCUAGUUGGACUCGGUUUGGAAGGGGAGGGUUGCCCCCCUUGGCUCGGCCGAACUCCUUUGGGGUCCUUGGACCCCAAGGCAAGGCUCCCCCUCUUCCCCCUAUAUAUACGGAGGUUUUAGGGCUGAUUUGAGACAACUUUGCCACGGCAGCCCGACCACAUAUCUCCACGGUUUUACCUCUAGAUCGCGCUUCUGUGGAGCUCGGGCGGAGCCCUCCUGAGAUAAGAUCAUCACCAACCUCCGGAGCACCGUCACGCUGCCGGAGAACUCUUCUACCUCUCCGUCUCUCUUGCUGGAUCAAGAAGGCCGAGAUCAUCGUCGGGUUGUACGUGUGCUAAACGCGGAGGUGCCGUCCGUUCGGCACUAGAUCGUGGGACUGAUCGCGGGACGGUUCGCGGGGCGGAUCGAGGGACGUGAGGACGUUCCACUACAUCAACCGCGUUCACUAACGCUUCUGCUGUGCGGUCUACAAGGGUACGUAGAUCGAACAUCCCCUCUCGUAGAUGGACAUCUCCAUGAUAGGUCUUCGUGCGCGUAGGAAUUUUUUUUUUUCCCAUGCGACGUUCUCCAACAAUACCUUCGACACAUGCAUAUCGGAGCGGUUCGGUUCAGAGAAGGAGACCAACGGUCGUCGUGGAAGUCGUGGUCGUUGUGGAAGUAGUCGUACACGGUCUCGUCNNNNNNNNNNNNNNNNNNNNNNNNNNNNNNNNNNNNNNNNNNNNNNNNNNNNNNNNNNNNNNNNNNNNNNNNNNNNNNNNNNNNNNNNNNNNNNNNNNNNUUUGUUUCCCAGUCUUGUCUAGUGUCAUGCACCUUUCUGGCCUGCAUCUUUCAGUUCAGUUCAGUUCAGGUGUCAUUUUCUUCAGAUAACUCUUCCUUGAUCGAACAAAUGAAUGAAUGAGUAGCUGAAAAAACAUCUUACAACAGGGGCAAAACAGAAUGAAGAGGGUCUACUUAAAGAUGGAACCUCAUCGUAUGGUCGAUUUUGGAUGUCGCCGAGCAAUCAAAUUAGAACACAAAUACUAGGGUCCUUUUGCCAUAAUUAAUAAAAAGUGGGCAAUGUAGCCUACAAAUUACCGCAAUUCCCUGGCCACAAAAAGAUCCAUCCAGUUUUCCAUGUGAGUUGGUUGAAGAAGCAUUUGGGCAAGCAUGCCAAUCCUAGCCCUGAUAUGCCUAUUGCAAACGCUGAUGGUACUCUCAAAAUUUCACCAGCCAUGGUCUUACAGGUCCGACGAAUACCUUGGCGAAACUUUCCGGUCGUUCAAUGCCUCUGUGCAGUGGACCAACCUUUCACGUGAAGAAGCAACUUGGGAAGACGCAUACUUCAUCAAGUGCACAUUCCCAGCAUUUUUUCCGCGAGACAAGCGACCAGUGGUGUGCUUCACCUUCGUCAUCAUCACCAUGAGGACAUGUCGAACCUUUGGAGGGGACAUUGUCAUGUACCUGUAGUAUUGGCCUGCAUCUUCACUUCAGGUGUCAUUUUCUUUAGAUAACGAUUCAGUGAUCCAACGCCUGUGAUUCAACCUGGACAAGAGUAACUCCAUCAACGGCCAAUAGUACUUUCCGUUAGUUUAUUGUUGUUUACCAGACAUCAAGUGUAUUAUCGAAUGACUGCUAUGACAAUUUGAUGACCAAAUGUUUCUAUUCUCUUGAGAGAAUUGGAAUUCAUUGGGUUUACCUUUUUUUUCUAGCGCCUCUCAUAAUGUAGAUGAUUCAUUGGGGGCCUCCAAGUGUGACUAGCAAAACAUAACUAUUAAAUUUAUUUUGCAUCCAUUCAUCUAAUAAAGAUGGUGUGUCCAGUUUAGUUCUCGCAGAAUUUGCAUCAAGGUCCUUUGCGGUGAAGAACUAAUACAUUUUCCAAAUGACAUCAAAGAGGGUGUAGGCCUGGUGCGUGCCCCCUCUCGCUAGAAUGCUACAACUGUUGACAUAAAAUGCUACAACCGUUGAUGGAAAAAGCUGCAACCAGACAUAUAAAAAGCUGCAAACGGUCAUUGACAUGAACGGCCGACAAGGUACUCGCGUUUGUUGGCUCUACAAGGACGGCGACCGACGGCGAGGACGUCUGGCGAGAGGGGGCGAUGGGAGAAGGACCCUCGACCGCCGGGGGGCAGGGGGAGGGAAGGGGUGGGGAGCGUGAUACAUCUCAAACGCAUCUAUAAUUUUUGAUGGUUUCAUACUAUUAUCUUGUCAUCUUUGGAUGUUUUAUGUACCUUUUAUAUCUUUUUUGGGACUAACUUAUUAAUUCAGUGCCAAGUGCCAGUUCCUGUUUUUCUGUGUUUUUGGCUCUUUUCAGAUCUGAUUUUGGAACGGAGUCCAAAUGGAAUAAAAUCCCUGAAAUGAUUUUUUCCCGAAGGAAAGAAGAUCAGGGGGCCUGUGGGCCAAGCCAGGAGGGUUGCAGGAAGCCCACAAGCCCCCACUCUGCCACCAGGGGAGGCGGCGGUGGCAGGGCUUGUGGCCUCCCUGGCACCCCCUGACCUAGAUCUUGCACCUAUAUAUUCCCUAAAAAUCAGAAAUAAAAUAAAGGGAGCCUCGAAAAUACUUUUCCGCCGCCGCAAGCUUCCAUUUCCGUGAGAUCUCAUCUGGAGACCCUUCCCGGCGCCUUGCCGGAGGGGACUUUGGAGUUGGAGGGCUUCUUCAUCAUCAUCAUCGCCCCUCCAAUGACUCGUGAGUAGUUCACUUCAGACCUACGGGUCCGUAGUUAGUAGCUAGAUGGCUUCUUCUCUCUCUUGGAUCUUCAAUACAAAGUUCUCCAUGAUCUUCAUGGAGAUCUAUCCGAUGUAAUCUUCUUUGGCGGUGUGUUUCUCAAGAUUCGAAGAAUUGUGGAUUUGUGAUCAGAUUAUCUAUGAUAUAUAUUUGAGUCUUUGCUGAUUUCUUAUAUGCAUGAUUUGAUAUCCUUGUAAGUCUCUCCAAGUCUUGGGUUUUGUUUGGCCAACUAGAUCUAUGAUUCUUGCAAUGGGAGAAGUGCUUGGUUUUGGGCUCUUACCAUGUGGUGACCUUUCCCAGUGAUAGUAGGGGCAGCAAGGCACACAUUGAGUGGUUUCCAUCAAGGGUAACAAGGUGGGCUCUGUCGUUGAUAUGAGAUUGUCCAUCUACAUCAUGUCAUCUUGCUUAAGGCGUUACUCNNNNNNNNNNNNNNNNNNNNNNNNNNNNNNNNNNNNNNNNNNNNNNNNNNNNNNNNNNNNNNNNNNNNNNNNNNNNNNNNNNNNNNNNNNNNNNNNNNNNCGUUAGCCCGUCGUCUUUCCCCCUCUUGCCCCACGCUCUUCCGUGCAUCGUAGCCCCGUUCCCCACCAAGGUCGAGAGCUUCUCGCCGCCGGUCAUGUCGUCGUCGUCGCUGUGGUGUCUGAUCCACGCGCUCAAGCUAGGGAUCGAGCUCCUGGAGCCUCCAGGACCGUGAUGAGUCCCUCAGCUGCCCUCCCCGUGCCCUAGAGCCAUCGCUCGUAGAAGGCCGAGCUUCGGCCGCCGCUUCGGCUCGUAGCCGACGCCCCUCCCGACGACCCUAGCUUCCCCUGAUGCCCCCGCUAGAUGCGGCGUUGCACCAGCUAUCCGUAGCUGCUUUCUGCGCCCAAAACCGACGACCGAUGCACAGUCUAGCUUCCUCCGGCGAGCCCUCCGCCGCGCCCGUGGUCGCCGCCGGCCAUGCGCCGGUGGGGGUCGACGUGGCAAAGCUAACCCAGUAGAUUAGGAGCUUAAUCUCUCGCUGACAGUGGGCCCAAGGCCAGGUCAACUCGGUUUAGGGACUGGUCAGCGCGGGAUUAGUCCCAGAGAGGCUGACCAGUGGGUCCCCCCUGUCAGGUUUGACCUGAACAGGUCGGCUGACCUGCUGACGUGAGCCUGAUGNNNNNNNNNNNNNNNNNNNNNNNNNNNNNNNNNNNNNNNNNNNNNNNNNNNNNNNNNNNNNNNNNNNNNNNNNNNNNNNNNNNNNNNNNNNNNNNNNNNNGAAGUUGUUCCUGUGUGGGACUGAAGCCUUUUACCUUUGAGGACUGUGCAUCCUCUAGACGGUUAGGCGUCAUGGUCUAGAGCUUUCCAGCAGUCAAUUGUGGAUCACCAGGUGACCAAGUUUGUGAGGGUUUGGAAGCCUUUCCUGAAGACUUACCACGAGUGUUGGGCGAGGACUGUGUGUCCUUAGCCCAAGGAGAACACGGUAGGGACUGUGUGUCCCGGGACUGUGUGUCCUUUGGUUUCAAUACCAAGCCGCUCCAAACCAGAUGUACGACUGUCACAACAGUUGGAACUGGGUCAUCAACUACUGUCUUCGCUGAGAAACGGGUUCUAAUUCCUCAACUCCUUACUUUCCUUAGAUUAUGCGUUGAUGACUUUCACUGUUACUGUUUGAAGAAUUUGCUGAAGACUUUCUCUGAAAUUCCUCAACCCCAAAUUCUUCACACUAGUUAAUCCUCAUCUAUUUUCCGCGUGCCUGCUCACUUUGCAAUCUGUUUUCACAUUCCUCACACUGAAAAACCGUUGUUGUGAAACUUUGCACUUCUAAUCCUUUACUGUUUCCGCUGUAAGUUAGUCAUCAGUGAGGAAUUUACUCAAAAGGAAUUUCCUCACUGAUGAAAUUCUAAAAAUCUCCUAUUCACCCCCUCUAGUCGAUAUAACACACUUUCACUAACAGCUUUGUACAGAUUUAGGUCCUGCGUCAAGCACAACCCUUUAGGGCACGCCAUUGCCUCAACACAAACUGGAUCAUAAGCACUCUCCAUAGCCAACACCGAAGCCCUCAGGUUGGUACCAGCACCAACGCGAAAAAUAGUUCUAGUCGGGCACAUGUUGUUCUCAUAUGACAAUGCAACAUCAAUAUUACCUUUCACAACACCCAAUGGAGGAGGGAUCCAACACCUUGCGCCUUCUGCUGAAUCGAUCCUACCCAGCACAUGCAGAAAAUGUGUUAUAAACUUGAAUGUAUGAAAGGGGCUCUGAUAAACAUCUUCCUGUAUGAUAUCUCGCCUUGCCUUCCAGAUCGCCCACACGGUAGUAAUCAUCUUCACAUAAUCUAUUCUAGAUAGGAAUCAUCCAUCUCGAACAACCAGGUUCCAGCAUUUGGCUCACCGGCACCGCAACUCCUCAUUUUUUCAGAGUUCUUCAUCGACUAGUACCCAAACACAUCAAGCCGUUCUGCACUCUAGUAAUGAAUAUCUCCACCGGAUCCUCGCUCCAGCCACAAAUGCUGCAAACACUAGUCGGUGCCAUGUUCCUGUGGUGAGCAACAUCUGCAGUGGGUAAGCUUUGGCACGCAAACCUCCAAGAAAAGCCUUUAAUUUAGUGGGUAUUGUAUGCUUCCACAUUCUUGUCCAUGAUCUUUCAAAAAAAUCAACUCAGACCCACAUACUCGCCCAUUCAGCCAGGCCUCACGACAAGUUUUGGUAUGCACAAGCAUCAUGUAGGUUGAUCAAAUAGUAAAGCAGCCCUUCUUCUCAAAAAACCAUGCCCUUUCAUCUUCUAAGUUGAUUGUUGGUAGCGGAAUCCGACAUACUAUGUCUGCGUCCAUAGGCAGCAUGUGCUUAGCUAGCACCUCGUCAUUCCAUGAAAGGGUUGCGUCAUCAAUGAGUUCAUUAACCAACUCUGGUCUUUCUUCUAACAAAGGUCCAAUAUGUCGCAUCAUCGACUCCCUCAGGAGCCAGCAAUUGUUCCGCACCUCAAGUCCUUCUAGAAUUGAUCUCCAAACUUGCGAAGGUUGUGAACCAAGUUCGGUUGACGAGAAAUCUGAAAUAAGGAAAUACCUUGCUUUUAAAAUCUGUGCACUCAAAGUGUUUGGCUUUUGUAACACCCAAUGUCCUUCCCUAGACCAAACGUAUGGCUGCUGUACAAGUGGGACGACCCACCUACUCAAUCCUUGGAGCAAGAAGGACGAGUGUACGAGAAGGUAAGAUGAAGAGUAGGAAGAAGAAACUGAAAACUUCUCCUCUCUCUCUGUUCGUCUCCUUCAGGUCCGUUUGCUCUCUUUCAGGUCCGGUUGCUCUCCAUAAGCAAUCCUUAUCUUCUCACGUCACGGCAAUAGCCGGUGGCCGUGGGAGGUGACACCUUUUAAGUGCCAACGUAAUUUCAAAUCAUUUGUGAAUGGUAUUUUUUAAUGGAAAAUCGUUUGUGUGCAGUUGGUGAACGAAACAACACCAAAAGGCAUCCAACCAUAUGUUGUGUUUAUGUUCUUCUUCGUGUUCUUGUGCAGCUAUCUGAGAUCGGUUAACAUCAAUUGAUACUCUUAUAUACGAAGCAAUAUCUUGGGUCAUGUGUCUCAUGACCGCCCCCGCUUGCAAAGACGGAGCUAAUCUUGACGACCACCAUCCGAAUGGCCGAUGUUCCAAGUCCAAAUGUAGUUGCGCAGAUGGUUACAUUGAUCACUUUGACCACAAGGAACACCUAGUAAUUUGCGCAAGUGCCCUUGGCUAUAUGUUUGCAAUGAGCAUUUUCUGCUUCAAUGUGGUGUACACUCCAGUCACGAAUGGCACAGCCAACGUGGCCCAAGGACCCGGGGACAUCUUCGUCCGACUUGUAGGAAAAAGAGGGCUCGAUCUCCGCGCCUCUCCGCUGACUUCACCGGCUUUCAACCUUGCCUUGGACUUUGAUCAGACACCACCAACCUACCGGCGCUGCAGCGGAGGCGGCAACUCAUUGUUGCGCGUCUCCUACCAUGACAUGAUCCUGGCGUGGGCUUAGGCACCGCAUUUUUGCGUCUAUGGCAACCGGAGCAUUGGCAGUGUUGGUACCUUGGAGGUGGAGGCCAAGGCGAACGCCUGCGUGCUGCAAGGGGAGGUGCGCAACUUUCUUUGGAGCGAGAUUCAGGUCGUGGGCAAGGUUGAGUUCGCCGUGGAUGGGGAGGUGGCGGGCCUAGGGUAACUUCACUGCAAGUUUUUCAUCAUGAAAGAUCAGGCGAUUGAUGUGCCCAAGAGCCUGUGCAUCUUCGGUCAAUAGGGUGGACCUAUGUGUUCAAAUAAGGGUGUUAUAUAUUCUCCUUUCUGUCACUAGAUUGCAUUUACUUUUGUAAUAGCUGCUAUAUUCAGCUUUGAAAUAAAACAAACCAUUUCAGCUGCAUAUUUUUCGAGUGGUUAUUUUCUUCAGAAAAUGCUAGCUCAAUCCUCCGUGCAAAAAUCCAACGGGAAGUUUCACCAUACUAUGUAGGCUUCAGACUUGCAUAACACCAUACAAUGUACUCUACUCAGCUGUUGGACUGAUCAGGGGGACUUGCUUCGAGUAUAUACAUUGGCUUCUCUGCUAAUUUUGCUAGUCUAAUUGAUGAUAAGGGUGUACACGUGAAGCUUCACUUAGUUCUAUUCAGUUACAACCCAGUCUAUGUUCUUUGCUGUGCGCACACCUUCUCCUUCAUGUUUGUUCCCGCUCCAAUGGUCAUCCUUCUUGUUCAUGUUAGGUCCUUCAUUCAUUAGUAAAACAAAAGCAUCUAACUUAGGCAACAUCAUAUGUUCAUGAAUAUUAGAAGGAUUCCCAAGAAAUGAAAGUACCUGGUAAUUCAAUUGACGUGUGUGUGCUCUAGUAACUAAUCGAGUAUGUAUAACAGUAGGGGUUGUGGGUGUAAUAAUGAUAUUGAUGUCCUCGUCAUCCUCCCCUUCUUGAACUGAAGUCUUCCUCGACGGAAACUCGUCUUCCUCACCCAAGUAAGGCUUCAAAUCUGUAGUGUUAAAAGUGGGACUAACCCCAAACUCUGCAGGCAGCUCAAGUUUAUAUGCAUUAUCGUUUAUUUUCUCUAACACCUUAAAACGACGAUCAUCAUGUGGCAUUAGCUUUGACUUGCGCAAAUCAGGAAAUCUAUCCUUCCGCAAAUGUAACAAAACAAGAUCUCCAGGUGCAAAGACAACAUCUUUUCUACCCUUAUCUCCAACAAGUUUGUAUUUAGCAUUCCUACGCUCAAUGUUUUCCUUAUGUAACAUCCCAAACUCUCGAAGGUUAUAUUAUUAAAACUUAAUGAUUGAUUGUUUGAAAUUGAGUGAAAAUUGAAACUUUUUAAAACUUUUAAAUGAGAGGGAAUAACAUGACUUUCCCCCUUUGUUCUUGAAUGCAAAUUCAUCAGUUUCAAAACAUUGAGAGAAGAUGACAUGACUUCUUCAAAAUAAAAGAUUUGAAAUUUUGGAUUUGAAAACAACUGAAAUUUUCCAUAUGGAAUUUAUUUCAUAAUGAGUUCUAUUUCUAUUUUAAAGUUUGGAUGAAUUCAAAUUUCCUUGCCCAAAUUCAAAAAAAAUAUUGAGAGGAGAAAUUUGACACUCCAAACGAGGGGAAAUAUUGAAUUAUAUUCGAAUUUAAAAUGCUGGGAAUUUUUUUGGAAAAUAUUUCAUAUUGGGUUUCCAAGCCAUUCUUUAUGUGGUUUUCAAAAUUAUUUUCUCCAAAAAUAAAAUAUUUGGAAAAUAGGUUAAAAUGAUUUCCUUCAAUAUAAAAAUGGAGAAAAAUGAGUUUGCAAUCAUUUUGGUAUUUUUGAAAAUAUUGUAUUACAUUUUAAACUCAAUAGUAGCACUGUUUGAAUUAUUUGAAUCUAUCAGAAUUUUGUUUGACCUUGACAAUAUGUUCAUGUUGUAGGAAAUCUUAUUCCGGUCAAUUGGUAUACUAUAUGCCUAUAUAUGGUUUCCAUUUAUUUUUUGUCUCUGUUCUAAAAUAUAAACAAAACGGUUUUCUGUUAAAAAAAGGGCGAAACCCAACAAAGCGUCUGAGGCCCAGGCCGUCGACAGCCCACCUUUCGCCCGUGCCCGAAAUGGCAAGCGACUGGCCACCGAUCCCCUGGGGAAUCCUCUUCCUCUCAGUGAUAUGCGGGCCAAGCCGACCGAUCCCGAGAUCCCCGCAGUCACCUUCCUCCCGCGUUCCCCUUUCCUUCUCGUUGUUUGUGCCGCCGCGAUCCGCCGAUCCUAUGCCAUUUAGACCCCACCCCUCCUCCACGCAAGCCCCCCUGUAAAUACCCCGCCUCCCGCACUCAUUCCCUACCCGAAGCCCUCUCUCUUACUCCCCAGCACCCACGCAAUCCCUCGCGAGAGUUAGCCAUGGUCACCUCUCCAUUGCCACACAACCACUCCCCCUAGCCCUCUCCAACGAACGUAGACACCUCCAUUCGCUCGGCCACUCUCGUCUGUACCUCCCCGUGCACUCGUGCGAGCUCUAGAACAACCGAAGCUACCCCCCCCCCCGUAUGACCACCAAACGUCGUAGUCGCUGCCACGCUCGCCGCCGUCACUCCCGUACACCUCGAUCUCCACCUGGACCACGAGAAGAACCUCCUCGCUCAUCCGCGUCGCUGGACUCGUCCUCGACGUCAUAGGAACAUUGGAGCACCGCCCUACAUUGCCUCGCCACCUCAGACAUCGUCGAAGCCUCGCCAGAGACCUCCACCAUCGCGGUAAGUCAUCGGCACCGUCCUUGCUCAUCCGAUCUAGCAUCUACGGUGUAGAUUAGAUCAAGCGUACCCCUUUGGUUUAUGUAAAGAAUCAGUCGGUUUUUCUCUGUUUAUUUAGACCGAAGCGUUUUCCUCCAACGUGCGGUUGUCUGCUAGUUUACACCGCGCGUUGAUACAUCUCAAACGUAUCUAUAAUUUUUUAUGGUUUCAAGUUGUUAUCUUGUCAUCUUUGGAUGUUUUGUUUACCUUUUAUAUAUUUUUUGGGACUAACUUAUUAAUUUAGUGCCAAGCGCCAGUUCCUGUUUUUUCUGUGUUUUUGACUCUUUUCAGAUCUGAUUUUGGAACGGAGUCCAAACGGAAUAAAAUCCCCGAAAUAAAUUUUUCUAGAACGGAAGAAGAUCGGGAGGCUUGAGGGCCAAGGCAGUGGGCUCACACGGAGCCCACAAGCCCUGUUGCCGCGGCCAGGGGGCCCGCAGCAACCAGGCAUGUGGCCUCCCUGUUGGGGAACGUCGCAUGGGAAACAAAAAAUUUCCUACGCGCAUGAAGACCUAUCAUGGUGAUGUUCAUCUAUGAGAGGGGAUUUCCGAUCUACGUACCCAUGUAGAUCGCACAGCAGAAGCGUUAGUGAACGCGGUUGAUGUAGUGGAAUGUCCUCACGUCUCUCGAUCCGCCCCGCGAACCGUCCCACGAACCGUCCCGCGAUCCGUCCCACGAUCUAGUGCCGAACAGACGGCACCUCCGCGUUCAGCACAUGUACAACUCGAAGAUGAUCUCGGCCUUCUUGAUCCAGCAAGAGAGACGGGGAGGUAGAUGAGUUCUCCGGCAGUGUGACGGUGCUCCGGAGGUUGGUGGUGAUCUAAUCUCGGCAGGGCUCCGCCCGAGCUCUGCAGAAACGCGAUCUAGAAGUAAAACCGUGGAGGUAUGUGGUCGGGCUGCCUUUGAAAAGUUGUCUCAAAUCAGCCCUAAUUGCUCCAUAUAUAUAGGAGGAGGGAGGGGAGGCUUUCCUUGAGGCUCAAGGAUCCCCAAGGGCUGCGCACCAAGGGGAGGAGGAGUCCUCCUCCAAUCCUAGUCCAACUAGGAUUGGAAAGUGGAGUCCUUCUCUCCUUUCCCACCUCUUUUUUUUUCUUUUCUCUUUGAUUUUCUAUCCUUGGCACAUAGGGCCUUCUUGGGAUGUCCCACCAGCCCACCAAGGGCUGGUGCGCCACCCCCAAGGCCUAUGGGCUUCCCCGGGGUGGGUUGCCCCCCCCCCCCGGUGAACACCCGGAACCCAUUCGUCAUUCCUCGUACAUUCCCGGUAACUCUGAAAACCUUCCGGUAAUCAAAUGAGGUCAUCCUAUAUAUCAAUCUUCGUUUACGGACCAUUCCAGAAACCCUCGUGACGUUCGUCAUCUCAUCUGGGACUCCGAACAACAUUCGGUAACCAACCAUAUAACUCAAAUACGCAUAAAACAACGUCGAACCUUAAGUGUGCAGACCCUGCGGGUUUGAGAACUAUGUAGACAUCACCCGAGUGACUCCUCGGUCAAUAUCCAAUAGCGGGACCGGGAUGCCCAUAUUGGAUCCCAUAUAUUCUACGAAGAUCUUAUCGUUUGAACCUCAGUGCCAAGGAUUCAUAUAAUCCCGUAUGUCAUUCCCUUUGUCCUUCGGUAUGUUACUUGCCCGAGAUUCGAUCGUCAGUAUCCGCAUACCUAUUUCAAUCUCGUUUACCGGCAAGUCUCUUUACUCGUUCCGUAAUACAAGAUCCCGCAACUUACACUAAGUCACAUUGCUUGCAAGGCUUGUGUGUGAAUUUGUAUUACCGUGUGGGCCCCGAGAUACCUCUCCGUCAAAAGGAGUGAGAAAUCCCAGUCUCGAUCCAUACUAACUCAACGAACACCUUCGGAGAUACCUGUAGAGCAUCUUUAUAGUCACCCAGUUACGUUGCGACGUUUGAUACACACAAAGCAUUCCUCCGGUGUCAGUGAGUUAUAUGAUCUCAUGGUCAUAGGAAUAAAUACUUGACACGCAAAAAACAGUAGCAACAAAAUGACACGAUCAACAUGCUACGUUCACUAGUUUGGGUCUAANNNNNNNNNNNNNNNNNNNNNNNNUACCUCUCCGUCAAAAGGAGCGAGAAAUCCCAGUCUCGAUCCAUACUAACUCAACGAACACCUUCGGAGAUACCUGUAGAGCAUCUUUAUAGUCACCCAGUUACGUUGCGAUGUUUGAUACACACAAAGCAUUCCUCUGGUGUCAGUGAGUUCUAUGAUCUCAUGGUCAUAGGAACAAAUACUUGACACGCAGAAAACAGUAGCAACAAAAUGACACGAUCAACAUGAUACGUCUAUUAGUUUGGGUCUAGUCCAUCACGUGAUUCUCCUAAUGACGUGAUCCAGUUAUUAAGCAACAACACCUUGUAUAUAAUCAGAAGACCCUGACUAUCUUUGAUCAACUGGCUAGCCAACUAGAGGCUUGCUAGGGACAGGGUUUUGUCUAUGUAUCCACACAUGUAUAUAAGUCUUCAUUCAAUACAAUUAUAGCAUGGAUAAUAAACGAUUAUCUUGAUACAGGAAUUAUAAUAAUAACUUUAUUUAUCAUUGCCUCUAGGUCAUAAUUCCAACAAUCUCCCACUUGCACUAGAGUCAAUAAUCUAGCCCUCACAUCAUCAUGCGAAUUACAUUGUAAUAAAUCUAACACCCAUACAGUUCUGGUGUUGAUCAUGCUUUGCCCGUGGAAGAGGUUUAGUCAGCGGGUCUGCUACAUUCAGAUCCGUGUGCACUUUGCAUAUAUUUACGUUCUCCCCUUCGACGUAGUCGCAGAUGAGGUUGAAGUGUUGUUUGAUGUGUCUGGUCUUCUUGUGAAACCGUGGUUCCUUUGCUAAGGCAAUGGCACCCGUGUUGUCACAGAACAAGGUUAUUGGAUUCAGUGCGCUUGGCACCACUCCAAGAUCCGUCAUGAACUGCUUCAUCCAGACACCCUCCUUAGCCGCCUCCGAGGCAGCCAUGUACUCCGCUUCACAUGUAGAAUCUGCUACGACGCUGUGCUUGGAACUGCACUAGCUUACCGCACCCCAUUAAGAAUAAAUACGUAUCCGGUUUGCGACUUAGAGUCGUCCGGAUCUGUGCCAAAGCUAGCAUCAACGUAACCUUUUACGGCGAGCUCAGCUAUGACGCUUUGCUUGGAACUGCACCAGCUUACUGCACGCCCAUUAAGAAUAAAUACGUAUCUGGUCUGCGACUUAGAGUCGUCCGGAUCUGUGUCAAAGCUUGCAUCGACAUAACCCUUUACGGCGAGCUCUUCGUCACCUCCAUACACGAGAAACAUCUCCUUAGUCCUUUUCAGGUACUUCAGGAUAUUCUUGACCGCCGUCCAGUGAUCCACUCCUAGAUUACUCUAGAACCUGCCUGCCAUACUUAUGGCCAGGCUAACGUCCAGUCUAGUGCACAACAUUGCAUACAUGAUAGAUCCUAUGGCUGAAGCAUAGGGGACGGUGCUCAUAUGCUCUCUAUCUUUAUCAGUUGUUGGGCACUGAGUCUUACUCAAUCUCGUACCUUGUAAAACUGGCAAGAACCCUUUCUUGGACUGUUCCAUUUUGAACCUCUUCAAAACUUUAUCAAGGUAUGUGCUUUGUGAAAGUCCUAUCAGGCGUUUCGAUCUAUCCCUGUAGAUCUUAAUGCCUAGAAUGUAAGCAGCUUCUCCUAGGUCCUUCAUAGAGAAACUUUUAUUCAAGUAAUCCUUUAUGCUCUCCAAAAACUCUACGUUGUUUCCAAUCAGCAAUAUGUCAUCCACAUAUAAUAUUAGAAACGCCACAGAGCUCGCACUCACUUUCUUGUAAAUACAAGAUUCUCCAACCACUUGUAUAAACCCAAAUGCUUUGAUUACCUCAUCAAAGCGUUUGUUCCAACUCCGAGAUGCUUGCACCAGUCUAUAAAUGGAUCCCUGGAGCUUGCACACCUUGUUAGCAUUCUUAGGAUCGACAAAACCUUCGGGUUGCAUCACAUACAACUCUUCCUUAAGGAAACCGUUAAGGAACGCCGUUUUGACAUCCAUCUGCCAGAUUUCAUAAUCGAAAAAUGCAGCUAUUGCUAACAUGAUUCUGACGGACUUAAGCAUCGCUACAGGUGAGAAUGUCUCAUCGUAGUCAACUCCUUGAACUUGUGAAAAACCCUUAGCCACAAGUCGAGCUUUAUAAACGGUCACAUUGCCGUCAGCGUUCGUCUUCUUCUUAAAGAUCCAUUUGUUCUGAAUAGCCUUGCAGCCCUCAGGCAGUACUUCCAAAGUCCACACUUUGUUUUCAUACAUGGAUCCUAUCUCGGACUUCAUGGCCUCCAGCCAUUUGUUGGAAUCUGGGCCCACCAUUGCUUCUUCAUAAUUUGCAGGUUCAUUGUUGUCUAACAACAUGAUUGACAAAACGGGAUUACCGUACCACUCUGGAGCAGCACGUGGUCUCGUCGACCUGCGUGGUUCGAUAGGAACUUGAACCGGAGUUUAAUGAUCAUCAUCAUUAACUUCCUCCUCAACCGGCAUCGCAACGACAGGGGUUUCCCCUUGCCCUGCGCCACCAUCCAGAGGGAUGAGAGGUUCGACAACCUCAUCAAGUUCUAUCUUCCUCCCACUCAAUUCUCUCGAGAGAAACUCCUUCUCGGGAAAAGCUCCAUUUUUAGCAACAAACACUUUGCCCUCGGAUUUGAGAUAGAAGGUGUACCCAACUGUCUCUUUUGGUAACCUAUGAAGAUGCACUUUUCCGCUUUGGGUUCCAGCUUUUCAGGCUGAAGCUUUUUGACAUAAGCAUCACAUCCCCAAACUUUAAGAAUCGACAACUUUGGCCUUUUGCCAUACCACAGUUCGUAUGGUGUCAUCUCAACGGAUUUUGAUGGUGCCCUAUUUAAAGUGAAUGCAGCUGUGUCUAAUGCAUAACCCCAAAACGAUAACGGCAAAUCAGUAAGAGAUAUCAUAGAUCGCACCAUCUCUAAUAAAGUACGAUUAUGACGUUCGGACACACCAUUACGCUAUGGUGUUCCAGGCGGUGUCAACUGUCAAACAAUUCCACAUUGUCUUAAGUGAGCACCAAACUCGAAACUCAGAUAUUCACCCCCACGAUCAGACCGUAGGAACUUGAUCUUCUUGUUACGAUGAUUUUCAACUUCACUCUGAAAUUGCUUGAACUUUCAAAUGUUUCAGACUUGUGCUUCAUUAAGUAGACAUAACCAUAUCUACUCAAAUCGUCAGUGGAGGUGAGAAAAUAACGAUAUCCGUCGCGUGCCUCCACGCUCAUCGGACCGCACACAUCGGUAUGUAUGAUUUCCAACAAGUCACUGGCACGCUCCAUUGUUCCGGAGAACGGAGUUUUAGUCAUCUUGCCCAUGAGGCAUGGUUCGCACGUGUCAAGUGAAUCAAAGUCAAGUGACUCCAAAAGUCCAUCGGUAUGGAGUUUCUUCAUGCGCUUUACACCAAUAUGAUCUAAGCGGCAGUGCCACAAAAACAUGGCGCUAUCAUUGUUAACUCUAACUCUUUUGGUCUCAAUGUUAUGUAUAUGUGUAUCACUAUCUAGAUUCAAUAUGAACAAUCCUCUCACAUUGGGUGCAUGACCAUAAAAGAUGUUACUCAUAGAAAUAGAAUAACCAUUAUUCUCUGACUUAAAAGAGUAACCGUCUCGCAAUAAACAAGAUCCAGAUAUAAUGUUCAUGCUCAACGCAGGCACUAAAUAACAAUUAUUCAAGUUCAUAACUAAUCGCGAUGGUAACUGAAGUGAAACUGUGCCGAUGGUGAUUGCAUCAACCUUGGAACCAUUUCCCAUGCGCAUCGUCACUUCAUCUUUCGCCAGCCUUCGCCUAUUCCGCAGUUCCUGUUUCGAGUUGCAAAUAUGAGCAACAGAACCGGUAUCAAAUACCUAGGCACUACUACGAGAGCUAGUUAAGUACACAUCAAUAACAUGUAUAUCCAAUAUACCUGAUUUUUCUUUGGCCGCCUUCUUAUCAGCCAGAAACUUGGGGCAGUUGCGCUUCCAGUGACCCAUACCCUUGCAAUAGUAGCACUCUGUUUCAGGCUUAGGUACAGCUUUGGGUUUCUUCGUCGGAUUGGCAACAGACUUGCCGCUCUUCUUUGAAUUACCCUUCUUGCCUUUGUCGUUUCUCUUGAAACUAGUGGUCUUAUUCACCAUCAACACUUGAUGUUCUUUACGGAGUUCAGACUCUGCGACUUUCAGCAUCGCAAACAACUCGCCGGGUGACUUGUUCAUCCCUUGCUUGUUGUAGUUCAACACAAAGCCCUUAUAGCUUGGCGGCAGUGAUUGAAGAAUUCUGUCAGUGAUAGCCUCUUGCGGGAGUUCAAUCCCCAUCUCAGCUAGACGGUUUGAGUACCCAGACAUUUUGAGCACAUGUUCACUGACACACGAAUUCUCCUCCAUCUUGCAAGCAUAGAAUUUAUCGGAGGUCUCAUACCUCUCGAUCCGGGCGUUCUUCUGAAAGAUAAACUUCAACUCCUGGAACAUCUCAUAUGCUCCAUGACGCUGAAAGCGACGUUGAAGUCCCGGUUCUAAGCCAUACAAGACUGCACAUUGAACUACUGAGUAGUCCUCCUUACGUGUUAACCAAGCAUUCUUAACAUCCUGGUCAGCCGUAGCGGGUGGUUCAUCUCCUAGCGCAGCAUUAAGGACAUAAUCCUUCUUCCUAGCUUGUAGGAUCAACUUAAGAUUACGAGCCCAGUCUACAAAGUUGCUUCCAUCAUCUUUCAACUUAGCUUUCUCUAGGAACAUAUUAAAAUUCAGGGUGACUGUCGCGUGAGCCAUGAUCUACAACACAAAUAUAUUCAAAGUGGACUUAGACUAUGUUCAAGAUAAUUAGAGUUUAAGUUAAUCAAAUUACUUGCUAAACUCCCACUCAAAAAGUACAUCUCCCUAGUCAUUUGAGUGGUUCAUGACCCACUUACACUAGCUCAAGUCAGAUCAUCACGUGAGUUGAGUAUAGUUUCAGUGGUAAGCAUCCCUAUGCUAAUCAUAUCAACUAUAUGAUUCAUGAUUGAACUUUCGGUCUCAUGUGUUCCGAGGCCAUGUCUGCACAUGCUAGGCUCGUCAAGCUUAACCCGAGUGUUCCGUGUGUGCAACUGUUUUGCACCCGUUGUAUGUGAACGUUGAGUCUAUCACACCCGAUCAUCACGUGGUGUCUCGAAACGAUGAACUGUAGCAACGGUGCACAGUCGGAGAGAACACAAUUUCGUCUUGAAAUUUUAGUGAGAGAUCACCUCGUAAUGCUACCGUCGUUCUAAGCAAAAUAAGGUGCAUAAAAGGAUUAACAUCACAUGCAAUUCAUAAGUGACAUGAUAUGGCCAUCAUCACGUGCUCCUUGAUCUCCAUCACCAAAGCACCAGCACGAUCUUUUUGUCACCGGCGCCACACCAUGAUCUCCAUCAACGUGUCUCCAUCGGGGUUGUCGUUCUACUCAUGAUAUUACUACUAAAGCUACAUCCUAGAAAAAUAGUAAACGCAUCUGCAAGCACAAACGUUAGUUUAAAGACAACCCUAUGGCUCCUGCCGGUUGCCGUACCAUCGACAUGCAAGUCGAUAUUAUCUAUUACAACAUGAUCAUCUCAUACAUCCAAUAUAUCACAUCACAUCGUUGGCCAUAUCAUAUCACAAGCAUACCCUGCAAAAACAAGUUAGACGUCCUCUAAUUUUGUUGUUGCAUGUUUUACGUGGUGACCAUGGGUAUCUAGUAGGAUCGCAUCUUACUUACGCAAACACCACAACGGAGAUAUAUGAAUUGCUAUUUAACCUUAUCCAAGGACCUUCUCGGUCAAAUCCGAUUCAACUAAAGUUGGAGAAACCGACACUUGCCAGUCAUCUUUGAGCAACGGGGUUCUCGUAACGAUGAAACCAGUCUCUCGUAAGCGUACGAGUAAUGUUGGUCCAAGCCGCUUCAAUCCAACAAUACCGCGGAAUCAAGAAAAGACUAAGGAGGGCAGAAAAACGCACAUCACCACCCACAAAACCUUUUGUGUUCUACUCGAGAAGACAUCUAUGCAUGAACCUAGCUCAUGAUGCCACUGUUGGGGAACGUCGCAUGGGAAACAAAAAAUUUCCUACGCGCACGAAGACCUAUCAUGGUGAUGUUCAUCUACGAGAGGGGAUUUCCGAUCUACGUACCCUUGUAGAUCGCACAGAAGAAGCGUUAGUGAACGCGGUUGAUGUAGUGGAACAUCCUCACGUCCCUCGAUCCGCCCCGCGAACCGUCCCACGAACCGUCCCGCGAUCCGUCCCACGAUCUAGUGCCGAACGGACGGCACCUCCGCGUUCAGCACACGUACAGCUCGACGAUGAUCUCGGCCUUCUUGAUCUAGCAAGAGAGACGGAGAGGUAGAUGAGUUCUCCGGCAGCGUGACGGCGCUCCAGAGGUUGGUGGUGAUCUAAUCUCGGCAGGGCUCCGCCCGAGCUCCACAGAAACGCGAUCUAGAGGUAAAACCGUGGAGGUAUAUGGUCGGCCUGCCUUUGAAAUGUUGUCUCAAAUUAGCCCUAAUUGCUCCAUAUAUAUAGGAGGAGGGAGGGGAGGCUUGCCUUGAGGCUCAAGGAGCCCCAAGGGCUGCGCUCCAAGGGGAGGAGGAGUCCUCCUCCAAUCCUAGUCCAACUAGGAUUGGAAAGUGGAGUCCUUCUCUCCUUUCCCACCUCUUUUUUUCUUUUCUCUUUGAUUUUCUAUCCUUGGUGCAUAGGGCCUUCUUGGGCUGUCCCACUAGCCCACCAAGGGCUGGUGCGCCACCCCCAAGGCCUAUGGGCUUCCCCGGGGUGGGUUGCCCCCCCCCCCCCCCCCCCCCCCCCCCCCNNNNNNNNNNNNNNNNNNNNNNNNNNNNNNNNNNNNNCUAUGGGCUUCCCCGGGGUGGGUUGCCCCCCCCGGUGAACACCCGGAACCCAUUCGUCAUUCCCGGUACAUUCCCGGUAACUCCGAAAACCUUCCGGUAAUCAAAUGAGGUCAUCCUAUAUAUCAAUCUUCGUUUCUGGACCAUUCCGGAAACCCUCGUGACGUCCGUGAUCUCAUCCGGGACUCCAAACAACAUUCGGUAACCAACCAUAUAACUCAAAUACGCAUAAGACAACGUCGAACCUUAAGUGUGCAGACCCUGCGGGUUCGAGAACUAUGUAGACAUGACCCGAGUGACUCCUCGGUCAAUAUCCAAUAGCAGGACCUGGAUGCCCAUAUUGGAUCCCACAUAUUCUACGAAUAUCUUAUCGUUUGAACCUCAGUGCCAAGGAUUCAUAUAAUCCCGUAUGUCAUUCCCUUUGUCAUUCGGUAUGUUACUUGCCCGAGAUUCGAUCGUCAGUAUCUGCAUACCUAUUUCAAUCUCGUUUACCGGCAAGUCUCUUUACUCAUUCCGUAAUACAAGAUCCCGCAACUUGCACUAAGUCACAUUGCUUGCAAGACUUGUGUGUGAUGUUGUAUUACCGAGUGGGCCCCGAGAUACCUCUCCGUCAGACGGAGUGACAAAUCCCAGUGUCGAUCCAUACUAACUCAAUGUACACCUUCGGAGAUACCUGUAGAGCAUCUUUAUAGUCACCCAGUUACGUUGCGAUGUUUGAUAUACACAAAGCAUUCCUCCGGUGUCAGUGAGUUAUAUGAUCUCAUGGUCAUAGGAAUAAAUACUUGACACGCAUAAAACAGUAGCAACAAAAUGACACGAUCAACAUGCUACGUCUAUUAGUUUGGGUCUAGUCCAUCACGUGAUUCUCCUAAUGACGUGAUCCAGUUAUCAAGCAACAACACCUUGUAUAUAAUCAGAAGACCCUGACUAUCUUUGAUCAACUGGCUAGCCAACUAGAGGCUUUCUAGGGACAGUGUUUUGUCUAUGUAUCCACACAUGUAUAUAAGUCUUCAUUCAAUACAAUUAUAGCAAGGAUAAUAAACGAUUAUCUUGAUACAGGAAUUAUAAUAAUAACUAUAUUUAUUAUUGCCUCUAGGGCAUAAUUCCAACACUCCCUAGCGCUCCCCUGCCCUAGCUCUUUGACCUAUAAAUUCCCUAAAAGUCCAGAAAAAAAAACAGGGCAUCCACGAAAACACUUUUCCGCCGCCGCAAGCUUCCGUUUCUGUGAGAUCUCAUCUGGAGACCCUUCCCGGUGCCCUGCCGGAGGGGACUUUGGAGUUGGAGGGCUUCUACAUCAACAUCAUCGCCUCUCCAAUGACUCAUGAGUAGUCUAUUUCAGACCUACGGAUCUGUAGUUAGUAGCUAGAUGGCUUCUUCUCUCUCUUGGAUCUUCAAUACAAUGUUCUCCAUGAUCUUCAUGGAGAUCUAUCCGAUGUAAUCUUCUUCGGCGGUGUGUUUGUCGAGAUCCGAUGAAUUGUGGAUUUGUGAUCAGAUUAUCUAUGAAUUAUAUUUGAGUCUUUGCUGAUUUCUUAUAUGCAUGAUUUGAUAUCCUUGUAAGUCUCUCUGAGUAUUGGGUUUUGUUUGGCCAACUAGAUCUAUGAUUCUUGCAAUGGGAGAAGUGAUUGGUUUUCGGUUCAAACCGUGUGGUGACCUUUCCGAGUGACAGAAUGGGCAGCAAGGCAUGCAUCGUGUUGUUGUCAUCAAGGGUAACAAGAUGGGAUUUUAUCGUAGAUAUGAGAUUGUCCAUCUACAUCAUGUCAUCUUGCUUAAGGUGUUACUCUGUUCUUUUGGACUUAAUACACUAGAUGCAUGCUGGACAGCGGUCGACGUGUGGAGUAAUAGUAGUAGAUGCAGAAAGUAUCGGUCUACUUGUUUUGGACGUGAUGCCUAUAGAUAUAAUCAUUGCCUUAGAUAACGUCACGACUUUGUGCGGUUCUAUUAAUUGCUCGACAGUAAUUCGUUCACCCACCGUCUACUUGCUUUCAUGAGAGAAGCCACUAGUGAACACUACAGCCCCCGGGUCUAUUCACAACUAUCGUUUCCACUGUCACUUUUACUUUGCUUGUUUACUUUGUUGCUUUCAGUUCUCACUUUGCAAACAAUCUAUAAGGGAUUGACAACCCCUUCAUAGCGUUGGCUGCAAGCUCUUUGUGUUUGUGCAGGUACUUGUGACUUGACGAGAUCUUCCACUGGUUUGAUACCUUGGUUCUCAAAACUGAGGGAAAUACUUACCGCCGCUGUGCUACAUCACCCUUUCCUCUUCAAGGGAACACCAACGCAAGGCUCCAAGGCCAUGGGGAAAUCCUUUGCAUAUUUGCCAAGUAAGUCCCUAAAGGCGUAGCUGUAGAAGCAGGAUUCCUGGCGCCGUACCUGGGAAGGUUUGUUGUCGCAGCAGCAGAAGGAUUUUUGGCGCCGUUGCCGGGGAGGAUCAAGUCAAGAAUAGUCUCUUGUCAACGUGCUGAUUUCUGGCGCGGGGAGGAGAUCUAUCCAAGUAGGUGUCACAAACUCAUCUCUUGCAUUUACCUUUUUUGCCAGUUGCCUCUCGUUUUCCUCUCCCCCACUUCACAUUUGCCGUUUUCAUUUGCCUUUUUGCCGUUUUCCUUUGCCGUUUUCUUUUGCCCUUUGUCGUUUUCCUUUGCCGGUUUUCUUGCUUGCUUGUGUGCUUGUUUGUUUGUUGAAGUCAUCAUGGCUGAAAACACCAAACUUUGCGACUUCUCGAGUACCAAUAAUAAUGAUUUUAUUAGUACUCCGAUUGCUCCCGCCACUAGUGCGGGAUCGUAUGAAAUCAACGCAGCUUUGCCGAAUCUUGUUAUGAAAGAGCAAUUCUCUGGCCUUCCUAGUGAAGAUGCCGCAUCCCAUCUCAAUACCUUCAUUGAGCUUUGUGAUAUGCAAAAGAAAAGAGAUGUGGAUAAUGACGUGAUUAAGUUGAAGCUUUUUCCUUUCUCGUUGCAAGAUCGCGCAAAAACUUGGUUUUCUUCUUUGCCUAAAAAUAGUAUCGAUUCUUGGGAUAAGUGCAAAGAUGCUUACAUAUCCAAGUAUUUUCCGCCGUCUAAGAUUAUCUCCUGACGUAACGAUAUCAUGAAUUUCAAGCAACUUGAUCAUGAACACGUUGCACAAUCUUGGGACAGGAUGAAGUUAAUGAUUAGAAAUUGUCCCGCUCAUGGCUUGAGUUUGUGGAUGAUUAUACAAAUCUUUUACGCUGGUUUGAAUUUCGCUUCUCGCAAUAUAUUGGACUCCGCCUCAGGUGGAACGUUCAUGGAAAUCACGUUAGGAGACGCUACAAAACUCCUAGACAAUAUCAUGACCAACUACUCUCAGUGGCACACUGAAAGGUCAUCUGCUAGCAAAAAGGUACACGCUAUAGAAGAAAUUAACUCGCUUAGUGCUAACAUGGACGAGUUGAUGAAUUUGGUUGCUAGUAGAAAUGAUCCUUUAGAUCCUAAUGACAUGCCACUAUCUUCCUUGAUUGAGAGUAGCUACGCUAGUUUGGACGUUAAUUUUGUUGGUAGGAACAACUUUGGCAACAACAAUGCUUUUAGAGGAAACUAUGUUCCUAGGCCUUUUCCUAGUAACUCCUCUAAUAAUUAUGGCAAUUCCUACAACAACACCUAUGGAAAUCAUAACAAAUUACCCUCUGAUUUAGAGAGUAAUAUCAAAGAGUUCAUCAACUCUCAAAAGAUUUUCAAUGCGUCCAUAGAGGAAAAACUACUCAAAAUUGACGAUUUGGCCAAGAGCGUUGAUAGGAUGUCUUGUGAUAUUGAUGCUUUGAAAGUUAGAUGUGCUCCUCGCAAGGUCAACUUGGAUGAAACUUUAAAAGCUAUGCGUGUCUCCAUGAAUGAGAGCAAAGAAAGAACCGCCCAAAUUCGCGCUAGGCAUGAAUGGUUUAAAAGGGCGCGUUCUAGUGAUGCAAAUCACGAAGAUCUUAAAGUGCUUGGUGUGACUCCUCUUGAAUCUUUGUUUUCGCGUGUCAAACCUAUUGAUGAAGGGGCUAGAUAUGAAUCCACUUUGGUUGAAAAACGCCCCAAUGAUUCGGAGCCCACCUAUCUUGAUGAUAAAGGUGUGGAGAGUGGGGUAGAAGAAAUCAAAUUUUUGGGUAGUAAUGAAACUCCCACUUUGGAUUUCAAGGAAUUCAAUUAUGAUAGUUGCUCCUUGUUUGAGUGCAUUUCCUUGAUGCAAUCCAUUGCAAACUCUCCACAUGCUUAUAGCCAAAGCAAAGCCUUUACCGCUCAUAUUGUAGAUGCUAUGAUGAAAUCUCUUGAAGAGAAGCUCGAAUUAGAAGUCUCUAUACCUAGAAAACUUCAUGAUGAGUAGGAACGUACUAUCAAAAUCAAAAUCAAAAACUAUGAAUGCAAUGCUUUGUGUGAUUUGAGUGUUAGUGUUUCCGCGAUUCCAAAGUCUUUAUGUGAUAUUAUUGGUUUUCAUGAGAUUGAAGAGUGUUCUAUUAAUUUGCAUCUUGCGGAUUCUAUUGUCAAGAAACCCAUGGGAAGGAUCGAUGAUGUUCUUAUUGUUGCAAAUAAGAACUAUGUACCCGUGGAUUUCAUUGUACUUGCAUAGAUUGCAAUCCUUCAUGUCCCAUUAUUCUUGGUAGACCUUUCCUAAGGACUAUUGGUGCUAUCAUCGAUAUGAAGGAAGGGAAUAUUAGAUUUCAAUUUCCCCUAAAGAAGGGCAUGGAGCAUUUUCCUAGAAAGAAAAUAAGAUUUCCUUAUGAAUCUAUGAUGAGGGGUACUUAUGGUUUGAGCACCAAGGAUGACUAUACGUGAUUCCAUCACCUUUUGCCUAGCUAAGGACGUUAAACAAUAGCGCUUGUUGGGAGGCAACCCAACGAAUCUAUCUUUUUUCUUUCUGUUUUGUGUUUUCCACACUUUCAUAAUUCUGUUAUGAUUGUGUUUUUUGUGUUUCUUUUUGCGUUUGUGCCAAGGAAAACCGUUAUGAUUAGUCUUGGGGAUGAUCGUUUGGUCAUGCUGGAAAAGACAGAAACUUUCUGCUCACAAAACGAAUUUUCCUGUUUUUUCUGUAAGAGCUUUUGAGUUGAAUCUUUUUGAUGCUGAUUGCUACGCAAAUUCUUCAGACUGUCGUAAUUUUUCAGAAUUUGUGAAGUACCAGAAGUAUACGAAGUAUACAGAUUGCUACAAACUGGUCUGUUGUUAACAGAUUCUGUUUUUGUUGAGUUGGUUGCUUAUUUUGAUGAAACUAUGGAUAGUAUCGGGGGGUAUUAGCCAUGUAAGAUUGAAAAUAUAUUAACCCAACAUCAACAUAAGUAGAAUUUAAGUUUGAUACAGUACCUAAGGAAGUGGUGGUUUGCUUUCUUAUACUAAUGUUAUCACGAGUUUCUAUUUAAGUUUCGUGUUGUGAAGUUUUCAAGUUUUGGGUGAAGUUCUUAUGGAAAAAAAGAUAAAGAGUGGAAAGAGCUCAAGCUUGGGGAUGACCAAGGCACCCCAAGUUGAUUCAAGGAUGUCGUGAAAGCCUAAGCUUGGGGAUGCCCCGGGAAGGCAUCCCCUCUUUCGUCUUCAAUCCAUCGGUAGCGUUACUUGGGGCUAUAUUUUUAUUCACCACAUGUUAUGUGUUUUGCUUGGAGCGUCUUGUAUCGUAGGAGUCCUUUAUUUUUGUUGUGUGACAUUCAUCCUUGCUGCACACCUAGAGAGAGAUACAUGCACUCACUGUGAUUUUGUCGAGCUUCACUUAUAUCCUUUGGUUAGACAAUUCAGCUCACAUGUGCUUCACUUAUAUCUUUUGAGCUAGUUGCUUUUGCUCUAUGUGCUUCACUUAUAUCUUUUCGAGCACGGCGGUGCGUGGCCUGGUAGUUGAUCUAUGCUAUGAAAGUAGUCUCAAAAGGGGUAGUUAUCCAGAGGGAUAUGAAAACUUCCACCUUCAUGUGCAUUGAAUAGUUAGAGAAGUUUGAUUCAUCUCAAUUAGUUUUGAGUUGUGGUUAUCGUAAUAUUGAAGUUAUAUUAGUAAGGUGUUGUGGAUCUAGAAAUACUUGUUUUGAAGUUAGUGAUUCCCAUAGCAUGCACGUAUGGUGAACCGCUAUGUGAUGAAGUUUGAGCAUGAUUAGUCUAUUGAUUUUCAUCCUUUGUGUGGCGGUCGGGAUCGCGCGAUGGUUUAUACCUACCAACCCUUCCCCUAGGAGUAUGCGUUGAAUGCUUUGUUUUGAUUACUACUAAAACUUUUGCAACAAGUAUAUGAGUUCUUCUUGACUAAUGUUGAGUCCAUGGUUUAGAUGCACUUUCACCUUCCACCAUCACUAUCUUCUUAGUGCCGUGCAAUUUUCGUCGGUGCACAAAACCCACCAUUACCCUCCCUCAAAACAGCCACCAUACCUACCUACUAUGGCUUUUUGAAAGCCAUUCCGAGAUAUAUUGCCAUGCAACUACCACCAUGACAUGUGCCACCACUUCUACAUUGCCAUUGCAUGAUCGUAAGAUAGCUAGCAUGAUGUUUCCAUGAUGUCUAUGCCAUGCUAGAUCAUUGUCACGAUAUAGUACCGAAGGCAUUCCAUAUAGAGUCAUCAUUGCUCUAAGUUUUUAGUUGUAAGUGUGAUGAUCAUCAUUGACGGAGCAUUGUCCCAUGUGAGGAAAUAAAAGAGGCCAGCGAAGCCCAUUUACAAAAAAAAGAGGCCAAAGAUGCCCACCAAAAUAAAAAUAAAAAUAAGAGGCCAAAGAGCCCACCAAAAAAAUGAAAGAAAAAGAGAGAAGGGACAAUGCUACCACCUUUCCACACUUGUGCAUAUUAAUCACUAUGAUCUUCAUGAUUCAGAGUCUCUCGUUUUGUCACCACCAUAUAGCUAGUGGGAAAUUUUCAUUAUAUAACUUGGCUUGUAUAUUCCAAUGAUAGGCUUCCUCAAAUUUGCAUUAGGUCUUCGUGAGCAAGCAAGUUGGAUGCACACCCACUAGUUUUCUUUAAGAGCUUUCACAUACUCUUAGCUCUAGUGCAUCAUUUGUAUGGCAAUCCCUACUCAUUCAUGUUGAUAUCUAUUGAUGAGCAUCUCCAUAGCUCAUUGAUAUGCCUAGUCAAUGUGACCAUCUUCUCCUUGUUUGUCUUGCAACCUCCACCACACUCCACACCACUUAUAGUGCUAACACCAUGUCUCACGCUCAUGUAUUGCGUGAGAGUUGAAAAAGUUUGAGAAAGUAAAGGUGCGAAAACAAUUACUUGGCCAAUACUGGGGUUGUGCAAGAUUUAAAUUCGUUGUGCCAGGAUGAUAGAGCAUAGCCAAACUAUAUGAGUUUAUAGGGAUAACUUUCUUUUGGCCUUGUUAUUUUGAAAGUUCAUGAUUACCUUGCUAGUUUGCUUGAAUUAUUAUUGUCUCCACGUCAAUAGCAAACUAUUGUUUUGAAUCUAAUGGAUCUGAACAUUCACGUCACAUAAGAGGAGCUACAAAGGACAUCUAUGCUAGGUAGCAUGAAAGCAUCAAAAAUUCAUUCUUUAUCACUUCCCUACUCGAGGACGAGUAGGUGUUAAGCUUGGGGAUGCUUGAUACGUAUCAAACGUAUCUAUAAUUUUUGAUGGUUUCACGAUGUUAUCUUGUCAUCUUUGGAUGUUUUGUUUACCUUUUAUAUCUUUUUUGGGACUAACAUAUUAAUUCAGUGCCAAGCGCCAGUUCCUGUUUUUCUAUGUUUUUGACUCUUUUCAGAUCUGAUUUUGGAAUGGAGUCCAAACGGAAUAAAAUCCCUGGAAUAAAUUUUUCCAGAACGAAAGAAGAUCGGGAGGCUUGAGGUCCAAGGCAGUGGGCUCACAGGGAGCCCACAAGCCCUGUUGUCGCGGCCAGGGAGCCUGCGACAACCAGGCUUGUGGCCUCCCUCGCGCUCCCCUGCCCUAGCUCUUUGGCCUAUAAAUUCCCUAAAAAUCCAGAAAAAAUCAGGGCAUCCACGAAAACACUUUUCCGCCGCCGCAAGCUUCCGUUUCCGCGAGAUCUCAUCUGGAGACCCUUCCCGGUGCCCUGCCGGAGAGGACUUUGGAGUUGGAGGGCUUCUACAUCAACAUCAUCGCCUCUCCAAUGACUCGUGAGUAGUCCACUUCAGAACUACGGGUCCGUAGUUAGUAGCUAGAUGGCUUCUUCUCUCUCUUGGAUCUUCAAUACAAAGUUCUCCAUGAUCUUCAUGGAGAUCUAUCCAAUGUAAUCUUCUUUGGCGGUGUGUUUGUCGAGAUCCGAUGAAUUGUGGAUUUGUGAUCAGAUUAUCUAUGAUUAUAUUUGAGUCUUUGCUGAUUUCUUAUAUGCAUGAUUUGAUAUCCUUGUAAGUCUCUCCGAGUCUUGGGUUUUGUUUGGCCAACUAGAUCUAUGAUUCUUGCAAUGGGAGAAGUGCUUGGUUUUGGGUUCAUACCGUGUGGUGACCUUUCCGAGUGACAGAAGGGGCAGCAAGGCACGCAUCAUGUUGUUGCCAUCAAGGGUAACAAGAUGAGAUUUUAUCGUAGGUAUGAGAUUGUCCAUCUACAUCAUGUCAUAUUGCUUAAGGCGUUACUCUGUUCUUUUGGACUUAAUACACUAGAUGCAUGCUGGAUAGCGGUCGACGUGUGGAGUAAUAGUAGUAGAUGCAGAAAGUAUCGGUCUACUUGUUUUGGACGUGAUGCCUAUAGAUAUAAUCAUUGCCUUAGAUAACGUCACGACUUUGCGCAAUUCUAUCAAUUGCUCGACAGUAAUUCGUUCACCCACCGUCUAUUUUCUUUCAUGAGAGAAGCCACUAGUGAACACUACGGCCCCCGGGUCUAUUCACAACUAUCGUUUCCACUUUCACUUUUACUUUGCUUGUUUACUUUGUUGCUUUCAGUUCUCACUUUGCAAACAAUCUAUAAGGGAUUGACAACCCCUUCAUAGAGUUGGGUGCAAGCUCUUUGUGUUUGUGCAGGUACUUGUGACUUGACGAGAUCUUCCACUGGUUCGAUACCUUGGUUCUCAAAACUGAGGGAAAUACUUACCGCGCUGUGCUACCUCACCCUUUCCUCUUCAAGGGAACACCAACGCAAGGCUCCAAGGCCGCGGAGAAAUCCUUUGCAUAUUUGCCAAGGAAGUCCCUAAAGGCGUAGCCGUAGCCGCAGGAUUCCUGGCGCCGUACCAGGGAAGGUUUGUUGUCGCAGUAGCACGCGUGCACAUGAGUAGGCCUAUCAGAGCGCGCCAUAUAGCCCUUGUCCUUUCGUUAGGAUUUUUUCUUUUUCUGUUUUAGUUUCAUCUCUUUUAAGAUUUCUUAUAUCUUUUAUGUUUUUUGGUGAUUCAUUUUGCAUUAGUUCAGAAAUUUGUUAUAGUUUUUGUUAGUGCAAUUAGAUUUCAAAUUGUAUAGUUUUACAUUCGAAUUCAAACAAAUUUUGUUCAAAGCUUGUUUUGUGGAUACCUUGAGUUUAAAAAUAGGUUUUUAGCUCAUUCUUUUUGCUACUUGUCACUUGUGACUUUAGUUAUCAAUAUGUCUAAUUUUAGGAAUUUUAGUAUAUUUGAAAUUAAUAUUUUAAGAAAACAGUAUUGUUUUAGUUCAUUAUGGGUUUAUUGCUAUUUCUUUUGUUUUAAUCGUUUUAAAUUGUUUUCUCAUGUGUUUGUGACAAGUUUUGUUUUGUUUUUCCGUUAGUUAAUAGUAGCUUUUCAACAAUUUUUAUUAUUAUUUUAGUUUGUGUUAUCUUAAGCUUAUUUGCAUGGCACCAAUUCUAGUUUAAUAAAUAACUUGAAAUUGAUUUCAAUGCUAAUAAGAUUCUUUUGGAAAAAUACUUUAUAUAAAUUGAUUUAUAAGUUUUAUUUUCUGUUAACUCUAGUUUAGAUCAGAAUCAAUUUGUAUUAAAGUUGAAACUCUUUUUGGAUUAAUUCAAGGUUAACAUUAUUUAGGUCAUAGGAAGAGUUUAUUAAAAGCUUUUCAAUUAGUUAUUUUGUUAAUAAAGUUUUAUGUCAAAUACUUUGUGUUAAUUCAAUUGUUUCAUAUUUUGUAUUUUAGUGUUAUCUUGUUGCUAAGUUUAUUAGGACAAAAGCUUAUGUUGUUUGGUGUGAUGUUCCUUAUAGUUCUUAGUUGUUCUUCAAAAAUAAUUCUUUUUGCUAGUAAAAGAUGUACUAAAAUACUUUUGCUAGAUUUUUAUCUUCUUGUUGGUUUGUUGUUGUUGAAAAAAGGUUAUUUUGUAGAAAAAAAAACUAUUCUUAGUUGCUUUGAUAAAGUCUUGUUGUUUUAACUUUCGUCUUAAAUAUUUCCUUCAUCACAACACUAUUAUGUUUAGUAUUUGUGUUGCUUUUUCAUUGGUAGUAUUGCUUGCUAGAAGUGUUUGCUUAUAUGAGUACAAUGUUUGAUUAUAUAUAUUUUCAUUGUAGAGUGACGAAUAGUUCUAUCAAGCUAUUUUCUAAGAGCAAUAUUACCUUCACCAACCUUACAACACAAGUUCACUUUGACCAUUUAUUCCAUACCUAUGUUUUAUUGCAUUUCGUGGAAUCAACCAAGAAAUUCCUCUAGUAGUGAUAUUGAAAGUUGUAGUUUGAGUAGAAUCAUGAGGUAGGAACCCAUACCCUUGACACCAAGUCUCGCGAAUCGUGGUUAAGUUAGUCACAGCUAUGCCUUAGUAGACGGGGAUUGGUAUGAGUGUUUCAUGUGAGAUGUAAGUGUGAUCAACCUCAAGGCUACAACACUUCAAGAUUUCAAUACACCUCUGGGUGGACUGCCUGUGAGAAGAGGGGAUCCUAGGGAUUGACUAGUGAACACCCAAUUCAAGAAGGGGUCCUAGGGAUUGGCUAGUGAUCACCCGGCUAUACAAACUCAAGAGGGGAUCCUAGGGAGUGACUAGUGAUCACCCCGUGCUUUGAACUCAAGAGGGGAUCCUGAGGAUUGACGAGUGACCACUCAGUUUUACCAAGGGAUUGACCAGUGACCACCCAGUUUUACCAGGGGAUCUCGGGGAUUGACCAGGGAUCACCCAGAUUUAUGGAAGGCUACUCACACCCAAUGAGAUUGAUGGAUCAUUCAAGACUAGAAGCUUCCAUGUGCAGUCGCAAGCUAUUAUGGGCUCUAGCAUAGUUGAGUACUCCGAAAAGACUAUGUCUCAGUCAUCCCGUUGUGAAACACCAUGUAGUGUGAGGACUUCAAGGGAGGCGACCGAGUCUUGCAGGAAAAGUAUGCAAAUCUCUGCAGAGUGUUAAACUAAGCGAUUAGCCGUGUCCCCGGUUAGAGACAAUUUGAGCUACUAUAAUUGGAUUGUCUGGAUAUUCUCAACACUUGAUACAUUAAAUGUACAGGUGAUUAAUGACAACUUUGGGUUAUGAGAAUUUGGUUGGCAGAACCAUCUCAUUAACGAUGCGAUCUUUGUACAAAGAAAUAUGAUUUAACUUUGAGUUAGGACAAAACUGGCUUUUAUGCAAAAACUUAAACAUAGAGCCUCCGUUGCCAUAUUUCAUACAGUGAUAGAGUUAUUUUCAUCUCCCUUCAUAUGUGAUCUUGCCAGUACUUUCAAUGUAGUGAGCUACACGACUGCAACAUCUUAUAUUGCAGAUAUUCAUACGACGAGUAAGAGUAUGACUUAGGGUUACGGUCUACACUCAAAUCGUUAGUGUUUAUUGGGACUCCACUCCCGUUGACUGUUUCCGCUAAGAUUUAAGAGGUAUAUAUCAGUAUUAUGUUAUUUACAUGUGAUUGCACUUUGAUAUAUACAGUGAUGUACUGUGUGUGCCAGCAUACCGAUUCAGGGAUGGCACAUACACACAGAAGCUUGACUCAUUUUGAGUCGGGUCGCUACAGAAAUGGUAUCAAAGCACAUGUUUACUGUAGGAGGUGACCCUAAAAACUGGAAAGCCUUAGGAAAGGAUUUCUCUAAAACUUUGUUUUCAAAAGAUCUUUUACUUCUCAUCUUAUCUGAGCUUUAUCAAAUAUUCUCUCUUACCUCACAUAGUUAGACAAUACCCUUUCCCUUUGAUCCCACGGAGACUCAACUGAAAGCCACCUGAGAGUACAAGGGUUGAAGUUACAACAAAUGAAAACUCUAAGGACCCUGAAGAAUCCCAAUAUUUAUGAGACCUUUAGAAGACCAAACCCGUGAUGAAUAGUCAUGUUAGAUGCGAAGAUUUGUGAGUUGUCCCUUGUGUGUCUGCUUUUCUGACAGCAAACAAAUAAAAUAUAUUUUUCAAAACUAUAUAUGUUUGUAUGGUUAUAUUUCUCCCUCUCUCUCCAACCUUGCCUCAUCGCUGCUAAACCCAUCAGAUGUCGUCGAGACGCGACAACACCAAGAAUGGCUCAAGGAACAAUGGACUUAGCAUAGAACAGUUGCUCGAGACCCAUAACCAAAUGUUGCAGCUCUUGAUGCAUAACCAAACCAGAGCAACAACAAUAACCCGCCACCCCAAGUUGAUAACCUUACCAACUUUCUAAAGUUGAACCCACAAGUGUUCUCAAGCAGCACAGAGCCAAUUUCCAUAGAGGACUGGCUCCGCAAUAUAGGAAGAGAGCUAGCCACCGUAGGAUGCACGGACAUAGAGAAGAUGAGGAUUGCUGCUCACCAGCUGGAUGGACCAGCUGCUUCCUGGUGGGAGAAUUACACUGCCACAUAGCCCACGACGAAUGUAACUUCGGAUCAGUUCCAGCAAGCUUUUCUCACCGCACAUAUUUCAGGUGGAGCCAUGAUUCUGUAGAAGAAGGAGUUCCGCAACCCACGCCAGGGAAGUCGUGCAAUAGACAGUAUGUGGAUCAGUUUUGCCAGCUAGCCCGCUAUGCUCCAGGAGACAUAGCGACAGAGCCGCUAAACAUGAGAAGUUUCUAGAGGGACUGAAUUUUGAGCUGGGAAUGUAGUUGACCAUGGCUACCUAUAAUAACUAUCAAGAAUUGGUAGACAAGGCUAUCAUUCUUGAAGGCAAGAAAAUGCAGAUGUAGAACCACAAGAGGAAGUACGAACAAGGAAGGUAUAACUGUGGAGUUUAGGAGAAGCCCCACUACACCCCGUACCUACCAAAUUCUGGAUCAGGACACAUGGAGUUUGGAGACAAAAUCAUGAGAACUAUUGAGGUCAUUCUCAUCACAGAAGCAUUUGAUGCCACCCUAAUGGCCACAACCAUGAAAAUGGAACUGGAGGAAUUGGAAAACAACAUCAUCCCAAACGAGCUGCACCAACAAAGAAAGAUAAGAGUCAUAUUACUUGUUUUGAGUGCACAAACACGGGACAUUGUGCCAAUGAUUGUCCAGAAAAGAAGUAGAAGCCUAGAGAAUUGUUGGAAGUUAACUCCUUCAAUUGUGAUGCUGCGGGGCAUUAUGCCAUUGACUGUCCAGACCCAAACAAAGCUGGAUCUGAGUAGUUGAGAUCAUAAUGUUGGCAAUAAGUGUAAUAGGUGGCACUCACAUUUUCAUGAGAUUAUGGAGUUGAAUGUUGUAACAAAAGUCUCACACAUUGUAAUAACUUAAUGAGUCAAUAUAAUUUAUUCUGUCAUGACUUCUUGUGUUGAAUUAUAUGAGUUGUUACUCUAUAAACAAAGACCUCUGACCAUUUUUGAGGAUAUGUACAUUUCAUUUAAGUGUAGUAGUAAUCGGUAUAACCAUAGGAAUCCAAGGAAAAAAUAAUGUACCGUAUAUGCCAAGGAGUCUGGACCAAUGAAUACAUGUGAAGGUGAUACUGGACCAUAUAUAUCAAACUGUGUGGAAGACAACAUUUUUUAUAAAGUAAUUUUGAAAUUAUAAUUUAGAGAAGAAAUUAAGGAUGUAAUAAAGGACUAAAUAUCAGAAGAAUAUUCUUUAUGAAAGAAUCAGUGCCUUUGAUGGUAAAGAAACCAAUGGAAAGGAAAAUGUUUUCCAAAGAGUGGGGUAUGUACCAAGAAUAAGCCUCAAAAUUAUUAUUCUAACCAAGAGCAUGAAGGAAGAAGUUAUGGUUNNNNNNNNNNNNNNNNNNNNNNNNNNNNNNNNNNNNNNNNNNNNNNNNNNNNNNNNNNNNNNNNNNNNNNNNNNNNNNNNNNNNNNNNNNNNNNNNNNNNACCGUCAAACAAUUUCGUAUCCUUUCUCCACCUAUGAUUCGGAGGCAACCAUCUUUUAUGUCCCAUGUAGCAAUAUUUUCCGCCAAAGGUUAACCACCUAGACCUUGUUGAAUGCAUACAACAAGGACAUGCCUCUUUGCNNNNNNNNNNNNNNNNNNNNNNNNNNNNNNNNNNNNNNNNNNNNNNNNNNNNNNNNUCUUUGCCCUUUGUACUCUAUCUUGAUAAAUCCGUGUAUACAAGGAAUUCAUUUAUUGUCCACAUCAAUGCUGCCCUCAUAUAAAUUUUUUUUUUCUCUGAGACAUCAAAAGUCAGAACCCUUUUGGCCCAUAAUUCAUUCAAUUAUGAUAUUAUGGGUUCUAGGUAGUUAUCAAUCUUCAUUCCAAGUGAGCUUGGACCCGGGAUUAUAAUAUAUAACAUGAAGUACGGAUGUUUCAUGCACAACCAUGGAGGCAAGUUAUACGGUACCAACAUCACUGGCCAAGUACUGUGGGAUGAACUCAUGUUUCCAAAAUGAUUAAAACCAUCUGACGCUAACCCAAGGCUGACAUUGCGUAGGUCCGAGGCAAAGUUUGGGUGACGUGCAUUGAAUGACUUGCAUGCUUCACCAUCUGCUGGAUGCCUUAAGACGCCAUCUUUUGUGCGUGCAUGAGCAUGCCACUUCAUGUGGCUAGCAGUAUGUUAUGAUGUAAAUUAUCUCUGCAACCUCGGUAUCAAAGGAAAAUACCGUAAAAAUCUUCACCGAUCUUCUCUUUGACGUUUAGCAUGACCCGUCCGCACCAAUAAUGUCGUCCUUCCACUUAGACUUCUUGCAAACUGUACAUGCAUCUAAAUUCUCUGUCUCCUUCUAGAAUAAUCAUACAACCAUCACGACAAGCUGGUAUCUUCUCAUAUCUAAGACCCAAGUCCUUCAUAUGUACUGUUUGGUAAAAAUAAUAUGUCUGUCCCCAGCAAUUGAUUGAUGAACUCAAGCAAUGACGUGAAAAUCAUGUUACUNNNNNNNNNNNNNNNNNNNNNNNNNNNNNNNNNNNNNNNNNNNNNNNNNNNNNNNNNNNNNNNNNNNNNNNNNNNNNNNNNNNNNNNNNNNNNNNNNNNNNNNNNNNNNNNNNNNNNNNNNNNNNNNNNNNNNNNNNNNNNNNNNNNNNNNNNNNNNNNNNNNNNNNNNNNNNNNNNNNNNNNNNNNNNNNNNNNNNNNNNNNNNNNNNNNNNNNNNNNNNNNNNNNNNNNNNNCGUCUUCCAUUCCAAUUUGAGACCCACCAUCAUCUACACUAGAAUUGUGCAUUUGAAAAGCGUCAUUCAGCAUGGCAUGCAUCAUCCCGCCCUCAUGAUCAGGUGUUCAAGACUUAUUUAUGGGGCCCGAACUGGACCCUUCGAUUAUUGGAUCUCUAUGAAGGUCAUGAUUGNNNNNNNNNNNNNNNNNNNNNNNNNNNNNNNNNNNNNNNNNNNNNNNNNNNNNNNNNNNNNNNNNNNNNNNNNNNNNNNNNNNNNNNNNNNNNNNNNNNNCUUAAAUAAUAUGACCGUUGGUGUGGAUAAGACCAAUGACUUGGCUUGGUUAUCAAAACGGUCAGAACCCUCAACUAUGAGAGUCCUCAUGUCACUCAUAUUCCUCACUUGAGGCUUUUGGUAGGAUUAGGCUUGGGUUGAGCAUCAUGAGGAAAUUCAUUCCAAAGUAUAACUUCGCCCCCUUUAACAGUACGGUGUUCCUAUUACUCAAGUGUGAAGAAAAUAAAACAGAAAGAGUAAAUCUUCAUGCUUCAAAGUCUUCAAAAUGAUUUUCUUGAGGACACACCGAAUUCCUCAAUUUCAAUAUCUUCACGAGGAAUAUCUAUUUCAUCGCAGAUUCUUCGCGAUUCAAUUCUUCAGUUUCAGACCAAUUUCUUCAACCGAAGAUAUACAUUUUUAGGGGUCGAUAUUCAUCAAAUAUCUCAAACUCCUCAUAGACUUAUAGAUCCUAUGUACACUCAUAAACACAUUAGAUACUUAACCUAUAAGUCUUCAAACCACCAAAAUCACUAAGGGGCACUAGAUGCACUUACAAUCUCCCCCUUUUUGGUGGUUGAUGACAAUUAGGUUAAGUCUUCAACAGGGAUAACAAUAUGAAGUGUAAAUACUUAAUUGAGGAAUUUUAAAUCAAGAUUCAGAGAGACUCCCCCCUGAAGAUGUGCAUAUCUUGAGGAUUUCGCUUUCUACAACAAAUGCACAUUGAUGAUUUAUAUCAUGGAGAUCUCCCCCUAAGUCUUUGCAAAUCAUGCAUACAUGUAACAUAUAGUAUGAAGAAAAUGAAGAUGCAUGAUGACAAAUGGUAUCUGAUGAAUUCCAGCAUGCGUGCAUUAAAAACUUGAGGAAUAAGCAUGCAAAGAAAAUACGUUCAAAAGCGUCAGAGUACCAUCGGGCUUAAGUUACAACUCAUUACAUAAAAACUUCAGAAGAGCCAAGAGUUUGUAACUUAAAUAUAGUUCGUAAGCCCCAAAAUAUCCCGCUUGAAGACUAACUCUCAAGUUUCUCCCCCUUUGUCAUCAAGUGACAAAAAGGGACAAACUGAGGACUAAUGCCCGUGAAGUCUUCAUUUCUUGGCGGUUGAUGAAGAGGCAUGAUGCUUCUUGGGAGUGGUCUUCUUCCUUGGACCGGUAGCAGUGUCGAGCUGUUCUCCAUCAGUUUCAGGAGUGCGGAAUGAAGAAAAGGAACUGUCUUGGGAGGCCACGACCAGUCAAAGUCUCGCUCAAAGUCCAUUUCUUCAAGCUCGGUCUAGGUCAUCAGAUGAGCAAGUGUAGCUCAGGUGCGAUCAAAAACCUCAUGCAGAUAGUGAUGGUUGAGCUUCACAGAGUUCGGUGUUUCAGUGAGGGUUUUCACAAUGGCGCCAAACUGGCGUUUGACCCACUGGUGAAGACUGAGGAGAAGCUCUCUUGUAUUCAUCACGCGAGGAGGAACGGGGCUUGCCGGGCGAGUCUCAGUAUCAUCCCAUGAAGAAUAAGCUUCUGGCUAUCUGAACUGGCCAUCAAGGGGCCUACUGCCUUCAUCAAUCACUGACUUGCCUUUUCCUUCAACUGGCUCGAAAGUCUUCUUGUUGACCCGGAUAGGAGGCAUAUAACCAACAUGGUUUUGGAAGUCAGCGUGGAAGUUGAUGCAUGUCCUUGUCCUGAUGAAUCUCAUGAUCCAUGGGGCAUAUAUCUUGUGAUCAAAUGGACACAUAGCAUUGUCGUCCAAAGUCCUCAAGAAGAAAUCAUGUAUGUUCAUAGGAAUACCAUGGAUGAUGUUGAAGAGGAUAUUCUUCAUGAUGCCUACGACAUCUUCUUCAUCAUCAUGGCCUUUGAUCAGCGCGAGCACACUGCAGAGGAUUCUGUAAACAGACCUUGGUGUAUAUUUGAGCUCGUGGACGAGGAAGGUAUUUCUCUAUGAUUGCCCUUCAGCCAAAGGCUUCAUGAGGACUUCCAUCAUCCCGUUGGGCAGCUCACGCUCACCGUAAAGCUUCACAACCUCCUCCGAGGGAAUUGAUACGGGCAGUUCACAGAGGAGCUCAGUAGCAGGAGCCUUGUAGUGAGUGCUUUGUGUCAUCCAGUCAAACACCGAGGUGUUAAUGUCUUCAGGGUCUCCAGAUAUGUGAAGAGUGGCAUAAAACUGAAGCAUGAGCUCACUGUUCCAAUCAGAGAUGUCUAAGCACAUUGGUAGCAAACCAGCUUCAUGGAGGACAUUGAGGACUGGAGCUAGGCACGGUAUUGCUUCAAGUUCAACGUGAGGAAUAUGCCUGUGCAGGAAUAUCUUGUUUCUUCCACACAGCACAGAGGCAUAGUAAUUUAGCUGUGUCCUUGUCCAAAACUUCAGAUGUCUCAUUUGAGGCUUGUCAUAUGGAUUCUCUCCAAUGAAGUACAUGCGCUCUUCAAAGAAGUUCUCCUUUUGAAACUGCGGUCGCUUGGAGAAUGGCUGACGCUGUACUGGCUGAAGAUUUUGCUGAGGAACAGGAGGGGAGACAACAAUUGCAGUCUCGGGGUUGAGCACGAUGAAGGCAUUGUCUUGAUCAAGUGCAUUUUCCUCAGCAUUGUCCUCAGGGUGAGGAAUUUCAUCAGCUAGGGCUUCAGGUGGAGGAGCUUGCUCAUGUUGUGCAUCAUGUUGAAGAAUGGGAUCUGGCUGGGCAUCAGGCUGAGCAAUAGGUUCAUCUUGCUCAGGUGGAGGAGUUGGGUCAGCCUGUUCCUCAUCUUGAGGAUUUUUCUCAGGACUUUGAAUUUCAUCAGCUUGAGGAAUUUCACUUUGCUCGUCCUCAACUGGCUUGGUGACAGAGGCAGUUUAUCAGCUGGUGCAGCUGAUCCUUCUGCAGUUACUUCCUGAGGAAUGGAGGGCUGAGGACUGUCGUCAAUACGAAUUUCUUCGUCAGUGUGUUCCUCAGAUACGGCAUCCUUCAUUUCCUCAUCUGUCCCUUUCGCUUGGUCAUCAAGGAUGACCAUUUCGUAAGACGAAGCGACGUUGAGGGGCACAGGGUCCAGUGGAGCAUUAUCUUCAAGCGCUUUGAGGCGCUUGGCCUCUAUUUCUUCUUCUGCUGAAGAGGCGUUUCUCUUUUUGGCUUCCUUCUCAGCAGCUCUGGUUUUCUUCACGUCUGAUGCAGACGGAAUCAUCUUCUUCACCUUUGAAGCUUUUGGUGAAGGGGUUCUCUCGACAGAUUCAUCAGCUGGCUUUGAGGAACCAGGUGGAGCAGAGUCAUCAGCUUGCUUUGAUGCAGCAGCUAGAUCAGGGGCAGUCUCACCAGCUGGAGCAGAUUCAUCAGCUGGAUUUUCCAUGGUGAUUUCUUCAAUAGCCGGUACAUCCACACGGUUUUCUUGGGUUAUUUCCUCAGCUUGAGGAGUUUCAUCAGCUUGAGGAGAUUCAUCAGUUGGCUCUUCAAUUAGGGGCUGAGGAGUUGGUGCUGGAGGGGCAGCCUUCUUGUUGUAAUCAUCAAUAGCUUUAGUGGCCAGUUUGAUGAAAUUGCUCUUGAGACUCUGAUGAUCAGAUAGCUUUGAGUACUUAUCAGUCAAAGUUUUCAACUCAGCCUAUGUUGACACUAGUGCAUCAGGCGUCAAGCUGAGGAGAUCCUGCUUGAGGAAUUUCUCCUUUUUAAGCUUAGCCACCUUGGCCUGCUUGGCUUGCUGUUCUUUCCACUUGGAUUCAUUGAUGAAUGUGGCCACCAUGUGGCUGAUGCCAGGGGGAAGUUUCAAAUCAUCAAGCAGAGUGUUUGGGUCCUCAUACCAGAUGUAUAUGUAGUCUAGGAGGACCUUGGGGUCCAUGGCCAGAGGAAUGGCGCUACCAGACGUUUGAGCUACCCUCUCCUGCUUGUUUCUGAUUAUUGCUUGCAGGGUUUGAUCAUCAUAUUUAUCACUGCCCUCUGAUGCAGAUGGGACUGUGAUGAUUUUGCUGGGGCUUGGUAGUGUUGCUCUUUCAGCAGACACCUGAGUCUUCACAGGAGGUGGUGAAGACUUUGUCUCCGAGCUGGUUGCAGCCGGGAGUGAGGAGCUGGAGGUAGCGGUCAGUGGCUUCAUGACCGGAUUUUGUACUAGUAUCUCUUGAGGCUUUGGUGGUGGUGCUGAGGUUUUUGGCGUUGAGGGUUUUGUAACUGAUGCCUAAGCAGAUUUCUCUUGAGGCUUUGGAGCCCUUGGUUUUGACGGCACAGACUGUGGUUGAGGAAUUGCUGAACCAAAGGUUUCAGCGGUAGAGGAAGUAGCUGCAGUUAAGGCAGUAGCUGAGGAUUCAUUGAAUUUCCUAACUGCAUCAUCUGCCUGCUUCUUGAGCUUAGCCAAAUGAUUGUCCUUCUCAUCUCGAUAGUCAUCAAUGGUCUUGAGGCUUGAGGGAUGUGCUACUUGAUGAGCCUCAAGUGGGGCCCAUUUGCCAGGAGGCUUCAGGGAGAAUUUCUUCGCAUACUUGGCAGUUACAAACCUGUAUUCCUUCCAUUCCUUAGCCCAUCGGCGUUCUAUCUUCUGCAGCCGAAUCUUUCUCUUGGCCAUUGUUUCAUUUUCAUCAGGUGUGCAAUAGUCCAAGUAAAUAUCCUUAGGGAUAUCCAAAGUUGUGUUCUGCUCAAGUUUCUUCCCUCCCUUCUGCUUUCUGUCAUCCUCCAUUUUCUUCAGCUCAGGAUUUUGCUUAUGAGAUUGAACUCUUGAGGAUUCUGAUGAGACUUGAAGAUUUUCUUCAAGAAACGCUGCAAAUGAGUUAAUGUGAUGAGGAACGAGAGAUUCAUCAGCUGACAUGUGUGUACCUGUGAACAGAGUAUAGUUGCGAGGAAUUUGGAGAGGUCAUAUGCAUUCUCAGAUUUGAAGAAAAUGAAAAAGUUUGACAGUUGAGGAAUUUAACCAGUGGUUGAGGAAUUUGCCUAAGCAUACUGUUCUUGGGUUCCAGAGUUGUACAGAUCCGAAAAUUCGCACAAUUGAGGAAUCUCGUGAAAAUCUUAGAUGCUUAGUGAAGUUCAUCAAUGGUGUGGUGAUAGGCAGUGUUUGAGGAAUCAAGUGCAUAUCAAUUCUUGAGGAAAAACAAAUUUCACAUCGGAGAUGUAACAUAGUAGAUCUAACUUGCUGUAAAAAUGGGGUUUUUAUUUUCCCUUGAAGGCGCGCACGAAGAACACAGAAAAGUUGUGGAGAGAAGAUCUUCGGUUGCGUGUCCAAUGCGCCCUAACCCGGCGACAUAGGACGUCUACGGCGGCAGCGGACGAAGAUGGUCUGACUCCGGCAUGGUUCCGGCGACGGAGAAGUCGAGGCAGUGAAGCUCUUCUUCACCGGCGACGAGACUUCAAGUGAUGGCGCUAGGGUUCGGUGCUUUUUGCUAUAGCAGGAGAGCGAUGGGGCGAAGAAGUGUUUGCCGAGGGGGAUAAGGACAUAUUUAUAGCCAUACAGUUACUGUCGGACCAAACAGCCCCUGCCUCUACAUCUCCGCAGGACACGUGUAGUUCCCGAGCAAGGCAGUGGAGAUAGUGGAGGUCGUGGUUAUCCGAACGUGGGAAGUGGGGUUCAGUUACUGUGCAUUAAAGAAACAAUUUUUGAAGAUUUGAGGAUUUUUGUUACAAAAUCAUCAGCUGACAAGGACGCAGUGAGGAUUUUGAACAAAGUUUCAAGUAGAACGCAUAUGAAGAAUCGAAUAGACUGGAUGAGAAUAGCAUAGAGGGAAAGUAGGGUCCGAUCACACUCACUUAGAAGAAAUAUCACCUUGAAGAAAUAGCUAUAAGUGAAUGCCGUUGAGGACUUGAAAUCACAGUCUAUCUAGUCAAACGAAAGUCAUCAAGUGUUUUUGAAGAUUUGAGUAACUUGAGAAUUUUGUGAUAAAUCAUCAUAAUGAAGAAUAACUGUUUUCAAGAAAAACACAUUUUGAGGAAAUGGAACAUUGAAGAAAAUCAACUUAAGGAAUUUCACGUUGGGCGGUGGCGUGACCCACCAUAUAAGAAUGUUGAUUACACACGCCGCGUACAAUUGUCGUAGGGCUGUGAGAAUCAAUUUCUUCGUUGAUUUCUUCACAUUCAGAGUGAUAUUCUUCAUCAGUUGAAGAAAAUCGAUUCAUCAUGUGUUGCACAUCUAAGUCAUCAAUUUUGCAUAAGUGUUAGGAUGUGUGCAUGUUUUUACAAAACAUUUGAAGAUUUUAAGAUAUUUAGCUCACACCACAACUUGCAAAACCUUUUCUCAUCUAAGGGCUUAGUGAAGAUAUCUGCCAGUUGAUCAUCAGUCUUCACAUGGUCGAUGAGGAUAUUGCCCUUGAGAACAUGGUCCCGAAGAAAAUGAUGACGAAUCUGGAUGUGCUUAGUCUUUGAGUGAUGUACUGGGUUGUAUGCAAUCUUGAUUGCACUCUCAUUGUCGCAGUAGAGAGACACAUUCUUCAUGUUGAUGUCGUAGUCCUUGAGGGUUUGCUUCAUCCAUAGUAAUUGAGCACAACAUGAACCAGCAACAAUGUACUCAGCUUCGGCAGUGGAGAGUGAUACGCAGUUCUGCUUCUUUGAGGACUAGCAAACUAGUGAUCUUCCGAGGAAAUGACAUGUACCAGAAGUUGACUUGCGAUCCACACGAUCACCACCAUAGUCAGAAUUAGAAUAUCCUACCAGAUGAAGAUUGGAGCCCUUGGGAUACCAUAAUCCUAGUGUUGGUGUGUGAGCUAAGUAUCAAAGAAUAUGCUUCACAGCCUUAUGGUGUGAUUCCUUCGGUUUUGCUUGAAAACGUGCACACAUGCAAACACAAAGCAUUAUAUCUGGCCUAGAUGCACAUAGAUACAAUAAAGAGCCAAUCAUAGAGCGAUAUACCUGCUGAUCAAAUUCUUUACCAUUUUCAUCAGUGCCGAGAUGGCCGUUGGUAGGCAUUGGAGUCUUGGCACCUUUGCAUUCAUGCAUGUCGAAUUUCCUCAGAACAUCCUUGAGGUAUUUCUCCUGUGAUAUGAAGAUUCCAUUGCGUUGUUGACAAAUUUGAAGACCUAAGAAGAAUUUCAGCUCCCCCAUCAUAGACAUUUCAUAUUCUUCACUCAUCAUGUACGCAAAUUCAUCACUGUAUUGUUUGUCAGUACAGCCAAAUAUGAUAUCAUCGACAUAUAUUUGGCAGACAAAUAGCUCAUCAUCAUAGGAUUUAGUGAAAAGAGUUGGAUCGAGUGAACCAGGUUUGAAGCCUUUCUUCAUGAGGAAUUCCUUCAAUGUAUCAUACCAUGCCUGAGGGGCUUGCUUGAUACCAUAGAGAGCCUUUUUGAGUCUGAAGACUUUGUCUGGAUUCUUUGGAUCCUCAAAACCUGGGGGCUGAGCAACAUAUACUUCUUCCUCAAGCUUACCAUUGAGGAAUGCACUUUUCACAUCCAUUUGAUAUAAGAUGAUGUUAUGAUUAUUAGCAUAAGCAAGUAGUAUUCGAAUAGCUUCAAGUCUAGCAACAGGUGCAAAAGUUUCAUCGAAAUCUAUUGGGCUACAAGUUGUGCCUUGUUCCUCACCACUUGACCGUCCUCAUCUUGCUUGUUUCGGAAAAUCCACUUGGUACCGAUGAUGUUGUGCUUGCGAGGAUCUGGUCAUUUGACGAGCUCCCAUACAUCAUUCAGCUUGAAUUGAAGAAGUUCGUCUUGCAUAGCUUGGAUCCACUCCGGUUCCAGAAAAACCUCAGCAACUUUUGAGGGUUCUGCGAUAGAUACAAAAGAAACAUGCCCACAAAAGUUAACUAAGUGUGAAGCUUUUGAGCGAGUGAGAGGACCUAGCGCCUUGAUGUCGUUGAGGAUUUUGUCAAGUUCUACUUCAUUUGCAAUCCUCGGAUGAGCUGGUUGAGGAUUUCGUCUGGGCUGAGGAAGUGGUUCUGGUGCAAUUUCCUCAGGAGCAUCUUCUUGAUUUUCCUCAGUGAUGGGGAUCGUUUCUUCAUCAAUUUCCUCAGUGGGAACAAUGUCUUCAGUAGGUUUGAGCUUUAUUGCUUCCUCAGGAGACAGCUUAUCUGGAUCAGAAGGCAAUUACUCUCUUUGUGAGCCAUUAGUUUCAUCGAACCGCACAUCUACCGUUUCAACAACUUUGUUGUGAUAGUUGUUGAAGACUCUGUAGGUGUGCGAGUCCUUUCCAUAACCGAGCAUAAAACCCUCAUGUGCCUUAGGUGCAAAUUUUGAGCUAUGGUGAGGAUCUCUAAUCCAACUUUUUGCACCGAAGACUUUGAAAUAACUUACAUUGGGUUUCUUGUCAGUGAGGAGUUCAUAUGAGGUUUUCUUGAGGAACUUGUGAAGAUAUACCCUGUUGAUGAUAUGUCAUGUAGUGUUGAUUGCUUCAGGCCAGAAGCGACGAGGAGUCUGAUAUUCUUCAAGCAUCGUUCUUGCCAUUUCAACCAGAGUCUUGUUCUUCCUUUCGAUGACACCGUUCUGCUGAGGAGUAUAAGGAGCAGAUAAUUCGUGAGUAAUACCAUGUUCAUCAAGAUAAUCAUAAAGACCAGUGUUUUUGAACUCUGUUACAUUAUCACUCCUGAUAUGUUUGAUCUUUAUGCCAAAGUUCGUCGAGGCCCUUGAAUAAAAUUGUUUGAAUAUUUCCUGCACUUCAGUUUUAUAUACUAUGAUAUGCACCCAUGUAUAUCUGGAAUAAUCAUCAACUAUGACGAAGCCAUAUAAAGAUGCUGCAUUGGUUAGUGUGGCAUAGUGAGUAGGUACAAAUAGAUCCAUAAGAAGCAAUUCGAAUGGACGUGUAGUGGUCAUGAUAGUCUUCGAGGGAUGCUUGGAUCUGGUCAUUUUCCCAGAUUCACAUGCACCGCAGAGAUGAUCCUUGAGGAAUUUGACUGAUUCGAUGCCGAUGACAAGCUUCUUCUUCGCGAGCGUGUGCAAGUUCCUCAUGCCUGCAUGACCUAGUCUUCGGUGCCAUAGCCAUCCUUUUGAGGUUUUUGCUAGUAAGCAAGUGGCUGGUUGAGGACCUAUAGAGAAAUCAACAAUGUACAAAUCCCCUCUUCUUACACCUUCGAAGACUUUGGAUCUGUCAGAUUCCAUGAUGACUACACAUCUAUAUCUACCAAAGAUAACAAUCAUAUCAAGAUCACAAAGCAUCGAGACUGACAUGAGGUUAAAACCAAGGGAUUCAACAAGCAUCACUUUGUCCAUAUGCCUAUCCUUGGAAAUAGCCACUUUGCCAAGUCCCAAUAGCUUGCUUUUACCUUUGUCAGCAUAUGUGAUUUGCUUCAGAGGUGAUGGAGUUAGUGGCAUAUUCAUCAGCAAGCUUUUAUCACCAGUCAUGUGAUGUGUGCAUCCACUAUCAAGAACCCACUCAGUAUUCUUGGGUUUAUCAUCGUGCAGAUGAAUUAGUACAGCUUACCAUCUCAUAUGCUUCAGAUUUGAAGAAUAUGAUAUCAAUUUCAUCAGAUAAGAAUUUCAUCACAACAGAAUUAUAAGGACGUGUGAAAUAUUUCUAUUUCAUCAAUAUUAGCUUGCGUCCUAUCAAGCAUUUCCUCAUGUCUCCAGCAAAUUCUUCAGAUGAUGAUUUUCAUCUGGAGACUUGACCUGCAGAAGUGAUUAGUUCGAUUUCUUCACCACCCACAUCUGAAGGGGUGGUAAAGCAUUCAUCAUCCUGCGUGCACCAUAUGAGAAAGGUGGCAUUGAAGCUAAUGCACUUCUCUUAUAGUAGGGGGGUUAAAGUACUCAUAUGAAUAUGUAGAGAACUGGUUUGAGGAUUUAUGAACAUAAUGAUUUGAAGAGUAACGCUCAUAUUCAUAUUCCUUGUAGUUUCCCUGCAUGUUAGACACAUUAGCACGGGUACGGGCAUAAUUUUGACCAGUUGAGGAUUUUGAUCCUCUUGAAGACUUUGGUCCUCCUGAGGAAUUUGAUCUGGGGUUCAGAUUCUUCAUCGGUAGUGUCAUGAGGACAUUCACCUGAAGAUUUUCAAGACAGAUUUUGGGAACCCGGAUUUUCCUCAAGGGAGGGCCAUUCCUGCAGUUAGUUCCAACAUAUCGAGCAAAUACUUCACCAGAUUGAUUUUUGAACAGUUUAUAGUUGGAGUCAAAUGACUCAUCUGAGUAAUAGGAUAAUUCACAUGAAAAGCUAGUUAGAUUAGAUGGAUCAAAAGGAGGCCCAGUAGCAGCAACCCAUGAGGUUUUGGGAUACUGCUCAGGUUUCCAAUAAGAUCCAUCAGCAUUUAAUUUCCUCUCAAAGGCAAUUCCUUCUUUCCUGGGGUUCCUGUUCAAGAUCUGAUUUUUGAGCACAUCACAAAGGGUUUGAUGUCCUUUGAGGAUUUUGUAUAUGCCUGUCACAUACAAUUCCUUCAACCCUGCAUUUUCAUCAGUAACAUUUGUGUUUUCCUCAAGUGAGGAAAUAGACACUACAGGUGCAGUUGAAGAAUUUGUGGCAAUAGAAGCAUUUGAUGAUUCUGGUGAAGAAUUAGCAGUUUCGCGUUCAAUGUAUUUAAGACAUGGAGGAAUGAAUUCAGCUUGAGCAGCGCUGAUCUGUUGAGCUAGUAAUGAAUCAUUUUCCAUACGAAGAUCAUCAUGAGAAAUCCUAAGCUUCUCUAGAUCAAGCUUCCUUUGAAGAAAUUCAUAGGAAAGUUUCUCAUGAUCAGCGAGGAGUGUAUCAUAACGAUCUUGAAGAUUAUCAAAUCUAGACUGAAGACUUUUCACAUCUUCACUGAGGAUUUGGGUACGAUUCAAUUCAUCAUUCAACAGAUCAUCACUUCUAUCUAGAAGUUUCUAAAGCUUUUCCAGGGCAGUUUGUUGUUUAGUGGCAAUGAUAGCAAGUUUACUGUAACUAGGUUUUUUAUAAUCAUCAGGUUCAUAGUCACUUGAAUCAGAGGAGGAAGCAUCAUUCGGUACCUUUGAACCUUUUGCCAUGAAGCAAUAGGUUGGAGCGAAGUCAUUAGCAUAGUCAUCAGUGUGGAUGGUGUUAUCAUCUUCUUCAAGGUUGAAGAUUGACUUGCUGACAAAAGUGGUUGCCAGUGCAAGACUAGCCUGUCCAGAUUAUGAGUCUUCAUCAUAACCCUCUUCUUCAUCACAUUCUUCUGAUUCUGCCUCGGAAUCCAUUUCCUUGCCAAUAAGUGCUCGAGCCUUUCUGAAACUAGUCUUCUUGUGCGAUGAGGACUUUGAAGAUGAGGAUUUUGAAGAUUUUUCUUCUUCUUCGAGUCAUCAGAACUGUCAUCCUUGUAUUUCUUCUUCUUUGAUUCCUUUCCCCAACGGGGACAGUCAUCAAUGUUAUGACCUGAUUUCUUGCAUUUGUGGCAGGUUCUUUUCUUGUAGUCCUCAGAUGAAGAUUCUGAUUUCCUCAUGUCUCUUCUUGAAGAUUUACCGAACUGUCCACGUCGUGUAAACCUCUGGAAUUUCCUCACGAGCAUUGCAAGCUCCUGUCCAAAUUCUUCAGGGUCACCAAUGCUAUCAUUCGAAUCUUCUUCUUCAGAUGAGGAAAUUGCUCUAGCCUUCAGUGCACGUGGUCUGGAAUAGCUUGGUCCAUAUAGAUCUAUCUUUUCUUCUAGUUGGAAUUCAUGAGUAUUGAGUCUUUCGAGUAUAUCAGCUGGGUCAAGCAUCUUGUAGUCUGGUCUUUUGAAUCAUCAGAACUAAAGUAUCAAAUGAAGAAUCCAACGAUCUCAACAGUUCCUUCACAACUUCGUGAUCAGUAAUGUCUCGAGCUCCCAGUGCUUGUAGUUCAUUUGAUAUGUCAGUGAGGUGAUCAAAGGUGUCUUGACAGCUUUCAUUGUCAUGCCUCUUAAAGCGAUUGAAGAGAUUGCAAAGAAUAUCAACACGAGAGUCACGCUGGGUUGAUACUCCUUCAUUUACUUUGCAUAGUCUCUCCCAGAUCAGUGUUGCACAACCCAAAGCACUCACUCUUCCAAACUGGCAUGGGCUCAGAUGGCCACAGAUGAUAUUCUUCGCUUGAGAAUCGAGUUGCUUGAAUUUCUUCACAUCAGCAGCAGAGACACUAGAAGGGAUGAUGGGGACGCCAUGUUCCACAAUAUACCAGAGAUCAUUAUCAAUAGCUUGUAGAUGCAUUUGCAUCUUGUUGUUCCAGAAGGGAAAGUUCUUUCCUUCGAAGGUAGGACAUUCUGCAGUCACCUUAAACAUGCCUGCAGUCGACAUAACUAAAACUCCAGGUGGUUAAAUCAAAAUCACACAGAACAAGGGAGUACCUUGCUCUGAUACCAAUUGAAAGUGCAUUAUAUUGACUAGAGGGGGGUGAAUAGGAGAUUUUUAGAAUUUCAUCACUGAGGAAAUUCCUUUUGAGGAAAUUCCUCACUGAUGACUAACUUACAGCGGAAACAGUAAAGGAUCAGAAGUGCAAAAUUUCACAACAAUAGUUUUUCAGUGUGAGGAAUGUGAAAACAUAUUGCACAGUGAGCAGGCACGCGGAAAAUAGAUGAGGAUUAACUAGUGUGAAGAAUUUGGGGUUGAGGAAUUUCAGAGAAAGUCUUCAGCAAAUUCUUCAAAUAGUAACAGUGAAAGUCAUCAACGCAUAAUCUGAGGAAAGUAAGGAGUUGAGGAAUUAGAACCUGUUUCUCAGCGAAGACAGUAGUUGAUGACCCAGUUCCAACUGGUGUGAUAGUCGUACAUCUAGUUUGGAGCGGCUUGGUAUUGAAACCAAAAGACACACAGUCCCAGGACACAUAGUCUGUUACGUAUUCUCCUUGAGCUAAGGACACACAGUCCUCGCCCAACACUCGUGGUAAGUCUUCAGGGCAGACUUCCAAACCCUCACAAACUUGGUCACCCGACGAUCCAUAAUUGACUGCUGGAAAGCUCUAGACCAUGACGCCUAACCGUCUGGAGGAUGCAUAGUCCUCAAAGGUAAAAGGCUUCAGUCCCACACAGGAACAACUUCUUUAGUGAUGCUCAAUCACUAGGUUCUAGGUUUGUGGUUUCGGUGUAUGGGGUAUUUCCCCACUGAUGAAUUACUCUCGAAGACUCUCAGGAAUUGGGUUUCUCUUAUGACAAGUGUCAGUUCCUAACGGAGCAGCCAACCAGCUAAUGGUUGUGGGGGGGGGGGGGGUCCUAACGGAGCAGCCAACUAGCUAAUGGUUGUGGGGGGCGGCUAUUUAUAUCCUGGGAGCAUCCUGACAUGAUUUGACACUAAUGCCCUUAAAUAAUAUGACCGUUGGUGUGGAUAAGACCAAUGACUUGGCGUGGUUAUCGAAACGGUCAGAACCCUCAACUAUGAGAGUCCUCAUGUCACUCGUAUUCCUCACUUGAGGCUUUUGGUAGGAUUAGGCUUGGGUUGAGCAUCAUGAGGAAAUUCAUUCCAAAGUGUAACUUCGACCCCCUUUAACAGUACGGUGUUCCUAUUAUUCAAAUGUGAAAAAAAUAAAACAGAAAGAGUAAAUCUUCAUGCUUCAAAGUCUUCAAAAUGAUUUUCUUCAGGACACACCGAAUUCCUCAAUUUCAAUAUCUUCUUGAGGAAUAUCUAUUUCAUUGCAGAUUCUUCACGAUUCAAUUCUUCAGCUUCAGACCAAUUACUUCAACCGAAGAUAUACAUUUUUAGGGGUCGAUAUUCAUCAAAUAUGUCGAACUCCUUAGAGACUUAUAGAUCGUGUGUACACUCAUAAACACAUUAGAUACUUAACCUAUAAGUCUUCAAACCACCAAAAUCACUAAGGGACACUAGAUGCACUUACAGUUAGGCUGGUUGUAAUGGGUAGUAUCAUAUACUAGUAUCAUGCAUAUGAUACUAGUCUAUGAUACCACAUUCGUAAUGCAUAGUAUCGUAUGUUAGUAUCAUAGGUUAGUAUCAUAGGGUAGUUCAUUUAUUGCCAUGCAAGACACAUAGUAGCACAUCAUUUAAUACGAUACGGUAUCAUGAUAUGAUACUCAACCAUCUCUUUCUUCAUUUAAUUCUAUGCCACAUCAUCGAAAUUGCCUAGUUGGCAUGCAUGAUACUACCUAUGAUACUCCCAUUACGGGCAGCCUUAUAUCCUCUGAUUCUAUGGGGGUUAUCAGAACUACUUCCUCUGUCCAGGUGUAUUGGGCACUAAGGAGGAGCACUGCAAUCUAGGCACAAGGAGAUUGGGCUAGCCAAAUAAUUUGAAUCAUAAAGGAAGCCAAUCACCAUCCAAAUCUCCUUUUCCAAAAUGCUGCAAUAAAUAGAACAAUAAUAGCUGGCACGGUUUGGCUAACCCAUGCAUGUAAAUUUAUAAUAUGCAACCAAUCCUCAUGCUUGAUAUAUUGUUAUCCAAUUAAUUGGGAUUAAGUUUAAGAGGAGGAGGAUUGCAUGCAUUGGUCCAACGUUUUUCCAGGAAGAGCUAAUUCCGAAGAUUAAUGCAUCUAUAAUAACUUACGCGACUUAUAAUUUUUGAAUUCCAAAAUUCUCUUACGUGCCCAACGCACCUCGAUGGAGGGAGUAUCUAUGAAGGAAGCACAGGAGAGGAGGGGGCUAACAGAAGUCACGCGCAAGCUGGAGGUACUACGAAAUGUUUCCUUUAAACAUAAAACGAGGGUGUACAACAUAGAUGCUCAUAAUAUUGCUAGAAUGUCUCAAGUUCUAUGUCAAGGCCGUCAUGUUUGGCUCCUCGAGCCGAGCCCCCGGGCAUUGUAUGUGCUACUGUAGAAAAUCUCCAUAAUACACACACACACAAACACAUAUAUAUACAUUUUGUGUAUAUUUUAAACUAUGUUUUUACGUUUAUAACUUUACGUAGCAUAAAAUAUUUUUUAUGAUGAUUUUAAUAUUUUCUUACGUUCUCCUUUUAGGUAUGAAGUAAGAAAAAAAUAACAUCCAUAAAAAUACGGUGCUUUGAUGGGAAAAUAGAGGGGUGAAGAAUAAUNNNNNNNNNNNNNNNNNNNNNNNNNNNNNNNNNNNNNNNNNNNNNNNNNNNNNNNNNNNNNNNNNNNNNNNNNNNNNNNNNNNNNNNNNNNNNNNNNNNNNNNNNNNNNNNNNNNNNNNNNNNNNNNNNNNNNNNNNNNNNNNNNNNNNNNNNNNNNNNNNNNNNNNNNNNNNNNNNNNNNNNNNNNNNNNNNNNNNNNNNNNNNNNNNNNNNNNNNNNNNNNNNNNNNNNNNNNNNNAUAAUAUAAAACAUAAUAAAAAUGAUAAAUUAAUAUAUAUACUACCACAUGAUAGUAUAUGGAACAUGCGGGGUAACUACCCAUGGGUGAUAGUAUAUGGAAACUCUAUUCAUCACCUUGGGUGCAGAAUAGUUUAUUUUUCAUCAGAGAUAAUCUUACGAUCAAUUAACAAAUAAAUUACAUUUGAAUUACAAAUAGUUACAUUUAUAUUGAAUCACUACAUACAAUUUGACAAAAUAAAAACAAAAAUAUAGGUGAGAAUACUAGAAAAAAUUGAAUUUAUUGUAUUUUUACACUAUUUUUGUAUGUUCGUAAUUUUAUGUGACAUAAAAUAUUUUUAUGUUCAUUAUAUUUUUACGAUCUCUUUUUACGUAUAAAAUAAGAUAAAAUUUACAGAAUGAAAAUUACGAUGCAUUGAUGUUAAAAUAGAGGGGGUGAAGAAUAACUAUAACUCACCCAGGGUGAUGAAUAGCGCAACCCUAUACCAACACACACACACACAUAUAAAGGAGAGGAGAGAUGUGGUAGCGGUGUGGAUUAUGCUCGUCUCUAAUUCAGAGACAUGAUUUAAUCAAUUUUCAAAGGUAGGCGGCCUUGGUUUUGAGAAGGCUAUUUCUCAAGAGUUUGGGCUGCAUCUUCUAUAGUAGUAUACAGUGAGGACAUGAACAUAUCACAUACUCCCGGCGAGUAGGCCGUUCGGAUCUGCGGCCACCAAUGCGCCCGUGGAGAAAAGAGAGCACGGAAAAGAAAAAUCUAACUAAUAACUAGGCUCAUGCACAGAUCUUAUAUCCAAUAUACGCACUACAAGGGACCAAGAGAAACCUAUGCAAACUUGAAGCUUAUAGAUUGCUUACCGACAAAAGAGAGAUUCGCUUCCGGGUAGAGGCGGCGGCGACGGCACCGGAUCCAAGCCACAGCGAGGCAGAGGCUGCAGUACAGAGAGGACUUGGGCGGCAUAGCGCUUUUACGUCGUGAGUACGUUGCGUAUCGAUCCGGUCCCCAACGGAUUGACCAACUCUAUCUCUUCAUCCUCUCUGGAUCUGGAAGAGAGGACGCCACGUGCCUUUCCCAAUCUCAAAGCAGUUNNNNNNNNNNNNNNNNNNNNNNNNNNNNNNNNNNNNNNNNNNNNNNNNNNNNNNNNNNNNNNNNNNNNNNNNNNNNNNNNNNNNNNNNNNNNNNNNNNNNAUCAUCAAUUCCACAAAUUAUUAAUCUUAUAUAUAGAUUGUUAGCCAUAAACACAACUCAUUGAAAUCUUUCAAUCUUACCAAGUUACAUUCUAUACAAGCGUGAUGAUCUCCCAAAAAAGAGUGAAAGAAAUUCAAACAGACAACAUCAAGCCCCAGAACAAUUCGUAAGAGCUUCCUGACAUGAGAGCAGUAAGUGAUAAGAGGAAAUGUGAACACAAGCCCCAAGAACACCUAUAAUCACUGGUGGUAAAUCUAAGACCAAAAGAAUAUGAAACAAGGAUAUCACUGCUUGAAAAUAAUUGUCCAUCACAACAAUCAGAACCCAAAGUGCAGAAGCCGCAGCUCCCAUUUAUAAUUUGAAGCAAACUUCUUAGCAAAUUUAAUCACUAACCAUUUGAUCUCAGUACAAUCAUUCACAAGCUUUACUGGUCAAAUACUCUUCUGCUAUGGAAAGCCCUGUGCAAUGCAAGUCCACCUAAUAUAUUAAAGUAAAUCAACUUCUUUGAGAUUCCAUCAUUAAUCCAGAUGUUGGUAAAUGGAAGUACAGCAAGAAUGUAGAUACCUGGAGAAAUUAAAUGUACAGAAAACCCUUAGGGGAUAACUCCCACAAAGCCAUUUUAGAUACUCAUCAUCCCACUUCAAUUGUUUUACUAACUUAAGACAAUAAUUUGUUAUCCAUCACAUAAAGCAUUCCGUGAAGCUUAUAACUGGAGUUCCACAAAAUAUUCAAGACCAUAAACAAUAUUAACCACAUGUGCUGUUUUAUAACACUCUAAUUUACCCACCUACUUAGGGCAAUGCCAAACAGAAGAAUCAGCGCAUGAGCUUCAAUUUUGUACAUAACAAGUCCAUAAUUUCUCAUUCCCUCCCUUUUCAUUUGUUAACCAAGAGAGCCAAAGACAUUGUAAUUUUCAUAUAUCCUCUAAAUAGCUUACCACUGCAGAUCUCAUCCUCAAAGCUUCCUAUCUUAAUACAAAUUUCUUAGUGCUGCAAAAUUAAAAGAAAUACAAUAAUUCUUAGGCAUAUGAGUACAAUGACCUAUCAUGAUGUAAUUACUCUGUACCAGCAAACCCUUGAAAAUCUUUACUGUUGAUUUGCAGAUAAUUAACCAUGCAAAAGGGUAUAUCACUUACUAUACAUCUUAAAGUUUCAUCUAGUUUUUCCACUAUUGUGCAAAGUUUUUGUAACGAUCCAAAAAAAAACGUUCGUCAGAUCUGCGCUAUCAUCUCAAAAUAACAAAUCAAUUUGAAGCUGCCUUAGAAUUCCUUAUAAAUCAAUAUAAUCAGAAUCUAUGUCAACUUGUGAAUCUAUUGAACCUUUAGAGGAAAGGAUUGUUGAACCUUUAGAUGUAAAAUUUAGUGAAGAAAGUAAGAUGAGGAAUAGAUGAGGCAAACCUUCCUUUAGAUGUAGAAUUUAGUGAAGAAAGUAAGAUGAGGAAUAGAUGAGGCAAACCUUGGAGAUAGGGGCCUCAUCUAUUUUAGGUUUCAUUCCCACAGAUCUAGUGUUUGCAAGAACCAUCCCUUCUUCUGGAUGGAAGUUAUCUACGUCAGCAAGAGUCAUAGCUUGUCCACCAACUUUGUCAGCCAGCUCUUUAGCUCGUUCUGUAAGAAAAGACUCACAUCAUGAUUCAACUUGAUAAAGAAAAAGUGAUCAUAAACUUUAGAUCCUACAAGGCAUAUGGUUUUUGUGGUAAAAAGGAAUAUGAUAGAUAAGGAAUUUUCCAACUUUUAGCUCAUUGUUUAUGUCUUAAAGAAAGAGCUAGAUUAUUACCAAAUGUACGAUUGGCAACCACAACUCUUGCUCCCUUUUGUGCAGCACCAUAGGCAAGUGAUUUGCCAGCACCACCUGCUCACAAGACAACAAACAAUUUUCCAGCUAAGGGUGAGCCGGCUGCAGGAUGUUUACCAUUCAAACCUGCAAAAGAACAAAACCAACUUAAUGAACUAUUAAAAAAGAAACAAGAAAUCGUCCAAACAGAAUUUGUUCCAAUUUUCUGUAAAGAAAAUCAAAGAGGUAACUAAAAUUGCAACAUGCAAAUAUUUCUAGAUGAAGAGUACAAUCAGAUACCUUGGCAAUAGGGUCAAUCUCAUUCAUGCACUUGAGAGCAGCCUCCUUAUGUGGGAUUGUACAACUGCAUUCCCAACUUGUUAUGAACAAAUUCCAAGCAAUUUUUCUAUACUAAGGAACAUAUAACAUGGUCUAUGCUAAAAUUCUCUAGCAAAUAAAUCCUCUGCUACUACUUUUUCGGCAAACAAUCAUAGAACCUCAAGGUAUAACAACUCAAAGCUCAAUCCAAAGUAAACUGAAGCUAUGAUAUGAUCAGGCAUUUCCAAAUUGGUUCCAGAAAUGAAUUCAAGCAUAANNNNNNNNNNNNNNNNNNNNNNNNNNNNNNNNNNNNNNNNNNNNNNNNNNNNNNNNNNNNNNNNNNNNNNNNNNNNNNNNNNNNNNNNNNNNNNNNNNNNUUGAUAAUAUGGAGGAGCCCAAUGAGUACGCAUAGCAGUUUUCAAAGCAGCCCAAGUAGUUGGAAUAUUAGCAUGAUGUAUUCUACAAUGUUCAGACCACCAAACACAAGCAAAAGUAGUGAAUGAACAAAAAAGCAGAAACACGUCUACCAUCAGGAAAUUGUAAGCAUGUAAAACGUUGCUCUGUUUUUAACUCCCAAGUAAGAUAUAUAUCAUGAACAUAUCUACCAUCAAAUGUAGGAAUAUUCAAUUUAAGUUUAGGGAUAUGGUUAUGAUCCCGUACCUGAGGGGGUGGUGCAACCCUACCAUUGCGAUUGUAUCCAUGUGGACGACUCGGUUCUUGUGGUGGUGGUUGUUGUCCCCGGUGCUGAUUUGGAGAAACCUCUCACUAAUCGUCGUAAUCACCAUCAUAAUCCUCAUUCUGCUCAACUACAGUAGUAGCAGCAACCACAAAAACCAUAGUAGUAGCAGUAGGAGCAACAACACCAGGAUUCUGCCCUUGGUCGGUAGGCACACGUCGGGCUCGUCCCACACAAUUCGGGCCUUGUUCUUGUCGUUGUUGUGGUUGUUGGAGAGAGACAGAAGCUGCAAGUAGUGGUGGUAGACGGGCAAGCACCUCAUUGAGCUUGGCGUCCAUCUUGGUAUCGAAUGUCUUAUCCAAACCGUCUAGCUUCUCCAUGGCCUCUCCAAGGCUGGUCACGAAGUCUUGUACCUGGUGAGCCAUAAUUUACUGAAAUUUAUCAUGGAGCUCCUGGUUGGUUGGGCGCUCCCAGUUGAUCUCGUCGCCUUGUGAUCUUGGCAUGGUUAGCAGUAGUAGGAACAUAGAAGAAUAUCAACCUACAGACUACUAAUAAGUGUUGUUGGUGGUGGUGGUGUGUCAUAAAUUCGUCAAGCAAAUCUCAAAUUCUUACCAGUUCUUACCCGUCAGCAGGUGGUGAUCGGCAACCAUUGUAGUCAAAACUCUCAAAGCUUGGAUAGAGCGAUUGCCAGGUGGUGUCAAACACAUGAUGUAGAUGUAUGUGGAGCUGGGAAGGCUUAUAAUAUGGUAGCAAAAAGAAUCAACAAUAAUCAGUUUAAAGAUGCAAAGUUGAAAGGACGCUCAACAACGGUACUAUGUUGGUCCUAGGCUAGACCGUACUAGAGACGCGAGCCUAGAACACCAAUAAAAUCACGACGCUACACGUAAUCAAGGGAAGAGACACUUUGUUUUUUUGUCGUCUUUUUUGCGCUCUUUUUUUCUCUAGAAAAUCACUAUAAUAGCGAGUGUCUCAAAAAUUGCAUUUUUGCGCUCUUCCAUUUUUUUGACUAUUCGUUUUCGGGAGCGAUUCGGGGCUGCGAUGACCAAAAAUUGCAACAAAAAAUUGAUAUGAUGGCGAGUGUCUCAAAACACUCUGGAAAGCCUAAAACAUGAUAGGAAAAAAUAUUUUCAUCCGCUGAAAUUUUGGCCUAAAAACUGCUCUGAAAACUGUGCCAGGCUAAGGCAAGGAAAGGCAAAACCGAAAACAAAGGAAUCUCAAAAAUAAACCUAAUAUGUGAAGGACUCAGAUUGAUGGAGGAUAUGUGGACUCAGAUUGGUGAUGAUGAUGAUGUGGUGGUGGUAUAUGGCGGCAGCAAUGAUUGUGGUGUGGUGGUGGUAUAUGGCGGCAACAAUGAUUGUGGUGUGGUGGCGGUAUAAGAUAGCAGCGAUGAUGGUGCGGCGGCUUGACAACUUGUGAAUAGAACUCGAAACUCUAAAAGACUAGACGCUAAGACUAACAACUUGACACGAUGAUGCAACCGCAAAUUCAACAAAACAAAUACCGAACAGAAUAUUGCAAAGGCUCAGAUUGGCUCGGAUAUGAUGAUCUAACCCUAAUUCUUCUUUUUGGAUUUUUCGUGGAUGGUAGGUAUGAAGAAUAAAUGCAAUAUAAACUACGACAAACUAGUAAAUCUCACCGAGCAACCUAGAAAUCUGAUACCACUUGAUAGAGGCGAAGUUAUCUCGGUCUUUCGAUGAGAUGUGUCUAUCAUUUUUGGUAGAGUCAACUUUGACGAUCCGACUACAAACGUGCGAGGACGUCGCACCUUAGUAAUCGCUAAACCAACUCUGAGAGGUUAUUGACCAUGCUGGAGCAUGAUCAACCUGACCACGAGGGUGUGUUUCCUGCACGUAAACGAAGAACAAGCAAGAAACUGAAAUUGCAAUCUGGAUAUUGCGAAUAUACGAUGAAAUCUUUAUUGAUGAAAGUGGGGUUCUGUGAUGUCUUGGUUUGGUUGUACAACACAAACGAAGGAUGUGAAGUUGUAGCUAUGGCAAACUUUUAAUCUAAAAAAGUCCAAGUCUAAACAGUGUCCUAAGGGCUGUAUAUAUGGGGGAAUAGAUGGGAAUUUCGUGAUCCCUUGGAGGAGGGGGCAGAAAACAACCCUAACUCUGUUUCCCCACAGAUACGGACUCUAAAAACAACCUAUAACGUGGUAUUUCGAAAUUACAUGGGCCUGGCCAAAAAAUAAGGUGACACAGCACCUAUAAUGGCCUAUGGACGAAAUUUAUGAAGUGACAUCUUGUAUAUUUCGUCCAAGCCUUUAUGCUCUCAUUAUGGUGGCUUCAACGUGCGAAAAUCACCACGGAUAGCUCCAUUGUUCUUUCCUACGCACGCAUGUUCUCCUCCAUGCUUGUUCCCGUUCCAAGGAUCACCCUUCUUGUCCAUGUUAGGUCUUCCAUGCAUAAGUAAAACAAAAGUAUCUAACUUAGGCAACAUCAUAUGUUCAUGAACAUUAUAAGGAUUUCUAAAAAACGAAAGUACGUGAUAAUUCAAUUGGCAUGUGCAUGCUUUAGUAACUGGUCUAGUAUGUAUAUCACUAUAGCAGCAGAUAGUGUGAGUGUAACAAUAAUAUUGAUGUCCUCAUCAGAAUCAUUCUGAAGACAGAUGCAUGUGUACCGAAGCACGCAAUCCCAAGCGACCAGUAUGAUGAAUCGAGUCUAGGCGUAGUGUUUAAAGAAAUUGGAGCAAUGAUGCAAUCCUUUUUCAAUCUUGUAAAGCGGAGAUUUGUCUUAGGGCUUGUAAUAUCUCUGCGCACUAUUUAGCUCCUCAUGAUGCAAUGCAAGUAUGGAGCGGAGAACCUAGGAGUAUUAGAUAUGGAUGGAACCACUCCCUAGAUACGUAAAAGACCUUGUUGUUGUCGAGUCCAGCUUGCCUUGUUAAGGGUGUGUUUGGUUGAUGUCAUGGACUAAGGUGCAUAAGGUGCAUAAAAGGAUUAACAUCACAUGCAAUUCAUAAGUGACAUGAUAUGACCAUGAUCUUGUGCUUCUUGAUCUCCAUCACCAAAGCACCGACAUGAUCUUCAUCGUCACCGGCGCCACACCAUGAUCUCCAUCAUCAUGAUCUCCAUCGUCGUGCUGCCAUCGAGGUUGUCGUUCUAUCUAUGCUAUUACUACUAAAGCUACAACCUAGCAAUAUAGUAAACGCAUCUGCAAACACAAACCUUAGUUUAAAGACAACCCUAUGGCUCCUGCCGGUUGCCGUAGCAUCGACGUGCAUGAUCAUCUCAUACAUCCAAUAUAUCACAUCAUGUCUUUGGCCAUAUCACAUCACAUGCAUACCCUGCAAAAACAAGUUAGACGUCCUCUAAUUUGUUGUUGCAUGUUUUACGUGGCUGCUAUGGGUAUUUAGUAUGAUCGCAUCUUACUUACACAAAACCACAACGGUGAUGUGCAAAUUUCUAUUUAACCUCUCUCCAAGGACCGCCUCGGUCAAAACCAAUCCAACUAAAUUUGAAAAAACAGACACCCGCCAGUCAUCUUUAUGCAAAAAGUUGCAUGUUAGUCGAUGAAACCGGUCUCUCGUGAGCGUACGAGUAAGGUUGGUUCGGUCCACUUCAAUCCAACAAUACCGCCGAAUCGAGAAAAGACCAAGGAGGGCAGCAAAUCGAACAUCAACGCCCACAAAAACUUCUAUGUUCUACUCGAUAUUACAUCUACGCAUGAACCUAGCUCUAAUACCACUGUUGGGGAACGUUGCAUGGGAAACAAAAAAUUUCCUACGCACACGAAUACCUAUCAUGGUGAUGUUCAUCUACGAGAGGGAGAUCGGAUCCAUAUACCCUUGUAGAUCGCUAAGCGGGAAGCGUUAAGAAACACAGUUGAUGUAGUGGAACAGCUUCGUGAUUCAAAUCACCGUCGUCCCACGUUCCAUCCCGAUCUAGCGCCGAACGGAUGGCACCUCCGCGUUCAGCACACGUACAGCUCGAUGACGAUCUCCGCCUUCUUGAUCCAGCAAGAGAGACGGGGAAGUAGAUGAGUUCUCCGGCAGCGUGACGGUGCGCCGGUGAUGGUGAUGAUCUAUUCCUAUAGGGCUCCACCCGAGUUCCGCAGAAAACCGAUCUAGAGUAAGAACUACGAAGUAGAGGUUUAGGGUUGCACGUCCCUUCCUUCCUUCCCACCUCCCUCUUUUUUUUCUCCUUGAUUUUAUUUCCUUCGUCGAAAUAGUCCACUUGGGCUGGCCUCACCAUCCCAUCAAGGGCUGGCGCGCCACCCAUGGGCUAUUAGGUUCACUCUCGGGUGGGUGGCCCCCUCCCGGUAAAAACCCGGAACCCAUUCGUCACUCCCGGUACAUGCUACUUCUUGAGCUUGCGUUGGUUUUUCCUUGAAGAGGAAAGGGUGAUGCGGCAAAGUAGAGAUAAGUAUUUCCCUCUGUUUGAGAACCAAGGUAUCAAUCCAGUACGAGUAUCAAGAUGAGGCAUCAAUGAACCUGCGCAAAAGCAAACAAACUUGUACCCAACGCGAUAAAGGGGCUGUCAAUCCCUUCACGAUUACUUGCAAGGUCAGAUCUGAAGGUGAUAAAAGGUAAAUAGAAAUAAAAGUGCAGCAAAGUAUUUUUGGUGUUUUUGUAGAUCUGAAUAUAAUGUGUAAAAUAGACCGAGGUAGUGUUCACUAGAGGCUUCUCUCAUGAUAGCAAUUAUUACGAUGGGUGAACGAAUUACUAUCGAGCAAUUGAUAGAAUCGCGCAAAGUCAUGACGAUAUCUAAGGCAAUGAUCAUACAUAUAGGCAUCACAUCCGAGACAAGUAGACCGAUACUUUCUGCAUCUACUACUAUUACUCCACACAUCAACCGAUAUCCAGCAUGCAUCUAGUGUAUUGAGUUCAUAACAAAUAGAGUAACACCUUAAGCAAGAUGACUUGAUGUAGAGGGAUAAAUUCAUGCAAUAUGAUAUAAACCCCAUAUUUUUACCCUUGAUGGCAACAACACGAUGCAUGCCUCGCUACCCCUUUUGUCACUAGGUGAGGACACCGCACGGUAUGAACCAAACCAAGCACUUCUCCCAUUUCAAGAAUUAUAGAUCAAGUUGGCCAAACGAAACCCAUAACUCGAAGAGAAUUACAAGGAUACGAAAUCAUGCAUAUAAAAAAUUAGAGGAGACUCAAAUAAUAUUCAUAGAUAGUCUGAUCAUAAAUCCGCAAUUCAUCAGAUCUCGACAAACACACCGCAAAAGAAAGUUACAUCGGAUAGAUCUCCAUGAAGAUCUUGGAGAACUUUGUAUUGAAGAUCCAAGAGAGAGAAGAAUCCAUCUAGCUACUAGCUAUGGACCCCGAAGUUUUAUGGUGAACUACUCACGCAUCAUUGGAGAGGCAAUGGUGUUGAUGAAGAAGCCCUCCGUCUCCGAAUCCCCCUCCGGCAGGGCACCAGAACGGACCCUAGAUGGGAUCUUGUGGAGACAGAAGCUUGCGGCGGUGGAAAAGUAUUUUCAUGGCUCUCUUUGUUAGUUUAGGGAUUUUAGAGAAUUUCUAGGCGAAAGAGGUAGGGAAAAGGAGGCACGUGGGGCCCACGAGCCUGCCAGGCGUGCCCCCCUAGGGCGCGCCUAGGGGGCUCGUGACCUCCCAUGAGACCUCGUGCCUUGGUUCUCAAGUCCUUUGCGUAUCUUCUAUUAUGUAAAAAAAUCACCCCACGGUUUUUAUUCCGUUUGGACUCCGUUUAAUAUUCUUUUCUGAAAAAGGUCAAAAACACGGAAAAAAACAGAAACUGGCACUGGACACUGUGUUAAUAGGUUAGUCCCAAAAAAUGAAAUAAAAUGGCAUAUAAAUGCAUAUAAGACAUCCCAAGAUGAUAAUAUAAUAGCAUGGAACCAUAAAAAAUUAUAGAUACGUUGGAGACGUAUCAAGCAUCCCCAAGCUUAACUCCUGCUCGUCCUCGAGUAGGGAAGUGAUAAAGACCGAAUUUUUGAUGUGGAAUGCUACCUAACAUAUUUGUUCUUUGUAACUUCUUUAUUGUGGUAUGAAUGUUCACAUCCUUAAGAUUCAAAACAAUAGUUUGCUAUUGACAUGAAAACAAUAAUACUUCAAACAUACUAGCAAAGUGAUCAUGAACUUUUGAAAUAACAAGGCCAAAGAAAGUUAUCCCUACAAAAUCAUAUAGUCUCGCUAUGCUCUUUCAUCCCCACACAACGAAUUUAAAUCAUGCACAACCCCGGUAUUGGCCAAGUAAUUAUUUUCGCAAUCUUACUUUCUCAAACUUUUUCAAUUCUCACGCAAUACAUGAGCGUGAGCCAUGGAUAUAGCACUAUAGGUGGAAUAGAGUGUGGUGGAGGUUGUGAGGCAAAAAGGAGGAGAUGGUCACAUCGACUCGGUGUAUCAACGGGUUAUGGAGAUGCCCAUCAAUAGAUAUCAAUGUGAAUGAGUAGGGAUUGCUAUGCAACGGAUUCACUAGAGCUAUAAGUGUACGAAAGCUCAAAAAGAAAACUAGUGGGUGUGCACCCAACUUGCUUGCUCACGAAGACCUGGGGCAAUUUUGUGGAAACCCAUCAUUGGAAUAUACAAACCAAGUUAUAUAAUGAAAAUUCCCACUAGUAUAUGAAAGUGACAAAACAAGAGACUCUCUAUCAUGAAGAACAUGGUGCUAUUUUGAAGAACAAGUGUGGAAAAAGAUAGUAGCAUUGUCCCUUCUCUCUUUUUCUCUCAUUUUUUUUGUUUGGGAUCUUUGGCUUCUUUUUUUAAUUUUUUUUCUUCUCUUUUUUUUGGUGGGCAACUUUGGCCUUUUUUUUAUUUCCUCACAUGGGACAAUGCUCUAAUAAUGAUGAUCAUCACACUUUUAUUUACUUACAACUCGAUACUUAGAACAAUAAUGACUCUAUAUGAAAUGCCUCCGGCAGUGUACCAGGAUGUGCAACGAUCUAGCUUAGCGUAUGACGUUGAAACAACUCGCUAGCUAUCUUACGAUCAUGCGAUGGAAAAAUGAAAAUGACGGCACAUGUCAUGAGAUGGAACGGUGAAAGUUGCAUGGCAAUAUAUCUCGGAAUGGCUAUGAAAAUGCCAUAAUAGGUAGGUAUGGUGGCUGUUUUGAGGAAGGUAUAUGGUGGUUUUAUGCACCGGCAAAAGGUGCGAGGCACUAGAGAGGCUAGCAAUGGUGGAAGGUGAGAGUGCAUCUAUGCCAUGGACUCACAUUAGUCAUGAAGAACUCAUAUACUUAUUGCGAAAGUUUUAUUAGUAAUUGAAACAAAGUGCUAAACGCAUACUCCUAGGGGAAGGGUUGGUAGGUGUUAACCAUCGCGCGAUCCCGACCGCCACACAAAGGAUGACAAUCAAUAAAUCAAUUAUGCUCCGACUUCCUAACAUAGCNNNNNNNNNNNNNNNNNNNNNNNNNNNNNNNNNNNNNNNNNNNNNNNNNGGUUCAGCAUACGUGCAUGCUACGGGAAUCACUAACCUCAACACAAGUAUUUCUAGAUUCACAACACCCUACUAACAUAACUCUAAUAUUACCAUAUCCAUAUCUCAAAACUAAUUGUGAGGAAUCAAACUUGUCUUACUAAUCAAUGCACUUGAAUAUGAAAGUUUUUAUUAUAUCCUCUUUGGAUGCCUAUCAUGUUUAGGACUAAUUUCAUAGCACACGCCAAUUACCAAGUUACUUAGAGUGAGCACUCUCAAAAUGAUAUAAGUGAAGAUCGAGAGUUUUUAUUUCUACAAAAUAUGACACCGUCGUGCUCUAAAAAUAUUUAAGUGAAGCACUAGAGCAAAGUUAUCUAGCUCAAAAUAUAUAAGUGAAGCACAUGCGAGCUACAUUGCCUAGCUCAAAGGAUAUAAGUGAAGCUCACUGAGUAUUCUAACAAAUUCAUGAUGAGUGCAUGUCCCUCUCAAAAAGGUGUGCAGCAAGGAUGAUUGUGAUAAAACAAAAAACAAAUACUCCUAUAAUACACGACGNNNNNNNNNNNNNNNNNNNNNNNNNNNNNNNNNNNNNNNNNNNCGACGCUCCAAACAAAACACAUAUCAUGUGGUGAAUAAAAAUAAAGCUCCAAGUAACGUUACCGAUGGAUUGAAGACGAAAGAGGGGAUGCCUUCCCGGGGCAUCCGCAAGCUUAGGCUUUUUGGUGUCCUUGAAUUUGGCUUGGGAUGACAUGUACAUCCCCAAGCUUAAGCUCUUUCCACUCUUUAUUCCAUUGUCCAUAAGAACAUCACCCAAAACUUGAAAACUUCACAACACAAAACUUAAACAGAAACUCGUGAUAUCAUUAGCAUAAGAAAACAAACUACCAACUCUUUAGGUACUGUAGUAAACUUGAUUUCCAUUUAGAUUGAUGUUAUAUUACUGUAUUCUCACUUCUCCAUGGCUCGUACCCCCCGAUCCAAACCAUACUUUCAUCAAAAUAAGCAAUCAACACAACAAAAACAGAAUCUGUAAAAAAACAGAACAGUCUGUAGCAAUCUGUAUAUUUCGUAUACCUCUGCUAUCCCAAAAAUUAUGAAAAAUUAUGAAAAUUAGGUAAAUUUUCAUAUCAAUCAUCAGCAAAAAGAAUCAAUUCAAAAUCUCUUUCUGGAUAAAAAUUAAAAAUAAUUUCGUGAGCACAAAGUUUCUGUCUUUUUCAGCAUGAUUAAACAACUAUCAUCAAAACUAAUCAUAAAGGUUCUACUUGGCACAAACACUAAUUAAAAAACACAAUCAUAACAGAAUCAUGAUGGUGUGGACUCAACAAAACAGAAAGUGAAAAGCAAAAAUAAAUUUAUUCAUUGGGUUGCCUCCCAACAAACGCUGUCGUUUAACGCCCUUAGCUAGGCAUUGAUAAUUCAAUGAUGCUCACAUAAAAGAUAGCAAUCGGACACGAAGAGAGCGUCUUGAAACAUGUGAAAAACAUAUCUAAGUAUAACAUACUUCCUAUGCAUAGGCAUUUUAUAGGAAAACAAAUUAUCAAGACAAGCAAUAACUACCAUAUGCAAGGAAGAAGAAAGAGACAAUAGCAAUCUCAACAUAACGAGAGGUGAUUUAGUGAUAUGAAAAUUUUUACAACCAUAUUUUCCUCUCUCGUAAUAAUAACAUGUGGGAUCAUAUUCAAAUUCAACAAUAUAACUAUCACAUAGGAUAUUCUUUUCAUGAUCCACAUGCAUGCAAAGUUGACUCUUUUCAAAAAUAGUGGGAUUAUUAUCAACUAAAGUCAUGACUUCUCCAAACUCACUUUCAAUAUUAUUGCAAACAUUAUUAUCAAUAUCAUAUUCAUCAUGAGGCUUAAACAAAUUUUCAAGAUCAUAAGAAAAAUCAUCACGCCAAUCAUGAUCAUUGCAACAAGUAAUGGACAUAACAAAACUAGCAUCCCCAAGCUUAGAGUUUUGCAUAUUUUUAGCAUGAUUGACAUUAAUAUAAUUCAUAGUGAAACCAUUGCAAUCAUGCUUUUCAUUCAAGGAGCCCUCGUAAAUCACUUCAUAAAUUUCUUCAUCACAAUUUUCAUAUUCACGCUUCUCAAGCAAAACUUCAUAAAGAUAAUCUAGUGCACAAAACUCACUAGCAAUUGGUUCAACAUAAUUGGAUCUCUUUAAAAGAUUAGCAAGUGGAUGAGGAUCCAUAUCAAUAGAUUUUUAGCAAGCGAAGAUGCAAGCAAAUAUAAGGCACAUGGCAACACCAGCAAACAUAGCAACAAAAAGGCGAACGGAAGAAAAGAGAAUAAAAAGGAAAAUCUUUUUUUUUGGAAAAUCGUUUUAGAAGUGUGGGAGAGGAAAACGUGAGGCAAAAGGCAAAUAAUGUAAAUGCAAGAGAUGAGUUUGCGAUAGGUACUUGGUAGAUAUGCUUCACUUGAAUACUCCCCGGCAACGACGCUAGAAAUUCUUCCUGCUACUUCUUGAGCUUGCGUUGGUUUUUCCCUUGAAGAGGAAAGGGUGAUGCAGCAAAGUAGAGAUAAGUAUUUUCCUCAGUUUGAGAACCAAGGUAUCAAUCCAGUAGGAGUAUCAAGAUGAGGCACCAAUGAACCUGGGCAAAAGCAAACAAACUUGCACCCAACGUGAUAAAGGGGUUGUCAAUCCCUUCACGGUUACUUGCAAGGUGAGAUUUGAAGGUGAUAAAAGGUAAAUAGAAACAAAAGUGCAGCAAAGUAUUUUUGGUGUUUUUGCAGAUCUGAAUAUAAUGUGUAAAAUAGACCCGGGGGCCAUAACGUUCACUUGAGGCUUCUCUCAUGAUAGCAAGUAUUACGGUGGGUGAACGAAUUACUGUCGAGCAAUUGAUAGAAUUGCGCAAAGUCAUGACGAUAUCUAAGGCAAUGAUCAUACAUAUAGGUAUCACGUCCGAGACAAGUAGACCGAUACUUUCUGCAUGUACUACUAUUACUCCAUACAUCGAUCGCUAUCCAGCAUGCAUCUAGUGUAUUGAGUUCAUAACAAACAGAGUAACGCCUUAAGCAAGAUGACAUGAUGUAGAGGGAUAAAUUCAUGCAAUAUGAUAUAAACCCCAUCUUUUUACCCUUGAUGGCAACAACACGAUGAGUGCCUCGCUACCCCUUCCGUCACUAGGUGAGGACACCGCACAGUAUGAACCCAAUACCAAGCACUUCUCCCAUUGCAAGAAUUGUAGAUCAAGUUGGCCAAAUGAAACCCAUAACUCGAAGAGAAUUACAAGGAUACGAAAUCAUGCAUAUAAGAAAUCAGAGGAGACUCAAAUAAUAUUCAUAGAUAAUCUGAUCAUAAUUCCACAAUUCAUCGGAUCUCGACAAACACACCGCAAAAGAAAGUUACAUGGGAUAGAUCUCCAUGAAGAUCAUGGAGAACUUUGUAUUCAAGAUCCAAGAGAGAGAAGAAGCCAUCUAGAUAUGGACCCGAAGGUCUGUGGUGAACUACUCACGCAUCAUCGAAGAAGCAAUGGUGUUGAUGAAGAAGCCCUCCGUGUCUGAAUCCCCCUCCGUCAGGGCACCAGAACGGUCCCCAGAUGGGAUCUUGCAGAGAGAGAAGCUUGCGGCGGCGGAAAAGUAUUUUCGUGGCUCUCUUUGUUAGUUUCGGGAUUUUAGAGAAUUUAUAGGCGAAAGAGGUAGGGAAAAGGAGGCACGUUGGGCCCACAAGCCUGCCAGGUGCCCCCCUAGGGCGCGCCUAGGGGGCUCGUGACCUCCCACGAGACCUCCUUCCUUAGUUCUCAAGUCCUCUGCGUAUCUUCUGUUAUGGAAAAAAUGAUCCCGCGGGUUUUAUUCCGUUUGGACUCCGUUUAAUAUUCUUUUCUGAAAAAGGUCAAAAACACGGAAAAAACAGAAACUGGCACUAGGCACUGAGUUAAUAGGUUAGUCCCAAAAAAUGAUAUAAAAUGGCAUAUAAAUGCAUAUAAGACAUCCCAAGAUGAUAAUAUAAUAGCAUGGAACCAUAAAAAUUAUAGAUACGUUGGAGACGUAUGAGUACAGUGUGGGUAAUGCCCGAAAUAUUUCCAAGGACCAAAUGAAACAAUCCUAUAUAUCAAUCUUCGUUUCUGGACCAUUCCGGAAACCCUCGUGACCUCCCUGAUCUCAUCUUGGACUCUAAACAAACCUUGGGUCACCAACACCUAUAACUCGACUAAACCGAAAGGUCACCGAACCUUAAGUGUGCAGACCCUGCGGGUUCGAGAACUAUGCAGACAUGGCCUGAGACACUCCCCGGUCAAUAUCCAACAGAUGGACCUGGAUGUCCAUAUUGGAUCCUACAUAUUCUACAAGAUCUUAUCGGUUGAACCUUUGUGCCAAGGAUUCAUAUAAUCCCGUAUACCAUUCCCUUUGUCCUUCGGUAUGUUACUUGCCCGAGAUUCGAUCGUCGGUAUCCCUAUACCUAUUUCAAUCUCGUUACUGGCAAGUCUCUUUACUCAUUCCGUAAUACAAGAUCUCGUGACUAACACUUUAGUCACAUUGCUUGCAAGGCUUGUAUGUGAUGUUGUAUUACCGAGUGGCCCCGAGAUACCUCUCAAUCACACGGAGUGAGAAAUCCUAGUCUUGAUCCAUGCUAACUCAACGGACACCUGAGGAGAUACCUAUAGAGCACCUUUAUAGUCACCCAGUAACGUUGCGAUGUUUGAUACACACAAGGUAUUCCUUCGGUGUCAUUGAGUUACAUGAUCUCAUGGUCAUAGGAAUGAAUACUUGACACGCAGAAAUCAAUAGCAGCAAAAUGACACGAUCACAUGCUAUAUUUAUAGUUUGGGUCUUGUCCAUCACAUCAUUCUCCCAAUGAUGUGAUCCAGUCAUCAAGUGACAACACUUGCAUAUGGUGAGAAAACCUUGACCAUCCUUGAUCAACUCGCUAGUCAACUAGGGGCUUACUAGGGACGUAGUUUUGUCUAUAUAUCCACACAUGCAUUUAUGUUUUCAUUCAAUACAAUUAUAGCAUGGAUAAUAAAUGAUUAUCUUGAAACAUGAAAUAUAAUAAUAACUAUUUUAUCAUUGCCUCUAGGGCAUAUUUCCAACAGGAAGAUCUCAGGUACUCCGGGCUAAACACUUGCACAAUUCCGAAUGCGAAGCGCUUGACACACAUGAUGGCUUGGCUCUCACCCAUGGCUAAGUGAUCAUCAACUAGAUCAGCGGGAAUACCGUAUGCCAACAUACGCAAAGCGGCUGUCACCUUCUGAAAGGGUCUAUGCCCGAGCUCUCCGGCAGCAUUCCUCCUGUGCUGAAAAAACCGGUCACGGCUCGCUAGUUUCUCUGCAAUGUGCCUGAACAACUCGGUGCUCAUCCUAAACCGGUGACGAAAGUACUACUCGGGGUAUGUGGGAUUCUCCACAAAAUAGUGCCUCAUCAAUAUGUUGUGGGCAUCAAUCUUAUCCCUCCAAAUUUUCUGCCAACCCAUAACCGAACCACCGUGCUUCUGUAUUUUAUUGAUGUGCAUAGCUAGGAUCAUUACAAGAUCCUCCUCCUCUUCCAUAUCAAAUUCAUCUUCGGAAGAAUCAUAUGCCGGACUCAUCUAAAAUGUUCAAAACUAGGCUAUAAACAACAUGCACCAAAAUUCAUGUAAAAUGUGAAGUUAGAAGCAAUACAUACCUUGCGGGCCUUUUGUCGAACAACUUGCGGGCGCCAAGCGGCAGUGGGAGGCCAGGCGUUGAUCAUCGGAGGACUCCUGCGCGCGACAGGCGGCGCUGACAAGAGAGAGAGGGAGGAAGUCGCUACCGCGCGGGGAGAGACCGCGGAAGCGCCGGAACAGUCGCUGGAGAAAUGUGGUGGCGCGGACGGCGACGACGGCGCAGCUAGAUGGGUAGGUGGAGUUUCGCGCGAGCGCUCGAGAGUUCAGCGCGCGGGAGCGAACGAAGCAAAUAAGCGGUGCGCUAUGGCGUUUCCUCCCGCGCGCUGAAUUACGUAUGCCGCGCGCGUGGUUUUUGCGCGUCCGCUCGAGCGCCCGGAACGGUAGCGCGCGCGCUAAAAUGACUACUUUUUUAGCGCGGCGCCUAUAUAGCGCGUCUGUUGGAGAUGCUCUGAGGGCCCUAUUGCGAAUUUUCGAUGCUCUAACCAGGAAGAGUUUGGACAUGAUUAGAUUGAUGAAGGUAGAUGCUAGGUAAAACCUCACACCAGGCCUACACCAUUUUUGAUGUCAUUCGGAACAUGUAUUAGUUCUUCACCACAAAGGGCCUUGAUGCAAAUGAUCAGGUGGCUAUGCUUGACAAUAUUCUGCGGGAACUAAACUGGACACGUCAUCUUUUAGUAAAUGAAUUAAUGCAAACUAUAUUUAAUGGUUAUGUCUUGCUAGUAACACAAGCAAAAUACAUUUGGGUACUACUAGGCGCCGGCGCGCCGACCCGAACACUCCUGUCGGUCGCGGCGUAGCCGUCAUAUUGAGGAUACUUUGAUCGUCAGAUCUCCUCUUUCAUCGUCAACCUCGAGCCAUGAACGUCAGCCCCUUGCCGGUCAUCCUCGUCCAACGCGCAACGGCGCUCUGCUACUGCAACAAAAGACCUUCCAACGGCGCCAGAAACACGUGCUGGCGGGAGACUGUUCUUGUCUUGAUUCUCCUCAGCAACGGCACCAUGAAUCCUUCUGCUACGGCUACGGCUUUUGGGACUUCCUAGGAAAAUAUGCAAAGGAUUUCCCCGUGGCCUUGGAGCCUUGCAUUGGUGUUCCCUCGAAGCGGAAAGGGUGAUGUAGUGCAACGGUGGUAAGUAUUUCCCUCAGUUUGAGAACCAAGGUAUCAAUCCAGUGAAGGAGUAUCAACAGUGCCUGCACAAACACAAAGAACCUGCUCCCAACGCUAUAAAGGGGUUGUCAAUCCCUUAUAGAUUGUUCACAAAGUGAGAUCUAAAAGCAACAAAGUAACAAAGCAAAGUAAAAGCGGAGGUGUAAACGAUAGAUGUGAAUAGACCCGGGGGCCGUAGUGUUUACUAGUGGCUUCUCUCAUGAAAGCAAGUAGACGGUGGGUGAACAAAUUACUGUCGAGCAAUUGAUAGAACCGCGCAAAGUCGUGACGUCAUCUAUGCCAAUGAUUAUAUCUAUAGGCAUCACGUCCAAAACAAGUAGACCGAUACUUUCUGCAUCUACUACUAUUACUCCACACGUCGACCGCUAUCCAGCAUGCAUCUAGUGUAUUAAGUCCAAAAGAACAGAGUAACGCCUUAAGCAAUAUGACAUGAUGUAGAUGGACAAUCUCAUAUCAACGAUAGAGCCCACCUUGUUACCCUUGAUGGAAACCACUCAAUGUGUGCCUUGCUGCCCCUACUGUCACUCGGAAAGGUCACCACAUGGUAAGAACCCAAAACCAAGCACUUCUCCCAUUGCAAGAAUCAUAGAUCUAGUUGGCCAAACAAAACCCAAGACUCGGAGAGACUUACAAGGAUAUCAAAUCAUGCAUAUAAGAAAUCAGCAAAGACUCAAAUAUAUAUCAUAGAUAAUCUGAUCACAAAUCCACAAUUCAUCGGAUCUCGACAAACACACCGCCAAAGAAGAUUACAUUGGAUAGAUCUCCAUGAAGAUCAUGGAGAACUUUGUAUUGAAGAUCCAAGAGAGAGAAGAAGCCAUCUAGCGGACAGAUCUCCAUGAAGAUCAUGGAGAACUUUGUAUUGAAGAUCCAAUAGAGAGAAGAAGCCAUCUAGCUACUAACUACGGACCCGUAGGUCUGAAGUGAACUACUCACGAGUCAUUGGAGGGGCGAUGAUGAUGAUGAUGAAGCCCUCCAACUCCAAAGUCCCCUCCGGCAGGGUGCCGGGAAGGGUCUCCAGAUGAGAUCUCGUGGAAACGGAAGCUUGCAGCGGCGGAAAAGUAUUUUCAAGGCUCCCUUUAUUUUUUUCUGAUUUUUAGGGAAUAUAUAGGCGCAAGCUCUAGGUCAGGGGGGCGCCAGGGAGGCCACAAGCCCUGCCACCGCCGCCUCCCCCCUGGUGGCGGAGUGGGGGCUUGUGGGCUCCCUGCAGCCCUCCUGGCCUGGCCCAUAGGCCCCCUGAUCUUCUUUCGUUCGGGAAAAAAUCAUUUUGGGGAUUUUAUUCCGUUUGGACUCUGUUCCAAAAUCAGAUCUGAAAAGAGCCAAAAACACAGAAAAACNNNNNNNNNNNNNNNNNNNNNNNNNNNNNNNNNNNNNNNNNNNNNNNNNNNNNNNNNNNNNNNNNNNNNNNNNNNNNNNNNNNNNNNNNNNNNNNNNNNNGGGGAGGAACAGGAUGUCGGCCGAACUUCCAUUGUCAACCAGGAUGCGAUGGAUGUUAAAGUUUCCUAUCAACAGGGUGACCACUAAUGCAUCAUCGUGGGGGUAGAAAACCCCUUCUUCGUCUUCCGACGAGAACGUAACGGCCUCGUGCUCUAAUCGGCGAGCCUUCGAAGGCCGUUCAAGGGAGAGUAUUUCUUCGGAGGGCAAUCUCCUGGCAUAAGCCCGUCUCCUUGAGCUGGAAGAGCCGCCAGCUACCAAACCGCCAGCGAUGGUGUGAAUCUCGCUGAUAGGAUCUCGAUUUUUCUCGGACCCUGCUCGCCACGGACAUUUCGAUCUCGCUGAUAGGAUCUCGAUUUUUCUCGGACCCUGCUCGCCGACGGACAUUGCGAUCGUUGUAGCGCCCCGUUUCGCUGUCCGUGCGGCAAUGUCUCGCUUCGCUGCCGGCCCUGUGCUCGUCUGCAUGACUUCGACGCUUGAUGGGGGUAGUUGGUCGGCGGCGAUCGCGAUGUGAGCGGUCCUCAUCAUGAGGAGGCCGUUCCACGCGCGGUUUGUCAUACUUGGUGGGUUUAUUAGCUGCUACGAACCGAGCCAACUUUCCUCCUCUAAUCAUUCUUUCUAUUUUCCACCGGAGGGACACGUAAUCCUCCGUCUCGUGGCCGUGAUCUUGGUGGUAGUCACAGUACCUACGUGUGUCGCGUUUUUCUGGAGGGGCCCGCAUCUUCUCCGGCUGCUUUAAUUCUGGGUUGUUCUUGAUCAGCGUAUAUAUCUCUGCUACAGUCGCAUUCAGCGGNNNNNNNNNNNNNNNNNNNNNNNNNNNNNNNNNNNNNNNNNNNNNNNNNNNUGCUACAGUCGCAUUCAGCGGGGUAAAAUUAUAAUCCCGCUCAGCUAUGGGCUUUUUCUUCUCGGAUAGCUUCUCACCCUUCUUCGAGCUUUUUCCACAGCUGGAGGCCCCUUCUCCUCUGCUAAACUCCUUCUUCCUAGCCUGCUCCUUAUGCUUCGUGUCUCUCUCAGCGUACAUACUUAUCAUUUCUUCUUGGUUGAUAAAUUCCUCAGCUUUCUCCAUGAACUCCCGUAGGGUCGUUGGAGUCUUUUUGGCCAGUUCUAGGACGAAAGGUUCUUUGUGCCAGAAUCCGUUUAUAGCGGCAGUCAAAACUACACUUUCAAACAUUUCCUCCGCUUCCACCCUUUCCUUAUUGAACCUCUGGAGGUAGUCUUUGAGGGGUUCGUUCUCCCUCUGCUUCAGUGCUAGCAUAUACUGCAAUGUAUUGUUGCGCCUUUUCGACGCUAGAAACUGUGUGAGGAAGAUUUUUGCCAGGUCCUCGAAACUGUCAAUGGAGCUAGUUGGCAAUCCCCCGAACCACUCUUGGGCACUACCUUCCAAGGUGAGGGGGAACGCGCGACAAGCUAUUUCGUCAGUCGUUGCAUGCAAGUCUAUAUGGGCCUUAUAAGACUUCAGAUGGCCGACGGGGUCACCCGUCCCGUCAUAAGGUUUAACAGGAGGGACCUUGAACCGUGCAGGGACUGGAUGGCUCAUUAUACGUGGAGUGAAAACUGAACGAGCCCGUUGGAUAAUCGAAUCAACAGCAGAUUGCUUCCUUCCCAUAUCGAGAAGUGUUGCGUCAUAUUUUGCUUCCAAGCCCCUAAUUAGGGCGUGCACAUCCUCGUGCGGGGGUGGAGGUGGACGAUUAACCUAGAAGUGUCCUGGCUCAGGGCUUUGGCGGUCUUCCCUUUCAAAGUUUAGGCGGCGUCCGACCCCAUCUCCGGCANNNNNNNNNNNNNNNNNNNNNNNNNNNNNNNNNNNNNNNNNNNNNNNNNNNNNNNNNNNNNNNNNNNNNNNNNNNNNNNNNNNNNNNNNNNNNNNNNNNNUGAUGAUGUGAGGGCUAGAUUAUUGACUCUAGUGCAAGUGGGAGAUUGUUGGAAUUAUGACCUAGAGGCAAUAAUAAAUAUAGUUAUUAUUAUAAUUCCUGUAUCAAGAUAAUCGUUUAUUAUCCAUGCUAUAAUUGUAUUGAAUGAAGACUUAUAUACAUGUGUGGAUACAUAGACAAAACACUGUCCCUAGCAAGCCUCUAGUUGGCUAGCCAGUUGAUCAAAGAUAGUCAGGGUCUUCUGAUUAUAUACAAGGUGUUGUUGCUUAAUAACUGGAUCACGUCAUUAGGAGAAUCACGUGAUGGACUAGACCCAAACUAAUAGACGUAGCAUGUUGAUCGUGUCAUUUUGUUGCUACUGUUUUCUGCGUGUCAAGUAUUUGUUCCUAUGACCAUGAGAUCAUAGAACUCACUGACACCAGAGGAAUGCUUUGUGUGUAUCAAACGUCGCAACGUAACUGGGUGACUAUAAAGAUGCUCUACAGGUAUCUCCGAAGGUGUUCGUUGAGUUAGUAUGGAUCGAGACUGGGAUUUCUCACUCCUUUUGACGGAGAGGUAUCUCGGGGCCCACACGGUAAUACAAAUUCACACACAAGCCUUGCAAGCAAUGUGACUUAGUGUAAGUUGCGGGAUCUUGUAUUACGGAACGAGUAAAGAGACUUGCCGGUAAACGAGAUUGAAAUAGGUAUGCGGAUACUGACGAUCGAAUCUCGGGCAAGUAACAUACCGAAGGACAAAGGGAAUGACAUACGGGAUUAUAUGAAUCCUUGGCACUGAGGUUCAAACGAUAAGAUCUUCGUAGAAUAUAUGGGAUCCAAUAUGGGCAUCCCGGUCCCGCUAUUGGAUAUUGACCGAGGAGUCACUCGGGUGAUGUCUACAUAGUUCUCAAACCCGCAGGGUCUGCACACUUAAGGUUCGACGUUGUUUUAUGCGUAUUUGAGUUAUAUGGUUGGUUACCGAAUGUUGUUCGGAGUCCCGGAUGAGAUCAUAGACGUCACGAGGGUUUCCGGAAUGGUCCGGAAACAAAGAUUGAUAUAUAGGAUGACCUCAUUNNNNNNNNNNNNNNNNNNNNNNNNNNNNNNNNNNNNNNNNNNNNNNNNNNNNNNNNNNNNNNNNNNNNNNNNNNNNNNNNNNNNNNNNNNNNNNNNNNNNGGCGCGUGGGCUGAGGCUUAUUGUUGUUGCCUUAAAUCUUUAACUAUGCGUGAUGGAGUACCGUCAGUCCUUUGCAAAAAGACGGGCAAUUAUAUAGUACUAGGGAACAAAAAAUCUUGACCCUACAUGCAGGAACACCAACAAGACAACUGGAUCCAAUGAAAUAAAGCAUCCUGAUCUUCGUACGAUAAUACAAGACAGAGGCCUUGGCAAUGCAUUAUUAUCAUUGAAAAAACUAGGACAGCAAUUGUCCUACAUGCACACAAGACAACCCACGUAGAACGUCAUGCUGCAAUUUUUAGACACGAUUGUUACCACAUUUCAGGGAAAUAUUAAGGAUUUUAUCAAUGUCCCUCAAAUGUAUAACCAACGCUUAGUUUUAAUUAGUUGGUGCUUAGUAUGGCAGUUGCAUGCUCCUGCACUACUUUCCAUGCCAUGAUGACGUGUCGUUCCUCUACCAGGGUUGCACCGACGGCAAACCGUAUGGCGUACACAUUCCCAACCUUGGUAUGAGUCAUGUAAACGCGGCCUGACAUGUUUAUCGACUCCAACAACUUCUGGUUCACCUCCUCAUUUGAACUUUCUUCAUCAUCAUAAACGUUACCGUUUUCGUGUGCUGACUUUGGCUUUGGCAAAAGUAGCCUAAAACAAACCAUGGCAAAAUUUCUAGGGACCACAAUUUCAAACCUCUUGUCCGUUCCUACGAGCCCUUCAAAAAGCUUGGCCAUUUCAACAUGACUUCUCAAGAAGUUCCUAAGGUUAGCCACCCCAUAGCUUCUAAGCACAAACCAUAGUUUCAAGGCCCGAAAUCUUCGGCUUAGGGCUAUCUGCCAGUCCUUAUAAUCCACCACUUGCCUUGAGUCGGUGGCUUUAUUCCUCAAGAACUCGGGAUUCGUUGAGAGUGAUUUUACCAAGGCCGUCGGAUCUUUUACCCAAAGGCAGCAACAAUCUAAAGUGGUUAAGAACCAUUUAUGGGCAUUGAGACUAAAUGAGUUUGCACCCUCAACGCCGUCCAUGAAAUGCCGGAAUUCGGGACAAAUGCAUGCACUUCCGGCAUAAGCAGCAUCGACGUGGACCCACAUGCCAUAAUCUUUUGCCACUUGGCAUAACGACCCCAGUGGAUCAAUGGCAGUUGUCGAAGUAGUCCCCACAGUGGCGCAUAGAAACAAUGGGACUAACCCUGCUUCUAUGUCGUUGCAAAUUUCGGAUCGUAGUGAGUCUGGUGACAGCGCAAAUGAUGUUGACUUUGUGGUUUUGAUGGCUCUGAAAUUCUUUGGCUGGAUUCCGGCUAUUUGUGCCGCUUUUUGUAGUGCACUAUGCGUUUGGUCGGACCCAUAAACGACCAACUUUCUCAUAUUCUCUCUCCCGAUUUUGGUUAGCAUUUGAUCCCUCGCAGCGACGAGGGUGCACAAAAUGGCCUCGCAUGUGGUCCCCUGUAGCACACCGCCGCCAUUGCCGGAGAAAAGGAAGGAGUUGGGCAGGUUAAGCAUCUGUCCAAGCCAAUCCACGACUAUUGUCUCAAGUUCGGUCGCGGCUGGAGAUGAAAUCCAGUUGAACCCGACCACAUUCAAUCCGACACUAAGCAUUUCGCCUAGAAACCCUGCUAUGCUACCGCUGCUUGGGAAGUAAGCGAAGAAGUUGGGGCUUUGCCAAUGUGUUAUGCCGGGGAUUAUAUGGUCCUGCACGUCUUGGAGAAUGGUUUCGAUGGGCUCUGGAUUAUGUGGGGUGGACUCUGGCAAGCGUUUCCGGAGAUAUCCCGGUUCCACUUGGCUUCGAACAGGGUAUUUCUCAACAUUCAGAUAGUAAUCAGCGAGGAAGUCUAUCAUCAUGUGGCCUUGCCGCCUGAACUCCUCAGGGUCUAGUGGAUUGUUGUUAAAGAUAGAAAAGAAAUUGAGGCNNNNNNNNNNNNNNNNNNNNNNNNNNNNNNNNNNNNNNNNNNNNNNNNNNNNNNNNNNNNNNNNNNNNNNNNNNNNNNNNNNNNNNNNNNNNNNNNNNNNAAUAUGAAAUACAACUAAGAGGGAGACGCGCUCCUAUUAGUUGGGGGUUCGGCUCCACGUUCACCGCCGGCAUUAGAACCGGACUACCCCCAACCCUCGAUACAUUGCUUGGUUCGGCCCCAGGUUCGCCUCUAACCGCUAGCCGAACCCUAGCUAUGGGAGGGGGAACAGACCACAUAGCACAAGCAUCUGGCAGCUCUUCCGCCCCGAUCAUCCGAAGCUCACCCAAGGCCCGAGGGUCAGGCCGAACAUCUUCAAUCGAUGGUCGGCACUUUGAGUUUCAAGUUCUCAUCCGCCGCCAUUGCCCGAAGAGUCUCGAAUCCCUAUUCGAACCCGUGGAUCCAAGUACGGUUUCUGACCACGUGCACCAUGUUAAGUUGGUUUUUAUACCUCCUCGCCAACUGGUUCGCCUCGCGGUGCUUCUGCGCCAUAUGAUCUGCUAGUUGGGUGGCGGCCUUCUCUUGAUCUCGGAGUUCCUUGUUCGCUUUCUUCAAUGCCGCUAUCCCUUCUCCCAACAAGGCAAGCUGCUCUUCAGCGAUUUCCAGCCCCUUCCGUGCAGAGCUACGCUCGGCCUCCACGGAGCGGAGAUUGCGAGACAAGUCCGAAACCUCUGCUUUAAAUCCCACGAUUAGCCCAUUCUGCUCAUCGAUGACCCCCUGCAUCCAUGACGAACGACCUUGUAACUCAGAUUCUGACUACAUUGACCGUCAAGCUUAGCUCGAAGGUCGGCCAUCUCACCCCGAAGCCCGGAGUUGGCCGCGUCGAGCCGGAGUACAUCAGAGGUCAGCUCGUCGAUCUUUGACUGCCCAACAUCUACGGCCAAGCGAAGCUGGUCGUACUCAGAGGAUUUCGCCUCCAAAACCUCUUGCCUUUUCAGGGCAUCAAAAAGUUCUGUGUCAUGGCGAGUCGAUCUCUCUUCUAGCUUGAGAUUCCUGGCCCUUAAGGCCGUGAUGGUAGACCUAGCAGCCACGAGCUCCUCCUCUUGAGCCUCCAACUUCCUCUUUCACUCGAGGAGCGACUCUUGGCUAGAAUGUAAGUAUUUACCAAGCGAAUUUACGGCGAUCAGGGAACCCUGCAAAAAAAGAGAAGAGAAAGCAAACAAAGUUAACAGGAGAUCCAAAUUUCAGAGAAACUGAAGCGAAUAGCGAUAACAUAGCAACACACCUCGAUUUGAUGUCGGAGACCAAGGAAGGGAUCUUCUUGGGAACCGACCACCUCCCACCAUGCGGGACCGCUGCCGGAAGUCACUUCUUCAAUUCCGGGGUCCGGAGCUUCGGGCUCACUACGAACUUCUGAAUGGUGCCGAACCUCUGGAGCAAUGAUUCCCGCGCUCGAACUAACGCCGGCGGAAAGAGGUUCGGCCCCUUCUGGGAGGGGGACUCGAGAAUCUGGAAGCUCAGGUUCAUUUGGGACCUCCAGAAAGUCCCGAACCUCGAAGGGGACAGCCUCCAUCGCCGAAGUGGAACCUGCUAUGACAAGUUUGGCCUUCCCCCGAUCGGCAGCCACCAUUACGCCCUCGACUUCGGAAAUAAAAGCUGGUUCGGUCGUGAUAGCUUCGGCCUCGAGUCUCUCCGAGGCCUCCAUGAGACCGACCCGACGCUGAAGGAGGAAUAGAUGGCGAAGAAGCCCUGUCCUCAUCACCUUCAGUAGAGGGAAUAGCUUCGGUUGAUGGCACCGAACCUUCACCCACGAAGAGGACGUUGACACCUCGGGCCUUUUUCAUUGGGGGGUACAUCUUGAUGAACUCAGAAUAUUCGGGACUUUCCGCUCCCCCCUCAUUGGGGAGCGGAGGAGAGUCCGCCUCCCCCUCCCCCGAGGGCUCCACAACUUUUCUCUUGAGAACCCGAGUCCUCACCAUAAGGGGAACGUCGUCCUCAUCGUCAUCCUGGCUGUCGUCGAGAACAAUUGGGCCUUCCACGACUUGGGGGGCGUCUCCUCUUGGUGAAUCCCCCUCAGUAGACAGAGAAAGAGAGACUGACCCUUCUUCGGAAGAGGAAGAAGGUUCGGCCUCCUUCACUGGGGCAAGGCUCGGCCCUUUAGACCUCGUUCGCCUAAUCGUGCCCUCCGCUUUCCCUUUCUUCUUCGAAGGGAAAAGCGUAUCUGGAAUAUNNNNNNNNNNNNNNNNNNNNNNNNNNNNNNNNNNNNNNNNNNNNNNNNNNNNNNNNNNNNNNNNNNNNNNNNNNNNNNNNNNNNNNNNNNNNNNNNNNNNUUCCGGUAAUCAAAUGAGGUCAUCCUAUAUAUCAAUCUUCGUUUCCGGAAAAUUCCGGAAACCCUCGUGACGUCCGUGAUCUCAUCCGGGACUCCGAACAACAUUCGGUAACCAACCAUAUAACUCAAAUACGCAUAAAACAACGUCGAACCUUAAGUGUGCAGACCCUGCGGGUUCGAGAACUAUGUAGACAUGACCCGAGAGACUCCUCGGUCAAUAUCCAAUAGCGGGACCUGGAUGCCCAUAUUGGAUCCUACAUAUUCUACGAAGAUCUUAUCGUUUGAACCUCAGUGCCAAGGAUUCAUAUAAUGCCGUAUGUCAUUCCCUUUGUCCUUCGGUAUGUUACUUGCCCGAGAUUCGAUCGUCAGUAUCCGCAUACCUAUUUCAAUCUCAUUUACCGGCAAGUCUCUUUACUCGUUCCGUAAUACAAGAUCCCGCAACUUACACUAAGUCACAUUGCUUGCAAGGCUUGUGUGUGAUGUUGUAUUACCGAGUGGGCCCCGAGAUACCUCUCCGUCACACGGAGUGACAAAUCCCAGUAUCGAUCCAUACUAACUCAACGAACACCUUCGGAGAUACCUGUAGAGCAUCUUUAUAGUCACCCAGUUACGUUGCGAUGUUUGAUACACACAAAGCAUUCCUCCGGUAUCAGUGAGUUAUAUGNNNNNNNNNNNNNNNNNNNNNNNNNNNNNNNNNNNNNNNNNNNNNNNNNNNNNNNNNNNNNNNNNNNNNNNNNNNNNNNNNNNNNNNNNNNNNNNNNNNNAGGGGAAGCUUGCUUCACUCUCUUGUCCUUCCUUUUUAACCACAGUUUUUGUUUGUGUAAGAUCGGCGACUCAUAGAUCGUCGAUAUUGUUGCCUUUGGUUGGGCGUUUGUUUUUUUUUUACGCUUAGUGAAAAAGCCUUCGAGCUUUUUGUUCUCGCUUGUUGAUUCCAUUAUGCACAUCUCUUUUUUUUGAAUGAAGUGGGUCUUAUUACCUUGUUUUGCUUGUAUAUACUUUUCAAAUAACGGACGAAUAUGGAAAGGUUUCGUUUCACCUUGUUUUGUUCGAACGCGCUGCAAUCCUCUUUGCGUUCUGAAGAGGGGCGCCGAACUUCUUCGGUUGAGAUGUCGGCAGUUGAUUCAUCAUAUCAGGUUCGGCAUGUCAAGGGGUCGGUCGCGACCUCAAUGACGGAACCGUGAUUUUGAUCUUGGAUCACGUGCACGGCAUGCCAAAGGGUUCAGGACCUCGAUGAUGGAGCACAGACCUUUCGAUCUUGGUUCGGCAUGUCAAGGGUCGUUGGCCGGACCUCAAUGACGGAACCAGAUGGUGAUCUAGGAUCGCACGCACGGCAUGUCAAAGGGUUCAUGACCUCGAUGACGGUGCGCAGAUCUUUCGAUUUGGGUUCGGCAUGUCAAGGGUCGUUGUCCGGACCUCAGUGACGGAACCCGGUGGUGAUCUAGGAUCACACGCACGGCAUGUCAAAGGGUCAUCGUAGACCUCGAUGACGGUGCAUGGACCUUUCGAUCUAGGUUUGGCAUGUCAAAGGGUCAUCGUAGACCUCGAUGACGGUGCGUGGACCUUCAAUCUAGGUUCGGCAUGUCAAGGGUCGUUGUCCGGACCUCAGUGACGGAACCCGGUGGUGAUCUAGGAUCACACGCACGGCAUGUCAAAGGGUCAUCGUAGACCUCGAUGACGGUGCAUGGACCUUUCGAUCUAGGUUUGGCAUGUCAAAGGGUCAUCGUAGACCUCGAUGACGGUGCGUGGACCUUCAAUCUAGGUUCGGCAUGUCAAGGGUCGUUGUCCGGACCUCAGUGACGGAACCCGGUGGUGAUCUAGGAUCACACGCACGGCAUGUCAAAGGAGGGUCGUGGGCCUCAAUGACGGUGCGCAGAUCUUUUGAUUAUGGUUCGGCAUGUCAAGGGUCGUAGGCCUCAAUGACGGAACCAGAUUGGAGAUCCUUGCGCUCGGGGUGGCCAUACUGCCUCUAAUUCAUUCCACAUUCUCUAUGUCGUUCACAUGCGCAUGAAAGGAAAAAGCAAAACAACAGGAGGAAGACGAACUUUCAUCAGUGAAUAAAAUACAACUUCAAAAGUGUGGGGGAAUUACUGGUAAUAUCGUUUCAAAUAAAGGAGUAUCUCUCGUGGGAGUUCUUUCAGUGGUCCUGUAGGCCCAAAGAACUUCGUGCAGCUGCUCAGCCCAAGCCACCUUUCUAUCUUCGAGCUUCUUCUUUAGUAUCUUAAAGAUAGUCUUGUUUGUAGCUUCNNNNNNNNNNNNNNNNNNNNNNNNNNNNNNNNNNNNNNNNNNNNNNNNNNNNNNNNNNNNNNNNNNNNNNNNNNNNNNNNNNNNNNNNNNNNNNNNNNNNGAGAGAGAGAGAGAGAGAGAGAGAGCCGCUCCCCCACAGAGGAGAGGGAGCAGGGCCUCGCACCGCAUCCACUAGAGAGCGAGGAGGUGCCACGGCAAGGGGUGAAGCUCGUGCCGCCACGGAGGCAAGGGAUAUGGUCGUGCCGCACCGGUGGAUGGCCGUCCGCCCAAUCUUCCCCUCGAUUUCGCUAUGAAUCUGCAGCCACUGCCAGCCAGAGGUAAUUCCGAUUUUAGUUCCUGCAAGCGUUGCAUCUGCGUCCCUCGAGGCACCAGUCAGAACAGACACCCGUCAGAUAUGCCCCUGCUACCACCAAACGACCAACCCACACACUGGCAAGCUCAAAGUGACCAUGACUUCUACAGAUUUCAUGCAUUCUGAAUUCACGCACACACACACACAUCGGCAAGUGCAGCUAUAAGUUCAGAUGGUCAGUUCUAAUGUGACUUUUAGUAGUUCGACGGCACAAGGCUGUGCAAUUUGUAGUGUUCUUUCACCAGUAGUAAAAUUUGUAUGAUCAGUAUGCACAGUACACAAUAUAAGGAUGUGCAAUGUGUAGUAAAUCUUUCUUUAGUAGUAAUCUUUCAACUUUCCAUCUACAAAAUUUGUUAUUGUUCUGCAAUUUGAUCAACUGAUUAUACAUGUAUGACAGAUAAAUUUGGUGGUGUGNNNNNNNNNNNNNNNNNNNNNNNNNNNNNNNNNNNNNNNNNNNNNNNNNNNNNNNNNNNNNNNNNNNNNNNNNNNNNNNNNNNNNNNNNNNNNNNNNNNNUAUAUAUAUAUAUAUGACUAUUUUGAUAUACAAAGCUCGGUUCCUAUAUCUCAGUUAAGGAUCGCGCUAUUUGUCACCAUGGAUGAGGAAUAAUUAUUCUUCACCCCUCUAUUUUCCCAUCAAAGCACCGUAUUUUUAUGAAUCGUAUUUUUUUUCUUACUUCAUACCUAAAAAGAGAACGUAAGAAAAUAUUAAAAUCAUCAUAAAAAGUAUUUUAUGCUACGUAAAGUUAUAAACAUAAAAACAUGGUGUAAAAUAUACACAAAAUGUAUAUAUGUAUGUGUGCGUAUUAUGAAGAUUAUCUAGAGUAGCACAUACAAAUCCCAGGGGCUCGGCUCGAGGAGCCAAACAUGACGGCCUUGACAUAGAACUUGAGACAUUCUAGCAAUAUUAUGAGCAUCUAUGUUGUAUACCCUCGUUUUAUGUUUAAAGGAAACAUCUCGUAAACCCUCCAGCUUGCGCGUGGCUUUUGUUAGCCUCCUCCUCUCCUCUGUUUCCUUCAUAGAUACUCCCUCCGUCCAGGUGUGUUGGGCACGUAAGAGAAUUUUGAAAUUCAAAAAGUAUAAGUCGCGUAAGUUAUUAUAGAUGCAUUAAUCUUCGUAAUUAGCUCUUCCUUUAAAAACCUUGGACCAAUGCAUGCAAUCCUCCUCCUCUUAAACUUAAUCCCAAUUAAUUGGAUAACAAUAUAUCUAGCAUGAGGAUUGGUUGCAUGUUAUAAAUUUACAUGCAUGGGUUAGCCAAACCGUGCCAGCUAUUAUUGUUCGAUUUAUUGCAGCAUUUUGGAAAAAGAGAUUUGGAUGGUGAUUGGCUUCCUUUAUGAUUCAAAUUAUUUGGCUAGCCCAAUGUCCUUGUGCCUAGAUUCCAGUGCUCCUCCUUAGUCCCCAAUACACCUGGACAAAGGAAGUAGUUCUGAUAACCCCCAUAGAAUCAGAGGAUAUAGGGCUGCCCGUAAUGGGAGUAUCAUAGGUAGUAUCAUGCAUGCCAACUAGGCAAUUUCGAUUAUGUGGCAUAGAAUUAAAUGAAGAAAGAGAUGGUUGAGUAUCAUAUCAUGAUACCGUAUCAUAUUAAAUGAUGUGCUAUUAUGUGUCUUGCAUGGCAAUAAAUGAACUAUCCUAUGAUACUAACAUAUGAUACUAUACAUUACGAAUGUGGUAUCAUAGGCUAGUAUCAUAUGCAUGAUACUAGUAUAUGAUACUACCCAUUACAACCAGCCUAACAACUUUGUACAGAUUUAGGUCCUACAUCAAGCACAACCCUUCAGGGCACACCAUUGCCUCAACACAAACUGGAUCAUAAGCACUCUCCAUAGCCAACACCGAAGCCGUCAGGUUGGUACCAGCACCAUCGCGAAAAAUAGUUCCAGCCGGGCACAUGUUGUUCUCAUAUGACAAUGCAACAUCAACAUUACCUUUCACAACACCCUGUGGAGGAGGGAUCCAACACCCUGCGCCUUCUACUAAAUCGAUCCAACCCAGCACAUGCAGAAAAUGUGUUAUAAACUUGCAUGUAUGAAAAUGGCUCUGAUAAACAUCUUCCUGUAUGAUAUCUCGCCUUGCCUUCCAGAUCGCCCACAAGGUAGUAAUCAUCUUCACAUAAUCUAUUAUGGAUAGGAAUCAUCCAUCUCGAACAACCAGGUUCCAGCAUUUGGCUCGCCAGCACCGCAGCUCCUCAAUUUAUCAGAGUUGUUCAUCGACUAGUACCCAAACACAUCAAGCCGUUCUGCACUCUAGUAAUGAAUAUCUCCACCGAAUCCUCACUCCAGCCACAAAUGCUGCAAACACUAGUCGGUGCCAUGUUCUUGUGGUGAGCAACAUGUGCACUGGGUAAGGUUUGGCACGCAAGCCUCCAAGAAAAGCCUUUAAUUUAGUGGGUAUUGUAUGCUUCCACAUUCUUGUCCAUGAUCUUUAAAAAAAAUCAACUCAGACCCACAUACUCGUCCAUCCAGCCAGGCCUGACGACAAGUUUUGGUAUGCACAAGCAUCAUGUAGGUUGAUCAAACAGUGAAGCAGCCCUUCUUCUCAAACAACAAUGCCGUUUCAUCUUCUAAGUUGAUUGUUGGUAGCGGAAUCCGACAUACUAUGUCCGCGUCCAUCGGCAGCAUGUGCUUAGCUAGCACCUGGUCAUUCCAUGAAUGGGUUGCGUCAUCAAUGAGUUUAUUAACCAACUCUCGUCUUGCUUCUACCAAAGGUCCAAACGGUCGCAUCAUCGACUCCCUCGGGAGCCAACAAUUGUUCCGCACCUCACGUCCUUCUGGAAUUGAUCUCCAAACUUGCGAAGGUUGUGAACCAAAUUGGGUUGACGAGAAAUCUGAAUUAAGGAAAUACCUUGCUUUUAAAAUCUGUGCACUCAAAGUGUUUGGCUUUUGUAACACCCAAUGUCCUUCCCUGGACCAAACGUAUGGCUGUUGUACGAGUGGGACGACCCACCUACUCAAUCCUUGGAGCAAGAAGGACGGGUGUACCGUAAGGUAAGAUGAAGAGCAGGAAGAAGAAACUGAAAAUUUCUCCUCUGUCUCUGUUCGUCUCCUUCAGGUCCGUUUGCUCUCCGUCAGGUCCGGUUGCUCUCCACAAGCAAUCCUUAUCUUCUCACGUCACGGCAAUAGCCGGCGGCAAUGGGAGGUGACACCUUUGAAGUGCCAACGUAAUACAUACAUAUACAUACCUACAUUAAAGCUGCUGAGCAGGGAGCCACCAGGGAGCUCCCCAGUGCUGGCCCUGGGCUUCCCCCGGGCAAACAGUAACCCGAACAGUGCACCCCGGUGAACAGUAACAUUUGACAAACAGUAUCCUUACUGAAUAGUCUUUCCUUUUUUUAAACGGAAUAGUGCCCUAUGUUUUUCCUUUUUUUUAGCCUCCCUUUUUUCAAAAUCAAAAUUUAAAAGUUAAAAUUAAAAAAACAUUUUUUCGAGUUUUAAAACAAAUAUCACCCCACUUUUCUGUAACAAAUACUAUUUUCUUAUUUUCUUGCCUUCUUUAUUUUUAAAAACCCUUCUAAAAAUAAUCAAAAAGUUAAAUAUUAUAAAAAAGCAAAUUUGUGGUCGGGGCUCUCCCGUGCAUGACAUCUUCUUUGAAAUUAAANNNNNNNNNNNNNNNNNNNNNNNNNNNNNNNNNNNNNNNNNNNNNNNNNNNNNNNNNNNNNNNNNNNNNNNNNNNNNNNNNNNNNNNNNNNNNNNNNNNNUUCAGUGAUGCUCAAUCACUAGGUUCUAGGUUUGUGGUUUCAGUGUAUGGGGUAUUUCCUCACUGAUGAAUUACUCUCGAAGACUCUGAGGAAUUGGGUUGCUCUUAUGACAAGUGUCAGUUCCUAACGGAGCAGCCAACUAGCUAAUGGUUGUGGGGGGCGGCUAUUUAUAUCCUGGGAGCAUCCCGACAUGAUUUGACACUAAUGCCCUUAAAUAAUAUGACCGUUGGUGUGGAUAAGACCAAUGACUUGGCUUGGUUAUCAAAACGGUCAGAACCCUCAACUAUGAGAGUCCUCAUGUCACUCAUAUUCCUCACUUGAGGCUUUUGGUAGGAUUAGGCUUGGGUUGAGCAUCAUGAGGAAAUUCAUUCCAAAGUGUAACUUCGACCCCCUUUAACAGUACGGUGUUCCUAUUACUCAAAUGUGAAAAAAAUAAAACAGAAAGAGUAAAUCUUCAUGCUUCAAAGUCUUCAAAAUGAUUUUCUUGAGGACACACCGAAUUCCUCAAUUUCAAUAUCUUCACGAGGAAUAUCUAUUUCAUCGCAGAUUCUUCGCGAUUCAAUUCUUCAGUUUCAGACCAAUUUCUUCAACCGAAGAUAUACAUUUUUAGGGGUCGAUAUUCAUCAAAUAUCUCAAACUCCUCAUAGACUUAUAGAUCCUAUGUACACUCAUAAACACAUUAGAUACUUAACCUAUAAGUCUUCAANNNNNNNNNNNNNNNNNNNNNNNNNNNNNNNNNNNNNNNNNNNNNNNNNNNNNNNNNNNNNNNNNNNNNNNNNNNNNNNNNNNNNNNNNNNNNNNNNNNNCGACGUAGUCGCGGAUGAGGUUGAAGCGUCGUUUGAUGUGUCUGGACUUCUUGUGAAAGCGUGGUUCCUUUGCUAGGGCAAUGGCACCUGUGUUGUAACAGAACAAGGUUAUUGGAUUCAGUGCGCUCUGCACCACUCCAAGAUCCGUCAUGAACUGCUUCAUCCAGACACCCUCCUUAGCCGCCUCCGAGGCAGCCAUGUACUCCGCUUCACAUGUAGAAUCUGCUACGACGCUGUGCUUGGAACUGCACUAGCUUACCGCACCCCAUUAAGAAUAAAUACGUAUCCGGUUUGCGACUUAGAGUCGUCCGGAUCUGUGCCAAAGCUAGCAUCAACGUAACCUUUUACGGCGAGCUCUUCGUCACCUCCAUACACGAGAAACAUCUCCUUAGUCCUUUUCAGGUACUUCAGGAUAUUCUUGACCGCCGUCCAGUGAUCCACUCCUGGAUUACUCUGGAACCUACCUGCCAUACUUAUGGCCAGGCUAACGUCCGGUCUAGUGCACAACAUUGCAUACAUGAUAGAACCUAUGGCUGAAGCAUAGGGGACGGAGCGCAUAUGCUCUCUAUCUUCAUCAGUUGCUGGGCACUAAGUCUUACUCAAUCUAUGAGUCUUACUCAAUCUCGUACCUUGUAAAACUGGCUAGAACCCUUUCUUGGACUGUUCCAUUUUGAACCUCUUCAAAACUUUAUCAAGGUAUGUGCUUUGUGAAAGUCUUAUCAGGCAUUUUGAUCUAUCCAUGUAGAUCUUAAUGCCUAGAAUGUAAGCAGCUUCUCCUAGGUCCUUCAUAGAGAAACUUUUAUUCAAGUAAUCCUUUAUGCUCUCCAAAAACUCUACGUAGUUUCCAAUCAACAAUAUGUCAUCCACAUAUAAUAUUAGAAACGCCACAGAGCUCCCACCCACAUCCCAAAUCCUUCUCUCCCAAAUCCCACCAAAGCAACUAAUGCUAGGGAGGAAAAUGAGAGGAAGAAUGAAGAAGAACACGAAGAACUCCAAGAUCUAGACCCAAUGGGUUCCCCUCACUUAGAGGAGAAAGUGAUUGGUGGAAAUGCGGAUCUAGAUCUCCUCUCUCUUUUCCCUCAAGAACUAGCAAGAUUCAUUGGAAGGAUUGAGAGUUAGCAAGCUCGAAGAAGGUCAACAAUGGGGAAAGAACACGAGCUAAAGAGAUAAGGUUCAAUGGGGAAGAAGACCCCCUUUUAUAGGUGGGGAAAAAUCCAACCGUUAAGACNNNNNNNNNNNNNNNNNNNNNNNNNNNNNNNNNNNNNNNNNNNNNNNNNNNNNNNNNNNNNNNNNNNNNNNNNNNNNNNNNNNNNNNNNNNNNNNNNNNNUUUUUUAAAAGGGUUAAAACAGAAACUUUACACAACCCCAAAACAAAAUCAAAGAGAAGAGAUGAGGGGAGUGGUUCGCGGUGAAACGGGGCUUAGCGGUGGCUCUCACGCACGCACUCUCAUCAUGCCAACAAACGACGUCACACUCACAAAGCACUAACACCCAACAACAGAGCAACAAGCAACACCGACAACUAACACGGAUGACAUGAUGCCAUGCAUGAUGCGAUGAUGCAAACUAAAUGAAGAUGCAACAAAUAAAACUAACCACACGACGGAAACAGAAAUAAAGGGGAAAACGGAAACGGAAAUAAAGGGGAAUCUUCUGGGAUGUCGGUCUCGGGUUGUCACAACAAGAUACCUUCGAUGGAGCAGAGGAGGCUGUGAAGGGGGAGAAGGGAGUCGUUGUCGCGGUCACGAGUUCGGAUCAACGCCAUCGUCGCGCCUCGCCGCGUUGUCGUUGUCGUCGCGCCUCGCCGCCUUGUCCUCUGUUGUUGGCGCCUCAUCGUGUCGCCGUUGCUUCACCCACUCGCAGACAUCGGUGCUGGCGUCCCCCGGCGGCGGAGCCCUCGAUCUGUAUCGGGUAGGGUUUCGAGCGAGAGGCGAGGUGGGGAAAAACGACGGGCGUUGGUCUGUAUCAGAUACCUGUUUAAUACACGUGUAAACGAUGAAACCAGUGUAAAAGUUACAGCCAAAAAAUGACACAACAAACACGUAUGUGAGGCCCGUCCGUUUUUUCUACAAGGAUAUAGUAUACACGUGUAUUGAGGCCGAAAACAAAGAACCAACCGGAGCCUUAGGGAAUAUUAGUGUAAAAGUCAGGCUCUUCCAGUUGAUCUUGUCGACUUGUGAUCCUGGCAUUGUUAGCAGCAAUAGGAACAUAAAAGAAUAUGAACCUACAGACUACUAACAAGUGUUGGUGGCGGUGGUGGUGUGUCAUAAAUCCGUCAUGCAAAUCUGAAAUUCUUACCAGUUCUUACCCGUCAGCAGGUGGUGAUCGGUAACCGUUGUAGUCAAAACUCUCAAAGCUUGGAUAGAGCGAUUGCUAGGUGGUGUCAAACACACGAUGUAGAUGUAUGUGGAGCUAGGAAGUUUUAUAAUAUGGUACCAAAGAUAAUCAACAAUAAUCAGUUCAAAGAUGCAAAGUUGAAAGGACGCUCAACGAAGGUACCGUGCUGGUCCUAGGCUAGACCGUACUAGAGACGCGAGCCUAGAACACCAACAAAAUCACGACGCUACACGCAAUCAAGGGAAGAGCCACUCUGUUUUUUGUCAUCUUUCUUGCGCUCUUUUUUUCUCCAGAAAAUCAUUAUAAUGACGAGUGUCUCAAAACUCUUCCAAAUUGUUUGAUUAAUCGUUUCCGGGAGCAAUUCGGGGCUGCGACGACCAAAAAUUGCAACAAAAAAUUGCUAUGAUGGCGAGUGUCUCAAAACACUGUGGAAAGCCUAAAACGGGAUAGGGAAAAAUAUUUUCAUCCACUGAAAUUUGGGCCUAAAAACUGCUCUAAAAACUGUGCCAUACUAAGGCAAGGAAACGCAAAACCGAAAACAAAGGAAUCUCGAAAAUAAAGCUAAUAUGUGAAGGACUAGGAUUGGUGGCGGAUAGACUCGGAUUGGUGAUGAUGAUGGUGUGGUGGUGGUAUAUGGCGGCAACAAUGAUUGUGGUGUGGUGGUGGUAUAUGGCCACAACAAUGAUUGUGGUGUGGUGGUGGUAUAAGAUAGCAGCGAUGAUGGUGCGGCGGCUUGACAGUUUGUGAAUAGAACUCGAAACUCUAAAAGACUAGACGCUAAGACCAACAACUUUACACGAUGAUGCAAUUGCAAAUUCAACAAAACAAAUAUCGAACAGAAUAUUGCAAAGGCUCGGAUUGGCUCGGAUAUGAUGAUCUAAGCCUAAUUCUUCUUUUUGUCUUUUUCGUGGAUGGUAGGUAUGAAGAACAAAUGCAAUAUAAACUAUGAAAACCUGGUAAAUCUCACCGAGCAACCUGGAAAUCUGAUACCACUUGAUAGAUGCGAAGUUGUCUCGGUCUUUCGAUGAGAUGUGUCUAUCAUUUUUGAUAGAGUCAACUUUGACGAUCCGACUACAAACGUGCGAGGACGUCGCACCUUAGUAAUCGCUAAAACAACUCUGAGAGGUUAUUGACCAUGCUGGAGCAUGAUCAACCUGACCACGAGGGUGUGUUUCCUGCACGUAAACGAAGAACAAGCAAGAAACUGAAAUUGCAGUCUGGAUAUUGCGAAUAUAAGAUGAAAUCUUUAUUGAUGAAAGUGGGGUUCUGUGACGUCUUGGUCUGGUUGUACAACACAAACGAAGAAUGUGAAGUUGUAGCUAUGACAAACUUUUAAUUUAAAAAAACCCAAGUCUAAACUGUGUCCUAAGGGUUGUAUAUAUGGGGGAAUAGAUGGGAAUUUCAUGAUCCCUUGGAGGAGGGGGCAGAAAACAACCCUAACUCCGUUUCCCCACACAUACAGACUCUAAAAAUAACCUAUAAUGUGGUAUUUCGAAAUUACAUGGGCCUGGCCCAAAAAUAAGGUGAAGCAACACCUAUAAUGGCCUAUGGACGAAAUUUAUGAAGUGGCAUCUUGUAUAUUUCGUCCAAACCUUCAUGCUCUUAUUAUGGUGGCUUCAACGUGCGAAAAUCACCACGGAUAGCUCCAUUGUUCUUUCCUACGCGCUCAUGUUCUCCUCCAUGCUUGUUCCCGUUCAAAUGGUCACCCUACGUGUCCAUGUUAGGUCUUCCAUUCAUAAGUAAAACAAAAGUAUCUAACUUAGGCAACAUCAUAUGUUCAUGAAUAUUAGAAGGAUUUCUAAAAAAAAGAAAGUACGUGAUAAUUCAAUUGGCAUGUGCGUGCUUUAGUAACUGGUCCAGUAUGUAUAUCACUAUAGCAGCAGAUAUUGUGAGUGUAACAAUAAUAUUGAUGUCCUCAUCAAAAUCAUUCUGAAGACAGAUGCAUGUGUACCGAAGCACGCAAUCACAAGCGACCAGUAUGACGAAUCGAGUCUAGGCGUAGUGUUUAAAGAAAUUGGAGCAAUGAUGCAAUCCUUUUUCAAUCUUGUAAAGCGAAAACUUGUCUUAGGGCUUGUAAUAUCUCUGCGCGCUAUUUAGCUCAUCAUGGUGCAAUGCAAGUAUGGAACGGAGAACCUAGGAGUAUUAGAUAUGGCUGGAACCACUCCCUAGAUAUGUAAAAGACCUUGUUGUUGUCGAGUCCAGCUUGCCUUGUUAAGGGNNNNNNNNNNNNNNNNNNNNNNNNNNNNNNNNNNNNNNNNNNNNNNNNNNNNNNNNNNNNNNNNNNNNNNNNNNNNNNNNNNNNNNNNNNNNNNNNNNNNACCGGGAAUGUACCGGGAAUGACGAAUGGGUUCCGGGUGUUCACCUGGGGGGCAACCCACCCCGAGGAAGCCCAUAGGCCUUGGGGUGGCGCACCAGCCCUUAGUGGGCUGGUGGGACAGCCCAAGAAUGCCCUAUGCGCCAUAGGAAGAAAAUCAAAGAGAAAAGAAAAAAAAAGAGGAGGUGUGNNNNNNNNNNNNNNNNNNNNNNNNNNNNNNNNNNNNNNNNNNNNNNNNNNNNNNNNNNNNNNNNNNNNNNNNNNNNNNNNNNNNNNNNNNNNNNNNNNNNNNNNNNNNNNNNNNNNNNNNNNNNNNNNCCCUAAGGCAAGGCUCCCCUCUUCCCCCUAUAUAUACGGAGGUUUUAGGGCUGAUUUGAGACAACUUUGCCAUGGCAUCCCGACCACAUAUCUCCACGGUUUUACCUCUAGAUCGCGUUUGUGCGGAGCUCGGGCGGAGCCCUGCUGAGAUAAGAUCAUCACCAACCUCCGGAGCGCCGUCAUGCUGCCGGAGAACUGUUCUACCUCUCCGUCUCUCUUGCUGGAUCAAGAAGGCCGAGAUCAUCGUCGAGCUGUACGUGUGCUGAACGCGGAGGUGCCGUCCGUUCGGCACUAGAUCAUGGGACUGAUCGCGGGACGAUUCGCGGGGCGGAUCGAGGGACGUGAGGACGUUCCACUACAUCAACCGUGUUCACUAACGCUUCUGUUGUACGGUCUACAAGGGUACGUAGAUCACACAUCCCCUCUCAUAGAUGGACAUCACCAUGAUAGGUCUUCGUGCGCGUAGGAAAAUUUUUGUUUCCCAUUUUUUUUUUUCCCAUGCGACGUUCUCCAACAAUACCUUCGACACAUGCAUAUCGGAGCGGUUCGGUUCAGAGAAGGAGACCAACGGUCGUCGUGGAAGUCGUGGUCGUUGUGGAAGUAGUCGUACACGGUCUCGUCGACAGUAGUCGUUCGCUCGGCGUAGGCAGACGAUCUUCGACGUCGGUAGUCGUUCGCGAAUCCGUAGAUGUUCGGGGGUCGUCGGGGACGUUGUGGUACUCGACGAACUCGAUGUCGGUGACUCACGGCAGGCAGGGAUGGUGCACGCGGCGACAANNNNNNNNNNNNNNNNNNNNNNNNNNNNNNNNNNNNNNNNNNNNNNNNNNNNNNNNNNNNNNNNNNNNNNNNNNNNNNNNNNNNNNNNNNNNNNNNNNNNCCCCCUAACUUAGCUAUUAAAUGGCCUAGAAUUAGCAUAGUUAGCUUCAAAAUGACAUAUUUUACCCGAUCCUGAUUAUCCCAAAACCCAAUGUGAGUUUUUUCUAUUUUUACAUACUCCCCCGCCACGAGCUAACGAGUUAGCUCUAGAAUGACCUAUACUUAGCUUGGCUUCCACCUAAAUGACAUAAUUAGCUUAGUUAGCUCCAAAUUGGUCUAUUUAAUAAAAAAUGACCUAUACUUAGCUAAGUUCUCUCCUAAAUGACAUAAUAAGCUUAUGUAGCUCCAAGAUGACCUAUUCCCCCUAACUUAGCUAUUAAAUGGCCUAUAAUUAGCUUAGUUAGCUACAAAAAGGCUUAAUAAGCAUAGUUAGCUCCAAAAUGACAUAUUUUACCCAAGUUAGCUCUAGAAUGACCUAUACUUAGCCUGGCUUCCACCUAAAUGACAUAAUUAGCUCAGUUAGAUCCAAAAUGGCCUAUUUAAUAAAAAAAUUGACAUAUACUUAGCUAAGUUCUCUCCUAAAUGACAUAAUAAGCUUAUGUAGCUCCAAGAUGACCUAUUCCCCCCUAACUUAGCUAUUAAAUGGACUAUAAUUAGCUUAGUUAGCUAAAAAAUGGCUUAAUAAGCAUAGUUAGCUCCAAAAUGACAUAUUUUACCCAAGUUAGCUCUAGAAUGACCUAUACUUAGCUUGGCUUCCACGUAAAUGACGUAAUUAACUUAGUUAGCUCCAAAAUGGACUAUUUAAUAAAAAAUAACAUAUACUUAGCUAAGUUUUCUCCUAAAUGACAUAAAAUGCUUAUGUAGCUCCAAGAUGACCCAUUCCCCCUAAGUUAGCUAUUCAAUGACCUAUAAUUAGCUUAGUUAGCUCCAAAAUGGCUUAAUAAGCAUUGUUAGCUCCUAAAUACCUAUUUUUACCUAAGUAGCUCCAAAAUGACAUAUACUUAGCUUAGUUUCGUCCUAAAUGAUGUAGUAAACUAAAUUAGCUCCGAAAUGACCUAUACUUCUCUUCUUCAUCUAGUCUUCUUCUUCUAACUUACUUAUUUCCCAUUUUGCAGAUUACAUUCACUUCACGGAAGUUUGGAUUGAUGGAGUGCUUCAAUAUGGUUUCUUCUAAAAUGGCGUCACGAAAGCUUGGAUUGAAACUAUUGUAAUAUAUGGAUAUGAAACUUUGUAUGUAUGGAUGAAACUAGUGUAAUAUAUGGUUUUGGUACGGAUGAAACUUGCAUAAUAUGUAUGUAUUAUGGAUGAAACUUAUUUUAAUAUGGUUAUCAGUAUGGCAACACAACAUUAUUUAUGUCAUAUAUAUAUAUGAUUUAUGUGAAAAUUGCUGGAUAUAAUAAAAAAUAAAAUAAACAGGGGCAGUUUGGAGCCUUUGCCGUCCGCCCACCGACGGCAAAGGGGUUGCAGCAAACGACAAAGGGUCCAAAGCCCUGGGCUGAAGAAGACUGGGUGCCCCCUUUGUCGUCAGCCCACUAGCAUGGCAGACGGCAAAGGGGGCAAGGGCAGACGACAAAGGGUCUGAAGCCCUGGGCUGUAGCAGAAUGGGUGCCCCCUUUGCCGUCAGCCCACAAGCAUAGCAGGCGGCAAAGGGGGGCAUGGCAGAUGGCAAAGGGUCUGUGGGCCCAACAGGCUGCCGUUAACACUUGACGGAGGUGCCCCACGGAUCUGCCGUCCCAUGUUCUCUGCCGUAUGCCCCCCACGGCAAAGGUUCUUUGCCAUCCGCAGGACCAAUGCAGACGGCAAAGAACCCCUUCACCAGAUUUUUCUUUGCCGUCCAUUUUGUCGUCUGCAGACGGACGGCAAAGGCCUUCGCCGUCCGGGGUGCUUCCCUUUGCCGUCAGCCAUGGCAGACGGCAAAGUCUUUGAUUCCUGUAGUGAUGGAUCAUUCAAGACUAGAAGCUUCCAUGUGCAGCCGCAAGCUAUUAUGGGCUCCAGCAUAGUUGUGUACUCCAGAAAUACUGUGUCUCGGUCAUCCUAUUCUCAAACACCAUGUAGUGUGAGGACUUCAAGGGAGGUGAUCGAGUCUUGCGGGAAAAGUGUGGAAACCUCUGUAGAGUGUUAAACUAACCGAUUAGUCGUGUCCCCGGUUACGGACAAUUUGAGCGACUAGAAUUGGAUUAUCUAGAUAUUCUCAACACUUGAUACAUUAAAUGAACAUGGGAUUAUUGACAACCUUGGGUUAUGAGAAUUUGGUUGGUGGAACCAUCUCUUUAGUUACACCAUCUUUGUAGAAAGAAAUCUGAUUUAACUUUGAUUUAGGACAAAACUGGCUUUUAUGCAAAAAAAACUCAGACAUAGAGCCUCCACUGCCAUAUUGCAUAUAGUGAUAGACUUAUUUUCAUCUCCCUUUAUAUGUGAUCUUGCCAGUACUUUCAAUGUAUUAACCUACAUGGCUCCAACGUAUUAUGUUGUAGAUAUUCAUACGAUGAGUAAGAGUACGACUUAGGGUUACGGUUUACACUCAACCUGUCGUUGGUGUUUAUUGGGACUCCGCUCCCGUUGACUGUUUCUGCUGAGAAAGAGGUGUAUAUCAUUAUUGCGUUAUUUACACGUGAUUGCACUUUGAGAUAUACAUUGAUGUAUUGUGUGUGCCAACAUACUGAUCCAGGGAUGGCAGAGAGACAUAGAGGCUUGACUCGUUUUGAUUUGGGUCACUACACCUUAGUUACUUCAUGCAUUUUUAAGAUCAAUUCAGCAUGUUGUUAGCUUCAAAAUUAACCUUCUUCGAAGAUGGGAGAGACAACAAAUCAAUAGGUGCACGAGGUAGGAAACCAUACAAAAUUUCAAAAGGGCUCAUCUUAGUAGUAGAAUGCAACGAACGAUUAUAAGCAAAUUCAAUAUGAGGCAAGCAAUCUUCCCACAUUUUCAAGUUAUUCUUCAAAACAACCCUAAGCAUAGUAGACAAUGAUCUAUUGACUACUUUAGUUUGUCCAUCAAUUUGGGGUGACAUGUAGUACUUAAAAGCAGUUUAGUCCCCAACUUAGCCUAUAAACAUCUCCAAAAAUGGAUAAGGAAUUUAGCAUCACAGUCUGAAACAAUUGUAUUUAGCACAUGAUGCAAGCGAGUAAUAUCACAAAAGAAAAAUCAGCAACAUUAGCGGCAUCAUCACUUUUAUGACAUGGUAUAAAGUCUGUCAUUUUAGAAAAUCUAUCCUCGAAAACAAAUAUGCUAUUCGUCCCCUUCAUUGUUCGAGGUAAACCUAAAAUAAAGUCCAUAGAUGUAUCCUCCCAAGGAACACUAGGUACAGGCAAAGGCAUAUAUAAACCAUGAGGAUUGAGUCAUGACUUAGCUUUUUGACAUGUAGUGCAGCGAGCAACAAAACGCUCCACAUCCCGUCUCAUAUUUGGCCAAAAUAAAUGUGUAGCAAGUACGCCCUCUGUCUUUUUCAUGUCAAAGUGCCCCAUUAAUCCUCCUCUGUGCGCCUCCCGCAACAACAAAAGACAAACAGAGCUACCUGGAAUGCACAACUUGUUAGCACGGAACACAAAUCCAUCAUGAAUGACGAACUUGUUCCAUGUUCUCCCUUCUUUACAAUUAUGCAACACAUCUUUAAAUUUUACAUCAUGCACAUAUUGAUCUUUGAUGGUAUCCAAACCAAAUAUUUUAAAGUCAAGUUGUUAAAGUAAAGUAUAGCGAUGAGACAAUGCAUCGGCAAUAAAAUUUUAUUUUCCCUUCUUGUGUUUUAUGACAUAAGGGAAAGUUUCAAUGAAUUCAACCCAUUUAGCAUGUCUACGGUUCAUUUUUGCUUGACUUCUAAUAUGUUUCAAAGAUUCAUGAUCAAAAUGUAUAACAAAUUCUUUGGGCCAUAAAUAAUGUUGCCAUGUUUCCAAAGUCCGAACAACACGUAAAUGUUUCAAGUGUUCCUCCAAGGAUCUACUACAAAUCAAUAUAUCAUCAAAAUAGACUACCACAAUUCGUCCAAUGAAAGCACGUAAAACCUCCUUCAUUAAUCUAAUGAAAGUACUAGGUGCAUUAGUUAACCCAAAAGGCAUGACUAACCACUCAUAUAAUCUAAAGUUAGUUUUAGAUGCUCUUUUCCAUUCAUCCCCCAAUUUCAUAUGAAUUUGAUGGUAUACACUACGCAUAUCAACUUUGGAGGAAAUUGUAGAGCCACUUAAUUCAUCAAGCAUAUCAUCUAACCUGGGAAUAGGAUGAUGAUAAUGAAUAGUAAUAUUAUUAAUGCCUCUACGAUCAACACGGAUACGCGAUGUACCAUCCUUUUUCGGCACUAGGAUAAUAGGAACAAGACAAGGACUAAGGGAUUCUCAUAUAUAACCUUUGUCAAGCAACUCCUGUACUUGACACAUAAUUUCCUUCGUCUCCUCUGGAUUUGUACGGUAUGGAGCACGGGUGGGUAGUGAUGCACCGGGAAUUAAGUCAACUUGAUGCUCAAUCCCUCUAACAGGUGGUAAUCACGGGGGUACGUCUUGUGUAAAGACGUGUGCGAACUCCUCAAAAUGUUAAUUACAACAAAAGUCAAAGAGGGAGGCAUGUCCUCGAAUGAAAAUAAUACCUCUUUGCAUAUGAAAGCAUAGCAAACAACUAUAGUAACAUCCAAAUCAGUAAUAUCAGAUUUAUUCGCAAGUAAACAACCACUCUUCAGUUUUAUUUCAGAUGCAACACUAGAUGAUGGUUUAUUAGGCUUAUUGUGUUGCUCAAAUUCCUUUGCCGCAAUCUGAUUUUCACUCUCAUUUUGCUCUUGUUUUGCUUUACUAGCUCUAGCAAUGUCAUCUUUCAUAAUAUGUUUAGGAGACAUAGGAAGCAAAGUUAUAUUUUUAUCCUUAUGAACAAGAGUAUAUUGAUUUGUCCUACCAUGGUGUACAUAUUUUUUAUUUAUCAAAUUGCCAUGGUCUACCAAGUAAAUCGGAGCAUGCUUGCAUGGGUACCACAUCACAAUCAGCACCAUCAAAAUAUGUAGCAAUGCUAAAGUGCACACGAACAAUACGUGUUACCUUAACCUUGCCACUGUUGUUGAACCAUUGGAUGUAAUAUGGAUGAGGAUGUGCUCUGGUGGUUAGAGACAACUUCUUCACCAUCUCCAUGCUAGUCAAGUUGUUGCAACUCCCUCCAUCGAUGAUUAUCCGAACAUAACGUUCCUUCACUACUCCCUUUGUAUGGAACAAGUUGUGGCUCUGAUUUUUCUUAGCAUGUGUUACUUGCACACUUAAAACACAUUGAGCGACUAAACUUUCAUACCCGUCGGCGUAGUCAGCAACCAUGUAGUGUGUCUCUUGUUGAGUCUCAUCAACACCCUGUUCUUCACUUGCAGUAAGAGGCAGAGUCUCCUCAUUAUAAUCACUAGCAGAGUAAUAUGCACCAUCCUAAGUAACAAUCAUGACACGCUUGGACGGGGCUGUCUCUCGCAUAGUGACCUCCACCCAGGCAACGGCGACAUAUAACCUCAUGUGUUCUCCCUAUUGAUGCAAUGGAUGAAGAAGAGCUCUAUGCAGACCCGGAAGGUGUGCUCUUGGCGGAGGGUGGGCAUGUGCCUGUUUCCUGGUAUGUCAGUUGGAGUUGAUUGCUGAAGUAGGUGGUGCUGCAACAGGAUGUGUGGAAGUAGAUGAGGUACGUGGCGUCCAUGAUGAAGUGCAACCUAUAGAAAAAUUAGUUAUGGCCAAUGCUUGUCGAUCCUGCACUUCAUGUUCAGCUUUGCAAGCAAUAUGGAAUAAACGAGUGAUAGUGUUGUACUCUUUAUAUUAUAAAAUAAUAUGAAUAUCUCUAUUUAAUUCACCCCUAAAACGUGCAAGCAUAGCUUCAUUGUCCUCAACAAUACCACAUCUAACCAUGCCAGUUUGUAAUUCCUCACAAUAUUCUUCUAUAAAAUUCUUUCCUUGUCUUAAAUGCUGCAAUUUUGAAGUGAUUCACGUUGAUAAUAUGGAGGAACCCAACGAGUACGCAUAGCUGUUUUCAAAGCAGGACAAGUAGUUGGUAUAUUAGCAUGAUGUAUUCUACAAUGUUCAGACCACCAAACACAAGUAAAACUAGUGAAUGAACAAACAACGAAAUCAACACGUCUAUCAUCAGGAAAUUGUAAGCAUGUAAAACGUUGCUCUGUUUCUAACUCCCAAGUAAGAUAUAUAUCAGGAACAUAUAUACCAUCAAAUGUAGGAAUAUUCAAUUUAAGUUUAGGGAUAUGGUCAUGAUCCCGUACCUGAGGAGGUGGUGCAACCCUACCAUUGCGAUUGUAUCCAUGUGGACGACACGGUUCUUGUGGUGGUGGAUGUUGUCCCCGGUGCUGAUUUGGAGCAACCUCUCCGUCAUCAUCGUAAUCACCAUCAUAAUCCUCAUUCUGCUCAACUACAGUAGCAGCAGCAUCCACGGAAACCACAGUAGUAGCAGCAGGAGCAACAACACCAGGGUUCUGGACUUGGCCGGCAGGCACACGUCGCGCUCGUCCCACACAAUUCUGGCCUUGUUCCUGUCGUUGUUGUUUUUGUUGGACUGAGACGGAAGCUGCAGCUGGUGGUGGUAGACGGGCAAGCACCUCAUUGAACUUGGCGUCCAUCCUGGUGUCGAAUGUCUUAUCCAAACUGUCUAUCUUCUCCAUGGCCUCUCCAAGGCUAGUCAUGAAGUCUUUUACCUGGUCAGCCAUAAUUUGCUGAAAUUUAUCAUGGAGAUCCUGGUUGGUCAGGCUCUCCCAGUUGAUCUCGUCGGCUUGUGAUCCUGGCAUUGUUAGUAGCAAUAGGAACAUAGAAUAAUAUGAACCUACAGACUACUAACAAGUGUUGUUGGUGGUGGUGUGUCAUAAAUCCGUCAAGCAAAUCUGAAAUUCUUACCAGUUCUUACCCGCCAGCAGGUGGUGAUCGGUAACCAUUGUAGUCAAAACUCUCAAAGCUUGGAUAAAGCGAUUGUCAGGUGGUGUCAAACACACGAUGUAGAUGUAUGUGGAGCUAGGAAGUUUUAUAAUAUGGUAGCAAAAAGAAUCAACAAUAAUCAGUUCAAAGAUGCAAAGUUGAAAGGACGCUCAAUGAAGGUACCGUGCUGGUCCUAGGCUAGACUGUACUAGAGACGCGAGCCUAGAACACCAAUAAAAUCAUGACGCUACACGUAAUCAAGGGAAGAGCCACUCUGUUUUUUUUUCGUCUUUUUGUGCUCUUUUUUCUCUCUAGAAAAUCACUAUAAUGGCGAGUAUCUCAAAACUCUUCCAAUUUUUUUGACUAUUCGUUUCCGGGAGCGAUUCGGGGCUGCAACGACCAAAAAUUGCAACAAAAAAUCGCUAUGAUGGCGAGUGUCUCAAAACACUCUGGAAAGCCUAAGACAGUAUAGGGAAAAAAUAUUUUCAUCCGUUGAAAUUUUAGCCUAAAAACUUGUAGUGCCCCAAGUGUAAAGUUUUCCCUUUUCGCAACCUUCCAUGUGGGACCACCUUGACAUUGAUAUGAGAGAGUCCCUUUGCCUGUAUGAUUUCAUGUGUCUCUUAUUUUUUGUCUCCCUUGCAUGCAUGCAUACCAUAAUGUUUCAUGCCAUGUGUUCUUGUUGUGAUUGCUUGUGAUCUUGCUAGGUGUGAUUUUGUGAAUUCAUGUGUUGAGGCACUUGUGAUGAUGUGGUGUGAAGUAGUGAAGUGUGGUGCUUGGCAUUAUUUUCAAACCCCCUUGUUUAGUUUCAAACCUUUUUUCUCUUUUUCUCCCAAGUUCAAAUCCUAUUUGCUCCUAUGUUGUGUUAAAAAUGUUACACCUUUAGAGCAUUUUAGUUGGAGUGUGGGCAUGUAGGAGAGGGGUUUUUAAAACCUAUUUUGUUUGGGGUUUUCCUUUAUUUCAGAUUAUUUAAAUCUGAUUGGCAAUUAUUUUUAGUUGCCCAAAUAGCCAUUUUGGUAUGUUAUUUAUUUGGGGUAUAAUUCCCUUAUGCCCAGGGAUAUUUUAUCUCUAUUUUUUUAUGCCUUAGUUUUUCCUAGAAAUAUUAGUUUCUGUCAUGUUGUUUGUAUAUUAGAGAGGGCCAGGUUUCCCUCUUUCUCUCAAACCUUCGCAGCAGCAGCCCAACUCCUCCCAGGCCCAAUAACCCUUCGCAGCACAGCAGCCCAGCGCCGUUCCUCUCCUACCUCCCGUCGACGUCACCUUGUACGACCAUGGCUCGACCUCCCGAUCGCCUCCCCCCAAUCCAGCGGCUCAUGCGCGUCCCCCGAGGUGUUUUAAGCUGCAGGAACCCUCCUCCGUACCUAGGGUUCCCUCUCCUUCCUCCAGUGCGCCGCCAUCUUCCUCCUUCUCUCUAACCCCCCCUCCUGGUAAGGUCUGUAGCUAGGACAGAGAAGGAGCUUGUCGCCGAUCGCCGCCCCCAUCGUCGUCCAGCACCGGCGGCCAUGUCUGGGGGCUCGGGGAAGGCGCCCGCGCUCCAUUCCCGCCAUCGUUGAGGUCGAGGGGCGACCACAACGACGGGCAGAAGCUCGUCACCGGCGUGUUCCCGGCGAACUCCCUCCCUGCUUCGGUUCUGCACACACGUCGACAUCUUCGUCAGAUCUUCCCCGGUUCUUCUUCAGGCUGCCUCUUCGAUCGAUCCUCUCCCUCCUUCCCCUUGGUGAGCCUAGAUCCCCCUUAGUUUUCCCCGCGGUAGUGUGCAGAAGAGCUCGUGGCCGAGCCUCUCAGAUCGGCAGGACCGUGGCUGUGUAGAGUUGUGUUGUGCUCGGCUCGACGUGCAGAGGGAGUCAGCUUCCCAAGCGGCUGUAGAUGUGGUGCACGUGUCCCGUAGAGCAGCAGUAGCCGAUUAGAGGUGCUCCGGCGAAGUCACUGUCCUCGGAUCACCGUGUAGAGCAGGGCAGGACAUCGCGGUAGAUGUGUGUGCGUGCAUGCAGCUUGAGUGUUGCUCGUGUAGAGCAGAGUUGGCGCGGGCGAGCAACGCGCAGCAGUGCUGUAGUUGGCAUAGAGGUACCCCUCGUGGUGCAGCAGCAGUGCAGAGAAGCCACGGCGGCCUUCCUGUCGCCGGUGCAUCUCGGUGCAGAGCAUAGUACGCGGAAGAGGCAGAAUACUUUGCAAACUACCUUUAUCUGUCAAGCUUCCAUAACGUAGCGCAGUGGUGUGUGCCUGUGUUUGAAACCGGGAGAUGCAGGGAUCGAAUCCCCCUGGCGCAACCCCCCUUUUUUUAGUUUCCUUUCGGCAGCAGUAGCAUUUGCAUCAGCGGGGCAGUUUUACCUGCUUAGUUAUCUUACCCUGUCGAGCUAGCGCAUGGUAGCAGGGUGGUUUGCUCCACAGGGCAGUACCAGGGGCACCUGGGAUCGAAUCCCAGGCCUGCCCAUUUUUUCCCCUUUCCUUGCUCCUUUUAUUUUCUUUCCCUUGCUGUUGAUUUUUAUGCAACCCCAUGCUCUUUGUAGACCUGUAGUUUUUCUACACAUGUAGGUUGGGAAUUACCCCCUCUCAUAAUCUGCUUGGAAGUUUGUGUGCUGCUAGUUAUGAUCCAUGUUGAUGCAUUGUGAGUGAAGGAGAUGUAUUUAGUAGAUGAGGUUGUGCUGGUCAUUGUGUUGUGAUCUAGCCUUAGUUCAGUGCUAGGAAUUUGGACCUGAUAUGUUUGUGAAGCUCCCUGUCAAAUUUCAUCUCAUUUGGAGUCCUGUAGGUUCUGUUUGGGUUGCUGUCAAAAAGCUUCAGAACUAAGACAAAAAGUCAGGUGCAGUAAUUUUCACUAAGUCCCUGAGAUCUGAUGGUUUUGGGAAAGUUUGUGGCCUUGUAUCUUCUUGUGUUUAAUUCCUUUUGGUGUGACUCUUGCUGGUUCUUGUAGUGUUCUUGGUUGGAUACAGCCACAUAUAUAAUUUUUCAUAUUUGGAGGGUUGUAGCUAUGUUGCAUGUAGCUCACAAAGAGCUAAGAUGCAGAUUAUGGCAGAUUGUGUAGUAUAGUCAUUUUGAUGAUUGUGGGUGAUUACUUGAUGUUGUGGUGUUCUUCCUUGCUCCAAUCCAUUCAUGAUGGGUUGUUAUAUGUCUUGGCAACCUGGGAAUACCAGAUUGUGCCAUUGGAGUGUGUGGUGUUGUUUUUGACACGUAGGGCUUCAUAUCUUGUUUCGUUGAUUCCCGUUGAUCCGUAGCUCCGAAUGUUAUGUUCUUUAUAUGGUUUUGCAUCGUUUUCAUGAGACGCAUCUGUUCAUGCCAUUAUCAUGCAUGUCAAAAUAGCCUAGUAUACAUCUCUGUCCAGAAACUUGUAGUGGUUUCUUUUGCUUGUGCUAGUGAUAGAAAUAGUGAUGCAUGCUCAUUUUUCAUCUCAUGCAUCUUGUGCUUGUUGCAUCUUGUGGUGCUGCUGUUCAUUGGUUGUUAUUCUUAUGUUGGGUAGCACCGGGAUCGGAGAACGAAUACGUGGAGUCAGGAGAGUACGUGCAGGACGAACCAGAACCAUUCCAAGCUGAGGAUAUCACAGGCAAGAUGAUAUGACCUUGAUUCCAUCUCUAGACUUGUUAUGCUAGUUUGCGUUUCCAUGUCAUAUUGCUCGCUGCCUACCACUGAAUUAGAUUGCCUCUUGAUAUGCCAUGAACCCAAACACUGAUCCCUUCCUAGCAAAACUUGUAUGGCUAAGUAGGCUUUGCUCAGCUACUAAUGUUAGCGUUGCUAGAUGCAUGUGCUUUGACUCAUGUGACAAGAGCUUGAUAUCAUUAUCUUAAAUUCUGUUAUUUAAUUAAUGCACUCAUAUACUUGGUAAAUGACGGAAGGCCUAGCCUUUUGCCAGGUGCUUUGUUCUGUUAUUGUCGCCUUAGUUACCGGUUACCGGUGUUUGAUUCCAUAUUGAUCGCUCCUAACACGUUCGGGGUUGUUAUGGGAACCCCCUUGAUAAAUCGCAUAGUGUUAAGGCUUGUCCGGCAGGACCCAACAUUGGUGUUAAUUUGCUAAUCACUUAAUAAACUGCAUAGGGAAUGAUCAACCCGAGGAUCUUCAAUCAACAACCCGGGCCAGUGCUCCUCAUGAGUGUUGGUCCAAACUGGUCUGCCUCCGGGGCCACCUCAAGGAAACUUGAGGUUUGGUACCUCUAGCUAGUUCCAUCCAGCGUGUCCUGAGACUGAGAUACGCGGCUCUUAUCGGGGUCGUCAACACGUCGGGAGGUCCUGCUAGUCUUGCCUUACCUUAGCGAUAUAUCUUGCGUAUAGGAAUCCCAAUGAAGCUUUGGUUUCCCCCAGAGUUGAGGUUUUUCCUCUAAGGAAUCCGACGAGAUCACGAGAUUCAUGAUAGAGGAUUACUUUGCGGCCUGUGUACGUUUAUGAUGGACUAGUUGGAGCACCCCUGCAGGGUUUAAUCUUUCGGAAAGCCGUGCCCGCGGUUAUGUGGCAACUUGGAAUAUUUUGUUAACAUCCGGUAUUAGAGAACUUAAACAUAAGCUAAUAAAAUUGCCAACUGUGUGCGUAACCGUGACUGUCCCCCUCGAAGAUCUCUCUUCGAUCGGGAACACGGUGGGGUUAUGAAUGUCAUAGGUCGGUGUUCAGGAUCACUUAGUGAUCAAGUAAUCAUGACCGCUAGUGUAGAGCACCUUCAUAAUUGCCUUACGUAAGUUAGCCACUAAAUCAAGCUUAGGAUGUUGCAGCCUUAUACACCUCACCUUACCCUACCUAAUAACAUGACUAGUUCUGGCACCAAGGUCUUAGAUUGCUGAGUCCCCGUGACUCACGAAUUCCUCCAAAACUCCCAACAGGCACAGGUACCCCAGAGAGAGAUGAUCCCGACGGCACUCAGCUGGCGUGGCAGUACGACGAGGAGACAGACCGCCUCUACGUGAACUAUCCAGGGGAUUGAGGCAUGGUCGUGAUCGUGGGCCUGCAUGCAGGGUAGCAUACCAUUUCCAUGUUUUGUAGUCCAUAGCGGAACUACCUUGAUUGUAUAUGUGAUGUACUCUGAGUUAUUAAUGAGAAGACAGUUGAAUCCCGAAUUGUCUACUUUUAUUAUUAUUUGUGCUAUGUUACUUGCUUGCGAAACGCUUAGAUGCGCUUCUUUCCUAUUUGGGGCCUCGACCCCGAGAUCGGAAAGGACCGCAUCUUGGUCGUUACAAGUUGGUAUCAGAGCCUUACGACCAUAGGAGCCUUUGUGUGAUCGUACUUGGCCGAGUCGAGUCUAGAAAAUGUUUUGAGUCUUAGUUAUAUCGGAGAGUAGGAUUCUUUUUUCUCUUCUUCUAUGCUCUGGUGAGGUUCCCGUCUUAGGAAAUCUUUAACUCUACUCCUUUUCUCGCUCAAAUUGUUUUUAGGAUCACGCGGGUAUUUGUGAAAUCUAUAUGAUUUCGAUGUGAUGGAAUUCUGUCCUGGUGCCUCCUAUCUGCUCUAAGUAUCAGGGGGGUUGAGUUCCGGGGGAUUCUUGCGCACAUCGCCAUCAUUCAGAUUUCUGAGUAUCUAAGAACGGAGGGUGAUCGUUAUUGCUUCAAUACUGGUAGUGGUGAGAUAACCCCGAUGUCCCCAGUACUGGUGUAGAUUGUUCGGGGGUACUACCACACUUGGUAUCGCUGUGAUCACGAGGAUCUGUUGUAGAUGAAGGUCCGAGAUGCUGGUUGUGUGUUGAAGGAUGUGAUACAGGUGACGGGUUAGUUUAGGAGUUGUGUGAAAUACUCCUUGUAUCCGUGUACCUGAUUGCAUGACCAGUUAUUUCGGGAAUUCAUAGGUGGGAUAUCUAGUAGUAUCUUAUAGGACUAUCUUCCUACAGACGCUUGAUUGAGGUUUGGGAAAUCUCGGUCAUAUGUUUGUUCCGAGCAGUUCUAGCUCACACUUGUUUGCAGUGGUCCUUAUCGGAAUUUUGUCGUCUGUUACUUUGAGGAUGCACUCUUGCUAUGUUGUUCGAGUGCAAUGCUAAAUUCUGUUCAGAUAUUCCUGUCUUUUGAUUCAGCAAUAUCUUCAAUUAUUCUGUGGACUAAUAUGAUGUCCGUCUUCAGGAUGGCUCCACCGACUCGUCAGACCCCAGCGCGUGAGGAUAUGCCACCUCCUCCUCCUCCUCCGCCGCCGCCUCCUCCUCCUGCAGAGGCCUGGCAGGCGAUGAUGGCAGCUACUAAUGCAAACACUCAGAUGUUGUUGCAGUUGAUCCAGGAGAGAGCCAAUCAUCAGCAGGGCAAUUUCCAGCAGGGUGGCAAUCACUUCGCCAAUCUGAGUCAGUUCCUGUCAAACCAGCCUAAGACGUUCACUUCUUGCGACCAGCCAUUUGAUGCAGAAGAUUGGAUCCGUGAUAUGAACAAACACUUCGAGUGUAGCAAUGUGCGUCCGGAGGACUAUGUCAAGUUUGCAACGUUUCAGUUGAAGGGACAUGCUUCUAUAUGAUGUCUUGGGACGAGUUUUGUCAUGACUUCAGAUCCCACUACAUCCCUUCCAGUUUUGUGGAGGAAAUGCGUGAGAAGUUCAGGCGUUUGAAGCAGGGCAGCAAUUCUGUGUACAAGUACAAUUUCGAGUUCCAUGAGCUUGCCCGUUAUGCGCUGCAGGAUGUCCCGGAUCAGAAGAGCAAGAUCUACCAGUUCAGGGGUGGCUUGAAGGAAGACUUGUAGUUAGCUCUUGCAUUGCACGAUCCUGAGGAGUUUGACAAGUUCUACAACCUAGCUCUCAGAGCAGAGGCAGCCUUGCUCAGGGUGGAAAACUCCAAGAAGCGCUUCAGAGAUUCCAGCUCUUCCUCGACUCAGGUGGUUCAGAAGCAACAGAGGUUUUGGGUUUCUCCUCCUCCUCCUCGGCACUCACAGCAUCUUAAGAACUCAGGUGGUCUUGGUUCUUCCCACCCACCCAACCCUGGCUUUCAACAGAGAUACCAACAUCAGAAGCAAGGGCCUCCUCAGACUCAGUUUCGGCAGCCAGCAGAUGUCACUUGUCACAACUGUGGGCAAAAGGGUCACUAUGCCAACAAAUGUACUUCUCAGCUCCGACUACCGCCUCCUCCUCCAGGCAAACCUCCAAGCAACGCUCUUGUCAAAUUCAACCCCACUCAGCUCUAGUCAACAUGGUGAAGCAGACAACUCCUCUGAUGUGAUCAUGGGUAACCUCCUCGUCAAUGAUAUCCCUGCUAAAGUGUUAUUUGAUUCUGGUGCUUUGCAUUCCUUCAUGUCAUACCCCUUUGCAUUUGGUAAUAAUAUUGCGACCGAGUUCCUUCCCAAGUAAUUGCAAGUUGUGUCUCCGGGUAUGCGGAUGAGCUCUCAGUUGUUCGUCCUAGAUGUUUCUGUCAAGAUGGGCGCUUAUGCUUUUCUGGAAUCUCCUAUUGUCUUGGGCAAUUCCGACAUUGAUUUGAUCCUUGGUAUGGACUGGUUGGCCAUGAACAAGGCGUCAAUUGAUUUUGAAGCCAAAGAAGUGAAGCUUACCCACUCUUCGGAGGAUGUGAUUAUAUUCGCGGCGCGCGAUGAUACAAUCCGUCUGUUCUCCUUGAAUGAAAAGGGUGAGAUCAAUCCUAUUGAGCAAGUUCCAGUGGUCUGCGAAUAUCAAGAUGUGUCUCCUGAAGAGCUGCCAGGCAUGCCUCCGCACCGUGAAGUUGAGUUUGUCAUUGAGCUUGAGCCAGACACAGAGCCAGUGUGCAAACGGCCGUACGUAAGUUAGCCACUAAAUCAAGCUUAGUGAUCAAGUAAUCACGACCGUUAGUGUAGACCACCUUCAUAAUUNNNNNNNNNNNNNNNNNNNNNNNNNNNNNNNNNNNNNNNNNNNNNNNNNNNNNNNNNNNNNNNNNNNNNNNNNNNNNNNNNNNNNNNNNNNNNNNNNNNNAGUUCAAGAAGGGGAGAAUGAUGAGGACAUCAAUACCAUUAUUACACCCACAACUCCAACUGCUAUACAUUCUCGACUAGUUACUAGAGCACGCGCAUGCAAAUUGAAUUACCAGGUACUUUUGUUUCUUCAGAAUCCUUCUAAUAUUCAUGAACAUAUGAUGCUGCCUAAGUUAGAUAAUUUUGUUUUACUUAUCAAUGAAGGACCUAACAUAGACCAGAAGGAUGGCCAUUGAAGCGGGAACAAGCAUGGAGGAGAAGGUGCGUGCGCAGGAAAGAUCCUAGACUAGCUUGUAACUGAAUAAAACUAAGUGAAGCUUCAGGUGUACACCCUUAUCAUAAAUUAGAUUGCAAAAUUAGCACACAAUCCCAAUGUAUAUACUCAAAGCAAGUCCCCCUGAAAGUCCAACAGUUGAGUAGAGUAACCUUCCUUCUAGCUAACCAAGCUUCCAGUUCCAAAGUGAACUACUAGGUGUUAUGCAAGUCUAAAGCCUACAUAGUAUGGCAAAACUUUCCGUCGAGUNNNNNNNNNNNNNNNNNNNNNNNNNNNNNNNNNNNNNNNNNNNNNNNNNNNNNNNNNNNNNNNNNNNNNNNNNNNNNNNNNNNNNNNNNNNNNNNNNNNNCCUUGCUUGUCCUCAAGCAACUCAGUUGACAAACUGAAAGAGAAAGAAAAACUUUGACAAACUCUGUUUGAUCUUGUUGUUGCAACUAUGUCUAACUCAUAACCAGAAUUUCAGCAAGAUCACAAGUUAACCACAUAAGCAAGUGACACAUAGGUCUCACGAUAAACUAAUAUCAAUGGCAUAAUCAGCUAGCAAGCAAAUAAUAAUGAGUUAGAGAUACCAACAAUUCAAUCAAAACAAGCAUGAAGCAAUAUGAAUAGGUGGUAUCUCGCUAGCUCUUUAUGAGACCGCAAAACAUAAAUGCAGAGCACUUUCAAAGAUCAAGGGCUGACUAAACAUUGUAAUUCAUAGCAACGAAGAUCCAGUCAUAGUCAUACUCAAUAUCAAUCAAAAGCAAAUCAUAAAAAUGACAGAGGUGCUCUCUAAUUGGUGCUUAUAUAAGAAGAGGAUGACUCAACAGGAAAAUAAAUAGACAGGCCCUUCGCAGAGGGAAGCAUUGAUUUGCAGAGGUGCCAGAGCUCAAGCUUUGAAAGCAGAGAUAAUAAUUUUGGGUGGCAUGCUUUCAUUGUCAACGCAAUGACUAAGAGUUCUCAAUAUCUUCCAUGCUACUCAUGCUAUAGGCGGUUCCCAAACAGAAAAGUAAAGUUUUAACUCCCGCACCACCAAUCAAUCACACUCCACGUCUAGCCGAAUCCUCGGGUACCGUCCAUAUUAACAUCAAUCCGGGGGGAGUCUUGUUUUACAGUUAUGUUUUCGAUUUAAACGUGGAACUGGGCAUUCCAAUUACCGGCCCCUCUCUCGUGAAUGACAGUGAAUAAACACAUGUCGAGGAUAACACGCCUAACAUCGAAGAUAUCAAUAGCCCCCUGUCACCACAUGAGCGCUUCGGGCAUGCAAAACAGAUUAUUUCUUGAAGGUUUAGAGAAUGGCACAUGCAAAUUUACUUGGAACGGCAGGUAGAUACCGCAAAUAGGUAGGUAUGGUGGACUCUCAUGGAAAAACUUUUGGGUUUAUGGAAGUGGAUGCACAAGCAGUAUUCCGCUUAGUACAAGUGAAGGCUAGCAAAAGACUAGGAAGCGACCAACUAGAGAGCGACAACAGUCAUCAAGAUGCAAUGAGUUUGAUUAACAUUGAGUGCAAGCAUGAGCAGGAUAUAAAUCACCACGAAUACGAACAUCAUAGAGGCUAUGUUGAUUUUGUUUCAACUACAUGCAUGAACAAGCGCCAAGUCAAGCCACUUGAAUCGUUCAAAGGAGAAUACCAUCCUAUCAUACUACAUCAUAGUCAUCUCAAAAUCUAUGUUGGCAUUCAAGACAAACCAUUAUAAGCUCUCAGCUAAAUAAGCAUGGCAUCUGAAACUAUGAUCUCUAAGUUGUCAUUGCAAACAUGGUUCUCUCACAACAAAGCUGAAUCUGGGACGACAAGCUAGUCAUAUUUACAAAAACAAAAUAGAUAGAGUUCAUAUCAGCUUUUCCAGUCUCAGUCACUUUAUCAUAUAUCAUCAUUAUUGCCUUUCAUUUGCACGGUCGAACGAUGUGAACAAUAAUAAGAGUGCUCGUGCAUUGGACUAAAUCUGGAAUCUGCACACAAACACAAAGGAGAAGACAAAGUACUACGGCUCUUUAACAAAUGAAUAGGUAUGCAUGCAAGAGCCACUAAACAUUGUAACCAUGGUCUUCUACCUUGACUCAAAGAAAAAUAAAACUAUUUACACGGGAAAGCUCCCAACAAGCAAAAGAAGAACGGAAAAUAUUUUUGGGUUUUCUCAAAAGGACACAAAACAAGAAAACAAGAAAACGAAAAUAAACUAGCAUGGAAAAUACAGUGGCAAAGUGUAAGCACCGGCUAACAAAGUGAAACCAUAAGCAUGAAUGUAAGGUCGGUGAGAACACGUACUCCCUCAAGGCGGGAAAUAACCAGCUCCGGGAUACUCCGGAGCAGACUGUGGAUGCCACUACUGUGUGAGCUCCUGUGGCUCCCACUGAUAAACUGGCGUCUGGUACUCGACUGGCGGCUCGGGCACGGGCACCUGUGGUUGGGCCAAGCCCCAAUAUGCGUAGAUGUCCGAGGGCAUAAUAGUGUACCUGCCUACAUGAAGAUCAAACAAAGAAGGAGCAGGCAAAGUAAUAGUCUCUCGAGUACCCUGACUAAAUACCAGGUUAUAAAUCAUCCGUCUACUAGCAUCUCUAUCCAGAAAAUCAUGGCGAACCAUGCUGUCAUAAUCCAGAUAUUUCUCACGAAGAAGCAUCUCUUCUUCCUCGUGAAGUCUAAUAGGUAUCUCAAAGUGUCUAGCGAGACGAGUAGCAUAGAUACCUCCAUAGACGACACCUUUGGAACGGUUUGUGUUCAACCGCUGAGCUACUAUAGCACCUAGGCUGUAAGUCUUAUCAUUAUAAAGGCCUUCGCGCAAAACCGCAAGGUCUGGAGAGCUAAGUGAUCCAGCCUCCCCACAGCCAAUCAAACAUUUUCCCACAAAUAAUGAGAAGUACCGAAGCACAGGAAAAUGUAUGCUAGCAAUUCUAGCGCGAGACAAUCAUCUCUCCUCUCCAACAGCAAUAGUACCUAUGAAAUCCUCCAAGUCCUGUGGACGAGGGUCAUGAAUAUCCCCAACAUAAGGUAAUUUGCAUACAUUGCAAAAAUCCUGUAGUGUCAUGCACUGGGGGAUGUCGUAUAACAUGAACUCAACCAUGGGAGGAUUCUUCCUCGGAUAAAAGUUGAAGCUUUGAACAGAAAUAUUGGUGAGGAGGAGGUAUUGUGAGCACUUAUCUUCAACGAACGCGGUAAGACCUGCGUUCUCCACCAAGUAAUAAAAGUCUUCAUAAAGCCCAGCGGUGCGCAAAAAUUCAUCUCUUGGCCACUCGCACGCUCGAACUUCUGUGACUUGAGGAACCACAUACUUGGGGUGGUUCUUCUCAUCCUCCUUCGGGUUACGGCUUGAAGAGCCUCUCAAGAACCUCCUCAUCUUUUCCUUUUUCUAGAUCUAAAAAAUUCUGAAAUUUUUAGAGACUUCGAAAGAAAAGUGAGUAAGGAUUAACCCAACUCGUAGCAACUACUCCUACUAGUGCCUAGAGACCGUAUCACGCGCUAAAACUACUUGGGACCAGCUAAAAUCAACAUUUCAAGCUCAAGAACAGGGUCACCAAGGUAGCAAGAAUACGCGAAGGGUAAAGCACUAGAGAAGAGACUAAUUGGACCAAUGGAGGAGUCACUUACCAAGGAGUAAUUUCCCCAAAACGGUUCGAAGAAUGGUGCUUUGAGCAAGGAGAUCGAAAAUCUUAGCCAAAUGAGUAAGAACACGGGUUUGAGCUGCGAAACAAUUUUUUAUGGAGGUAGAAGACGAUGUGAGCUGGAACGAGUGGAGGGGGGUCCCUGUGGGCCCCACAAGCUUGGUAGCCGCCGCGAGGGGGCGCGGCUACAAGGCUUGUGGCCCACUGGUGUGGACCCCAGGCCAUCUCUCAGUCCGAGUAUUUUUCAAAUAUUCCAGAAAAAAAUCAUACUAGAUUUUCAGGACCAUCGGAGAACUUUUAUUUUCGGGGUACUUUUCUCUAGGAUGCUAAAACAGAAAGCAGGAAAGACUAAACUAAAUCUAUCAUUUUCUUCUAAGCAAUAGAAAGUGAAAGCUUAAAAGAGAGGUAUGUGACUCCUUGAUUCAUUCAUUUCAUGGUCAUCAAAAGAAAUCCGUCAAUGGGGUUGAUCAAAUCUUCAUGACAAAACCUUUUCGAAUCGCAACAGGAAAGGGAGAAUUGUUGAAUAGCCACUAAGUCACCUCAAUGGGGAUAUGUAUCUCUACAACAAGCAAAUCAUACUUCAUCUUGACACGAGGAAUAGGGCAUUCAAAGCUCCCAAUAAGAAUCGAUGAAGUUUUUUCGAUAGCAAUGAUGCAAUGUACUUGAUAUCGUUUCUUCAGAAAGUGCACUUUAUGCUCAUUACCGUUGACAUGGAAAGUGACAUUGCCUUUGUUGCAAUCUAUAACAGCCCCUGCAGUGUUUAAAAAGGGUCUUCCGAGGAUGACAGCCAUGGCAUCAUCCUCGGGAAUAUCCAAGAUAACAAAGUCUGUUAAGAUGGUGGUAUUAGCAACAACAAUAGGCACAUCCUCGCAAAUGCCGAUAGGGAAAGCAGUUGAUUUGUCGGCCAUUUGCAGAGAGAUUUCAGUGGGUGUCAACUUAUCCAGUUCAAAUCUACUAUAAAGAGAGAGAGGCAUAACACUAACACCGGCUCCAAGGUCACAUAAGGCAGUUCUUACGUAGUUUCCUUUAAUGGAGCAAGGUAUAGUGGGCACUCCGGGAUCACCNNNNNNNNNNNNNNNNNNNNNNNNNNNNNNNNNNNNNNNNNNNNNNNNNNNNNNNNNNNNNNNNNNNNNNNNNNNNNNNNNNNNNNNNNNNNNNNNNNNNNNNNNNNNNNNNNNNNNNNNNNNNNNNNNNNNNNNNNNNNNNNNNNNNNNNNNNNNNNNNNNNNNNNNNNNNNNNNNNNNNNNNNNNNNNNNNNNNNNNNNNNNNNNNNNNNNNNNNNNNNNNNNNNNNNNNNNNNNNNNNNNNNNNNNNNNNNNNNNNNNNNNNNNNNNNNNNNNNNNNNNNNNNNNNNNNNNNNNNNNNNNNNNNNNNNNNNNNNNNNNNNNNNNNNNNNNNNNNNNNNNNNNNNNNNNNNNNNNNNNNNNNNNNNNNNNNNNNNNNNNNNNNNNNNNNNNNNNNNNNNNNNNNNNNNNNNNNNNNNNNNNNNNNNNNNNNNNNNNNNNNNNNNNNNNNNNNNNNNNNNNNNNNNNNNNNNNNNNNNNNNNNNNNNNNNNNNNNNNNNNNNNNNNNNNNNNNNNNNNNNNNNNNNNNNNNNNNNNNNNNNNNNNNNNNNNNNNNNNNNNNNNNNNNNNNNNNNNNNNNNNNNNNNNNNNNNNNNNNNNNNNNNNNNNNNNNNNNNNNNNNNNNNNNNNNNNNNNNNNNNNNNNNNNNNNNNNNNNNNNNNNNNNNNNNNNNNNNNNNNNNNNNNNNNNNNNNNNNNNNNNNNNNNNNNNNNNNNNNNNNNNNNNNNNNNNNNNNNNNNNNNNNNNNNNNNNNNNNNNNNNNNNNNNNNNNNNNNNNNNNNNNNNNNNNNNNNNNNNNNNNNNNNNNNNNNNNNNNNNNNNNNNNNNNNNNNNNNNNNNNNNNNNNNNNNNNNNNNNNNNNNNNNNNNNNNNNNNNNNNNNNNNNNNNNNNNNNNNNNNNNNNNNNNNNNNNNNNNNNNNNNNNNNNNNNNNNNNNNNNNNNNNNNNNNNNNNNNNNNNNNNNNNNNNNNNNNNNNNNNNNNNNNNNNNNNNNNNNNNNNNNNNNNNNNNNNNNNNNNNNNNNNNNNNNNNNNNNNNNNNNNNNNNNNNNNNNNNNNNNNNNNNNNNNNNNNNNNNNNNNNNNNNNNNNNNNNNNNNNNNNNNNNNNNNNNNNNNNNNNNNNNNNNNNNNNNNNNNNNNNNNNNNNNNNNNNNNNNNNNNNNNNNNNNNNNNNNNNNNNNNNNNNNNNNNNNNNNNNNNNNNNNNNNNNNNNNNNNNNNNNNNNNNNNNNNNNNNNNNNNNNNNNNNNNNNNNNNNNNNNNNNNNNNNNNNNNNNNNNNNNNNNNNNNNNNNNNNNNNNNNNNNNNNNNNNNNNNNNNNNNNNNNNNNNNNNNNNNNNNNNNNNNNNNNNNNNNNNNNNNNNNNNNNNNNNNNNNNNNNNNNNNNNNNNNNNNNNNNNNNNNNNNNNNNNNNNNNNNNNNNNNNNNNNNNNNNNNNNNNNNNNNNNNNNNNNNNNNNNNNNNNNNNNNNNNNNNNNNNNNNNNNNNNNNNNNNNNNNNNNNNNNNNNNNNNNNNNNNNNNNNNNNNNNNNNNNNNNNNNNNNNNNNNNNNNNNNNNNNNNNNNNNNNNNNNNNNNNNNNNNNNNNNNNNNNNNNNNNNNNNNNNNNNNNNNNNNNNNNNNNNNNNNNNNNNNNNNNNNNNNNNNNNNNNNNNNNNNNNNNNNNNNNNNNNNNNNNNNNNNNNNNNNNNNNNNNNNNNNNNNNNNNNNNNNNNNNNNNNNNNNNNNNNNNNNNNNNNNNNNNNNNNNNNNNNNNNNNNNNNNNNNNNNNNNNNNNNNNNNNNNNNNNNNNNNNNNNNNNNNNNNNNNNNNNNNNNNNNNNNNNNNNNNNNNNNNNNNNNNNNNNNNNNNNNNNNNNNNNNNNNNNNNNNNNNNNNNNNNNNNNNNNNNNNNNNNNNNNNNNNNNNNNNNNNNNNNNNNNNNNNNNNNNNNNNNNNNNNNNNNNNNNNNNNNNNNNNNNNNNNNNNNNNNNNNNNNNNNNNNNNNNNNNNNNNNNNNNNNNNNNNNNNNNNNNNNNNNNNNNNNNNNNNNNNNNNNNNNNNNNNNNNNNNNNNNNNNNNNNNNNNNNNNNNNNNNNNNNNNNNNNNNNNNNNNNNNNNNNNNNNNNNNNNNNNNNNNNNNNNNNNNNNNNNNNNNNNNNNNNNNNNNNNNNNNNNNNNNNNNNNUGGGACAAACUCGUAGGCAAUGGGUCAGUGAUUUGUUGGAUGACAUUCAUCAUGAAACAGUUAUAACACGGAGAGAUAUGUGGCUAGCUCCCGUUCGUCAAUGUGAUGUAGGCAUGCAUUCCGUGUGUCGUCAUACGUGCUUAGGGAAAAGAACUUGCAUGGCAUCUAUUGUCCAUCCCUCCCGUGGCAGCGGGGUCCAAAAGGAUACUACGGGAUAUUAAGGUUCUCCUUUUAAUAAAGAACCGGACCAACGUAUUAGCACUUGGUGAACACAUGAACUCCUCAAACUAUGGUCAUCACCGGGAGUGGUUCCGGUUAUUGUCACUCCGGGGUUGCCGGAUCAUAAAACAUAGUAGGUAACUACAACUUGCAAGAUCGGAUCUAAAACACACAUAUAUUGGUGACAAUAUAAUAAUUUCAUAUCUGAAACCAUGGCACUCGGGCCCUAGUGACAAGCAUUAAGCAUGGCAAAGUAGUAGCAACAUCAAUCUCAGAACAUAGUGGAUACUAGGGAUCAAUCCCCGUCAAAACUAACUCGAUUACAUGAUAGAUCUCAUCCUACUCAUCACCGCCCAGCGAGCCUACGAAUAGAUUACUCACGAACAACGAAGAACUUCAUGGAAUUGGAGAGGGAAGAAGGUUGAUGAUGACGAUGGCGAUGAUCUCCUUGAUCCGGAGCCCAAAACGGACUCCAGAUCUGCCCUCCAGAUGAAGAACAGGAUGUGGCGGCGCCUCUGGAUCGUGAAACGCGAUGAAAUCUUCUCUCUUUUUUUUUCCGGGACGAAAGGGAAUAAAUAGCGCUGGAAUUGGGGGCGGCAGAGCCAUGUGGGACCCACAGGCUUAGUAGCUGCCGCCAGGGGGAGGCCGCAGCUACGGAGCUUGUGGCCCACUUGCCCGUCCCCUCCGGUGGAUAUUUGCGCAGGUAUUUUUCAUAUUUUCCAGAAAUAUUCUCCGUAAAUUUUCAAGACGUUCCGAGAACUUUCAUUUAUGCACAAAGACAACACCAUGGCAACUCUGCUGAAAACACCGUCAGUCCGGGUUAGUUCCAUUCAAAUCAUGCAAAUUAGAGUCCAAAACAAGGGCAAAAGAGUUUGUAAAAGUAGAUACGAUGGAGACAUAUCACACCUCUCCAUCCACGGCAAACUCAACCUUGCCCACGACCUGAAUCUCGCUCCUAAGAAAGGUGCGCACCUCCUCUUGCAGCACGCGGGCGUUUUCCUUGGCCUUAAUCUCCAAGGUACCAACACUGCCAAGGCUCCCAUCGCCAUAGACGCAAAAAGCGGCACUUGAGCCCACGCCAGGAUCAUAUCAUGGUAGGAGAUGCGCAGCAUUGAGUUACCGCCUCCGUUGAAGUGCCGGUAGGUUGGUGGUGUCCGAUCAAAGUCCAAGGCAAGGUUGAAAGCUGGUGAAGUCGGCGGAGAGGCGCGGGGAUCGAGCCCUCUUUUGCCUACAAGUCGGACGAAGAUGUCCCUCGGUCCUUGGGCCACGUUAGUUGUUCCAUUCGUGACUGGAGUGUACAACCCAGUGAAGCAGAAAAUGCUCAUUGUAAACAUAUAGCCAAGGGCACUUGCGCAAAUUACUAGGUGUUCCUUGCGGUCAAAGUGGUCAAUGUAACCAUCUGCGCAACUACGUUUGGACUUGGAACAUCGCCCAUUCGGAUGGUAGUCGUCAAGAUUAGCUCCGUCUUUGCAAGCGGGGGCGGGCAUGAGACACAUGACCCAAGAUACUGCUCAGUAUAUAAGAGUAUCAAUUGAUGUUAACCAAUCUCCGAUAGCUGCACAAGAACACGAAGAAGAACAUAAACACAACAUAUGGAUGGAUGCCUUUUGGUGUUGUUUGGUUCGCCAACUGCACAUAAACAAUUUUCCAUAAAAAAGGAAAUAUCGUACACAAAUGAUUUGAAACUAGUAGGGCAGAAGGUGCGGCGGCACGCCGCACCCGAGUUAAAGCCCGUCAUUUAGCAAAUUUGUUUUUAUGUAAUAUUUAUUUUCAUAUUUGUUUUUGGUAAUUUUAUCUUUUCACUUGGAAAGAAGUGUGAAAAAUUGUGCGUCAUAAUUAUUGGUUACUUAUAGUUACCGUUUACCCACUAUUAUUAUUUGUAGGAAAGUGAUAUAAUAUAUAUUUUUGGUAAAUUUAUCUUUUUAAGUUUAAUUUUAAAGAAGGAGGAAAAAUGUUGAUUUGUCGUAACCAUAGCUUAUUUUUUGACUGCAAUUACUAUUUACAAAAAGGUGAUGUAAUGUUUGUUUUCAAUUUUUGUUGGUAAUUUUAAGUUUUUAAGAAGAAGGGGGAAAAUGGUAAUUUUGUAAUUUAAAUAAUUUAAAUUUCAAUGGAGAAGGGGGAAAAGGAGAAAUAAUAUAUCUUUUCAUUUUUCUUGGGAAUUUUAUCUCCUUAAUUUGAAUUUUAAAUAAGAAGGGGAAUAAAUAAAUAAUAUAUGUUUUCAUUUAUAUUUGGAAUUUUAUCUCCUUAAUUUGAAUUUUAAAGAAGAAGGAGAAAAAAUAGGUAGGUUGUUCAUGGGGGCGGGGGAGGUAUUGUUCAUCGCACUCGUAGUUACUAUUUGACUACUACUAUUAUUUUGUNNNNNNNNNNNNNNNNNNNNNNNNNNNNNNNNNNNNNNNNNNNNNNNNNNGGUAUUUUUAUCACCUUAAUUUUAAAAUGUGGUGUAAUAUUUGUUUUAGAACUUGGGGAAAUGUUUUUUAAAAUUUUAACUUUAAUUUUUUAAUUUAGAAAAAGAGGGGAAUUUCAAAAGGAAAAUGAAGAAAAUAAGGGUUAUUGUUCAUCGCAGGGUUCAUUUUUGUUUUGUCUUUUUAUCUCCUUAAUCUUAAUUUCAAAAAAGAUGUCAUGCACGGGAGAGCCCCGACCACAAAUUGGUUUUUUUUGCAAUAUUUAAGGAAAAGUNNNNNNNNNNNNNNNNNNNNNNNNNNNNNNNNNNNNNNNNNNNNNNNNNNNNNNNNNNNNNNNNNNNNNNNNNNNNNNNNNNNNNNNNNNNNNNNNNNNNUCCCGAAGAUAUGCAAGAAGCCAAGAAAUCUAUGCAAGAGAAAGGCAUUAGAUCUGAAGAUGUCAAAAAUGUACCGCCUAUCGAAGAGAUCCAUGGUCUCGAUAACCCGGUACAGGUAGUAGAAGUGAAUUCUCUGCGUAGGUUUGAUGAGAGUGAUAUUCCUUUUGAUAAACCUACUAGCCUAUGCUUUGAUGAAUUUGACAACUUUGUUGCCAAACAACAGAGUUUCAAUGAUUAUGUUAGCAGACAUUUGGAACAAAGUGCUCGUAUGCUUAGCCAUUUAAGUGCUUGUGCAGACAGAAAUGUCAAUGCUCUGAAACUUCUGAGUAAACAUGCCUCUAUGAUUACUACUCAGGUAGAACAAGUACUUAAAGCUCAGAAUGACUUACUCAAUGAAUUAAAUGACAACUCUGUCAGAGUCAUUACUAGAGGAGGCAAAAUGACUCAGGAACCUUUGUAUCCUGAAGGUCAUCCUAAGAGAAUUGAUCAAGAUUCUCAAGGAAUAAAUGCUGAUAAACCUAGUCAUCCUAAUGAGAAGAAGAAGGAUGAUAGAAACAUGCACGCCAGUUCACCAAAUACUAUCACACCUGAAGAACCUAAUGAUAUUUCUGCGUGUGAUGCAGAAACACAAUCAGGUGAUGAACAUGAACCUGGUGACAAUGUGGACAGUGAUGUUCAUAAUAAUGCUCGACCUAGCCAUGAUGAGGAUGUGGAGAUUGAACCUACGGUUAAUCCUGAGAAUCCACAACCUAAGAGAAACGACAAGAAUGACUUCAUUGCUAGGAAGCAUGGUAAAGAAAGAGAGCCAUGGGUUCAGAGACCUAUAGAGCAUGUUUAUAGUCACCCAGUUACGUUGUGACAUUUCAUACACACAAGGCAUUCCUUCGGUGUCAGUCAGUUAUAUGAUCUCAUGGUCAUAGGAAUAAAUACUUGACACGCAUAAAACAGUAGCAACAAAAUGACACGAUCAACAUGCUACGUUCACUAGUUUGGGUCUAGUCCAUCACAUGAUUCACUCAAUGAUGUGAUCCAGUUAUCAAGCAACAACAACACCUUGUACAUAAUCAGAAGACCUUGACUAUCCUUGAUCAACUGGCUAGACAACUAGAGGCUUGCUAGGGACAGUGUUUUGUCUAUGUAUCCACACAUGUAUCUAAGUCUUCAUUCAAUACAAUUAUAGCAUGGAUAAUAAACGAUUAUCUUGAUACAGGAAUUAUAAUAAUAACUUUAUUUAUCAUUGCCUCUAGGGCAUAAUUCCAUCACGAACAAGGUAUAACUCUAGAGUUCAGGAGGAGCCCCGCUACACCUCGUACCUAGGAAAUUCUGGAUCAGGACCCAUGAAGUUUGGAGGACCCAAUCAUGAGAACCAUUGAGGUCAUUCUCAUCACAGAAGCAUUGGAUACCACCCUAAUGGCCACAAACAUUGAAAUGAAACUGGAGGAAUUGGAAAACAACAUCAUCCCAACCCAGCUACACGAACAAAGAACGAUAAGAGUGAUAUUACCUGUUUUGAGUGCACGAACACGGGACAUUGUGCCAAUGAUUUUCCAGAAAAUAAGUAGAAGCCCAGAGAAUUGUUGGAAGUUAACUGCUUUCGUUGUGAUGCUGUGGGGAAUUAGGCCAUUGACUGUCAAGACCCAAAGAAUGUUGGAUCUGAGUAGUUGAGAUCAUAAUGUUGGCAAUAAGUGUAAUAGGUGACACUCUCGUUUUCAUGAGAUUAUGGAGUUGAAUGUUCUAACAAAAGUUUAAGACAUUGUAAUAACUUAAUGAAUCAAUAGAAUUUAUUUUUUCAUGACUUCUUAUGUCGAAUUAUAUGAGUUGUUACUCUAUAAACAAAGAUCUCUGACCAUUUUCGAGGACAUGAGAAAAUAUGAUCUUCACAUGCAUGUGUACAUUUCAUUUUAAGUGUGGUAGUAAUCGGUAAAACCAUAGGAAUCCAUGGAAAAAAUAAUGUACCAUAUAUGCCAAGGAGUCUGGACCAAUGAAUACAUGUGAAGGUGAUACUGGACCGUAUCAAACUGUGUGGAUGACAACAUUUGUAAUAAAGUAAUUUUGAAAUUAUAAUUUAGAUAAGAAAUUAAGGAUGUAAUAAAGGACUGAAUAUGAGAAGAAUAUGCUUUAUGAAAGAAUGAGUGCCUUUGAUGGUAAACAAACCUAUGGAAAGGAAAAUGUGUUCCAAAGAGUGGGGUAUGUACCAAGAAUAAGCCUCAGAAUUAUUAUUCAACCCAAGAGCAUGAAGGAAGAAGUUAUGAUUGAUCAGCACACGUUUUUCUUAGGAGGAUAGGAAAACACGAGAGCUAUGAAAAAGUGAUAGAAGUUUUGUUCAGCUUACAGAAUAAAUGGAGUUAUCCAAACUUCGUUCAUGGACAAGAGAAAUACUGCAAGGCUUGUGAGGAAGCCCAAGUGUUAGAAUACGAGAUUCGCUAAACCUUACAAGGUAAUGAUUCAAGCACGACAUGGCUUGGCCACCUUGAUGACUUACCCUUAUCAUUCUCUUAUUAUUCGGAAUGGUAAAUCUGAGUGACUUACCCAUAGUAAAGAGACAACACUCUUUAAUGCUUUUGUUUAAGCCUUAGAAUGGUAUGAUGAUGAACCCCUCUACAUGGCACCUGUUGCCAAACGUAGAAAUUUUACGGUGAGAAUGAAGCCAAGACCCAUUUCACUGCAGGAUAACCACAAAUGGGAAACCACCCUGAGAUCAUUGAUAAGUUAUUUAGAAUUGUCACAAGACUUGUCAGCUAGAAAGACCUAGUGCAGGAAGAAUUGUAUAGUGAAGAAAGAAUAGAAGAUAUUGAGAGAAACAUUAUGACUAUAACAGAGGAGCAUCAACGAAGGAGUUAUUGUGAGGAAUGUACAGAGACAGAUAUUAUCAGGACCCUAGAGAAAUGACAUGACUUUGAGGGACCAGUAACUCUCAUUUUAAGUGUGGUAGCACCCACACUUUUCAAGACAACGGAUUUGCUAGAAGACCCCCAAACCCUAACCUUUUAUUUAUAGUCCCUUUGAAUAUCAAGGACAAGAUUCACUUUAAGUGUGGUAGGUUCGAAACGUCCCAAACUCUGGAAUGCUAUAUUAUUAACAUUUAAUGAUUGAUUGUUUGAAAUUGAGUGAAAAUUGAAACUUUUUGAAACUUUUAAAUGAGAGGGAAUAGCAUGACUUUCCCCCUUUGUUCUUGAAUUCAAAUUCAUCCAUUUCAACUCAUUGAGAGAAGAUGACAUGACUUCUUCAAUAAAAAGGAUUUGAAAUUUUGGAUUUGUAAACUACUGAAAUUUUUUAUUUGAAAUUUAUUUCAUAAUGAGUUCUAUUUCUAUUUUAAAGUUUUAAUGAAUUCGAAUUUCGUUGCCCAAAUUCAGAAAUAAAUCUUGAGAGGAGAAAUAUGCCACUCCAAACCACGGGAAAGUUUGAAUUAUAUUUGAAUUUAAAAUGCUGAGAAAGCUAUUUGGAAAAUAUUUCAUAUUAGGUUUCCAAGCCAUUCUUGAAGUGGUUUUCAAAAUUAUUUUUCUCCAAAAAUAAAAUACUUGGAAAAUAGGUUUAAAAGAUUCCCUUUAAUAUAAAUGGAGAAAAAUGGAUUUGAAAUCAUGGUAUUUUUGAAAUAUUGUAUUUCAUUUUAAACUCAAUAGUAGCACUUGUUGAAUUAUUUGAAUUAGUCACAAUUUUAUUUGACCUUGACAAUAUGUUCAUGUUGUAGGAAAUCAUUUUCCGUUCAUUUUGGUAUACUAUAUGCCUGAUGGGGUUAUAGUCCUAGGGUAGGGUCAUAGGCCUGCCCUAUAGGUCCUACCCAAGGACUACCCCUCACAGAGGACAAGACCCUUAGUUAACUCCGACUGAAUUAAGGAAUCCCUCUCUUCCAGUCGGUAACAUACCUUCGGUCCUCCAGUCGGCGACUAGCAUUCGGAGGACAUCGAGUCAACCGACUGGAUACCACUCGGUACAUCGUAACCCCCCUGGAGGUAAACGGUCGUACGUUUCCGGGUGCAUUUAUUAGCAUUAAGGGUGUACGUUACCUGUAACGUACACAUUCAAUCGCCACUACUCCACCCCUGUACCAGAACCGUUGUGGAGGGCAGCGUACUCUAUAUAAGCCACCCACCCCCACUGGUAAAGGGGUUAGCAAAUCAUUGUGUUCCAUAUUACACUCGACAACAAGCUCCGAGAGCACUGAGACGUAGGGCUGUUACCUCCACCGCCGAGGGGCCUGAACUCAUACAACCUCGCCGUAGCUAGGACUCUGCCCAUCUCAUUCGUACCCUAUACAUCUACUGUCAGGCUUAUACCCACGACAGUUGGCUCCCACCUUGGGGCAGGCGUCUAAGCGACUUCCAGCGAGUUUGCGACUACUUCCUUUCGUCAUGUCGUCCGGUGGAGGUUCGAGCAUGGGUCACCAGAUUUUCUUCGACGCUCUCUCCUUCAUCGUCGACGAUUCGGCGUGGCUUCGGGAUGCCCCUCUCAACGUCGAGGCGUUUCCCCGUCGCGGGGCUACGCACUUCCAUGCCGGCGCUCGCGGCAUCCUUCUUCUCCAACAGUCGACUCCGGUGUCGACCUGCACCGCCGCCACGCGCCGCAACAAGCGGUCCCGCCGUCCGCGUCUCGAGCAUUGGGUACAGCAUGCCCAAGCGCGCCAGAACACGUCUUCGCAAGUGGCAGUUCUUGAGUCCGCUGUGGUUGCCCCGCCGUCCCAGCACUCGGACUCGGUUCCGACUUAGUUUCCUUCCGAGUAUGCAGGUCGUGGGCCUGCAGCAGAAGUACACAUGGCCAACUCCCAUGAAGAUCCCCGUCAAGCUGGCCGAAGCGAGCGCGAGGUCGGUGAAGCAUCCGGUGCGCGCCGUCCACCUCGUCGUUCUGCCAGUCGGCACACUCGGCGGAGCAACGUGGAGUUGUUCCGCACGCCUCUCCUCAACUUGGCUGCGGCUGCCAAGAUUGCCGAUUCCCUCCAGCCGACUGAUUCAUAGGCAGGAAGGGGGAUCGAGCAGAUCCGAUCCCUUUUGCACACGGCGUAGCAGCAGAAUUCGGCGGUCUCCCAGUCACACAACCGGAUCUAUAAUAGUUCCAUCCACGCGAAUACACAUCGGUCGGUUCACAGCCCUGGUUCCCAUCAGCGCCACAGGGGAGGCAGCCGUUCCAUGAUUCAUGAAGAUCGCCGCCGCUCACGCACCCCUCCGCGGGGUGGGCCAUAUGGGUCCCGACAUCAUGAUGAUCGGCGUUCAGUCGGCGACACUUACGACCCAAGACCCGACGCAAGAGGAUGUAUCGCCAAGCGAAGAGUCGACAGGGGUCCAGCCCACCGCGAUGGUCACGAUAUGGACCGUCCAAGUGGAAGCAGGACCAUCGUGUCCGGUCCCGAGUGUUUUAGUCGAGCCAUCCGGUCGGCUGACAUCCCGCCCAACUUCCGAUUGGUAGCGGGAAUCGAUAAAUUUACGGGAGAGUCCAAGCCAGAAACAUGGUUAGACGACUACCGAGUGGCAGUCCAGAUCGGAGGAGGGGACGACCACGUCGCCAUGAAGCACCUCCCUUUGAUGCUCGACGGCUCGGCGCGAGCGUGGCUGAAUCAAUUAGCCCCCUCGAGCAUUUACAGUUGGGCAGAUCUGGCCCGAGUGUUCAUCCGGACCUUCGAAGGGACAUGCAAGCGCCCUGCGGGCCUCGUGGAGCUCCAGCACUGCGUCAGAAGCCGAAUGAGCCCCUGCGCGACUUCAUCCAACGCUGGACGACUCUCUACCACACGGUGGAGAACGUCACCGAACAUCAAGCAGUCUGCGCCUUCAAGGCAGGCCUGAGGUACAGGGAGCUGUACCUGAAGUUUGGCCGAACAGGCGACAUCUCCAUGAGCAAGAUGAUGGAGAUAGCAGCUCGCUAUGCAAAUGGCGAAGAAGAGGACCGUAUCCGAAGCGGCAAGCACAAGACAGUCGGCGACGGAGAAGGAAGCAACACUCGGAAGCAAAAGCAAAAAGCUACAUCCACUCCGCAGGCAGAAGCUGCAGUCGUGACCAAUGUCAAGUUCAAAGGCAAAGGGAAGGCGCAGUAUACCCCCAAGAAGAAGCCGUUCAAUAAUCCCAUCCUGGACCAACCAUGCCCGGUUCAUACGAAGAUGGACGAAGAGGGCAACCCCAUAUAUCCCAAGCAUACCACUUGGCAGUGCCGACUCCUGAUCCAGGGAUUCGGCGAAGGACAACCGAGUGAGAAGGUCAGCGAACAGGAUGAAGAGGAUAAGGAGGAUUCGUUCCCCCAAGUCCAUGCGACACUCAUGAUUUUUGCUGACGUCGAAAGCAAGAGUCGACUGAAGCUGGUGAACAGGGAGGUCAACAUGGCCGUUCCGACCAGCCCCAAGUUCCUUAAAUGGUCUCAGACUGCGAUCACCUUUGACCAGUCGGAUCAUCCAGCGCAUGUCCCCACCCCAGGAAGACAGGCUCUGGUCGACGACCCGGUGGUGGAAGGAGUCCGACUCCGCAAAGUUCUCAUGGACGACGGCAGUGGGUUGAACAUCAUGUACGCCGACACUCUCAAGGGAAUGGGCAUUCCGAUGUCCAAACUCAGCGAGAGCAGUAUGCAGUUCAACGGAGUCGUCCCUGGACGGAAGGCCAAGUCACUCGGCCAGAUCGCGUUGGACGUCGUUUUCGGCUCCGACAAGAACUUUCGCAAGGAAAAGCUCACAUUUGAGGUGGUGGAUUUCCAGAGCGCUUACCACGCGAUUUUGGGUCGCCCAACAUAUGUGAGCUUCAUGGCCCGGCCAUGCUACGUAUACUUGAAGCUGAAGAUGCCAGGCCCGAAAGGCGUGAUCACCAUCACGGGCAAUCGUCAGCGAGCCGAAGAGUGUCUGCAGCAGGGAUCAAGAAUCGCCGACCAGCAGAUGGCUAUUCUCGAGCUCGACGAGUACAAGAAGACAGUCGACCCUGCCGACCUGAUGCGCUCAAAGAAACCAGCUUCUGAGUCUGCAUUCCAGUCGGCGGGAGAGACAAAGAAGGUCAGCAUCCACCCGACGGACGACUCUGCUGCCCCGACGAACAUCUCCACCACCCUCGAUCCUAAAUAGGAUGCCGAGCUCACCCAAUUCCUCCGUGAGAACUGGGACAUCUUCGGAUGGAAACCCUCUGACAUGCCAGGUGUUCCUAGGGAGUUGGCUGAGCACCGACUUCAUGUGGAUCCAGCUGCUCGGCCCGUCCGAGAGCGCCUGCGCCGGUCUGCCGCGCACAAGAGGAAAGCAAUCAGAGAAAAGGUGGCCAAGCUGCUGGCCGCCAACUUCAUUCGCGAGGUUCACCACUCCGAGUGGCUCGCCAAUGUUGUCAUGGUGCCCAAGAAGGACAAGUCGCUCCGAAUGUGCAUCGACUUCAAGCAUCUCAAUAAGGUCUGCCCGAAAGACCAUUUUCCGCUCCCCCGCAUAGAUCAAAUUGUCGAUUCGACUGCGGGAUGCGAGCGUUUGUCAUUUCUUGAUGCCUACUCGGGCUAUCAUCAGAUCCGUCUGUAUGGUCCCGAUGAGUUAAAAACAGCCUUCAUUACCCCAUUCGGGUGCUUCUGCUACAUCACUAUGCCUUUCGGUCUAAAGAAUGCAGGAGCUACCUUUAUGCGCAUGAUCCAAAAAUGUCUCCUCGACCAAAUCGGUCGGAAUGUGGAGGCAUAUAUGGAUGAUAUCGUAGUCAAGUCACGCAAAGUUUCCGACCUACUGUCAGACUUGGCAGAAACAUUCGCCAACCUUCGUAGAUACGAUAUCAAGCUCAAUCCAGCCAAAUGUUCAUUCGGUGUUCCCAGCGGAAAGUUACUCGGUUUCUUCGUUUCCGAACGAGGGAUCGAUGUCAACCCCGAAAAGAUCGGGACCAUCGUCUGAAUGGAGAGGCCGGUCAGAAUACACGAUGUUCAACGGCUCACAAGUUGCCUAGCGGCUUUGAGCAGGUUCAUCAUUCGACUCGGCGAGAAAGCACUUCCUCUGUACCGACUCAUGAAGAAAUCAGAUACUUUCGAGUGGACAGACGAAGCCCAAGUCGCUUUCGAUGACCUCAAAGUCUUACUUUCCACCCAGCCGGUUCUUACUGCUCCGCUCAGUAAAUAGCCCCUUCUUCUGUAUAUCGCGGCUACAAAUCAAGUCGUCAGUACUGUUCUUAUAGUCGAACGAGAAGAAGAAGGCAAAGCAUACAAAGUUCAGCGGCCAGUGUACUACAUCUCCGAAGUCCUGACUCCUUCCAAGCAGAGGUAUCCCCACUAUCAAAAACUUAUCUACGGGAUUUACAUGACUGCGAAGAAGGUGGCUCAUUAUUUCCAAGAUCACUUGGUGUCUGUCGUUUCUGAUGCUCCGUUGUCGGAAAUUCUCCACAAUCGAGACGCGUCAGGCCGGGUGGCGAAGUGGGCAAUGGAAAUGUUGUACUGCGAUAUCAAGUUCGAGGCCAAGAAAGCUAUUAAGUCUCAAGCCCUGGCUGACUUUAUAGCAGAAUGGGUAGAACAACAGCAACCGACCCACAUCUGCUCGGCUCAUUGGACAAUGUUCUUUGAUGGGUCUAAGAUGUUGAAUGGCUCCGGUGCUGGUGUUGUGAUCAUUUCACCAAAGGGCGACAAGCUCAAGUACGUGCUACAAAUACACUUCGAUUCCUCCAACAACGAGGCAGAGUAUGAAGCUCUCCUCUACGGAUUGCGCAUGGCCAUCUCACUCGGCGUCCGUCGCCUGAUGGUCUACGGCGAUUCAGAUUUGGUGGUCAAUCAAGUGAUGAAAGAGUGGGACGUCAGGAACCCCACCAUGACCACAUACUGCAAUGCAGUAAGGAAGGUGGAGAAGAAGUUUGAAGGUCUGGAGCUCCACCAUGUUUCGAGACUGAAGAACCAAGCAGCUGAUGAGUUGGCAAAACUCGGAUCCACUUGGAGACCAGUCCCGAGUGACGUCUGCCUCGAGCACCUCCACCUUCCCUCAGUCAAAGAAGAUCCUUUCACAGAGGAACCAGUGCAACCCAAGAGCACAACAGAUCCGACUGAAGUCAAUGUACCUGUUGUGGUUGAUCUGGUUAUGGAGAUCCUCGCUGCCAUCCCCGAGUGGACUGUGCCGAUCAUUGCAUAUAUUCUGAGACAGGAACUACCAGAAGACGAAGCUCAGGCCAGGCAGAUAGUCCGCAGGUCGAAGGCAUUCACUCUCAUUGAUGGCCAAUUGUACAAGGAGAGCAUUUCAGGCGUUCUUCAACGCUGCAUUUCCCCAGAGGAGGGGCAGUUGAUCCUGGAAGAGAUUCACUCGGGAACCUGCGGUCAUCACGCCUCUUCAAGAGCAAUCGUCGCCAAGGCGUUCAGGGCUGGUUUUUUCUAGCUGCAGGCAAAUGAGAUGGCUAAAGACAUGGUUGACCGAUGCGAGGGCUGUCAGUUCUACUCCAACAAGUCCCACAAGCCAACUUCUGCAUUGAAGACAAUCCCGCUUGUGUGGCCGUUUGCGGUUUGGGGAUUAGAUACAGUAGGUCCAUUCAAGACAGGCCAAGGAGGCUACACUCAUCUGUUGGUGGCAGUCGACAAGUUCACAAAAUGGAUACAAGCCAAGCCCAUCAAGAAACUCGACGCCUCAACAGCCGUCAAGUUUGUCAGGGACAUCAUCUCCAGAUUCGGUGUACCUCACAGCAUAAUCACGGAUAACGGGACAAACUUUGACUCGGACAGAUUCAAAGGUUUUUGUGCAAGCCAAGGUAUCCGAGUGGAUUUUUCUUCCGUAGCACAUCCUCAAUCCAAUGGACAAGCAGAGCGGGCGAAUGGACUUAUUCUUCAGGGUUUAAAGCCCCGACUUUUGCGAGAGGUGGGACAUGCCGCUGGCGCUUGGGUCACCGAGUUACCUUCAGUACUUUGGGGUCUUUGCACAACCCCGAACAGAUCUACAGGGCGAUCGCCGUUCUUCCUCGUUUACGGAGCAGAAGCGGUCCUUUCGAGUGACUUGCUUCAUAAUGCUCCACGAUUCAAACUCUUCUCCGAAGCUGAAGCAGAACAAGCAAGGCAAGAUGGAGUGGACCUUCUAGAGGAGGAGCGCGAGAUGGCACUGACUCGCUCAACCAUUUAUCAACAAGAUCUACGGCGUUUUCAUGCACGCCACGUCAGGAGUCGCACGUUCCAAGCAGGCGACCUGGUGCUCCGAGUGGAUCAGCAAAGACCUCACAAGUUGGCCCCGGCCUGGGAAGGACCCUUCAUCAUCUCCAAGGUGCUGAACAACAGAGCAUACAGACUCUACAACAUCGAGAGGGAGACAGACGAGCCACGCGCAUGGAACGGAGACCUCUUGAAGCGCUUCUACACGUGAUCGUCGACUGAAGCAGUGUAAAGAACUAGCAUUGAUGGAAUAAUAUAAAGCGGAUUCAGUUUUCGCAGUCUUAGAAUUCUUCCGCAGUUGCAGACUCUGGUCACUCAAAAAAAAGAAACUUAGCUGUGAUCAAGAAUCACCUAAGUACUAACUUUCUCCGAGUGCGCACUAAACGUCGCGCUCGGGGACUUAGCUGUGAUCAAGAAUCACCUAAGUACUAACUUCUCCGAGUGCGCACGAAACGUCGUGCUCGGGGACUUAGCUGUGAUCAAGAAUCACCUAAGUACUAACUUCUUCCGAGUGUGCACCAAACAUCGCACUCGGGGACUUAGCUGUGAUCAAGAAUCACCUAAGUACUAACUUUCUUCCGAGUGUGCACCAAACGUCGCACUCGGGGACUUAGCUGUGAUCAAGAAUCACCUAAGUACUAACUUUCUCCGAGUGUGCACUAAUCGUCGCACUCGGGGACUUAGCUGUGAUCAAGAAUCACCUAAGUAAUAACUUCCUCCGAGUCUGCACUAAUUGUCGCACUCGGGGACUUAGCUGUGAUCAAGAAUCACCUAAGUAAUAACUUCCUCCGAGUGUGCACUAAUCGUUGCACUCGGAGACUUAGCUGUGAUCAAGAAUCACCUAAGUACUAACUUUCUCCGAGUGUGCACUAAUCUUCGCACUCGGGGACUUAGCUGUGAUCAAGAAUCACCUAAGUAAUAACUUCCUCCGAGUAUGCACUAAUCGUCGCACUCGGGGACUUAGCUGUGAUCAAGAUUCACCUAAGUAAUAACUUCCUCCGAGUGUGCACUAAUCGUUGCACUCGGGGAAUUAGCUGUGAUCAAGAAUCACCUAAGUAAUAACUUCCUCCGAGUGUGCACUAAUCGUCGCACUCGGGGACUUAGCUGUGAUCAAGAAUCACCUAAGUAGUAACUUCCUCCGAGUGUGCACUAAACGUCGCACUCGGGUACUUAGCCGUGAUCAAGAAUCACCUAAGUACUAACUUUCUCCGAGUGUGCGCUAAUUGUCGCACUCGGGGACUUAGCUGUGAUCACGAAUCACCUAAGUUACAACUUUCUCCGAGUGUGCACUAAUCGUCACACUCGGGGACUUAGCUGUGAUCAAGAAUCACCUAAGUAAUAACUUCCUCCGAGCGUGCACUAAAUGUCGCACUCGGUGACUCAGCUGUGAUCAAGAAUCACCUAAAGUUUUAAUUUUCUCCGAUUGUGCACUAAACGUCGCACUCGGGGACUUUGUUGUGAUCCAGAGUCACCUAAGUAAUCACUUCCCCCGAGUGUGCACUAAACGUCGCACUCGAAACAACAUUCAAACACAAGAAUAAACGCUUUGAUUCGGAUUCCAAAAUCCUCGCAAAGAUAGCUAACUCGGUGCGGAUCAAGCUUACCCGCACCGAUUUAAGAAUGUGACGGCCAACAGAAGUGGCCAAAGUAUCUUACAGAUAAACACUCGGCAUACUGAGGAUAAAGUUUUAUUACGCCUCAGCGGGGUCGGCGCCAGGACUAGAGGGCUCCACGAAGGUGUCCAAGUCGAUUCCGUCAGCGAUGCGGGUAGCACUCUCAAGGAACGUCUCCAUGAAGUCUUCAAAUUGAAGCUUCUUCGUGUUGGCGACCUUCAGUGUCUUCAGCUUCUCUUCCCGCACCUCCUUGCAAUGGACUCGCACCAAGGACAGGGCAACAUAUGCACCGCAACGCGCUGCCGAUUUCUUCCACGAUUGCAUUCGGUUCGGAAUCUCCUCCAGUCGCGCCAUCAGGCUCUCCAUCUCCUGCCGCGACUCAUCUUGUGGUCAAAGUUCCUUGUCAAUUCGGCCGACGACCUCUCCAGUCGACCGAUGAAAGGACCCACUUUGCCUACGCGGAUAUGCGCCCGGAGUAGAUCCCGAUUGGCGUCCUCACCGAGUGGCACGUUGUCGCGAAUGGACCGCUCCACGUCCGCUGCUUCAGCUUCAGCAUCAACGCAAAAGUCUGCAACAAAAGGGCAAGCAUACAAUAAACGCCGAGUGUAACGCACACGGUACAAGCACUCAGCAUAACAUACGACUUACCAGCCAAACGCGUCAUCAUCUGCCCAGCCCAGUCGUUGACAUACUUCUCCUGAGCUAUGCAUCGUCUAUUCAGGAUGGCCAUCUGAUUAUUGAGAGCAGUCCUCUGUUUCUUCAUUCUUUCCACCUCCUCAGUCAACACCUUGUUCGCUUCACGAGCCUCCUCCAAGGACUUCUCUCGUCCCUCCAGAGCAUCCUUCAUGCCGGCCAUGGCGAGCAUAGCCGCAUCAAGCUCACCAGCGAACUGGUUCCUCCCCGCUCUGAGCGCCUCAUAGGCCGUCCCCAUUUCACAAGUUUUCUGCCAUCAAGCACCAAGGGACAAUCAGAAAGUUCAACAGUUAAAGGUCUAAGUUCUUUAGACCCCUGCCGAAGCAAGCAGUCGACAGCGGUCUCGGGGACUACACCCAGUGGGUUCACUCAAAGUGACCCCACUGGCAUGCAGCUCAAGCAGGCCUGCCCUAUUGCGAUGCAUGUUAUAACUUACGCCUAUGAGGCCAAUACUACCCGACUUGAGUACAACUUACUCUCGGGGGCUCUUACAGUAAAUGCAAUCCGACUUCAACAACUACUCGUACUCAGUCAUACUAUUUACACACACAACUAAAGUAAAGACAAUAUGUAUAAAGACAAAUGUCGGUGCAAGCACUAGACAGAAGUCUCGGGGACUACACCCACUGGGUUCACUUGGAGUGAACCCAUUGCAAAAGACAGCUGUUAUUCAAGAUCACCCAGUGGGUUACAAGAGAAAAGUAAAUACUUACUAGACCACUUACUCGGAUAUCAUCUCGCAGCUCCAAGCUCCGCUGGUACAAGGCCGCAACAAAGUCGUACCCCUCUUGGCUUCUCCAGCCAUCAGCUCCGCCUGCACCAUAGCCCCCUUGGCUGCUCCCACCUGCUCCUCCGGAAGACGCUGAAUGCUGAAUUCAGCAUUCGACGAGCCUCGAAUCGUCGGAGGUUCCUGAGGCAUCCCAAGGUCCGCCCAAGUCGGCUCCUCAUCCACCAGUACUGGUUCAGUCUGUGGCAGCGCCUCAGUCAGCAGGACGUCGGCGGCGAGAGCGGCAGCAGGAGGAGCAGCCUCAAGAACAGGCUCCACAGCUGGGUCGGCUCUCCCCUGGUCGUCUUCGUCCAGAAAAAUCGCCCCUGACAGGCCGAACGACACGAGGUCUCAGAAAAAGAAAGAAGCAGGACCUAUGAUAGAGUUUGAGACGCGAUGGGAUAAAACACUCGACGCUCCUACAACGCACCUGGCUGAGACGAAACGACGUUGUCUGUGUCCAUGGGAUCAUCUCCUUGGCGCGCCGGAGAGGUGGCAGAGGUAGCGACCCUGUUGAGUGAAUUCCAUUCGUCCAGUAAACAGAAGUUCACCCGGAUAUCAGAAAGAAUUGAAAGCUGGACACACUUACGUGGAGGUGACGGGGACAGCAACCCUCAUUCGGUGCAGAGCCUUCCGAGGCUUAGGCCCACUCGGCUUGGGCGCCUUAGAAGAUUGGCCCGCGGGCUCAGCGGCGGCAUCCCUGGUCCUCUUAGUGCUCCGAAAACUCGGGACCACUGGAGCAGUAGGCGGAGCACUUGAAGACGCGGGAGGAGCCGAGGGGACAGCGGGCUCGUGUCGGCGCUUGGUCCGAUGCUCCAGUUGCGGAGGUGGCGAGUCCUGCUCCUCGUCUUCUUCCUCUUCCUCGCUGCUCUCCUCCUCCGAUUCCCCGCUGUCGGAGACGUACUCGGUGCUCUCCACACUGCCCUCCUCCGAUUCCCAUUCGAGACGGGGGAGAACCAGUUGGUCCACGCCUGCAUAAAUUUCAGUCGGAAACAUUAGACAUCACACGGAGAUAUAGACAAACGACAGGAAUUAAGAGAGUUCAGUGCACUCGACAAGUGCCACUCACCUGAUUCGGUGGAGGAUGAUCCGCGCUGUAAGGCUUCACUCGCCGAGCUCCUUUGGGGUUCUCGCAAGGGCCCGUGAUUUGGAGCACCCACGAGGUCACCCUCUCCUCAGUCACGCCCACCACAUUGGUCCGAGUGGAGUCUUCGGGCCCCAUGUAAUGCCACAUGGCAUGGUCGCGAGCCUGCACAGGCUGGACCAGCCGACCAAGGAAAACUUCCAGCAGGUCUAUACCGGUGACCCCCCUCCUGACGACGUCCACGAGUGCCUCAACCAAGGGCUGGAUGUCGUUCUUCUCCGCCUUCGAGAGCGCGAGCUGCUUAGGCGGGGCGGGCCGAUCUAGACUAAAAGGAGGCAGCCCAGUCGACGCAUUCGGACAGGCGAUAUCCUGGCAGUAGAACCACGUCGACUGCCAGUUCCUAACCGACUCACUUAACUAGAGAGCAGGAUAGCUACUCCGACUCUUUUUCUGGAAACCUAAACCCCCGCAGAGCUGGAGGAGAUGUGUCUUAUCAUCCGACUGGCUAAGUCGUUUGAUGGUUUGGGAUCUGGCGGAAAAGAUGUGUUUGAACAAACCCCAAUGGGGAGGGCAGCCGAUGAAACACUCGCACAAAACUAUAAAGGCAGAAAGAUGGGCGAUGGCAUUCGGAGGAAAAUGGUGAAGUUGGGCCCCGAAGUGAUUCAUGAUGCCCUUGAAGAAAGGAUGCGGGGGCAAAGAAAAACCUCGGUGGACGUGGCUGAGCAGCAGGACGCGCUCCCCCUCCCGAGGCGCUGGCUCGACCUCGUUCUCCGCCGGCAGUCUCCAGGACUUGUGCACGAUCAUCCCGUGCUCCACCAGCUGCAGCAGGUCCCCCUCCGUCACCGUGGAGGGGAGGAAGUCGCCCUGGAUCCAUCCGCCGGCAGCGGCCGCUGCCGCCGCUGGGCAGGCGCCGCCGUCUUCCCCUUCUUCUUCCUCGCCUCCAUCUUGCUGGUCUGGCCCUUGGUCAUGGCGGAGGCUGCGAGCCCCUCAGGAGGAAGGAGAAGGGAGGAGUACAGGAGCGCUGGAGGUGGCGAGCAGGGCGGAGCAGGCGAGAGCAAGGGAUUCGGUGAGCGUAACGGAGAAGCCUCGCCGCCGAGAUUUAAAUAGGGUUCUGACUCGGUCGCUGGCAGGUGGCCCCGAAACCUUAUCCCUCUGACCCACCGCGGCGAUAUUAGUGGAGAGGUUGAAGGCGCAAGAAUCGAGGCGUCAGGCGCUACUCGAGCGCGCUGGCGUCAUCCCCGCUGGGCGCGCGGAAACCAAAAUUUGAGUAUCCCGGAAAAUUCACCGCUGUCAGUUGACCGGUCGCGUCAGAAGAUGCCGCCGAAGCACUCGGCUCCCGAGAGUCCGUUCCGCGAGUACUUCCACUCGGAUCGACGAUCAGAAAAGUCAAAAUGGACCGAGGCAAGCAACGGCCAAGCCGAAUCUGUUCCAGUCGGAUUCAACUUCAAACAUCGCUUCGUCGUUCCAACCUCAAUCCAUUCGGGGACUAAUGAUGGGGUUAUAGUCCUAGGGUAGGGUCAUAGGCCUGCCCUAUAGGUCCUACCCAAGGACUACCCCUCACAGAGGACAAGACCCUUAGUCAACUCCGACUGAAUUAAGGAAUCCGUGUCUUCCAGUCGGUAACAUACCUUCGGUCCUCCAGUCGGCGACUGNNNNNNNNNNNNNNNNNNNNNNNNNNNNNNNNNNNNNNNNNNNNNNNNNNNNNNNNNNNNNNNNNNNNNNNNNNNNNNNNNNNNNNNNNNNNNNNNNNNNUAGCUGAUUCUUUUUGCUACUCGUCACUUUUGACUUUAGUUAUCCUUAUGUUUAAUUUGAGGAAUUUUAGUAUAUUUUAAAUUAAAUUUUAAGCAAAACAGUAUUGUUUUAGUUCAUUUUAGGUUUAUUGCUAUUUCUUUUGUUUUAAAUGUUUUUAAUUUGUUUUCUCUUCUGUUUGUGACAAGUUUUGUUUUUUUUGUUAGUUAAUAGUAGCUUUUCAACAAAUGUUUUUUUAGUUUGUGUUAUCUUAAGCUUGAUUUGCAUGGAAUCAACUCUAGUUUAAUAAAUAACUUGAAAUUGAUUUCAAUGUUAAUAAGAUUAUUUUGAAAAAUACUUUAUAUAAAUUGAUUUAUAAGUUUUAUUUUGUGUUAACUUUAGAUUAGAUUAGAAAAAAAUUGUAUUAAAGUUGAAUUUUUUUAUAUUAAUUCAAGGUUAACAUUGUUUAGGUCAUAGGAAGAGUUUCAUAAAAGCUUUUCAAUUAGUUCUUUUGUUAAGAAAGUUUUAUGAGAAAUAUUUUUUGUUAAUUCAAUUGUUUUAUAUUCAGUGUUUUAGUGUUUAUAUUGUUGUUAAGUUUGUUAGGUCAAAAGCUAAUGUUGUUUGGUGUGAUGUUCAUUAUAGUUCUUAUGUGUUCUUUAAAAGUAAUUCUUUUUGGUAGUAAAAGAUGUACUAAAAUACUUUUGUUGGAUUUUUAUCUUGUUGUUGGUUUGUUGCUUUUGAAAAUAGGUUAUUUUGUAUAAAAAACUAUUCUUAGUUGCUUUGAUAAAGUUUUGUUGUCUUAACUUUUGUCUUAAGUAUUUCCUUCAUCACAACACUAUUAUGUUGAGUAUGUGUGUUGCUUUUUGGUUGAUAAUAUUGCUUGCUAGAAGUGUUUUCUUAUAUGACUGCAAUGUUUGAUUAUUUAGAUUUUCAUGGUAGAGUGAUGAGUAGUUUUAUCAAGUUAUUUUCUAAGAGCGAUAUUACCUUCAUCAACCUUAACAUGCAAGUUCACUUUGCCCAUUUAUUUCAUACCUAUGUUUCAUUGCAUUUUGUGAAAUCAACCAACAAAUUCCUCAAGUAGUGAUAUUGAAACUUGUAGUUUGAGUAGAAUCAUGAGGUAGNNNNNNNNNNNNNNNNNNNNNNNNNNNNNNNNNNNNNNNNNNNNNNNNNNNNNNNNNNNNNNNNNNNNNNNNNNNNNNNNNNNNNNNNNNNNNNNNNNNNCCACGAUUCCCGGGGCUUGGUGACAAGGGUAAGCGUUCCUACCUCAUGAUUCUACUCAAACUACAAGUUUAAAUAUCACUACUGGAGGAAUUUGUUGGUUGAUUUCACAAAAUGCAAUGAAGCAUAGGUAUGAAAUAAAUGGGCAAAGUGAACUUGCAUGUUAAGGUUGAUGAAGGUAAUAUCGCUCUUAGAAAAUAACUUGAUAAAACUAUUCAUCACUCUACCANCUACAAAAUAACCUAUUUUCAAAAGCAACAAACCAACAACAAGAUAAAAAUCUAACAAAAAUGUUUUAGUACAUCUUUUACUAGCAAAAAGAAUUACUUUUAAAGAAUACAUAAGAACUAUAAUGAACAUCACACCAAACAACAUUAGCUUUUGUCCUAACAAACUUAACAACAAUAUAAACACUAAAACACUGAAUAUAAAACAAUUGAAUUAACAAAAAAAUAUCUCAUCAAACUUUAUUACCAAAAGAACUAAUUGAAAAGCUUUUAUUAAACUCUUCCUAUGACCUAAAUAAUGUUAACCUUGAAUUAAUACAAAAACAUUCAACUUUGAUACAGUUUUUUCUAAUUUAAACUAAAGUUAACAUAAAAUAAAACUUAUAAAUCAAUUUAUAUAAAGUAUUUUUCAAAAUAAUCUUAUUAACAUUGAAAUCAAUUUCAAGUUAUAUAUUAAACUAGAGUUGAUUCCAUGCAAAUCAAGCUUAAGAUAACACAAACUAAAAAAACAUUUGUUGAAAAGCUACUAUUAACUAACAAAAAAAACAAAACUUGUCACAAACAGAAGAGAAAACAAAUUAAAAACAUUUAAAACAAAAGAAAUAGCAAUAAACCUAAAAUGAACUAAAACAAUACUGUUUUGCUUAAAAUUUAAUUUAAAAUAUACUAAAAUUCCUCAAAUUAAACAUAAGGAUAACUAAAGUCACAAGUGACGAGUAGCAAAAAGAAUCAGCUAAAAACCUAUUUUUAAACUCAAGUUAUCCAAAAACAAGGUCUGAAGAAAAUGUGUAUGAAUUCCAAUUUCAAACAAUAAAAAUUAAAACCUAAUUGCACUAAUAGAAACUAAAACAAAUUUGUGAACUAAUGCAAAAGGAAUCACUCAAAAACACUUAAAACAUAAAAGAUAUUUUUUAAAAAGAGNNNNNNNNNNNNNNNNNNNNNNNNNNNNNNNNNNNNNNNNNNNNNNNNNNNNNNNNNNNNNNNNNNNNNNNNNNNNNNNNNNNNNNNNNNNNNNNNNNNNUGAAUAACAUCUUGAUCAACGAUAAUGCUUAGACUAUUCCCGAACCAUCUCCUAAGCCAACUCGUAAGAAAAGAGGUAUUCUAUUCCUUAGUCCCGAAGACAUGCAAGAAGCCAAGAAAUCUAUGCAAGAUAAAGGCAUUAGAUCUGAAGAUGUCAAAAAUCUACCACCUAUCAAAGAGAUCCAUGGUCUCGAUAACCCGAUACAAGUAGUAGAAGUGAAUUUUCUGUGUAGGUUUGAUGAGAGUGAUAUUCCUUUUGAUAAACCUGCCAGCCUAUGCUUUGAUGAAUUUGACAACUUUGUUGCCAAACAACAGAGUUUCAAUGAUUAUGUUAGUAGACAUUUGGAACAAAGUACUCGUAUGCUUAGUCAUUUAAGUGCUUCUGUGGACAGAAAUGUCAAUGAUCUGAAGCUUCUCAGUAAACAUGCCUCUAUGAUUACUACUCUGGUAGAACAAGUACUUAAAGCUCAGAAUGACUUGCUCAAUGAAUUAAAUGACAACUCUGUCAGAGUCAUUACUAGAGGAGGCAAAAUGACUCAGGAACCUUUGUAUCCUGAAGGCCAUCCUAAGAGAAGUGAUCAAGAUUCUCAAGGAAUUAAUGUUGAUACACCCAGUCAUCCUAAGAAGAAGAAGGAUGAUAGAAACCUACAUGUCAGAUCACCAAAUACUGUCACACCUGAAGAACCAAAUGAUAUUUCUGCGUCUAAUGCAGAAACACAAUCUGGUGAUGAACAUGAACCCCGUGACAAUAUGGACAUCGAUGUUCAUAAUGAUGCUCAACCUAGCAACGAUAAGGAUGUGGAUAUUGAACCUACGGUUAAUCCUGAAAACCCACAAACUAAGAGAUAAGAUAAGAAUGACUUCACUGCUAGGAAGCAUGGUAAAGAAAGGGAGCCAUGGGUUCAGAGACCUAUGCCCUUUCCUCCUAAGCCAUCCNUCUAUAACGGACUUAUCGAUGCUUCUAGAGACCACCUAGAAAGUUGUGACGGUUGUGUUUUUAGGGAACGAACUAUAGAACAAGCUGAGAUUCUACUGAAUAACAUCUUGAUCAACGAUAAUGCUUAGACUAUUCCCGAACCAUCUCCUAAGCCAACUCGUAAGAAAAGAGGUAUUCUAUUCCUUAGUCCCGAAGACAUGCAAGAAGCCAAGAAAUCUAUGCAAGAUAAAGGCAUUAGAUCUGAAGAUGUCAAAAAUCUACCACCUAUCAAAGAGAUCCAUGGUCUCGAUAACCCGAUACAAGUAGUAGAAGUGAAUUUUCUGUGUAGGUUUGAUGAGAGUGAUAUUCCUUUUGAUAAACCUGCCAGCCUAUGCUUUGAUGAAUUUGACAACUUUGUUGCCAAACAACAGAGUUUCAAUGAUUAUGUUAGUAGACAUUUGGAACAAAGUACUCGUAUGCUUAGUCAUUUAAGUGCUUCUGUGGACAGAAAUGUCAAUGAUCUGAAGCUUCUCAGUAAACAUGCCUCUAUGAUUACUACUCUGGUAGAACAAGUACUUAAAGCUCAGAAUGACUUGCUCAAUGAAUUAAAUGACAACUCUGUCAGAGUCAUUACUAGAGGAGGCAAAAUGACUCAGGAACCUUUGUAUCCUGAAGGCCAUCCUAAGAGAAGUGAUCAAGAUUCUCAAGGAAUUAAUGUUGAUACACCCAGUCAUCCUAAGAAGAAGAAGGAUGAUAGAAACCUACAUGUCAGAUCACCAAAUACUGUCACACCUGAAGAACCAAAUGAUAUUUCUGCGUCUAAUGCAGAAACACAAUCUGGUGAUGAACAUGAACCCCGUGACAAUAUGGACAUCGAUGUUCAUAAUGAUGCUCAACCUAGCAACGAUAAGGAUGUGGAUAUUGAACCUACGGUUAAUCCUGAAAACCCACAAACUAAGAGAUAAGAUAAGAAUGACUUCACUGCUAGGAAGCAUGGUAAAGAAAGGGAGCCAUGGGUUCAGAGACCUAUGCCCUUUCCUCCUAAGCCAUCCAAGAAAAAGGAAGAUGAGGAUUUUGAGUGCUUUGUUGAAAUGAUAAGACCCAUCUUUCUGCAGAUGCAGUUAAUUGAUAUGCUCAAAAUGUCUGUGUAUGCCAAGUACAUGAAAGAUACCGUGACUAAUAAACGGAAGAUACCAGCUCUUGAGAUCUCCACCAUGCUUGCCAAUUACACUUUCAAAGGUGGAACUCCUAAAAAACUUGGUGAUCCCGGAGUGCCCACUAUACCUUGCUCCAUUAAAGGAAACUACGUAAGAACUGCCUUAUGUGACCUUGGAGCCGGUGUUAGUGUUAUGCCUCUCUCUCUUUAUAGUAGAUUUGAACUGGAUAAGUUGACACCCACUGAAAUCUCUCUGCAAAUGGCCGACAAAUCAACUGCUUUCCCUAUCGGCAUUUGCGAGGAUGUGCCUAUUGUUGUUGCUAAUACCACCAUCUUAACAGACUUUGUUAUCUUGGAUAUUCCCGAGGAUGAUGCCAUGGCUGUCAUCCUCGGAAGACCCUUUUUAAACAUUGCAGGGGCUGUUAUAGAUUGCAACAAAGGCAAUGUCACUUUCCAUGUCAACGGUAAUGAGCAUAAAGUGNNNNNNNNNNNNNNNNNNNNNNNNNNNNNNNNNNNNNNNNNNNNNNNNNNNNNNNNNNNNNNNNNNNNNNNNNNNNNNNNNNNNNNNNNNNNNNNNNNNNAUGUAUAGCAGUUGGAGUUGUGGGUGUAAUAAUGGUAUUGAUGUCCUCAUCAUUCUCCCCUUCUUGAACUAAAGUCUUCCUCGACGGAAACUCAUCUUCCUCACCCAAAUAAGGCUUCAAAUCUGCAAUGUUAGAAGUGGGACUAAUCCCAAACUCUGCAGGCAGCUCAAGUUUAUAUGCAUUAUCAUUUAUUUUCUCUAACACCUUAAAACGACCAUCAUCACGUGGCAUUAGCUUUGACUUGUGUAAAUCAGGAAAUCUAUCCUUUCGCAAAUGUAACCAAACAAGAUCUCCGCGUGCAAGGACAACAUGUUUACUACCCUUAUCUCCAACAAGUUUGUAUUUAGCAUUUAUACGCUCAAUGUUUUCCUUAUGUAACAUCCCAAACUCUAGAAGGUUAUAUUAUUAAAAUUUAAUGAUUGAUUGUUUGAAUGAUUAUUUGAAAUUGAGUGAAAAUUGAAAUUUUUGGAACUUUUAAAUGAGAGGGAAUAACAUGACUUUCCCUCUUUGUUCUUGAAUUCAAAUUCAUCCAUUUCAAAUCAUUGAGAGAAGAUGACAUGACUUCUUCAAAAUAAAAGAUUUGAAAUUUUGGAUUUGAAGACUACUAUAUCUUCCAUUUGGAAUUUAUUUCAUAAUGAGUUAUAUUUCUAUUUUAAAGUUUGAAUGAAUUCAAAUUUCGUUGCCGAAAUUCAAAAAGUUCUUGAGAGGAGAAAUUUGACACUCCAAACGAGGGGAAAGAUUGAAUUAUAUUUGAAUUUGAAAUGCUUAGAAAUUUUUUGGAAAAUAUUUCAUAUUGGAUUUCCAAGCCAUUCUUGAAGUGGUUUUCAAAAUUAUUUUCCUCCAAAAAUAAAAUACUUGGAAAAUAGGUUAAAAUGAUUCCCUUCAAUAUAGAAAAUGGAGAAAAAUGAAUUUGCAAUCAUUUUGGUAUUUUUGAAAAUAUUGUAUUACAUUUUAAACUCAAUAGUAGCACUGUUUGAAUUAUUUGAAUCGGUCAGAAUUUUGUUUGAACUUGACAAUAUGUUCAUGUUGUAGGAAAUCUUUUUCCUGUCAUUUGGUAUACUAUAUGCCUAUAUGUGGUUUCCAUUUAUUGUCAUUUUAUUUAUUUUCUGUCUUUGUUUGAAAAUAUAAAGAAAAGGGUUUUCUGUUAAAACAAAAGGGCGAAUCCCAACAGAGUGCCCGAGGCCCCGGUCGUUGACAACCCACCUUUCGCCCACGCCUGAAAUGGCAAGCGUCUAGCCGCCAAUCCCCACGGGAAUCCUCUUCCUCUCACUGAUAUGAGGGCCCACCCGACCGAUCCCGAGAUCCUCGUGGUCACCUUCUUCCCACGUUCCCCUUUCCUUCCAGUUGCCGGCACCGCCGCGAUCCGCCUAUCCUCUACCAUUUAGACCCGCCCUCCUCCAUGCAAGGCCCCCAAUAAAUACCCCGCCUCCCGCACAAAUUCCUCGCCUGAAGCCCUCUCUCAUACUCCCCAGCACCCACGCAAUCCCUCGCCAGAGUUAGCCACGGUUGCCUCGCCAUUACCAUGCCACCACUCCCCCUAGCCCUCCCCAACGAACGGAGACACCUCCAUUCGCUCCGCCACUCUUGUUUGCACCUCCCCAUGCACACGCGCGAGCUCCAGAAUGACCAAAGCUAACCCCCUCGACAACCACCGAAUGCUGUUGUCACUGCCACGCUCGCCGCCGUCACUCCCGUACACCCCAAACUCCACCUGGACUACCAGAAGAACCGCCUCGCUUGUUCGCGUCGUUGGAGUCCUCCUCGACGUCGUAGGAUCAUCGGAGCACUGCCCCACAUUGCCUCGCCACCUCGGACAUCGUCGAAGCCUCGUCCGAGACCUCCACCAUCGCGGUAAGUCACCAGCACCAUCCUCGCCCGUCCGAUCUAGCAUCUACGGUGUAGAUUAGAUCAAGCGUACCCCUUUGGUUUAUUUAAAGAACCGGUCGGUUUUUCUGUGUUUAUUUAGACCGAAGGGUUUUCCUCCAACGUGUGGUUGUCCGCUAUUUUACACCGCGCGUGCACACUAGUAAGCCUACCAGAACGCGCCACGUAGCCCGUGUCCGUUUGUUAGGACUUUUUCUUUUUUGUGUUUGAGUUUCUUUACAGAAUUAGUUCAAUUUUUAGAUUUCUUAUAUCUUUUAUGUUUUUAAGUGUUUUUAAGUUAUUCCUUUUCCAUUAGUUCAUGAAUUUGUUUUAGUUUCUGUUAGUGCAAUUAGAUUUCAAAUUGUAUAGUUUUAAACUCGAAUUCAAACAAAUUUUCUUCAAGCCUUGUUUUGUGGAUAACUUGAGUUUAAAAAUAGGUAUUUAGCUGAUUCUUUUUGCUACUCGUCACUUCUAACUUUAGUUAUCAUUAUGUAUAAUUUGAGAAAUUUUAGUAUAUUUUAAAUUAAGGUUGUAAGCAAACAGAAUUGUUUUAGUUCAUUUUGGGUUUAUUGUUAUUUCUUUUGUUUAUUGUUAUGCGACUUUUAGAAGACCAAACCCCUGAUGAAUAGUCAUGUUAGAUGCGAAGAUUUGUGAGUUGUCCCUUGUGUGUCCGAUUUUCCCACAGCAAACAAAUAAAAUAUACUUUUCAAAACUAUAUUGUUUGUAUGGUUAUACUUCUCCCUCUCUCUCCAACCUUGCCUCAUUGCUGCUAAACCCAUCAGAUGCCGCCGAGAUGGAACAACACCAGGAAUAGCUCAAGGAACAAUGGACUUAGCAUAGAACAGUUGCUCCAGACCCAGAACCAAAUGUUGCAGCUCUUGAUGCAGAACUAGAACGAGAACAACAACAAUAACCCGCCACCCCAAGUUGAUAACCUUACCCGCUUUCUAAAGUUGAACCCACCAGUGUUCUCUAGCAGCAUAGAGCCAAUUNNNNNNNNNNNNNNNNNNNNNNNNNNNNNNNNNNNNNNNNNNNNNNNNNNNNNNNNNNNNNNNNNNNNNNNNNNNNNNNNNNNNNNNNNNNNNNNNNNNNGGAACGUCCUCACGUCCCUCGAUCCACCCCGCGAACCGUCCCACAAACCGUCCCGCGAUCCGUCCCACGAUCCGCUCCGAUCUAGUGCCGAACGGACGGCACCUCCGCGUUCAGCACACGUACAGCGCGACGAUGAUCUCGACCUUCUUGAUCCAGCAAGAGAUACGGAGAGGUAGGUGAGUUCUCCGACAGCGUGAUGGCGCUCUGGAGGUUGGUGGUGAUCUAUCCCAGCAGGGCUCCGCCCGAGCUCCGCGGAAAUACGAUCUAGAGGAAAAACCGUGGAGGUAUGUGGUCGGGCUGCCAUGGCAAAGUUGUCUCAAAUCAGCCCUAAUACCUUAGUAUAUAUAGGAGGGAGGGGGGGGCCUUGCCUUGAGGCUCAAGGGAGCCCCAAGGGGUCGGCCGAACCAAGGGGAGGAGUCCUCCUCCUCCAAUCCUAGUCGAACUAGGAUUGGAAGGUGGAGUCCUUCCCUUCCUUCCCACUUCCCCUUUUUUCCAUUUGCUUUCUUUAUCUCCUGUGCAUAGGGCCUCUUGGGCUGUCCCACCAGCCCACUAAGGGCUGGUGCGGCACCCCUAAGGCCUAUGGGCUUCCCCCGGGUGGGCUGGCCCCUCCCGGUGAACAUCCGGAACCCAUUCGUCACUCCAGGUACAUUCCCGGUAAUGCCCGAAAACUUUUCGGUAAUCAAAUGAGGUCAUCCUAUAUAUCAAUCUUCGUCUCCGGACCAUUCCGGAAACCCUCGUGACUUUUGUGAUAUCAUCCGGGACUCCAAACAACAUUCAGUAACCAACCAUAUAACUCAAAUACGCAUAAAACAUCGUCGAACCGUAAGUGUGCAGACCCUGCGGGUUCGAGAACUAUGUAGACAUGACCCGAGGGACUCCUCGGUAAAUAUCCAAUAGCGGGACCUGGAUGCCCAUAUUGGAUCCUACAUAUUCUACGAAGAUCUUAUCAAUUGAACCUCAGUGCCAAGGAUUCAUAUAAUCCCGUAUGUCAUUCCCUUUGUCCUUCGGUAUGUUACUUGCCCGAGAUUCGAUCGUCAGUAUCCGCAUACUUAUUUCAAUCUCGUUUACCGGCAAGUCUUUUUACUCGUUCCGUAAUACAAGAUCCCAUGACUUACACUAAGUCACAUUGCUUGCAAGGCUUGUGUGUGAUGUUGUCUUACCGAGUGGGCCGCGAGAUACCUCUCCGUCACACGGAGUGACAAAUCCCAGUCUUGAUCCAUACUAACUCAACGGACACCUUCNNNNNNNNNNNNNNNNNNNNNNNNNNNNNNNNNNNNNNNNNNNNNNNNNNNNNNNNNNNNNNNNNNNNNNNNNNNNNNNNNNNNNNNNNNNNNNNNNNNNUACGCUGUGGUGUUCCAGGCGGUGUCAACUGUGAAACAAUUCCACAUUGUCUUAAGUGAGCACCAAACUCGAAACUCAGAUAUUCACCCCCACGAUCAGACCGUAGGAACUUGAUCUUCUUGUUACGAUGAUUUUCGAAUUCACUCUGAAAUUGUUUGAACUUUUCAAAUGUUUCAGACUUGUGCUUCAUCAAGUAGACCUAACCAUAUCUACUCAAAUCGUCAGUGAAGGUGAGAAAAUAACGAUAUCCGCCGCGUGCCUCCACACUCAUCGGACCACACACAUCGGUAUGUAUGAUUUCCAACAAGUCACUUGCAUGCUCCAUUGUUCCGGAGAACGGAGUUUUAGUCAUCUUGCCCAUGAGGCAUGGUUCGCACGUGUCAAGUGAAUCAAAGUCAAGUGAUUCCAAAAGUCCAUCGGUAUGGAGUUUCUUCAUGCGCUUUACACCAAUAUGACCUAAGCGGCGGUGCCAUAAAACAUGGCGCUAUCAUUGUUAACUCUAACUCUUUUGGUCUCAAUGUUAUGUAUAUGUGUAUUAUCUCUAUCAAGAUUCAAUAUGAACAAUCCUCUCGCAUUGGGUGCAUGACCAUAAAAGAUAUUAUUCAUAGAAAUAGAACAACCAUUAUUCUCUGACUUAAACGAGUAACCGUCUCGCAAUAAACAAGAUCCAAAUAUAAUGUUCAUGCUUAACGCAGGCACUAAAUAACAUUUAUUUAAGUUCAUAACUAAUCCUGAUGGUAACUGAAGUGAAACUGUGCCGACGGCGAUUGCAUCAACCUUGGAACCAUUUCCCACGCGCAUCGUCACUUCAUCCUUCGCCAGCCUUCGCUUAUUCCACAUUUCCUGUUUCGAGUUGCAAAUAUGAUCAAUAGAACCAGUAUCGGAUACCCAGGCACUACUACGAGAGCUGGUUAAGUACACAUCAAUAACAUGUAUAUCGAAUAUACCUGAUUUUUCUUUGGCCGCCUUCUUAUCAGCCAGAUACUUGGGGCUGUUGCGCUUCGAGUGACCCAUACCCUUGCAAUAAUAGCACUCCGUUUCAGGCUUAGGUCCAGCUUUGGGUUUCUUCAUCGGUUUGGCAACAGGCCUGCCGCUCUUCUUUGAGUUAUCCUUCUUUCCUUUGUCGUUUCUCUUGAAACUAGUGGUCUUAUUCACCAUCAACACUUGAUGCUCUUUACAGAGUUCCGACUCUGCGACUUUCAGCGUCGCGAAUAACUCGUCGGGUGACUUGUUCAUCCCUUGCAUGUUAUAGUUCAACACAAAGCCCUUAUAGCUUGGUGGUAGUGAUUGAAGAAUUCUGUCAGUGAUAGCCUCUUGCGGGAGUUCAAUCCCUAGCUCAGCUAGACGGUUUGAGUACCCACACAUUUUGAGCACAUGUUCUCUGACAGACGAAUUCUCCUCCAUCUUGCAAGCAUAGAAUUUAUCGAAGGUCUCAUACCUCUCGAUCCGGGCAUUCUUCUGAAAGAUAAACUUCAACUCCUGGAACAUCUCAUAUGCUCCAUGACGCUCAAAGCGACGUUGAAGUCCCGGCUCUAAGCCUACAAGACUGCACAUUGAACUACUGAGUAGUCCUCCUUGCAUGUUAACCAAGCGUUCUUAACAUCUUGGUCAGCCGCGGCGGGUGGUUCAUCUCCUAGCGCAGCACUAAGGACAUAAUCCUUCUUCCCAGCUUGCAGGAGCAACUUAAGAUUACGAGCCCAGUCUACAAAGUUGCUUCCAUCAUCUUUCAACUUAGCUUUCUCUAGGAACGUAUUAAAAUUCAGGGUGACUCUCGCGUGAGCCAUUGAUCUACAACACAAAUAUUUUCAAAGUGGACUUAGACUAUGUUCAAGAUAAUUAGAGUUUAACUAAUCAAAUUACUUGCUAAACUCACACUCAAAUAGUACAUCUCUCUAGUCAUUUGAGUGGAUCAUGAUCCAACUCCACUAGCUCAAGUCCGAUCAUCACGUGAGUUGAGGAUAGUUUCAGUGGUAAGCAUCCCUAUGCUAAUCAUAUCAACUAUAUGAUUCAUGAUCGACCUUUCGGUCUCAUGUGCUCCGAGGCCAUGUCUGCACAUGCUAGGCUCGUCAAGCUUAACCAGAGUGUUCCGCGUGUGCAACCGUUUUGCACCCGUUGUAUGUGAACGUUGAGUCUAUCACACCCGAUCAUCACGUGGUGUCUCGAAACGACGAACUGUAGCAACGGUGCACAGUCGGGGAUAACACAAUUUCGUCUUGAAAUUUUAGUGAGAGAUCACCUCAUAAUGCUACCGUCGUUCUAAGCAAAAUAACGUGCAUAAAAGGAUUAACAUCACAUGCAAUUCAUAAGUGACAUGAUAUGGCCAUCAUCAAGUGCUCCUUGAUCUUCAUCACCAAAGCACGGUAUGAUCUUCUUGUCGCCGGCACCACACCAUGAUCACCAUCAUCAUGAUCUCCAUCAUCGUGCCGCCAUCGAGGUUGUCAUGUAUGCUAUGCUAUUACUACUAAAGCUACAUCCUAGCAAUAUAGUAAACGCAUCUGCAAACACAAACGUUAGUUUAAAGACAACCCUAUGGCUCCUGCCGGUUGCCGCAGCAUCGACGUGCAAGUCGAUAUUAACUAUUACAACAUGAUCAUCUCAUACAUCCAAUAUAUCACAUCACAUCGUCGGCCAUAUCACAUCACAAGCAUACCCUGCAAAAACAAGUUAGACGUCCUCUAAUUGUUGUUGCAUGUUUUACGUGGUGGCCAUGGGUAUCUAGUAGGAUCGCAUCUUACUUACACAAACACCACAAUGGGGAUGUAUGAAUUGCUAUUUAACCUCUCUUCCAAGGACCUCCUCGGUCAAAUCCGGUUCAACUAAAGUUGGAGAAACCGACACUCGCCAGUCAUCUUUGAGCAACGGGGUUCCUCGUAGCGAUGAAACCAGUCUCUCGUAAGCGUACGAGUAAUGUCGGUCUGAGCCGCUUUGAUCCAACAAUACCGCGGAAUCAAGAAAAGACUAAGGAGGGCAGCAAAUCACACAUCACUGCCCACAAAAACUUUUGUGUUCUACUCGAGAUGACAUCUACGCAUGAACCUAGCUCAUGAUGCCACUGUUGGGGAACGUGGUACAGGAAACAAAAAAAUUCCUACACACACGCAAUACCUAUCAUGGUGAUGUCCAUCUAUGAGAGGAGAUUUCCGAUCUACGUACCCUUGUAGAUCGCACAACAGGAAGCGUUAAGAAACGUGGUUGAUGUAGUGGAACGUCCUCACGUCCCUCGAUCCGCCCCGCGAACCGUCCCACGAACCGUCCCGCGAUCCGUCCCACGAUCCGCUCCGAUCUAGUGCCGAACGGACGGCACCUCCGUGUUCAGCACACGUACAUCGCGACGAUGAUCUCGGCCUUCUUGAUCCAGCAAGAGAUACGGAGAGGUAGAUGAGUUCUCCGGCAGCAUGACGGCGCUCCGGAGGUUGGUGGUGAUCUAUCCCAGCACGGCUCCGCCCGAGCUCCGCGGAAAUACGAUCUAGAAGAAAAACCGUGGAGGUAUGUGGUCGGGCUGCCGUGGCAAAGUUGUCUCAAAUCAGCCCUAAUACCUCAGUAUAUAUAGGAGGGAGGGGGAGAGCCUUGCCUUGUGGCUCAAGGUAGCCCAAAGGGGUCGGCCGAACCAAGGGGAGGAGUCCUCCUCCUACAAUCCUAGUCCAACUAGGAUUGGAAGGUGCAGUCCUUCCCUUUCUUCCCACUUCCCCUUUCUUUUCUUUUGCAUUUGAUUUCUUUAUCUCCUGCGCAUAGGGCCUCUUGGGCGCUCCCACCAGCCCACUAAGGGCUGGUGCGGCACCCCUAAGGCCUAUGGGCUUCCCCCGGGUGGGCUCCCCCCCGUUGAACAUCGAGAACCCAUUCGUCACUCCCGGUACAUUCCCGGUAAUGCCCGAAAACUUUCCGGUAAUCAAAUGAGGUCAUCCUAUAUAUCAAUCUUCGUCUCCGGACCAUUCCGGAAACCCUCGUGACGUCCGUGAUCUCAUCUGGGACUCCAAACAACAUUCGGUAACCCAACAUAUAACUCAAAUACGCAUAAAACAUCGUCGAACCUUAAGUGUGCAGACCCUGCGGGUUCGAGAACUAUGUAUACAUGACCCGAGGGACUCCUCGGUCAAUAUCCAAUAGCGGGACCUGGAUGCCCAUAUUGGAUCCUACAUANNNNNNNNNNNNNNNNNNNNNNNNNNNNNNNNNNNNNNNNNNNNNNNNNNNNNNNNNNNNNNNNNNNNNNNNNNNNNNNNNNNNNNNNNNNNNNNNNNNNCCUCGGUCAAUAUCCAAUAGCGGGACCUGGAUGCCCAUAUUGGAUCCUACAUAUUCUACGAAGAUCUUAUCGAUUGAACCUCAGUGCCAAGGAUUCAUAUAAUCCCGUAUGUCAUUCCCUUUGUCCUUCGGUAUGUUACUUGCCCGAGAUUCGAUCGUCAUUAUCUGCAUACCUAUUUCAAUCUCGUUUACCGGCAAGUCUCUUUACUCAUUCCGUAAUACAAGAUCCCAUGACUUACACUAAGUCACAUUUCUUGCAAGGCUUGUGUGUGAUGUUGUAUUACCGAGUGGGGCCUGAGAUACCUCUCCGUCACACGGAGUGACAAAUCCCAGUCUUGAUCCAUACUAAUUCAACGGACACCUUCGGAGAUACCUGUAGAGCAUCUUUAUAGUCACCCAGUUACGUUGUGACGUUUGGUACACACAAGGCAUUCCUCCGGUGUCAGUGAGUUAUAUGAUCUCAUGGUCAUAGGAAUAAAUACUUGACACGCGGAAAACAGUAGCAACAAAAAGACACGAUCAACAUGCUACGUUCACUAGUUUGGGUCUAGUCCAUCACAUGAUUCACUCAAUGAUGUGAUCCAGUUAUCAAGCAACAACAACACCUUGUACAUAGUCAGAAGACCUUGACUAUCCUUGAUCAACUGGCUAGCCAACUAGAGGCUUGCUAGGGACAGUGUUUUGUCUAUGUAUCCACACAUGUAUCUAAGUCUUCAUUCAAUACAAUUAUAACAUGGAUAAUAAACGAUUAUCUUGAUAUGGGAAUUAUAAUAAUAACUUUAUUUAUCAUUGCCUCUAGGGCAUAAUUCCAUGUAGCGACCCGACUCAAGACGAGUCAAGCCUCUGUGUCUCUGUGCCAUCCCUGGAUCAGUAUGCUGGCACACACAGUACAUCAAUGUAUAUAUCAAAGUGCAAUCACAUGUAAAUAGCGUAAAACUGAUAUAUACCUUAAUUAUCUCAGCGGAAGUGGUCAAGGGAGUGGAGUCCCAAUAAACACCAACGGCAAGUUGAGUGUAGACCGUAAUCCUGAAUCGUACUCUUACUCGUCGAAGAAAAAUAUCUGCAACAUAAUACGUUGUAGCCGUGUAGGUCAGCAUAUUGAAUAUGUCGGCAAGUCACAUAAGAGAGGGGUGAAAAGUAAUCAACUAUACUAUAUGCAUAUAUGGCAGGUGGGGCUAUAAGUUUUCAGUGAAAAGCAAGUUUUCUCCUACAUCAAGAGAGGGGCUAAAAGCAAAAUAUUACUACGAUGUUGGUUGUUAAUGAGAUGGUUCCGCCAACCAGUUCUCAUACCCGAGUUGUCAAUAAUUACCCUCAUCAAAUAUAUUUAAUGGUGUUGAGAAAUCCAGAUAACUUCAGUUCCUUUGGCUCAAGUUGUCCAUGACCGUGGACACGGCUAAUCGAUUAGGUUUGAGUACUCUGCAGAGUUUUGCACACGUUCCCCACAAGAUUUGAUCGCCUCCGUGUAUGUCCUCGCACUUCAGGGUGUUUGAAGAUCGGAUGAUCAAAACAUGGUCUUUCAACGGGUCCCUCUGAAUCCCUGUCGGUGCCCAUCCAAUCCUACCGUUCUUCUACAUGUGCUAGCACCGCCUGUCCAGAGUCGCCGCGUUGUCCAACCAAGCCAGAGCCCAUAAUGACUUGUGGCUGUGCAGGUAAGCCUUGGGUCUUGAAAAUAUCCGUCUGUCUCUUUGAGCCUGGGUGAAGCUUUCCGCAGGAUGUCAUGGCCUCUCCAGCAUCCCGGGUCAUCCACUGGGUUCUCCAUGGAGCCGAUCAACCGUCCUUCACCUAGAGUUGCAUUGCGUCCGAGGUCUUGAAAAUCUUGUCUUAACCGGUCUUGAUUAUUUAAUCAACCUCGCAUCACUCGUGUUAUGCACUCAACCGAAAUUCCGUCUACUCAAGCAUAGCAAUAUGAACUUUGUCGUCCCGGGGCCAAGUAUUGGGGUUGUUGUGUGCCUACCACAUGAUACUACAAUCUAUACUAAAAUUUCCAAGUACCUAAGCAGCAUGCAAUUGGGCAUAGGAUGGUAGAACUACGAUGCAUAAAACAUAGGUGAUAGUAUGAUCAAAGUGACUUGCCUGGUAUUACUUGAUGAAGAUAGUCGCUCUCAUAAUCCUGAUAAUUCUACUCGCCACACUCCGAGCAAUCUAUCGUAAACAAAUAGCAUUCAAUAAACAUUCAUGCCAAAAAGGAAGAACCAAGAGAACAUAAGAACAAAGCAUGUCUUGGUACAAAAUAACAACGUACUAAGGUUUAAUAAAAAGGUCCUAAGUGUGUUGUAAAGUGAAGGUGCAUGAAUGAGAUCAAAAGAGUUAAUGGACGAGGAACCAUUGCUAUAUAAGCUCGACUUGCAUACACUAUGGGAGAUGAUCAAAAAUAUUGGGAGAACAACAUGAAUGUUGUUUGACAAAUAGUAUAAGACAUAAGAAUUUAUUUGUAGAAAGAAUUUCUUGAAAUGGAGCACUACAACGCAAGUUAUAGCGAAUUGAAGUAUGAAUUAAAUUUGCAUUAAAAAGGUCAAGAGAGGUUGAACUGAAGUACGAUGGUUACGUACAAACAUAUAUGACAUGAGUGUUUAGGGGUAAAAGGAAUCAAUUGAAAAGGUGGUACGAUUUGCAAGAUAAGAUCAAAUGAAUGUUCGAAUACAAAUUUAAAUCGCUCAAAUUUGUAAGGUUCAAAGAUCGAAACUAAUGAUGCUAUUGGAUAUAGUAGAUCAAUAUGAGCGUGUAGAAAAAAGAAUUAAUAGAUUUGAAAUAGAGGAUCAAAAGAUACAAAUACUUCAAUAUAACAUUGAAUCGGCUUAGAACGAUGUGAACACUUUUGGGCACUAAUAAAUAAAUCUGAUUUGAUCAAAAUUAUAAGUUGAAAAGUUAAAACUAAUGAUACAAACGGGAAGAUUACUUUGAUACGAAUCCGACGCAAUUGAAUUCAUCUAAAACGGAGCUACGGAUAAAAAGAUAUGAUCAAAAGAAGUUUGAAUAUGAAUAUGAACAAAUUUCGAAAUUUGAAAAUUUCAAAAAGAUGAUAUGAUAGGUUCACAUGAUAGGUGGGAUCAAGACGAAACUCUAGGCGUUGGUUUCAUCUAAUUCGGAUAAACGAGCAAAAAGUUAUGGCUAUUUGAAAAAUCAGGGCCAAGCUGUUUUACGGAAUAAAAGUGCUACGUCUAAAAGAAUUCUAGUACUAAUGUGUAAAUACGAAGACUAAUUAAUAUAUCUAAUUACUCUACCGUAUACUAGUGUAGGAAUACUAGUCUAGAAAUAAUAAACUACGGGAGUAUAAAAAAAUACGAAGAGAAAUACCUUUAGAAUGCAGAGUAAGAAUUAAUUCCAAUGAGGAGACGACUUCGAGAAAUCCCGCCGAAGAGAAGAAAAAAAUAUAUUUUUAUUUAAUAAAUCUAGUUAAACCAAAAGAUUGAUUUAACCCGAAAUAGAUGAUUUUUGGAUGCUCCUAUGGGUCUAUACUUAUAGGUGAAAGGGAGGUCUAAUGGUGUAUAGAUAGGCAAUGUGGGACUAAACAUAUACGUAACGUGGAGAUAAAAGAAACAAAGCCUCUCAUGGGCCAGGUAAACGUUCGACCGGCCGCAAGAGGCGAUGCAUGCGAGCCGUGCCUUUUUUUUUUGAACAAUGUUAUUUCUUCUUUAAAAAAAAGUGAAGAAAACAUAAAAAAACGAAAAUAGAGAGAACAUUUUAUAUAGGCAUAUUAUAUAUCAAAAUUUUCAGAAUAAAAUUUUGUAAAACAUGAACAUAUUUUCAAAACCAAAAAAAAUAUAUUUUUUAAUUUUUUUUGCAAUAACUUUAAAAUAAAAAGGAAUUUGAAUUUCAAAUAAAUUCCAAAUACUUAAAAUUUGAAUCAAGACAUUGUCUCUGAUUUUGGAGUGUCAUUUUCCUCCUCUCGUUUGAUUUUUUUUAAUCAAAGGGUUUUGAAAAUAUUCGAACUCAAAAUUGAAAAGGGAUUCAAAAUAGAAAAUUUUGGGAAAGUCAUUUUAUUCCCUCUCAUUUUUUUGAGAAGUUUCAAAUUCCACUCAAGUUUAAAUCACUCAAACAAACAAUCAAUCAAUCUAAUAAUUAUAUUAACAUUCCAAAAUUUAAAAUUUUGGGAUGUUACAUUCCAACACGAACAAGGUAUAACUCUAGAGUUCAGGAGGAGCCCCGCUACGACCCGUACCUAGGAAAUUCUGGAUCAGGAUCCAUGAAGUUUGGGGGACCCAAUCAUGAGAACCAUUGAGGUCAUUCUCAUCACACAAGCAUUGGAUACCACCCUAAUGGCCACAAGCAUGAAAAUGAAACUGGAGGAAUUGGAAAACAACAUCAUCCCAAUCCAGUUGCACCAACAAAGAAAGAUAAGAGUCAUGUUACCUGUUUUGAGUGCACGAACACGGGACAUUGUGCCAAUGAUUGUCCAGAAAAUAAGCAAAAGCCCAGAGAAUUGUUGGAAGUUAACUGCUUUCGUUGUGAUGCUGUGGGGAAUUAUGCCAUUGACUGUCGAGACCAAAAGAAUGUUGGAUCUGAGUAGUUGAGAUCAUAAUGUUGGCAAUAAGUGUAAUAGGUGACACUCUCGCUUUCAUGAGAUUAUGGAGUAGAAUGUUGUAACAAAAGUUUAAGACAUUGUAAUAACUUAAUGAAUCAAUAGAAUUUAUUUUUUCAUGACUUCUUGUGUCGAAUUAUAUGAGUUCUUAUUCUAUAAACAAAGAUCUCUGACCAUUUUCGAGGAUAUGAGAAAAUAUGAUCUUCACAUGCAUGUGUACAUUUCAUUUUAAGUGUGGUAGUAAUCGGUAGAACCACAGGAAUCCAAGGAAAAAAUAAUGUACCAUAGAUGCCAAGGAGUCUGGACCAAUGAAUACAUGUGAAGGUGAUACUGGACCAUAUCAAACUGUGUGGAUGACAACAUUUGUAAUAAAGUACUUUUGAAAUUAUAAUUUAGAUAAGAAAUUAAGGAUGUAAUAAAGGACUGAAUAUGAGAAGAAUAUGCUUUAUGAAAGAAUGAGUGCCUUUGAUGGUAAACAAACCAAUGGAAAGGAAAAUGUGUUCCAAAGAGUGGGGUAUGUACCAAGAAUAAGCCUCAGAAUUAUUAUUCUACCCAAGAGCAUGAAGGAAGAAGUUAUGAUUGAUCAACACACGUUUUUCUUAGGAGGAUACGAAAACACGAGAGCUGUGAAGAAACGAUAGAAGUUUUGUUCAGCUUGCAGAAUAAAUGGAGUUAUCCAAACUUCGUUCAUGGACAAGAGAAAUACUGCAAGGCUUGUGAGGAAGCCUAAGUGUUAGAAUACGAGAUUCGCUAAACCUUACAAGGUAAUGAUUUGAGCACGACAUGGCUUGGCCACCAUGACGACUUACCCUUAUCAUUCUCUUAUUAUUUGGAAUGGUAAAUCUGAGUGACUUACCCAUAGUAAAGAGACAACAAUCUUUAAAGCUUUUGUUUAAGCCUUAGAAUGGUAUGAUGAUGAACCCCUCUACAUGGCACCUGUUGCCAAACGUAGAAAUUUUAUGGUGAGAAUGAAGCCAAGACCCAUUUCACUGCAGGAUAACCACAAAUGGUUAACCACCCUGAGAUCAUCGAUAAGUUAUUUAGAAUUGUCACAAGACUUGUCAGCUAGAAAGACCCAGUGUAGGAAGAAUUGUAUAGUGCAGAAAGAAUAGAAGAUAUUGAGAGAAACAUUAUGACUAUAACGGAGGAGCAUCAACGAAGGAGUUAUUGUGAGGAAUGUACAGAGACAAAUAUUAUCAAGACCCUAGAGAAAUGACAUGACUUUGAGGGACCAGUAACUCUCAUUUUAAGUGUGGUAGCACCCACACUUUUCAAGACAACGGAUUUGCUAGAAGACCCCCAAACCCUAACCUUUUAUUUAUAGUCCCUUCGAAUAUCAAGGACAAGAUUCACUUUAAGUGUGGUAGGUUCUUAACGUCCCAAACUCUGGAAUACUAUAUUAUUAACAUUUAAUGAUUGUUUGAAACUGAGUGAAAAUUGAAACUUUUUGAAACUUUUAAAUGAGAGGGAAUAACAUGACUUUCCCCCCUUUGUUCUUGAAUUCAAAUUCAUCCAUUUCAACUCAUUGAGAGAAGAUGACAUGACUUCUUCAAUAAAAAGGAUUUGAAAUUUUGGAUUUGUAAACUACUGAAAUUUUUUAUUUGGAAUUUAUUUCAUAAUGAGUUCUAUUUCUAUUUUAAAGUUUUAAUGAAUUCGAAUUUCGUUGCCCAAAUUCAGAAAAAAAUUCUUGAGAGGAGAAAUAUGCCACUCCAAACCACGGGAAAGUUUGAAUUAUAUUUGAAUUUAAAAUUCUCGGAAAACUAUUUGGAAAAUAUUUCAUAUUAGGUUUCCAAGCCAUUCUUGAAGUGGUUUUCAAAAUUAUUUUUCUCCAAAAAUAAAAUACUUGGAAAAUAAGUUUAAAAGAUUCCCUUUAAUAUAAAAAUGGAGAAAAAUGGAUUUGAAAUCAUUUUGGUAUUUUUGAAAUAUUGUAUUGCAUUUUAAACUCAAUAGUAGCACUCGUUGAAUUAUUUGAAUUAGUCAGAAUUUUAUUUGACCUUGACAAUAUGUUCAUGUUGUAGGAAAUCAUUUUCCGUUCAUUUUGGUAUACUAUAUGCCUAUAUAUGGUUUCCAUUUAUUUUCAUUGUAUUUAUUUUUUGUCUCUAUUUUAAAAUAAAAAGAAAAGGAUUUUCUUUUAAAACAAAAGGGCAAAGCCUGACAAAGCGCCCCAGGCCUAGGCCGCCGACAGCCCAUCUUUCGCUCGCGCUCAAAAUGGCAAGCGAUCGGCCACCGAUACCCUCGCAGAUCCUCUUCCUCUCACUAACGCGCGGGCCGAGCCGACCGACCCCAAGAUCCCCACGGUCACUUUCCUCUCACGUUCCCCUUUCCUUCCCGUUGUUGGCGCCACCACGAUCCGCUGAUCCCCUCCAUUUAGACCCCGCCCCAACUUCACGCAAGCCCCCUAAAAAUACCCGGCCUUCCGCACUCAUUGCUCGCCCGAAGCCCUCUCUCACUCCCUAGCGCCCACUCAGUCCCUCGUUGGAGUUAGCCAUGGCCGCCCCGCCACUGCCACGCCACCACUCCCCUAGCCCUCCCCGACAAAUGUAGACACCUCCAUUCACUCUGCCACUCUCGUGUGCACCUCCCCGUGCCCUCGCGCGAGCUCCAAAAUGACCGGAGCUAGCCCCCCAUCCCCUGCCGACCAUCAAAUGUCGUCACUCCUGUCACGCUCGCCGUCCUCACUCCCGUACACCCCGAGCUCCACCUGGACCACCAGAAGAACUGCCUCGCUCGACCGCAUUGCUUGGACUCGUCUGUAAUGUCGUAGGAUCAUGGGAGCGUCGCCCCGCAUUGCCUCACCGCCUCAGACAUCGUCGAAGAUCUCCACCACCACGGUAAGUCAUCGACACUGUUCUCGCCUGUCCGAUCUAGAAUCUACGGUGUAGAUUAGAUCAAGCGUACCCCUUCGGUUUAUUUAAAGAACCAGUCCGUUUUUAUUUCUUUAUUUAAACCGAAGUGUUUUCCUCUAGCGCACGGUCGUCCGCUAGUUUACACCUCGCGCACACACCAGUAGGCCUAUCAGAGCGCGCCACGUAGCCCAUGUCCGUUCGUUAGGACUUUUUCUUUUUCUGUUUUAGUUUCUUUCACACAAUUAGUUCUCUUUUUAAAAAAUAUCUUUUAUGUUUUAAGUGUUUUUGAGUGAUUCCUUUUGCAUUAGUUCACAAAUUAGUUUUAGUUUCUAUUAGUGCAAUUAGAUUUUAAUUUUUAUAGGUUGAAUUUUGAAUUUAUACACAUUUUCUUCAAACGUUGUUUUCUGGAUAACUUGAGUUUAAAAAUAGGUUUUUAGCUGAUUCUUUUUGCUACUCGUCACUUUUGACUUUAGUUAUCCUUAUGUUUAAUUUGAGGAAUUUUAGUAUAUUUUAAAUUAAAUUUUAAGCAAAACAGUAUUGUUUUAGUUCAUUUUAGGUUUAUUGCUAUUUCUUUUGUUUUAAAUGUUUUUAAUUUGUUUUCUCUUCUGUUUGUGACAAGUUUUGUUUUUUUUGUUAGUUAAUAGUAGCUUUUCAACAAAUGUUUUUUUAGUUUGUGUUAUCUUAAGCUUGAUUUGCAUGGAAUCAACUCUAGUUUAAUAAAUAACUUGAAAUUGAUUUCAAUGUUAAUAAGAUUAUUUUGAAAAAUACUUUAUAUAAAUUGAUUUAUAAGUUUUAUUUUGUGUUAACUUUAGAUUAGAUUAGAAAAAAAUUGUAUUAAAGUUGAAUUUUUUUAUAUUAAUUCAAGGUUAACAUUGUUUAGGUCAUAGGAAGAGUUUCAUAAAAGCUUUUCAAUUAGUUCUUUUGUUAAGAAAGUUUUAUGAGAAAUAUUUUUUGUUAAUUCAAUUGUUUUAUAUUCAGUGUUUUAGUGUUUAUAUUGUUGUUAAGUUUGUUAGGUCAAAAGCUAAUGUUGUUUGGUGUGAUGUUCAUUAUAGUUCUUAUGUGUUCUUUAAAAGUAAUUCUUUUUGGUAGUAAAAGAUGUACUAAAAUACUUUUGUUGGAUUUUUAUCUUGUUGUUGGUUUGUUGCUUUUGAAAAUAGGUUAUUUUGUAUAAAAAACUAUUCUUAGUUGCUUUGAUAAAGUUUUGUUGUCUUAACUUUUGUCUUAAGUAUUUCCUUCAUCACAACACUAUUAUGUUGAGUAUGUGUGUUGCUUUUUGGUUGAUAAUAUUGCUUGCUAGAAGUGUUUUCUUAUAUGACUGCAAUGUUUGAUUAUUUAGAUUUUCAUGGUAGAGUGAUGAGUAGUUUUAUCAAGUUAUUUUCUAAGAGCGAUAUUACCUUCAUCAACCUUAACAUGCAAGUUCACUUUGCCCAUUUAUUUCAUACCUAUGUUUCAUUGCAUUUUGUGAAAUCAACCAACAAAUUCCUCAAGUAGUGAUAUUGAAACUUGUAGUUUGAGUAGAAUCAUGAGGUAGGAACGCUUACCCUUGUCACCAAGCCCCGGGAAUCGUGGUUAAGUUAGUCGCAGCUAUGCUUUAGUAGACGGGCAUUGGUAUGAGUGUUUCAUGUGAGAUGUGAGUGUGAUAACAAUAUAUGGAUCAACCUUAAGGCUAGAAGACUUCAAGAUUUAAAUACACCUCUGGGUGGAUGGCCUUCAAGAAGAGGGGAUCCGAGGGAUUGAGUAGUGAACACCUAGUUCAAGAAGGGAUCCUAGGAAUUGACUAGUGAUCACCCGGCUAUACAGACUCAAGAGGGGAUCCUAGGGAGUGACUAGUGAUCACCCAGUGCUUCGGACUCAAGUGGGGAUCUUGGGGAUUGACCAGUGACCACUCAGUUUUAUGAGGGGGUCCUAGGGAUUGACCAGUGACCACCCUGUUUUAUGAGGGGGGGGAUUAACGAGGGAUCACCCAUAUUUACGGAAGGCCACCCACGCCUAAGAAGGUUGAUGGAUCAUUCAAGACUAGAAGCUUCCAUGUGCAGCCGCAAGCUAUUAUGGGCUUGACCAUAGUUGUGUACUCCAGAAAUAAUGUGUCUCGGUCAUCCCGUUCUCAAACACCAUGUAGUGUGAGGACUUCAAGGGAGGUGAUUGAGUCUUGCGGGAAAAGUGUGGAAACCUUUGUAGAGCGUUAAACUAAUCAGUUAGCCGUGUCCCGAGUUACGAACAAUUUGAGCGACUAGAAUUGGAUUAUCUAGAUAUUCUCAACACUUGAUACAUUAAAUUGACAGGGGAUUAUUGACAACUUUGGGUUAUGAGAAUUUGGUUGGCAGAACCAUCUCUUUAGUUACGCCAUCUUUGUAGAAAGAAAUCUGAUUUAACUUUGAUUUAGGACAAAACUGGCUUUUAUGCAAAAAAAAACUCAAACAUAGAGCCUCCACUGCCUUAUUGCAUAUAGUGAUAGACUAAUUUUCAUCUCCCUUCGUAUGUGAUCUUGCCAGUACUUUCAAUGUACUGACCUACACGGCUACAAUGUCUUAUGUUGUAGAUAUUCAUACGAUGAGUACGAGUAUGACUUAGGGUUACGGUAUACACUCAACCUGUCAUUGGUGUUUAUUGGGACUCCACUCUUGUUGACUGUUUCUGCUGACAUUUAAGAGGUGUAUAUCAUUAUUGUGUUAUUUACACGUGAUUGCACUUUAAGAUAUACAUUGAUGUAUUGUGUGUUCCAGCAUAUUGAUCCAGGGAUGGCACACACAGAGAGGCUUGACUCGUUUUGAUUCGGGUCGCUACACCUAGUUACUUCAUGCAUUUUUAAGAUCAAUUCAGCAUGUUGUUAACUUCGAAAUUAACCUUCUUCGAAGAUGGGAGAGGCAACAAAUCAAUAGGUGCACGAGCUAGGAAACCAUACAAAAUUUCAAAAGGGGACAUCUUAGUAGUAGAAUGAAAUGAACAAUUAUAAGCAAAUUUAAUAUGAGGCAAGCAUUCUUCCCACAUUUUCAAGUUAUUCUUCAAAACAGCCCUAAGCAUAGUAGACAAUGAUCUAUUGACUACUUUAGUUUGUCCAUCAGUUUGGUGUGACAUGUAGUACUUAAAAGCAUUUGAGUCCCCGACUUAGCCCAUAAACAUCUCUAAAAAUGGAUAAGGAAUUUAGCAUCACAAUCUGAAACAGUUGUAUUUGGCACACCAAGCAAGCGAGUAAUAUCACAAAACAAAAAAUCAACAACAUUAGAGCAUCAUCACUUUUAUGGCAUGGCAUAAAGUGUGCCAUUUUUAGAAAAUCUAUCCACGAAAACAAAUAUGCUAUCCGUCCCCUUCUUAGUUCGAGGUAAACCUAAAAUAAAGUCCAUAGAUAUAUCCUCCGAAGGAAUACCAGGUACAGGCAAAGGCAUAUAUAAACCAUGAGGAUUGAGUCGUGACUUAGCUUUUUGACAUGUAGUGCAGCGAGCAACAAAACACUCAACAUCCCGUCUCAUAUGUGGCCAAAAUAAAUGUGUAGCAAGUACGCCCUCCAUCUUCUUCAUGCCGAAGUGUCCCAUUAAUCCUCCUAUGUGCGCCUCCUGCAACGACAAAAGACAAACAGAGCUAGCUGCAAUGCACAGCUUGUUCGCAUGGAACACAAAUCCAUCAUUAAUGACGAACUUGUUCCAUGUUCUCCCUUUUUUUCAAUUCUGCAACACAUCUUUAAAUUCCACAUCAUGAACAUAUUGAUCUUCGAUGGUAUCCAAACUAAAUAUUUUAAAGUCAAGUUGUGAAAGCAAACUAUAGCGAUGAGACAAUGCAUCAGCAAUAAAAUUUCAUUUUCCCUUCUUGUGUUUUAUGACAUAAGGGAAAGUUUUAAUGAAUUCAACCCAUUUAGCAUGUCUACGGUUCAGUUUUGCUUGACUUUUAAUAUGUUUCAAAGAUUCAUGAUCAGAAUGUAUAACAAUUCUUUGGGCCAUAAAUAAUGUUGCCAUGUUUCCAAAGUCCGAACAAGAGCAUAUAAUUCCUUUUCAUAAGUAGAAUAAUUAAGACUAGGCCCACUAAAUUUUUCUGAAAAGUAUGCAAUAGGUUUACCAUCUUGUAAUAACAUACCUCCUAAUCCAAUUCCACUAGCAUCACAUUCAAUCUCGAAAUUCUUAUUAAAAUCGGGAAGUUGGAGUAAAGGAGCAUGUGCUAACUUAUCUUUCAAUACCGUGAAGGCUUCUUCAUGUGCGGUACCCAAGCAAAAGGCACAUCCUUCUUUGUAAGCUCAUUGAGAAGUGCAUUAGUGGUGCUGAAAUCUCUCACAAAACGCCUAUAGAAACCAACGAGGCCAAGGAAACUCUUCACUUGUGUGACCGUUUUGGGCUGCGGCCAACUCUCAAUAGCUUCAAUCUUUGCUUUAUUAACUUCAAUUCCUUGUGUAGUAACAACAUAUCCAAGAAAAGAGACUUGGUCGGUCCAAAAGGGGCACUUCCCGAGGUUACCAAACAAACAUGCAUCACGUAGAGCAAUAAAAACAACACGUGAAUGUUCCAAGUGUUCCUCCAAGGAUCUACUAUAAAUCAGUAUAUCAUCAAAAUAGACUACCACAAAUCGUCCAAUGAAAGCAUGUAAAACCUCGUUCAUUAAUCUAACAAAAGUGUUAGGUGCAUUAGUCAACCCAAAAGGCAUGACUAACCACUCAUAUAAUCCAAACUUAGUUUUAGAUGUUGUUUUCAAUUCAUCUCCCAAUUUCAUACGAAUUUGAUAGUAACCACUACGCAAAUCAACUUUGGAGAAAAUUGUAGAGCCACUUAAUUCAUCAAGCAUAUCAUCUAGCCUAGGAAUAGGAUGAUGAUAAUGAAUAGUAAUAUUAUUAAUCCCCCUACAAUCAACACACAUAGGCGAUGUACCAUCCCUUUUCGACACUAGGAUAAUAGGAACAACACAAGGACUAAGGGAUUCGCGUGUAUAACCUUUGUCGAGCAGCUCUUGUACUUGAUGCAUAAUCUCCUUAUCCUCUGGAUUGGUACGGUAUGGAGCAUGGUUGGGUAGCGAUGCACCGGGAAUUAAGUCAACUUGAUGUUCAAUCCCUCUAAUAGGUCGUAAUCCCGAUGGCACGUCUUGUGGAAAGACGUCGGCAAACUCCUGCAAAAUGUUAAUUACAACACAAGGCAAAGAUGCAGGCAUGUCCCCGAAUGAAAAUAAUACCUCCUUGCAUAUGAAAGCAUAGCAAACAAUUGUAGUAACAUCCAAAUCAGUAAUAUCAGAUUUAUUGGCAAGUAAACAACCACUCUUCAGUUUUAUUUCAAAUGCAACACUAGAUGAUGGUUUAUUAGGCUUAUUGUGUUGCACAAAUUCCUUUGCCGCAAUCUGAUUUUCACUCUCACUUUGAUCUUGUAUUGCUUUACUAGCUCUAGCAAUGUCAGCUUUCAUAAUAUGUUUAGGAGGUAUAGGAAGCAAAGUUAUAUUAUUAUCCUUAUGAACAAGAGUAUAUUGAUUUGUCCUACCAUGGUGUACAUAUUUUUUAUCAAAUUGCCAUGGUCUACCAAGUAAAACGGAGCAUGCUUGCAUGGGUACCACAUCACAAUUUAAUAUGUAGCAAUCCUAAGGAGCACACAAACAAUAUGUGUUACCUUAACCUUCCCACUGUUGUUGAACUAUUGGAUGUAAUAUGGAUGAGGAUGUGCUCUCAUGGUUAGAGACACCUCCUCCACCAUCUCCAUGCUAGUCAAGUUGUUGCAACUCCCUCCAUUGGUGAUUAUGCAAACAUAACGUUCCUUCACUACUCCCUUUGUAUGGAACAAGUUGUGGCUCUGAUUUUGCUUAGCAUGUGUUACCUGCACACUUAAAACACGUUGUUCAACUAAACUUUCCUACAUGUCAGCGUAGUCAACAUCCAUGUAGUGUCUCUCUUGUUCAGUCUCAUCAACACCCUGUUCUUCAGUUGCAAUAGAAGUCAGAGUCUCCUCAUCAUUAUCACUAGUGGAGCAAUAUGCACCAUCUUCAGUAACAAUCAGGACACGCUUGGACGGGGCAGUCUCUCGCAUAGUGACCUCCACCCUGGCAACAACAACAGAUAACCUCAUGUGUUCUCCCUAUUGAUGCAAUGGAUGAAGAAGAGCUUUGUGCAUGCCCGAAAGGUGUGCUCUUGGCGGAGGGUGGGGCAGGUGCCUGUUUCCUGGUAUCUCGGUUGGAGUUGGUUGCUGAAGUAGGUGGUGCUGCAGCAGGAUGUGUGGAAGUAGAUGAGAUAUGUGGCGUCCAUGAUGAAGUGCGACCUACAGAAAAAUAGUUAUGGACAAUGCUUGCCGAUCCUGCACUUCACGUUCCGCUUUGCAAGCAAUAUAGAAUAAAUGAGUGAUAGUGUUAGACUCUUUAUAUUCUAAAAUAAUAUGAAUAUCUCUAUUUAAUCCACCCAUAAAACUUGCAAGCAUAGAUUCAUUAUCCUCAACAAUACCACAUCUAAUCAUGCUAGUUUGUAAUUCCUCACAAUAUUCUUCUACAUAAUUCUUUCCUUGCCUUAAGCGCUGCAAUUUUUUAAGUAAUUCACGUUGAUAAUAUGGAGGAGCCCAACGAGUACGCAUAACCGUUUUCAAAGCAGCCCAAGUAGUUGGAAUAUUAGCAUGAUGUAUUCUACAAUGUUCAGACCACCAAACACAAGCAAAACUAGUGAAUGAACAAAAAAUAGCAGCAACACAUCUACCAUCAGGAAAUUGUAAGCAUGUAAAACGUUGCUAUGAUUUAUCUCCCAAGUAAGAUAUAUAUGAGGAACAUAUCUACCAUCAAAUGUAGGAAUAUUCAAUUUAAGUUUAGGAAUAAUUUAAGUUUAACCCUACCAUUGCGAUUGUAUCCAUGUGGACGACUCGGUUCUUGGGUGGUGGCUGUUGUCCUCGAUGCUGAUUUGGAGAAACCUCUCUCUAAUCGUCGUAAUCACCAUCAUAAUCCUCAUUCUUCUCAAUUACAGUAGUAGCAGCAGCCACAAAAAUCAUAAUAGUAGCAGUAGGAGCAACAACACCAGGAUUCUGGCCUUGGUCGGUAGGCACACGUCGGGCUCGUCCCACACAAUUCGGGCCUUGUUCUUGUCGUUGUUGUUGUUGGAGAGAGACAGAAGCUGCAACUGGUGGUGGUAGAUGGGCAAGCACCUCAUUGAACAUGGCGUCCAUCUUGGUAUCGAAUGUCUUAUCCAAACCGUCUAUCUUCUCCAUGGCCUCUCCAAGGCUGGUCAUGAAGUCUUGUACCUGGUGAGCCAUAAUUUGCUCAAAUUUAUCAUGGAGCUCCUGGUUGGUUGGGCGCUCCCAGUUGAUCUCGUCGGCUUGUGAUCUUGGAAUGGUUAGCAGUAGUAGGAACAUAGAAGAAUAUGAACCUACAGACUACUAAUAAGUGUUGUUGUUGUUGGUGGUGUGUCAUAAAUCCGUCAAGCAAAUCUCAAAUUCUUGCCAGUUCUUACCCGUCAGCAGGUGGUGAUCGGCAACCAUUGUAGUCAAACUCUCAAAGCUUGGAUAGAGCGAUUGCCAGGUGGUGUCAAACACACGAUGUAGAUGUAUGUGGAGCUGGGAAGGCUUAUAAUAUGGUAGCAAAAAGAAUCAACAAUAAUCAGUUUAAAGAUGCAAAGUUGAAAGGACGCUCAACAACGGUACUAUGCUGGUCCUAGGCUAGAUCGUACUAGAGAUGCGAGCCUGGAACACCAAUAAAAUCACGACGCUACACGUAAUCAAGGGAAGAGCCACUUUGUUUUUUUGUCGUUUUUUUGCGCUCUUUUUUUCUUCAGAAAAUCACUAUAAUGGCAAGUGUCUCAAAACUCUUCCAUUUUUUGACUAUUCGUUUCCGGGAGCGAUUCGGGGCUACGACGAUAAAAAAUUGCAACAAAAAAUUGAUAUGAUGGCGAGUGUCUCAAAACACUCUGGAAAGCCUAAAACACGAUAGGAAAAAAUAUUUUCAUCCGCUGAAAUUUUGGCCUAAAAACUGCUCUGAAAACUGUGCCAAGCUAAGGCAAGGAAAUGCAAAACCGAAAACAAAGGAAUCUCAAAAAUAAACCUAAUAUGUGAAGGACUCAGAUUGAUGGCGGAUAUGUGGACUCAUAUUGGUGAUGAUGAUGGUGUGGUGGUGGUAUAUGGCGGCAGCAAUGAUUGUGGUGUGGUGGUGGUAUAUGGCGGCAACAAUGAUUGUGGUGUGGUGGUGGUAUAAGAUAGCAGCGAUGAUGGUGAGACGGCUUGACAACUUGUGAAUAGAAAUCGAAACUCUAAAAGACUAGACGCUAAGACCAACAACUUGACACGACGAUGCAACCGCAAAUUCAACAAAACAAAUACCGAACAAAAAAUUGCAAAGGCUCAGAUUUGUUCGGAUAUGAUGAUCUAACCCUAAUUAUUAUUUUUGUCUUUUUCGUAGAUGGUAGGUAUGAAGAACAAAUGCAAUAUAAACUACAAAAAACUGGUACAUCUCACCGAGCAACCUGGAAAUAUGAUACCACUUAAUAGAGGCGAAGUUGUCCCGCUCUUUCGAUGAGAUGUGUCUAACAUUUUUGGUAGAGUCGACUUUCACAAUCCGACUAUGAACGUGCGAGGACGUCGCACCUUAGUAAUCACUAAACUAACCGUGAGAGGUUAUUCACCAUGCUGGACCAUGAUCAACCUGACCACAAGGGUCUGUUUCCUGCACGUAAACGAAGAACAAGCAAGAAACUAAAAUUGCAAUAUGGAUAUUGCAAAUAUAAGACGAAACCUUUAUUGAUGAAAGUGGAGUUGUGUGAUGUCUUGGUCUCGUCAUACAACACAAACGAAGAACGCGAAGUUGCAGCUAUGGCGAACUUUUAAUCUAAAAAACCCAAGUCUAAAUAGUGUCAUAAGGGCUGUAUAUAUGGGGGAAUAGAGGGGAAUAUCGUGAUCCCUUGGAGGAGGGGUCAGAAAAGAACCCUAACUUCGUUUCCCCACACAUACGAACUCUAAAACAACCCAUAAUGUGGAAUUUCAAAAUUACAUGGGCCUGGCCCAAAAUAAGGAGAUGCAACACCUAUAAUGGCCCAUGGACAAAAUUUAUGAAGUAACAUCUUGUAUAUUUCGUCCAAGCCUUCAUGCUCUCAUUAUGGUGGCUUCAACGUGCGAAAAUCACCACGGAUAGCUCCAUUGUUCUUUCCUACGCGCGCAUGUUCUCCUCUAUGCUUGUUCCCGUUCCAAUGGUCAUCCUUCUUGUCCAUGCUAGGUCUUCCAUUCAUAAGUAAAACAAAAGUACAUAACUUAGGCAACAUCAUAUGUUCAUGAACAUUAGAAGGAUAUCUAAAAAACGAAAGUACGUGAUAAUUCAAUUGGCAUGUGCGUGCUUUAGUAACUGGUCCAGUAUGUAUAGCACUAUAGCGGCAAGUAUUGUGAGUGUAACAAUGAUAUUGAUGUCCUCAUCAGAAUCAUUCUAAAGACAGAUGCAGGUAUACCGAAGCAAGCAAUCACAAGCGACCAGUAUGACUAAUCGAGUCUAGGCGUAGUGUUUAAAGAAAUUGGAGCAACGAUGCAAUCAUUUUUCAAUCUUGUAAAGCAGAAACUUGUCUUAGGGCUUGUAAUAUAUGUGUGCACAUUUAGCUGCUCAUGGUGCAAUGCAAGUAUGGAGCGGAGAAUCUAGGAGUAUUAGAUAUGGCUGGAACCACUCCCUAGAUAUGUAAAAGACCUUGUCGCUAUCAAGUCCAACUUGCCUUGUUAAGGGUGUGUUUGCUUGCUGUCAUGGACUGAAAUGUCACGGGUCAGAUCUGUUACUAGGCCUCGUUCCAACGUUUGGUUUACCAACCGAAACAGAAUCCACUCAUUCCGCCUUAGGCUCCGUUUGGAAUGUUGUUUUUUGCAAUCCUUGUAAUAUUUUACACUUGUAUUAUACCAGCCUUCAACCAAAUACAUGCCAUAGAAUUUUAUUUUCAUUCCGCUUCUAGCCUCUGCUUGGAAUGUUGUUUUUUGCCACCCGUGUAACUUCGCUCCAGUUUCAAUCCGGUUGUUCAAAUAUGCAUGGCACUCAAAUGUAUAGCUUUUCAAUAGCUCAAAUAUGCAUGACUCUCAAAUGUAUAUCUUUUCAACAACACUGACUUUCUAAUACACACGUACACAAACUUUUCAACGGCAGAGACUACGCUUUCACACAAAUUGCACAAGUGUAAAAUGAGCUAAAUUUUUGAUUUGUAUAAUAGUACCAUAACAUAAAAAAAGAUAAUAUUUUUACAAUCAUCCAUUUGAACAUAGUUCCGAUAACUCAUAGUGCUCAAAGUCAGCAGUUUAAAUUACAAAUUUAUUGAGGCAUACUUGUCUCGUCUCGUCCGCAUGCUACAUAACCAAAGUUAGGAUUAGGCAACUGUUCAAUCAUUAUGCGUUUAGAUAUGAAAUAUUUCAAAAAGAUUAUUGAUUGCUUCAUGGACUCGGAUAGUCAUAGAAUCGUGCGAAGGGACAACAUGAAAAGGAAAAAUAAGAAAAAAAUAGUUAUGUAAGAACACUUUGUGCUCUUUGGAUGAUACCAACCAUGCGUAUCAAAACAACCAUAUAUGUCAAAAAGAUUAGCACAAAAUCCUAAAUUACCAAGAGGAGCCACAUGGUAUAAGGUACCCAUAUCAUGUCACUAAAUUAACUAUAUUAUUUUUCAAGAAACAUCAAUAUGAAGAAACAACAUGACAAUAUAAACAACACCUCAAAUAAGAAAAGAUGUUGUAGACACUAGCAGAUCUAUAUGAUUUUGAAUGCAAAAAUGAUAGCUUCAAGAAUUGCAUGUUUUCGACAUAGGUCUAUUGUGGAUAAUAACACACAUGUCCAGAAUAUUAGGUUACUCCCUCCCACUGGCAUAGCCUCCAUUUCUUGCAUUUCAACAGCUCAAAUAGGCUCAAAUAUGUAUGUUACUCCAUAUGCCAAAGGGACUCCAGGAGCAAGCAAGGUAUGCCUCACCUAAUGAAAAUAAAAGGAACAAUGACAAUACCUAUGAUCAGAGCACCAGAUUGAUUGAAGGAAUACAGCGAGAUGAAAACCGAGCUCCAAAGGAAUACUCGCUCAAAUAAUCCUUGCAAACUUAUCUUACAAAUAGAAGUUAGAUAACCAAUAACAUACGAACAGAAAUGUAAAAAUGGACAGAAGUUAGAUAACUAGAUAGCUAUAUAUAACCAGUAACAUACAAACAGAAGUUGAACAUCUUAUGUGUGCCUAAAGCAGCAAUUAGUUCCUUGCCAAAUGUUUGAACAGAAGUUGUAAAUAUGAUAGCUAUAUAUAACUAUAUAUAUACAAAUGUUUGAACAAAUGUUUGACUUCUCAACAAUUAGUUAUACAUAUCCACAUCCUCGAAUACGGCUGAGAUGAAAUCAAGUUCUCCCAAUAUGUGAAGGAUAUGUAAUCGGUUGGCCCAGAUUCGUUAACUUUCUAUGAAACCCCUACUCCCAGAUGUUGUACAGAUUAUUUUGCAUUUCCCUGUCAGGCAUCAAUGGGCACAACACUUUAAAAAAGUUUGAGAGCUCUUCAAGGUCUCUCUGUGAAACUAUCAUGGACUUCUCCGAAAAACGGGAGGACCUGCUCGAUCAGCCUCGUAGGCGAUUUCGAGGACAUGAGCACGAAGAAGGGCAAGCAUACCAUUGAUGCAAGUGGGUAGCUGUUAGAGCAUAUAUCUCCAUAUGUGGUUUUGGUAAUUGAUGACAAUUCCUAUGGACUAAUGGUUGCCUUAAGUUAUAUUUAUAGGUUUUGUCCAUAGGCACUUCUUGAAGUCCAUCUGUUGGGUUCAAGGAGUUUAUAUGAUGACCAAGAUGUUAUUUAAGGUAUUAUCCAAAGAAUGGUCAUUGAGACACUAGGUUCAUCAAGAUUUCAGACAAAGAGUAAAUCAAGAUGAUCAACACACAAAGCGUAUAAGAUGUACCGAGAGGGAUCAAGUGAUCCCAUGGUAUGGUAAGCAUUGUCCAUUACGUGUUUGUGUACUAACCCAUGGUCUUUGUGAGACUCCUAUGUGGGGGUUAGGUGUGCUUCCAUUGGGCUUGCGUCAAAAGGAAGAUCUCAUACAACCCACGAAGGAUGACGUCAAGUGGUGAUCGUCAUCAAGAUUGUGGUGUGCAAGUUCAAGUGGAUCAGCACGAAUAUAUCAUUGAAACUAUUGUCAAUGAUCUUGUGUUGAUAAGGAAAACCUCAUGUGCUAACAAGGACAAGAUCAAGAUAAGCAUUCCUGAGCACUACAUGCUUGAUUCUUGUGGAUGUUCACAUGGUGGACAAAUGAAGAUGAAUACAUAAGCUAGGCUUUCCACAUUGAGUAUGGGAGAGCUACUUGAAGACUUCAUCAUGUCUUGCUUUCAACUUGAGCCAAGAAGGAACAACAACAUCAAGCUCAAGUGAAAGGGCUAACUCAAAGGUAUCAGUUCCUUUGACGUUAGUUGUGCGGAGUGAUGAUCAGCGAAUAAAAGUAUACACUCAAGUAUGGAUCAUUAGUACCCCUUUUACGAUUCUUGAGUCUUUAGGGAUCCCGCACUAUUAAUAGGGGAUCACAGGUUUUGCGAUGAACUUGCUCAAACUACAUCUCCACUGUUCUGCUCAGACCACAUCUCCACUGCUGUGCUGUUAUCUGAAAAUAGAACCAGUGCCUCGGACAUCCGGCUUCCUCCGGACGUCCGAGGGCCGGACGACCGACUGCUUCAGAAAUCUGGAAUCCUAUACCAGAGAAAUCAGAGCCAUAUAACUCGGACUUCCGGCUCCCUUCGAACGUCCGAUGCCCGGAUAUCCGACCAGAUUCGGAAUUCCGGAACUAUGCAACAGUGGAACUUGAACCAUAUAACUCGGACUUCCGGCUCCCUCCGGACGUCCGAGGGCCGGUCAAGGGUCGGACGACUAACCAGCUUCGGAAAUCCGGAGCCGUGCACCAGAAGAACAUGAGCUCUAUAACUCGGAUUUCCGGCUCCCUCCGGACGUCCGAGGGCCGGACGUCCGUCCCCUUUCGGAAAUCCGGAACCUCCCACCAGAAGUAGUUGAGUCGAAUAACUCGGAUUUCCGGCCUUCUCCGGACGUCCGGUCGCUGUUCAAUUCAAAGUAUUUUCAGUGAUAUCUACAGGCCUCGGACGACCGACCCCUGUCGAACGUCCGAGCCCUCGCGGACGCCCGGACUUCCGGAAACUGUCAGACGUCCGGACCCUGUGUGACUUAAAGUGUCCCCAACGGCUGUUUUUCUCUCCCCACUAUAAAUACCCCCCUCCCACUUCGUGAGAGGGUUGCCUAACACAACCUUAUCCUCAUAAGAACACUUCUACAUCGCACACAUUUGCUCACACCAAAUCUUAGAUCCCAAGAGCAUUUGUGAGCCCCUUUGAGAGUUGUUCCAAUCAAAAGAUAGAUCGUCUCCCUCUCCUCCUCUCAACCCAAGCUAUUUGAGAUUUGAGCAAGUUUUGAGCAUUCCCCGUGAUCUUGUUACUCUUGGAGGUUGGAGACUCCUAGGCGGUAGGAGUCCUUCGGAGAGGAAUCAAUUCGUGUGAUUACCCCCCGGAAAAGUUUGUGAGGGUUUGGAAGCCACCUCAAAGGCUUACCACUAGUGGUUGAGAAACGCCUUCGUGGUGUUAUCUCAAAGGGAGUAUAGGGUGAGCCUUCGUGGCAUUGGUGUGCCUUUGUGGUAACAUCCACCUCUCUAACGGUGACUAGCUUCCCUCCAAGGAAGUGAACAUCGGGAUACAUCUUCGUCUCAGUGACCUUGGUUAUCCUUAACCCUAACUCCUUACUUGUGGUUUACUUGUGUUACUAUAGAUUGCAUAUUGUUUGUGCUCAUUAUAUUGUGUUGGCUAUUUCUUGUACAAGAUUAAUCAUUCAAGCAUACCCUCUAUAUACACACGUUCACACUUGCAGCUUUUGAUAUAUCGUGUUAUAAUGUGAUCUAGUAUCUUGUGUCGUUCACCUACUUGUCGUGUGAUAUAGCUCAAGUAAGUUUGUGUAACUUACUUGUGCUUGUUAGUAACUGUAUUGUGUCCAUCUUGGUAGAUCGUGUGGUUGAUACACGUUGCAGUGCCUAGUGCAUUUAGGAUUUGUGCUUGACAAGUACCCUCUUAGUUUAUUUCUGCAUUAGGUUCUAGCCAAAUUCGAAUAAGUUUUUAAAUAGCCUAUUCACCCCCCCUCUAGGCGUCAUCGAGGUCUUUUCAAUUGGUAUCAGAGCUAGGUCUCUCUUUAUUAGGUUUCACGACCUAGAGAGUAUCGAUGUCGACUAUUGGAUUAGUGCACAAUGGCAUCUUUGAUUUUGAUGGCACAAAUUAUACCCUAUGGAGAAUUCGUAUGCUUCAUCACUUUCGGGCCAUGGGCCCAAAUACUUUAUGAAUUGUUCUUGUAGGGAUUGCCGACAAAAAGGAUGAUGCAUCUUCAUCUACUAAUGAAAUGUAUCUUGAUUGUGAGGCUUUUCUUGCCAUUCAUCGAACCAUAAGUCCUGAAGUGUUUAAGUCUAUCUCGACUUGCAAGUCAGCUCAUGAAGUUUGGACUAAACUUGAAGAUAUAUAUGUUGGGUCCAAUCUAGAUGAAGACGGUAUUAUGAUGAAGGAGUUGGUGCAUGAGCUCUUCACUCUUUUUGAUCUUAAAGAGUCCACCACUACUUCCAUAUCCGAUUUCUUGCUCACCUCAACAUCUUCAAUCUCACAAGGUAAUGGCAUGGUGAGUGAAGAAAUAUAUGUUGAUGAAAAUGUCAUAGCCUCUAUGGACACGAGCAUAUCUAGCACCACACAUAUUGUAAAUUAUUGUGCUGAUAGGUCAUGCAAUUCACCUAAAUAUCCCUCGACAAAUGUCUGUGGUGAUAUGCCUGCUUCCUCGUGUCCUCUUGAUCAAAAUACCGUGUUUCUCCCUAGUUGCUCUAUGACUAAUCAUUUAGGGGAAAUCAAGAAAUAUGAAGUACUUUUGACCAAUGAAGAAUCUGAUUCACCAAAAGAAUCGUCAUCAACUCCUCCAGUUCACAUGUGCCUCAUGGCAAGAGGUAAUAAUGAGGUAUCAUCUUCCCUGUGCAAUAACGAUGAUAUUUGCGAUCAGGAUGAUGAUGAUGACUUGACUGAAAAUAUCUAUGUGAUCAGUAAAAUUCUUCAUAAAGCUAAAAAUAACGCUCUUCAAAGGUUCCAAGAUGUUCUCGCUUACUUUGAAAAGUGUAAUGAUUCACUUAAUCAUGAACAAGAUAAAAGUGAACAACUUGAACAUGACCUUGAGAAGAGUCAUCAAGCAUGUAGAGACUUAAGAUCUUCAAAAGGAGAGAUUGAAGUUGCUCAUGAUAAACUUAAAAGGGAUUUUGAUGUCCUUCUCCUUGAAUGCAAGAAUGUCAAGGGAGAGCUCGUCAAAACCUCUAAGAUAUUUGAGGAGCUUCAAUCUACUCAUGAGAAGUCUCUAAUCGCUACUUACUCCUCUCAUAUUGUUGAUGGUACUUGUACAUCUAACCCUAUCUCUUUUGAAGUAUCAACAUUGAAGGAGAAUGUUGAGCUACGUGCUCAACUUGAUUUACUAACUAGCAAUUAUGGGAAGUUGGAAGCAAACCAUGUAAUGCUCACAAGCUCUCAUGCCGAUCUUCUAACAUCUCAUAAUGUGCAAAAGUUAGCUCAUGAGGCUAUCAUCACCAAGGUAACAUCAAGUGAGCCUCAUGUGGACAAUGGCACUACUUCUAGUCAAAGUACUAUAUUUCCAUGUGCUAGUCCUCGUAAUUCUUCUACUCAUAAUGUUGCUACCUCGUGUGAUGAAUUACUUUCCUUGCCUUGUUGCUCUAACAUUGAAGCUUACACUUCCUCUAGUACUUGCAUUGAUACUAACCGUGCAGAGGAAAUCAAAGAGCUCAAGGCCCAAGUCACUUCUUUGAAGAAAGACUUGGAACAGUGUCAUGAAGGGAUGUCCACACUCAACAACGUCCUGUGUGAGCAAAUAUCUCCGAAUGACAAAAAUGAUGUUGGAGUAAACUCAAACGAGAACAAGAGGGGCCUAGAACAAGUCAAGAAUUCAGCCAAAAUCAUUUGCUUCAAGUGCAAAGUUAAAGGGCACCAUGUUAGAUCUUGCCCUCUGAAGACGAAGUCUCAAAGUCACAAGCAACAAGGGAAGCGGCCACAAACUCAAUCACAUAUUCAACUACAAGUUGAAGGAAGGCCUCUUCCCAAUAAGACCCAAUCCAACACUCCCCAAGGUGAGAAAUCAACUGGGAAGAAAACAAAGGGUAGAUGUUGCUACUUAUGUCGUGAGAAGGGUCACGUCGCUUCGUCUUGCACGAGAGGUAACUUAUCCAACCCAAUCACUAUUGAUGAUACCUAUUCCCUUGGGAAGGAUAAGGUUGGCAAUGUGUUUGCCAAGUUUGUUGGUACUCAAAAUGGUGUCAAGAAAAGAACCAUUUGGGUUGCCAAGCCUAUUGUGAUUUACCUCUUAGGACCCAACGUAGUUGGGGACCAACAAGCUCAAACUUGAUCAAUAGGUGACUAUGGAGGACAUUAGAGACUUGGAUACAUAAUGAAGAACUAAGGGGUCUUCAUCAUUCAUAUUAUCUCAAGCCAAGUCAUUUGGAUUAUCGAGUUUCUAUCUUAUAUCCAAUGUGCCUCAAUACGGUAACUUAUACUUAAACUAUUUACAUUGUUAGGUGCUUGCCCAUUUGCAUGUUGUGGUUUUGUACCUUGCAUGUGCCCCCCCCCCCCCAACUUGCUUAUCUUGUGUAAUCGAGUAUGUGUCUGUUGGUUUGCACAUCAUGUACAUGUGAGUCUUGUAUUGAGCAUAUUUGCAUCUUGUUUGUAUUUUUGUUGGCUCUUGUGAGAGAUUAAUGGACUAUCCCAUUGCGGGGGAGUGAUGUGCUUUGCACACCUCACAAUCCUAUAAAUGUGUAUACAUGGGGAAUACCACUUAGUUUUGAGGUUUCAAGAUUAUCUAGUUUCUAUGUGGUAUGUCUUACUCAUGAGAAAUUCGAAUUCUAUAUGGUCCAUUAAGUAUCUCUUGUUGGUUUUAAUUUGCCACUUGUUAAUGUUGUUGGUUUAUCACAUUAUGGGGGAGUAAUAUGCUAUGUGCAUAUUACAAACCUAGAAAAUGUGUACAUUUGACGUGUUGCCCCUUAGUGUUGAUAUUGUAAAUUAUCCUGUUCCUAGGUGGCAUGUUAGCUCUACAAGUGUCAAUUGCUUGCGUUUUAUGGGUAAAGAUGAUCUUGGAUAUAUUUGUGAUCUACCAAUAAGUAUCACUUCUAAAAUACUUCUUGUCCUUGACAAUUGGUAUUCCCAUCAUGUGAUAGGAACUGCUGAUCAUCUUUACAUUGGAUUUUGUGUUUCGUUUGUCUUCCUUGCCUCUUAUGAAUCUAUUUUAACAUGUCUAGUGUUUUUAUAGAUAUAGAAAAAGUGAUGAUCCCAUCGUGUGCGUUUUGUAUUCAAAUGCAAAUUCUAUAUAAUGCACGUCCCUUGGGGGAGCUAUCCUAUUUUCUUUAGAACACUCUCUUUAUUCACCCAUCAUAAAAUCUUUUGAUCCCCAUCAAGUAUGUGUUGAUGGGAGGCAAGUCUUGCUCUUUAGGAUGCUUUGUGCCAUCAUGAAAAUUUGUCGAGGGCUUGGUUUGUUGGAACCUAGCUCUCUUUUGGAAUUGAUACCUCAUGUUUGUUUUCCUUCAAUUGGUUUCUUGUUGCCUUCUAUUUGGCAUGUGUCAAUGGAUAUCUCAUUCCUUGAGGUAUCUUUUAAUUGAUAUCCUUCAAGUGAUAGUUCUUUUGUUUUAGGAUCUUAUUAUCACUUGAUACCUUGUCCUUUGAUGACUUAUCAACUUUGUGUUGAGUUGAUUCUUGAGAGUCUUGAGCAUGCGUAUCUAGCUACUAUAUACAACUUCUUUUGCUUGCUUUCCUUCUUUGACCCAAUAUAUAGGGGAAACUCCACCUUGUCAUAAAUUGGCUAAAGUGUGCAUAAAAUUCAAAUUCAUAUCUAUAUGCACAUGUGUAUGUGGAGUUUGUCCUAUGUAUUGCUGGUUUUCUAACUCUUUGGUCCCAAUGAGUUUGGGCACCAUUUUGUUUGUUUUGUUGUUCCAGGAACAAAUGGAGAUGCAUUGGAUGCUCGGCUCACCUAUAAGGAAGAUGUUGAGACCAUGUGAUUAUUGGAGCCAAGUUAGGAUUAUCAAAGAGCAACUAUCUACUACAUCAAUCCAAUGUUGUCUCAGUAACAAGUAUCCACUUCAUGCAUUCUUUUCUUGCAAAGGACCCAACCUGUCUUUUCUUUUCCAGGUUGCAUCAUGGCAUGAAUCUCUUGAUUUGUUCUUGUAGUACUUGUUUGACUUCUCAAAGCAUCCGAACGAUGAUGUCUUACUACUAGUUGGGAUGUCUUUGAUGUUCGUAUGUUGGAAGUUCAUAUUGUACAAUAAGAAAAUAUUAGGCCAUGUGCUAUGCUUCCAAGCAAAAGAUCUCAUUGAUAUAUUUAUGACUUCCUUUUGGAUAUCUAGUGUGUUCCUUCUUGUAACCAUUUCGUGUGUACAUCCUUCUUUGUGGAUAUAUAUCAUCAUGAUUGUCUUCUACUUAGAAUCUUCUUACACAUGAGAGAAGUUACAUCUCUAAUUGAUAUCCUCUUUUCUUUCACGUCCAUCGCUACUUUUCCUUUUUCAGUUUUUGGUGGCUUCGUGAAAGGAUUUGUUUUGAGUGCGCAUCUUAUUUUCCUACAUCUUGAUGCGCUCUUUGGCCGUGAAGAUUAUUUUUUCCUCAUGCUUGUCUUGAUGAGGGUUUUGCCAUUUUCAAUUAGUAUCCCUCCUCUUGGCAAGGAUCUUACUUCCUAUCUUCACAAUGGGUUGUCACAAGCGUUGGUUCUUACUUUGUUUAUUAGCAAGCUUGUGAACCUAUUUUCUAGUAUGUGUGUGUGGGAAUGAUAUGUCUUUCACUUUGUAUCUCAUUUCAUCAAGACUAUGUUGAUGAGUAAUGCUCAUCCUUAUAUUAGUCUUCUCAAGUGCUUUGCCAUGACUCACACACAUUACUUUGGUUGAGCCUAUUCUUAAGUUGCUUAUAUUACAUGUUGCUCAACCAUUUGUUUUGUGCAAUUGAUAUGCCCAGUGUCUCAUCUAUCUUCUCGCACUCGUUGUGUGUUUUAUAAAUUCUGGGGGAGCAACGAUCCUAUUUUGUGCACCUGUGUCAAAUACAAAAGUCUCAUAUUAGUGCACAAAUCAUGGGGAGCUUCUCUAGUUUUUGAUAAAGCACUAUGUUGCCUUUAUCAUAAUAUCUUUUAUUCAUGUGGUUCGAAGGACCAUAUGAUUGUUUGUUCCAUCUGGAAUCUUUUGAUUGCUUGCCUCUAUCUUUGUAUGUCUUUAUGGCAUACGAUCCUUUUAUUUGCAAUCUUUGGGUCCUCAAUAUAGUUUGUUUUCCUCCAACUACUUAUCAUUGUAUUUGUGUAUUUUUCUGCACUCAUUUGCUGAGAAGUACACACUUUUUGGAGGACCACCUACUAUAUUGGCUUUCUGAACUUUUCGUCCAUUUUGGCAAUCGAUGCCAAUGGGGGAGAAGUUUAGAGAGUUUACUUUGGAUAUGUUUAGAGGGUUUUGCUUUUAUUGCGUAAGCAUUUACAUCUUGCACACAUGCAUUAUUACCUUGUAUGUGUGCACUUAGUUAUGCUUAUUUCCUUAUAUAAACUCUCUUGAAGUGGUUGUCUUCAAUUACCAAAAUGGGGGAUAUUGUUAGAGCAUAUAUCUCCAUAUGUGGUUUUGGUAAUUGAUGACAAUUCUUAUGGACUAAUGGUUGCCUUAAGUUAUAUUUAUAGGUUUUGUCCAUAGGCACUUCUUGAAGUCCAUCUGUUGGGUUCAAGGAGUUUAUAUGAUGACCAAGAUGUUAUUAAAGGUAUUAUCCAAAGAAUGGUCAUCGAGACACUAGGUUGAUCAAGAUCUCAGACAAAGAGUAAAUCAAGAUGAUCAACACACAAAGCGUAUAAGAUGUACCGAGAGGGAUCAAGUGAUCCCAUGGUAUGGUAAGCAUUGUCCAUUACGUGUUUGUGUACUAACCCAUGGUCUUUGUGAGACUCCUAUGUGGGGGUUAGGUGUGCUUCCAUUGGGCUUGCGUCAAAAGGAAGAUCUCAUACAACCCAUGAAGGAUGACGUCAAGUGGUGAUCGUCAUCAAGAUUGUGGUGUGCAAGUUCAAGUGGAUCAGCACGAAUAUAUCAUUGAAACUAUUGUCAAUGAUCUUGUGUUGAUAAGGACAACCUCAUGUGCUAACAAGGACAAGAUCAAGAUAAGCAUUCCUGAGCACUACAUGCUUGAUUCUUGUGGAUGUUCACAUGGUGGACAAAUGAAGAUGAAUACAUAAGCUAGGCUUUCCACAUUGAGUAUGGGAGAGCUACUUGAAGACUUCAUCAUGUCUUGCUUUCAACUUGAGCCAAGAAGGAACAACAACAUCAAGCUCAAGUGAAAGGGCUAACUCAAAGGUAUCAGUUCCUUUGACGUUAGUUGUGCGGAGUGAUGAUCAGCGAAUAAAAGUAUACACUCAAGUAUGGAUCAUUAGUACCCCUUUUACGAUUCUUGAGUCUUUAGGGAUCCCGCACUAUUAAUAGGGGAUCACAGGUUUUGCGAUGAACUUGCUCAAACUACAUCUCCACUGUUCUGCUCAGACCACAUCUCCACUGCUGUGCUGUUAUCUGAAAAUAGAACCAGUGCCUCGGACAUCCGGCUUCCUCCGGACGUCCGAGGGCCGGACGACCGACUGCUUCAGAAAUCCGGAAUCCUAUACCAGAGAAAUCAGAGCCAUAUAACUCGGACUUCCGGCUCCCUCCGGACGUCCGAGGCCCGGAUAUCCGAUCAGCUUCGGAACUCCGGAACUAUGCACCAAAGGAACUUGAGCCAUAUAACUCGGACUUCCGGCUCCCUCCGGAAGUCCGAGGGCCGGUCAAGGGUCGGACGACCGACCAGCUUCGGAAGUCCGGAGCCCUGCACCAGAAGAACAUGAGCUCUAUAACUCGGAUUUCCGGCUCCCUCUGGACGUCCGAGGGCCGGACGUCCGUCCCCUUUCGGAAAUCCGGAACCUCCCACCAGAAGUAGUUGAGUUGAAUAACUCGGAUUUCCGGCCUUCUCCGGACGUCCGGUCGCUGUUCAAUUCACAGUAUUUUCAGUGAUAUCUACAGGCCUCGGACGACCGACCCCUGUCGGACGUCCGAGCCCUCGCGGACGCCCGGACUUCCGGAAACUGUCGGACGUCCGGACCCUGUGUGACUUAAAGUGUCCCCAACGGCUGUUUUUCUCUCCCCACUAUAAAUACCCCCCUCCCACUUCGUGAGAGGGUUGCCUAACACAACCUUAUCCUCAUAAGAACACACUUCUACCUCACACACAUUUGCUCACACCAAAUCUUAGAUCCCAAGAGCAUUUGUGAGCCCCUUUGAGAGUUGUUCCAAUCAAAAGAUAGAUCGUCUCCCUCUCCUCCUCUCAACCCAAGCUAUUUGAGAUUUGAGCAAGUUUUGAGCAUUCCCCAUGAUCUUGUUACUCUUGGAGGUUGGAGACUCCUAGGCGGUAGGAGUCCUUCGGAGAGGAAUCAAUUCGUGUGAUUACCCCCCGGAAAAGUUUGUGAGGGUUUGGAAACCACCUCAAAGGCUUACCACUAGUGGUUGAGAAACGCCUUCGUGGUGUUAUCUCAAAGGGAGAAUAGGGUGAGCAUUCGUGGCGUUGGUGUGCCUUCGUGGUAACAUCCACCUCUCUAACGGUGACUAGCUUCCCUCCAAGGAAGUGAACAUCGGGAUACAUCUUCGUCUCAGUGACCUUGGUUAUCCUUAACCCUAACUCCUUACUUGUGGUUUACUUGUGUUACUAUAGAUUGCAUAUUGUUUGUGCUCAUUAUAUUGUGUUGGCUAUUUCUUGUACAAGAUUAAUCAUUCAAGCAUACCCUCUAUAUACACACGUUCACACUUGCAGCUUUUGAUAUAUCGUGUUAUAAUGUGAUCUAGUAUCUUGUGUCGUUCACCUACUUGUCGUGUGAUAUAGCUCAAGUAAGUUUGUGUAACUUACUUGUGCUUGUUAGUAACUGUAUUGUGUCCAUCUUGGUAGAUCGUGUUGUUGAUACACGUUGCAGUGCCUAGUGCAUUUAGGAUUUGUGCUUGAGAAGCACCCUCUGAGUUUAUUUCCGCAUUAGGUUCAAGCCAAAUCCGAAUAAGUUUUUAAUUAGCCUAUUCACCCCCCUCUAGGCGUCAUCGAGCUCUUUUCAGUAGCGACGUGAUUUGUAAAGGGAAUCCUCAUUUCCUACGGCUAGAGAAAGCAAGCGACAGAAUUCGAGCAGGAUGGACUGUAUGGCCGAACCUGAAUGGUAACAAUUGGACGAACUGAACCAAGGUGCAAGCAUCCAUUUAAUCUAUCCAACUAUUGUAGGUUCUAUAAUUGUAUUUAUAAUGACAACAAUCAGUGACUUUUCUUCUCUUGAAUCUACAUUGCUGAUUGUAGAUAACUGUUAUUCUUGUACAUUAUUUGUCACUCAAGUAAGGACGAGUAUUUGUGUUGAUUAUCUGCAUAUAUGUUCUCUGUAACCGACUGACUUUUGAUUGUACCAACAGGCCAAUUUCCCCCAAAAUGGUGGUGCACUGUUGGAAACUCCAAAUGAAAUCAUUCAAGGGCCUGAAAGCAUGGAUUCGGCUUUUCAGAGUGCAGCACACUUAACAAUGCUAACUGCCUUGUCGGAAAACAUGAAUUUCAUGGAAGUACUAAAGGCCGAUGACUGCCAAACUCCUUCAGGGUCACAUCAAAGCUCCUAUCUACUAGAUGCCACAAGGUAUGCAGAUCUCAUGCAAUCUGCUGACAUACCAACGCCUUUAGUCUGUUCACUACUUCUCAAGAGUCUGGGAUUUUCCCUUCACUUUAAUAUAAGUGGAUUGAUUAAAUAGUGUGGACCUUUUUUACUUCUAUUUAACAGCUCUUCUCGUAAUGGUUGCGAUGCAUCAAACCAGCAUGAUACUGAACCUGUGAGCAAGAGGAAGGGACGGGGAGGAGGACCAGAGAAGGAGGGUAGAAGAGGAAGCAAGAUACCUUCGAUGGAGCAGAGGAGGCUGUGAAGGAGGAGAAGGGAGUCGUUGUCGCGGUCACGAGUUCCGAUCAACGCCAUCGUCGCGCCUCGCCGCAUUGUCGUUGUCGUCGCGCCUCGCCGCCUUGUCCUCUGUUGUCGGUGCCUCGUCGUGUCGCCGUUGCUUCACCUACUCGCGGACACCGGUGCUGGCGCCCCCCAGCGGCGGAGCCCUCGAUCUGUAUCGGGUAGGCCUUGUUCGGUUCCUCCAAAAUUAAAGGGAUUUGAAGGGGAUUGGGAGGGAUUAAAUCCCCUACAAGUCAAAUUCCACCUAAAUCCCCUCCAAUCCUCUUCAAUCCCCUCCUCGGUGGGAUUAACCGAACAAGCCCGUAGGGUUUCGAGCGAGAGGCAAGGUGGGGAAAAACGACGGGCGUUGGUCUGUAUCAGAUACCUAUUUAAUACACGUGUAAACGAUGAAACCAGUGUAAAAGUUACAGCCAAAAAAUGACACAACAAACACGUAUGCGAGGCCCAUCCGUUUUUUCUACAAGGAUAUACUCCCUCCGUUUCAAAAUAUAAGACCUUUUAGAGAUUACACUAGGAGACUACAUACAGAGCAAAAUGAGUGAAUCUACAUUCUAAAAUAUGUCUAUGUACAUCCGUAUGUUGUUCAUAGUGCAAUAUCUAAAAGGUCUUAUAUUUAGGAACGGAGGGAGUAGUAUACACGUGUAUUGAGGCCCAAAACAAAGAACCAAGGGGAGCCUUAGUGAAUAUUAGUGUAAAAGUCAGGCUCUCCUAGUUGAUCUUGUCGUCUUGUGAUCAUGGCAUUGUUAGCAGCAAUAGGAACAUAGAAGAAUAUGAACCUACAGACUACUAACAAGUGUUGUUGGUGGUGGUGGUGUGUCAUAAAUCCGUCAUGCAAAUCUGAAAUUCUUACCAGUUCUUACCCAUCAGCACGUGGUGAUUGGUGACCGUUGUAGUCAAAACUCUCAAAGCUUGGAUAGAGCGAUUGCCAGGUGGUGUCAAACACACGAUGUAGAUGUAUGUGGAGCUAGGAAGUUUUAUAAUAUGGUAGGAAAGAUAAUCAACAAUAAUCAGUUCAAAGAUGCAAAGUUGAAAGGACGCUCAACGAAGGUACCGUGCUGGUCCUAGGCUAGACCGUACUAGAGAUGCAAGCCUAGAACACCAAUAAAAUCACGAUGCUACACACAAUCAAGGGAAGAGCCACUCUGUUUUUUGUCGUCUUUCUUGCGCUCUUUUUUCUCUCCAGAAAAUCACUAUAAUGACGAGUGUCUUAAAACUCUUCCAAUUUUUUUGACUAUUCGUUUCCGGGAGCGAUUCGGGGCUGCGACGACCAAAAAUUGCAACAAAAAAUCGCUAUGAUGGCGAGUGUCUCAAAACACUCUAGAAAGCCUAAAACGGGAUAGGGAAAAAAAUAUUUUCAUCCGCUGAAAUUUUGGCCUAAAAACUGCUCUGAAAACUGUGCCACACUAAGGCAAGGAAACGCAAAACCGAAAACAAAGGGAUCUCGAAAAUAAAGCUAAUAUGUGAAGGACUCGGAUUGGUGGCGGAUAGACUCGGAUUGGUGAUGAUGAUGGUGUGGUGGUGGUAUAUGGCCACAACAAUGAUUGUGGUGUGGUGGUAUAUGGCCACAACAAUGAUUGUGGUGUGGUGGUGGUAUAAGAUAGCAGCGAUGAUGGUGCGGUGGCUUGACAGUUUGUGAAUAGAACUCGAAACUCUAAAAGACUAGACGCUAAGACCAACAACUUUACACGAUGAUUCAACCGCAAAUUCAACAAAACAAAUACCGACCAGAAUAUUGCAAAGGCUCGGAUUGGCUCGGAUAUGAUGAUCUAACCCUAAUUCUUAUUUUUGACUUUUUCGUGGAUGGUACGUAUGAAGAACAAAUGCAAUAUAAACUACGAAAAACCGGUAAAUCUCACCGAGCAACCUGGAAAUCUGAUACCACUUGAUAGAGGCGAAGUUGUCUCGGUCUUUCGAUGAGAUGUGUCUAUCAUUUUUGGUAGAGUCAACUUUGACGAUCCGACUACAAACGUGCGAGGAUGUCACACCUUAGUAAUCGCUAAACCAACUCUGAGAGGUUAUUGACCAUGCUGGAGCAUGAUCAACCUGACCAUGAGGGUGUGUUUCCUGCACGUAAACGAAGAACAAGCAAGAAACUGAAAUUGCAAUCUGGAUAUUGCGAAUAUAAGAUGAAAUCUUUAUUGAUGAAAGUGGGGUUCUGUGACAUCUUGGUCUGGUUGUACAAUGUGAAGUUGUAGCUAUGGCAAACUUUUAAUCUAAAAAAACCCAAGUCUAAAUGGUGUCCUAAGGGCUGUAUAUAUGGGGGAAUAGAUGGGAAUUUCGUGAUCCCUUGGAGGAGGGGGCAGAAAACAACCCUAACUCCGUUUUCCCACACAUACGGACUCUAAAAACAACCUAUAAUGUGGUAUUUCGAAAUUACAUGGGCGUGGCCCAAAAAUAAGGUGACGCAUCACCUAUAAUGGCCUAUGGACGAAAUUUAUGAAGUGACAUCUUGUAUAUUUCGUCCAAGCCUUCAUGCUCUCAUUAUGGUGGCUUCAACGUGCGAAAAUCACCACGGAUAGCUCCAUUGUUCUUUCCUACGCGCGCAUGUUCUCCUCCAUGCUUGUCCCUGUUCCAAUGGUCACCCUUCUUGUCCAUGUUAGGUCUUCCAUUCAUAAGUAAAACAAAAGUAUCUAACUUAGGCAACAUCAUAUGUUCAUGAACAUUAGAAGGACUUCUAAAAAACGAAAGUACGUGAUAAUUCAAUUGGCAUGUGCGUGCUUUAGUAACUGGUCCAGUAUGUAUAUCACUAUAGCAGCAGAUAUUGUGAGUGUAACAAUAAUAUUGAUGUGCUCAUCAGAAUCAUUGUGAAGUCAUAUGCAUGUGUACCGAAGCACGCAAUCACAAGCGACCAGUAAGACGAAUCGAGUCUAGGCGUAGUGUUUAAAGAAAUUGGAGCAAUGAUGCAAUCCUUUUUCAAUCUUGUAAAGCGGAAACUUGUCUUAGGGCUUGUAAUAUCUCUGCGCACUAUUUAGCUCCUCAUGGUGCAAUGCAAGUAUGGAGCGGAGAACCUAGGAGUAUUAGAUAUGGCUGGAACCACUCCCUAGAUAUGUAAAAGACCUUGUUGUUGUCGAGUCGAGCUUGCCUUGUUAAGGGUGUGUUUGGUUGUUGUCAUGGACUGAAAUGUCACGGAUCGGAUCCGUUAUUAGCCCUCAUUCCAGCAUUUGGCUUACCAACCGAAACAAAAUCCACUCAUUCCGCCUUAGGGAAUAUUCCAUCGAGAUCCGGAACGUGCCAAUACCACCAAAUCCACGGUGGAACCAGGCUCCUCCUCUCGUCAUGCUCAGGUGCGCCGGCCUCUUCCUCCCUCCAUUCCCUCGAUGUGCUGCGCCGCCGUCAACCCUCAAUGUGCUGCGCCGUCAUCCCUCUUCCUCCCUGCUGCACCGUCGGCCGUCUACCUCCCUCCCUUGUUCUCAUCCUCUCUCGAUCUGAUCUGAUGCAACUCAUUUCUUUCUUGAUCUGCAGGAUAGAAGGAGAACAAGGCAGGGUACUCUGGCGUGGCGGCAUUGCGAAGCAGAGCUUCCUCUCCUGAAGGUACUAACCUUCUUCCUCAGGAACAUGCUAUGGUGUAACGACCGUUUGGAAAGAAGAGGAUGGCCAAACGGAUACUUCUGUCAGCUAUGCCUCCGAAACCUGGAAUCAGCCGCACAUUUUUUUUGGCAAUGCCCGAUGACGAUUGCAGUAUGGACGCAAGCUGCAUCACGCAGUGGAUGUGCUUCGCUAAACCCAAGCACAUGGAGUGUCAGUGCCAAGUCAAACAACAUUGUAGUUAAGAUGAUAAGCAAGGCCAAACCGGAGCACAUGAAAGGCACUAGGACAAUGAUAAUCCUCAUCCCAUCAGAGAUUUGGAAGGAGCGAAAUGAAUGCACUUUUAAAAACAAGGUUGCGGGUCUAACUAACAUCAAGACUUCCAUUACAAGAACUCUAGAGUUUUGCACGCAGGCAGGAGCGUCUUUUUUGGAGCAUCCAUUUGGGGAAUCAACGGGAGAAAUUACGUUAUGGUGGUUCAUUUUUGGAUACUUUUUUAAUCUUCUUUUUAUAUCCUUGAUCUUAGGAUCUGAUCCACUUUUUGUAGCCCGCCUUGCUCCCGAAAAUUGCAAACGGUGCACGGGCACCACGGUGCCCGUUUUCAAAAAUCAUAUUUCUACAAUGCGAAAAAAACUGAAACUUUUUGUGUACACACACAAACAUGUAUGUUAUGUAUUUGCAAAAUUUCAAAUCAUUUUACUUUCACACGUGGCAUACAAAGAUAUGAAAAAUAUGUAUUCCUAAAUGGGCUUCUUCUUUUUUGUUAUUAGGCCGAAAUUUUGUUAUUUUUGUAUAGCUUACAAAUUACAUUUUUUCAAAACGAAAUUUCACUCAUUCGUAAUGAAUACAUAUAAGUUUCCACAGAAUUAUUUUUGAAUUUUUUUGAAACUUUUAAAUAUGUUUUUUGAUUUUUUUUAGAAAAAGGGCACCAAGAUGCCCGAGCACACAAACAUCGCGCUCGCCUUGCUCCCUGCUAUGUUCGGUAUAUGCAAGCCACCUGCUUGAUCUUUAAAAAAAACACAUAAAAGAACAGACUCACACAUAAAAGCGCGGCACCGCCCUAGUCUCCUCUCUAUUGCGGCCUCCGCCUGGAUCUGACUGGAUCCUCAGCCCACUGCCGCGAAUUCCUCUCGUUUCUUCUGCCAUGCGUCGGUAAGUAACCUAGCCUGAAAUCUGCAUCGAUUUCUCUUGUUCUAAGCCAGCCUAGCCCAGCUCUUGUUCGAUGUCCAAUCCAGACCCUUGUUCUAGGUUUUGGGGCGGAUUGAUGGCCGCAUGCAGCCAGGAUGCGGACCCGGCCAUCCUGGAUGCCUCGUGCCUGCAUGGCGGCGCCACUGGCGGCUGGAGUUGUAGUAUGAGUGGAGGGGACUCAGUUUCAGCGCCUUUGAGGAGCAAAUGCACAGAGCCGCGCCUUAGCCUACAAUAUCUGCCACUCAUUCUACAUGGGACACACAGGAUUGUCUGAAACCAAAACUCACACAGACUUGGUAGUCCUCAGGAGAGACAGAGGAAUAGCAGCAGCGAUGGCACUAGGCACUCUCCAGCCUCAAGUUUUUCACACAAAAUAUUUGAUGCUAAAGAUCAGGUUGCUAGUUUGCUGGUCAUUCGGCUCUCACUUAGCUCACUGGUGUUCGAAAAAUCUAACAAUAUGCACUGAAAAACCUGACAUGACUGAAUUCGCUGCCCUUUUUUCUGAUGGCCUUCAUUGGCACAAACAAAUUUGCAAGAGGUUACCUUACCAUCAAAUUUGCUCACAUUGUUGUACCUUUUCCUCACAUCAAAGCCAGCACGACCACCAUAUGCUCUACAAAAUAGCCAAGCCUCUGAACCUUUAAAUAACAUGCCAACUUGAGGCAUCUCCUUUACAGAUUGNCAUGGUCACUUUGAGCUUGCCAGUGUGUGGGUUGGUCGUUUGGUGGUAGCAGGGGCAUAUCUGACGGGUGUCUGUUCUGACUGGUGCCUCGAGGGACGCAGAUGCAACGCUUGCAGGAACUAAAAUCGGAAUUACCUCUGGCUUGCAGUGGCUGCAGAUUCAUAGCGAAAUCGAGGGGAAGAUUGGGCAGACGGCCAUCCACCGGUGCGGCACGACCAUAUCCCUUGCCUCCGUGGCGGCACGAGCUUCACCCCUUGCCGUGGCACCUCCUCGCUCUCUAGUGGAUGCGGUGCGAGGCCCUGCUCCCUCUCCUCUGUGGGGGAGCAUCUCUCUNNNNNNNNNNNNNNNNNNNNNNNNNNNNNNNNNNNNNNNNNNNNNNNNNNNNNNNNNNNNNNNNNNNNNNNNNNNNNNNNNNNNNNNNNNNNNNNNNNNNNNNNNNNNNNNNNNCGCCCCGCCUCUGUCUCUCCUGAAAACUACCAAGUCUGGGUGUAUUUUGGUUUCAGUCAAUCCCGUGCAUCCGAUGUAGAAUUGAGUUGCAGAUAUUGUAGGCUAAGGCGCUCUGUGCCUUGGCUCUUCAAAGGCACUGAAGCUGAGUCCAGUAGGAGUAUAUGUUAUGUUCAUCUCAGAGUCCUCGGCUACCGCUACCACAUCUCUUCUUUUUAGCCUUUGAAUGCCAGUGUAAUUUCAAAUCAUUUAUGUUCAGUUGGUGAACCAAACAACACAUAAAAUGUCUUGCUUAUAUUCUUCUUCGUGUUUAUUGUGCAGCUAUCGGAAAACUGUUAACCUUGACACUCUAUCAAGGUGCAAACACAGCUGCUGACCAAUAAUUUGGGUCAUGUCUACGCCCGCUUGCAAAGACGGGGCUAAUCUUGACGACAACCAUCCCAACGGGCGACGUGCCAAGUCCAAACAUGCUCACCCGUUUGACCCCGAGAACCGCGGACCAUUGGUCUUUUUUGUCUUAAGUCAUAAUUUUCUUCUGCUGCGUGAUUGUGAUCGCAGCUUUCAAUGAGGACGCAGCUUUCAAUGAGGACCAACCACCUGGCGUUGGCGAUAUCUUCCUCCGACUUAUAGGAAAAAGUGGGUUUGAUCCCGGUGCCUCUCCGCCGACUUCGCCGGCUUUCCGCCUUGUGUUGGACUUCGAACGAACACCACAAACCUACCGGCGCUGCAGCGGAGGAGGCAACUCGUUGCUGCACGUCUCCUACCAUGACAUGAUCCUGGCGUGGGCUCAAGUGCCAGAUUUCUACGUCUACGGCGACCGGGGCAUUGGCAGUGUUGGUACCUUGGAGGUGGAGGCCAAGGCAGACGCCUCCGUGCUGCAAGAGGAGGUGCGCAACUUGCUUUGGAGCGAGAUUCAGGUCGUGGGGAAGGUCAAGUUCGACGUGCAAGGAGAGGUCGCGGGCCUAGGGUAUCUUCGCUGCAAGUUCUUCAUCAUGAAAGAUAAGGUUGCGCAUGUGCCCAAGAGCCUGUGCAUCCUCCGUCAAUAGGCCGGAACUAUGCCUUCUGAUAAGGGUGUUAUAUAUUCUCCCUUCUGUCACUGGAUUGCAUUUACUUUUGUAAUAGCUGCUAUAUUCUGCUUUGAAAUAAAACAAAACAAUUUCAGCUGCA